rnacentral:lncRNA from 1 species
CCUUCCCAUUUUUUUUUUUUGAGAGGUAUUUAUGGGGUGAUUUGAGGGGGACGUGCGUACGAUUUGAGGGUGGUUGGGAAAAACGUGCGUAUGGGUGAGGAGGUUACGGGAUCGUGGGAUGGGGUCGUGGGAUGUGGGUGGUUGUAACCGAUUUGAGGGAAACGUGCGAUGAGAAUCCAGGAUUGUGGGAGAGAUUUUGUAUGGUCACGAUGGGAUUGUGAAAUAAUGGAUGGUUAUGAUGGAAUCGUGGAGAUAUUGGGUGGUUACGAUGGGAUUGUGGGAAUAUUGCGGAUUAGUCCUUUCCCUUUGCUCAUAUUACACCUUAGUGAAUACAAUAAAAUAUUAUAUGAUUAAAGCGGAGCAUUUUGUAAAUACAUGAAAGGGAAAGGGCUAAUAUGCUAUUUUUAAUACCCGUUCGUAUCUACGAGAACGUCCCACUUUUCGUAAUUUAUGCUCCCGGUGCAUGAGAUAUUUUCAAAAUUUAAAUUUUAUCCAUGCACCUGGUGCAUGGAUAAUCUCAUAAACCAUCUCUAUUUUUUAUUUCUUUCUCUCCCCCUUUUUUUUCUUUUUCUUUUUCCUCUUUUAUUCCUCUCUCUUUUUUUUUUUAUGCUUCAACAAGGUCGAGUCCGUGGAGUCGGUAAUCACCUCGUAAUCUUUACUCUUAGUGAAUUAUUUUUUUUUUUUUCGCGUGUUGGUCCCGUGGGUUUUUCUUCAAGUUGGAGUUUUCCCACGUAAAUCUCGGUGUGAUUUUUAUUUUCCGCAUUUAUUUUUAUCGCAUUGAAAUUUGUAGUUUUUGGCUAUUACACCUAUUUACCCCCCUCUUGGUGUUAGAUACAAUCUAAAUAGAUCCUUGGGCUACCCCAAAACUUACAAUAAGAACUACUACGUCUUAAUAAGGAAAUACAAAAUUGGGAACCACUAUAUUCAAUCCAUCUCUCUCUUUCUUGACCCAACCAUAAUGGCCAACCAUGGGGUUGAGCCCUAUUCUCACCUCUAAGUCUUGUGGGAACUUGCUACUACGCUCUAGCAUCCACGUCAAUCGUCUACUUGGGAGCCGCUUCCAUGCCAUAGCACCCAAGGGGAGUAGCUAUUGCACCCCAGCACCCUUUAAUUAAUUGUGACAUCUCCGAAGGACAUGACUUGUGAUGUUGCGACCUCUACAAGCUCUGACAAACUCAAUGACUAUGAUCAUGUUCUCUUAUACAAGAUAACCCUCUACAAUAUCAUGGUAACAACAUCAAGUUGGUUAGAUGGAAAAUCUAGUUAGCAUGCCAACAUGUCAUACAUGGGGCCAAAUUGGAAAGGAUUUUCUCCCAAAAAAGGCUCAAAUCUUUUUUUUUUUUGAAAAUCCGAGGAUGUAGAAACUUAACCAAAACACAAAGAGGCCUACCACAUGCACAAAGGAUUCAUUGUCCAUACAGGCAAAGUCUUCUCUUUACAUACAUGCACUGCGUUGGGAUACAAAGCAAUCAAGCCAAACGGGGGUCUAUUAUCCAACCAAACGAGCAAUAACAACAAGACGAACAGAAUGAAUUUUCACCUUAUUCCUCACAAAUAUAAAUACUUCUUUUCACUAAAACUCUAUUAUUUGCAAAAGUUCAAUGCACUACACUAGUGUUGUAAUGUGUCGCUCUCAGCGGCAUACCAACUGAAAAUUAUUAAUACUUCUCACACCCUACGUUUAUAGCUCUUUUCGCAAAACUAUCAUCAGUGGGUGUCAUGCCCCGAGCCCGCAACAAAAGUAUCUAAGUUCUCUUGGCAACAAAUGUAUCUAAGUUAAGUUCUCUAGGCAAUGUGCGGCUAGGUGUACUUUGUCCUACUCUAAAGUAUCUAAGUUCUCGAAUAAUUUCCUUAUAGAGUCAACCAAUGUCUCCACGACCCAUGGAUCUAUCGUCUUUCCAUCAAAUGUAGGUGAAUUAAACUUCUUGAAGGUUGUGAGGCUCGCAAGUGCUCGCUCCCUCUCCGCCUUCAUCUCUGCAUAAUCAGGAGUUGAUGUACCCCAACCCGUCAAAAGGGUAUCCAUUGCGGCUCCCGAUUCCACAUGACGCGCCGCUACCGAUACGGCCACCACAUUCACCCCUCCGGCUAUAUUUGGGGCAUUGAUUGGAGGAACAAGUUGCACUUGGCCCACCCCAGCCAUGGUCAUUGCUGCGCCACUGUCUCCUGGAGUCUUUUGAUCUGCUCCUCCUGGCGCUGUGUGAUUCCAGCUUGUCGCUGCACCACUCCGAUAAGCACAGCCAAUUGCUCACGGAGGUCCGAAUCUCCACUCGCCUUUGAUUGCUUGGGAACCUUGGUUAGCACUUCUUGCCUAGACCUCAUAGGAGGUCGUCCACGCGGCACCAUCACUUCCUGAAACACAACAACCUUGGUCAAUACCUCAACCCUCAAGGUCUAACACAAAAUAAAUUUCAAAUAACAGAAAUUAGGCAAAAGUUACAUAAGGAUACUUAUUCCCAUCACUUGGCUUCAUGUUGUCAGCUGCCAACAUGAACACCCUUGGCUAAGAAUAAACCACAUCUUAAAUCCACUUGUAACAUCCGAUUAGAGGCAUAGUAACUACUUGACCCAAUUGAUUCAACUUCUGCCACAGUUCAUAGAUCACCGACUCUCACGAGCCUAGGUUCUCAGGGUUAUCCAUCUUAGGGCGUCCUAAGUCCCACCUAGACUGUUUCUGUGCUCUAAUACAGCUUAGUCUAUCAUGCCUUGAGCCCGCAACGGAAGCACCAUUUGACACGUGCACAAACCUGUCGAACGAGCAGAGUCUUUUUUAUUCGCCCAAGAUAUCACAACUUGUAUAUACAAUACAUUCCAUCCAAGAAUGAUAUACAUAGAUUGCAUAAGAUAGAUAUCAUAUUGACAUAAAAGAAAACUAUCUAUUACUUCAUUUCCAUUCAUUACAUGUUUACAUUCAUACAUUGUCUUCCAUAUACAACCCAAAAUAUGCCAUUACAAGUUUGUUUUGUUUUCUUUACAUUUUUCCAACAAGGUACUUCUAUCUCAAAGCCAAAAUAGAAAAGGACCUCUAUCUAUAGUGCUACGCCCUUUUCUCACUUCACCGCAACGCCUGCGAAUGGAGCUGAAAGGUAUAAGAUGAGAACUAUAAGUAUAGUUCCUGGUAGGUAUGGUCACGGAAGGAAAGAGCUUGACCCAUAAAGUCCAAAGGAGGUAAUAUAAGCAUAUAUAAUUGUACAAUAUGUAAUCAACUAAGCAUAUAAGUCUCUACUAUAUGCAAAUAAAAAAAUAGCUAUGCUUAUGCCUCUAUCAUGCGAUAAUGAAAUCCAUACUUAUAAGUUAUACAGUUUUCCAUACCUAUUUUUCUAGUCCUCAACAUAGAUGUAUGUAUAUAACAACACAUGCAUUUUUCUCAUGCAUUAGUAGUUAUUCACUAACAUAUGUUUCAUAUAUAUAUGCGUAUUUACUAGUUAAACUACCAUUUAAAAUUCAUCAAAAUGAAUUACUCUAUACACAUGAAAAGUGACAAAAUUACUUCAGUAAAAUAUAACCCACCUCAAAUCUUCCUAAUUGCUCGUAGACACUUGCAAUUAGAUUCUCAUAGUAGCUAGAAUCGCUCCUCACUGAGCCGAUUCACCGAAAAACACCUAAAACAGUCUGAUUCUUGAAAUUAUCACUGAUCUCUUGCCAUUCCUCAAAAUGAAAUUUUCUCCUGAGUUACUGUAACCUUCAAUUUGGAUUUUCAAGGGUCAAAUAAAUUUUAAACUCUUAAAACACAAAAAUACUAAUUUCCUCUAAGGUUCCCCAAACCUACAAUAAAACCUCCAAAUCUCUUCACAAAAAUCUGUAAUUUGUAGUUUACAUUUAUCUAGGACUUGUAAAAAUCUAUUUUCUAGGAUUUAAUUCAUAACUAUCACUUUAAAUAUCAAAAACUCACCUUUUCCCUAGCUUCCCCAAGCUUCUUCCUAGUCUAAGAAGCUUGCUCUUCACCUCCAAAUCACCUCUUUGCGUGAUCUCUUCCAAGCUCCAAGGUAGGUGAAGAUCUCUAGAGAUAAAGGGAGAAGAGAGUAAGAGGGAAAAGGUAUGUGGUAUGUUCACAGGUGAGGGAGAGAGAGGGUUGCGAUCCUCUUAUUUGCGAUCCUCUUACAUAAGGUGUUGCAAUAAUUGCAACUGACUCACAAUUACAACCAGUCAAAACUAGAAAUUCACAAGCUUUGAGUACUGGCACUUGAGUUUUAGUUCUGGUACACUAGCUUUAGUGCCAGUACUCCAAGCUCAGCUCCGCAGAACUCGAGUAUUUGAUUUCUGAAUUUUCUAUUACAUGCCGGUAUUCACUCAAAUCAGUACCGGCACUCAAUGAAUAAGUAUUGCUACUUGGAAAGAGUUUCGCAAAACCCGAACAUGGUUUCUUCCCUACAAAACAAAGUACCGAAAUCCCAAUUUAGUACCAGUUCCCAAUACAAAAUCUAUAGUUUUCACAAACUUGCCUUUUCAAAGUCUAUUUUCGCACCAAAUUUGUGUCGAAAACACUCGAGUACUCCCUAAACCAUGCUGGGACUAUCCAAAUAGCUUUGAAAGGUACUCCUCACUAGAACUCCGCUAUUUGUAGAAGUUAGUGCUUAGUUUCCUUCUCCUUUUUUUUGCUCUCUUAAAACUGCUAAGUUCAUGUCUACCUCUAAACCCCAUGAAGCUAGGAGUUAAGCCUGAAGAUCUCAAGGAGAAUAAUCCAUGAGCUUCGACUUUGGUUUUCGCAAAAGAGAGGUAAGAUUGGAUUUAUGUUAUGGUGAUUUUGCGAGCUUUGAUCUAUUUCUUUGGUAAUACCAGUUAAGAGUUGGAUUUGGGAAUUUUGAAUUUCAAAGUUGUUAGCAUACGCUUUAAUGGGCGCUAUUGUUGACUAUCAGUGUUUAGUGACGGUUGAGAAGGUUUAGGACAGCCAUCGUCGCAAUUGAUGGCUACACUCGAUGGGUGAUAGUGCUCCAAAACUGGUGACCUUGCUCUAUGUCUCAUUUUCUAAUUUUAUAUGGACGAUUUAGUGUGGUUCAAAAUUAUUGUGAAUUAUUGGCCAUUCCAAUACAUUUGAUAUGCGUGAGUUACUAAUAAAGGUUCUUAAAAUAGUAAAUCGAGAACUAAAAUGACAUGACCAGAACAUUCUGAGAUUUGUUUGAUCAUGACAUGUGAACAUAACCUGCAAAAGCCAAAUUGAGCUCGACUACUUGUGAUACUCGCGUGAGGUUGUGCUCCAGCAAGCGGAGCCUCCGAAGGUGUUUCUGAGGACUGAGAUUUUGGCUGUGUAGCUAAACUCCUUGUUGACGAUGUUUUUGUGUGUAUUUUAAUUACAAAAGCACUCAUCAAGUUUCGGGAGAAAACGAGUUAGAAUGGAGAUUUUACGCGAUCUUUACUUUUCACUUAAAGUGAAUAGUAACCCGGGUUUCCGAAAAGGCCAAUGAAUAGAGAUGGCUUCUGGCGCGUAUCGGACUCCGUUCAUAAUAAUCCAAUAGCUCAUUUUUUAAUGGUCUUACUAUUCUGGAACCAUUGGCGCUGUCAGAUUUCAGAUCUGAUGCAUGGUUUUCGAGAAAACUGGAGAUACAUUUUUUCUAUGUUUUUGUGUGCGGGUUUUGCCUAUUGGUGAGAGGAUGAGUUUCGUCGCGAAUCUGUGACCAAACCAGGCGAAUCAAAAUUGUGAGUUUGAGGUCCUUGUCAUGCUGAUCGUAUUGGUGUGAUCCGUUCGCAAAUCUGACUGACGAAUCUCCUGAUAUCGCGCGUUGAUCGAGGAGGGGUCAUUAGUGGCGAAACGGUAAUUUUGCGAAAAGUCCUACAUUUUAUGUACCGUUUUGCGUGAAAUCGAACGUAGGGGUACACAAACGCAUUUUACUCGUUCUGUGAGGGACUCAGCAUAUAAAUCUGAGUUUUACAGGGACUUUUGCGCGAUUCUAUGGCUUAUAUAUAUUGCAUUUAGGGUUUUCAUGCUAACCCUAACCCUAACCUGAACCUAGCUUUCUCAGCUGCGCCCCCAGCAGCCUCCACCACCUCCUAACCCCUCGCCGCACGCACCCCGGCCGCCAGCGAACGUCUCCGGCCGCCGAAAAAGGCCGGCAUUGCAUCCUCUCCACCAAGCUACCAUUUUCCUGGUCGUGGACCUCAUGGAGUGAACCACACGCAUCGAGCCACCUCCAUCGGCAGAGGCCUGACCUCUGGCGCCGUCCCCACCGGCCCCCGCCAUCCGCGCAUGCCGCAGUAAAGUAAAAGGAUAAUACUAUGACAAUAGGAGUGAAAUAUAAGGUAAUACAAUAUCUGCCCAAAAAGCACGAAAAGGGUGGUCUCUAGUACACUGGUACAGCUCUCAACCUCUCCAAAAUAAAAUGCAUCGAGAGGUAGACCACCUAGCAACUCGUCACUCGCUGAAGAGCUAGCUUGAAGCCACGCCCUUCCCACGGUCCCUAGCCUCUCCCGGCGUGGAAGGCUCUGUAAGAAAACAUAAAAUAGAGGGCGUGAAAACUAUAAUUUAUAGUUCCCAGUGGGCAAUUACUAACCUCAGCUCAAUGCACCACUAGGCCCCAGAAGAAAAGGGUAAGUACGGUAAACAACGAUAAUAAUAAUAACUGCGGUAUGAAAGUAUGCAUGUUUACUAUACCACAAACAUUACGAUGUCAAUGUUCCACAAUUACUUUUUCAUAAUAAAGAAUGUUCAAUGCACAAGUAAUAUGUCUCAACAUGGCCACAGGUACAUGUCACGGUUCACUUUAUGAAGUUAAAUAAUCAUGCUUUAUCAUGGCAACAAUGUAUAUAUGGAUACAAUAAACAACAUCUCCUAGCAUACUACAUGUAUGUAUGUAUACUCUAGUGUCCAAAACUAUGCUAGAAGCACAUCCAAGAAACCCAACUACUACUCUCUAUCUAGUAGUGAUUACAACACACACAACACCGUGUCGAUUUCCAUUUCCAAUUAAGGACCUACCAAAGGUAGUCCAGCUUGUGCCGCCUAAGUACCUAUGGUAGCCCAACAUCCCUACUCUUGGAAUGUGUCUAUCCCACUCGACCCCGUAGGCUUCUCAAUACCGCACGAGCGAACAUAGGUCACAUAGGCUAACUCUGGAGUGCCGGCUUGUAGGGAUCAACCCUCACAACCAUGUGCGAAUGUGCACAAAUGGCAAGCAAGCAUAGUCCAAGUCCCAAUUAUCCAAUCCUCACGUCUCUAACAUGGAAUAGUCACUAGCAUCACGAAGAUCUAGUUUAAGUCACAAUGUGAAGUUCCAACAUUCAUUACGCCUAGUGCCCCUUGAUGACACUUAGACAAUUUAAUGUUCAACAUGUUUCCAAUCCCUCAAUGGCCCUAACCAUAAGGUUCACGCAUGUCCCGAGCUCAAUGCCGCUUGAUGACAUUAGCUCUUUAUUUCACAUAGCAUGCUAGUUCGAUGCCUCUUUAUGGCAUAUUAGCUAACUUUCAUGUCACAAAUAAACUUGGGUUUAAAUGCAUGAUUCAAGCUCAUUUUCAUUAUAAGGAAUAUGGCCCAACAUAAGAAUGCUAAACAAUCAAACAUAGGCUUCAUAUGCAACUCUCUACUAUAUAGGAGUCCAAAAUUGCACUAUAUGUAACAUAGGCAUUUUAAGCAUUCUAAAAUUCGCAAUAAAUACAUAUAACGAGAAUAUGCAUGCUUUUUCAUUUUACAACACUUAAAUCAUCAACAAUGAGAUUUUCUCAUUGUGUGGCUAGGUCAAACCCACCGAACCGUCGCGGUGUCCUUCGUUUCGCCGAAAGGAAUUAUCCACGAGUCUCAAAAUACCCUAAAAGUAGUGAGCGAAGAGAUACACAAGUGUUACGAGAAACUUUAGGCUCAAACAUUAACAACCACAAGAAAAGGGCAAAAACUCACCUAGGGAGUAGAAAUCCUCUCUCAAGCUCCAAAAGAAGGCUAGGAUCCUUCCAAAGCAACCUAAACCAAGGUUCUAAUCUCAUUAGAUUAGCUCAAAAAGCCUCCAAUCAAAAAGCCCCAAAUAAACCCUAGAUUUUCCAUUCUAGGGUUUCAUCCCCCAAAAUCUACCAAAGCUAGGUCUAGAGGGAAGAAACAAACAACCAACCUCAAGAGAGCUCCAAUCCAAGCUCCAAGGGCGAAGAUCUUCUCUCUUGCAAGCUCCAAGUCCAAGCUCCAAGCACCAAGGAAGAAGAGGGGGUGAGGAAGAUGCUCCAAGCCCACUAGUUGCUCUUAAUCUUCUUCUUCUUCUCUCCUUCUUCUCCUUCUCCUUCUCCUUCUUCUUCUUCUCUAUCAAGGGUGUAGAGAGAGUUGAGGGAAGAGAAAUGAGGAGAAGAGAGAGUGGAUGGGUCAUAUAGACCAUCUAUUGCAACAAAAUCCAGCUAGGUCCCUCAAAAAUCCAAAAUUGCAUCAGCCCGGUCUGGGCAAUUUUCGCCCAGAGGGACAGGUCUCUUCCUGCAAGGGACUGGUCUCUCGUGUCGAACCCGAGAAACCAACGUUCGGGAACCAGUCUCUCCCUGCGAGGGACCGGUCUCUCACUGCGAAGACGCGCUCGGGGACCGGUCUCGCCCGCCAGGGACCGGUUGCCUCGCCGACAGCGCAACACUGCUCACUGGGGGACCGGUCUUUCCUAUCAGGGACCGGUCUCCGAGAGUAAAAACUCUCAGGACUCGUCCAAAACUCGGGUUUUCAAACUUUUUGGAUCGGAAAACAUUCUACGACCCUCCACCAAGUGUGGAAAAGCUCGAAACACAUCCAAUCACUCGAACCUCGCAAAUUGCAAAGGUCCAUUGUGUUACAUUCACCCCUCCUAAAAAGGAGUUUCGUCCGCGAAACUCAAAAACAAAGUACCUCAAGCCUCCAUCUGAAAAAGAUGGGGAUAGCGCUCCCAGAGUGCGCUCUCCAACUACCAAGUGGCCUCGCGCUCGUCGUGGUUGCUCCACAGCACCUUCACGUAGGGAAUCUCACGGUUCCGCAAUCUUUUCACCUCGCGAGCCAAAACCCUCAACGGCUGCUCCUCGAAGCUCAAAUCAUCCCUUAGCUCCAUAGGCGUAGCGUCCAACACGUGAGCCGGAUCGUUGACGUACUUCCGAAGGACCGAUACAUGGAAAACGUUGUGUACACCCGAUAGGUUCGGCGGUAGAGCAAGUCUAUACGCUACCGGGCCUACACGCUCCAAAACCUCAUACGGUCCGAUGUAUCGGGGGCUCAGCUUACCCCGGAUUCCAAACCUUCUAAUCCCUCGAGUCGGCGAGACUUUCAAGAAGACAUGAUCUCCAAUCUGAAACUCCAAGUCUCGUCGACGCCGAUCAGCAUAACUCUUUUGCCUACUCUGGGCUGUUACUAGUCGCUCCCGAGCAAUACGAACCCUGUCUUCUGCUUCUUGGAGCACAUCUGGGCCUAAAGCCAAUCUCUCGCCAACUUCACUCCAAUGAAGUGGCGAUCUAUAUUUUCGUCCAUAGAGUGCCUCGAAAGGUGCCAUCUUGAUGCUUGCUUGAUAACUGUUAUUAUAAGCAAACUCUGCCAUCGGUAGAUGAGCGACCAUCUUCCUUGGAAAUCGAUCACACAAGCUCGAAGCAUGUCCUCGAGAGUCUGUAUAGUACGCUCUGACUGCCCAUCACUCUGGGGGUGGAAAGCAGUGCUCAAAUUCAAGCGCGUACCCAAAGCGUCCUGUAGACUGCUCCAAAAAUGAGAUACAAAUCGGGGGUCUCGAUCUGAUACUAUAGAAGUAGGUACCCCGUGCAAUCGCACAGUCUCAUCCAAAUAAACCUAUGCGAGUCUCUCACCAAUCCAAGUAGUGUAGAUAGGUAUGAAAUAGGCCGAUUUCGUCAGCCUAUCCACGAUUACCCAAAUAGCAUCAUACCCGGCCUAUGAGCGUGGCAAUCCUAUUACAAAAUCCAUGGUGAUAUUUUUCCAUUUCCACACUGGAAUCGGUAAGCUCUGCAAUUUUCCCGCCGGAACUCGGUGCUCAGCCUUAACUUGUUGGCAAGUUAAACAUCUAACAACAAACUCACCAUCCUUUUUCAUCCCGGGCCACCAAUAAAGCAACUUCAAGUCCUUGUACAUCUUGGUGCCUCCCGGAUGUAUAGCAUACGGUGCUCGGUGUGCUUCUUGAAGAAUAUCCUCUUUAAUGCCCAAGUCCGUCGGCACGCAAAGUCAUCCGCGGAAAAGCAUCAAUCCAUCACCGUCUAAAGUGAAGUCACUGGUGCAACCAUCAACCAUCUUAGCCCGAAUCUUUUGCAAUUCCACAUCGGAGACUUGCUUUUCUUUAAUCCUUUCCACAAGUGUAAGUUGCACCACCAAAGUCAUCAGUCUUAAAGGUGUAUCAGGAGCCACCACCUCUAACUCCAACCGCUUCAUCUGCUCGAUCAACGGCGGUUGAGUAACCAUAAGCAUCGCUAAGUUUUCCGUCGAUUUCCGACUUAGCGCAUCCGCCACCACGUUAGCCUUGCCUGGGUGGUAAAGUAUAGUCAAGUCAUAAUCUUUGAGUAGCUCCAACCAUCUGCGCUGCCUCGGGUUCAACUCCUUCUGAGUGAAUAAAUACUUUAAGCUCUUGUGAUCCGUAUACACUUCACAUCGCUCGCCAUACAAGUAAUGGCACCAUAGUUUCAAGGCAAAGAGUACGGCCGCCAAUUCCAAAUCAUGGGUAGGAUAGUUUCUUUCAUAUUCCUUCAAUUGGCGAGAAGCAUACGCGAUCACUUUCCCGUCCUGCAUCAAAACACAGCCCAAUUCAUUAAAGGAAGCAUCACUAUAAAUCACAUACCCUGCUCCAGCAGUCGGCAAGGUAACGAUCGGGGCGGUCGUCAACCUCUGCUUCAACUCUUGGAAGCUCUUUUCACACGCAUUAUUCCAAAUAAACUUGGUGCCUUUAUGCGUGAGCCUCGUGAGGGGAGUAGAUAACUUUGCAAAUCCCUCAACGAACCGUCGGUAGUAGCCAGCCAAACCAAUGAAGCUCCGUAUCUCGGUCACGCUCGUCGGCCUCGGCCAAUCCUUGAUAGCUUCAAUUUUCUUUGGAUCCACAGCUAUCCCUGAUCCUAAAAUCAAAUGGCCUAAAAACGCCAACUCUCUAAGUCAAAACUCACACUUUUUCAACUUGGCAUAGAGCUUCUUUUCCCGAAGCACUUGAAGUACAAGUCUCAAGUGUCCCUCAUGAUCCGCAUCACUUCGGGAAUAGACCAAAAUGUCGUCGAUGAAUACUACGACGAACCUGUCUAGAUAAAGCUUGAAAACACGGUUCAUUAGAUCCAUAAAAGCUGCCGAGGCAUUAGUAAGCCCAAACGGCAUAACGGUAAACUCAUAAUGUCCAUACCGUGUUCUAAAAGCCGUCUUCGACACAUCCUCAGGCUUGAUCUUCAACUGGUGAUAUCCCGACUGCAAGUCAAUCUUGGAAUGUACACAAGAUCCCUGGAGCUGAUCAAAUAUAUCAUCAAUCCUCGGUAAUGGAUAUUUGUUCUUGAUCGUGACCUUGUUAAGUUCACGAUAAUCCACGCACAAGCGAAGCGAUCCAUCCUUCUUCUUGACAAAUAGGACUGGAGCUCCCCAAGGUGACACACUCGGUCGCACAAAACCCUUGUCCAGAAGAUCCUGUAACUGUGCCUUCAGCUCCUUCAAUUCUGCUGGGGCCAUCCUAUAGGGUGCCUUUGAGAUCGGAGUAGUACUGGGAACGAGAUUUACCACAAACUCAAUCUCCCUAUCAGGUAGCAUGACCGGAAGCUCCGCUGGGAACACAUCUCCAAACUCCCGCACUACCGGAAUAUCCUCAAUCCUAGGGGCGUCGUCCCUGCGGCCGCCGGCUGCCUUGCUCCCUGCGGCUACCCUGCGCGAGCUCGGGCCGAGCCUUGGCCAGCAUCGCCCUCGCACGCCGCCGCUACCUACGGCCGGCCGAGUUGCCUUUCUCCGAACUCUGGCGACUUCCCACCGUCGUCUCGUAGCUUCCCGACCACCGCCUUGGCCGCUGCGACCCGCUGUACCCGAGCUGGGGCCGUACGGGCUCAGCUUCUCCCUGUGCCGCCACCGCUGCUUCCCGCUGCCGGCCGACCCGCGCACUGCCUCCCCUGGGUCGGCCGCACUCGGCUGCCGCCAGCUCUUUUGCCACCAAAGGCCCCUGACGGUCGUGUUGGAGCCGAGCUCCCCACCACCUUGUGCGGCUAGGGCAUCAGUGCCCGCCACUACCGCCUUCUAUCGCCGGCUGAUGCUCGCCCCGGCCUCCCUCCGUCGCCCGUGCCCCGCCGCUGAGCCGCCACCGGCCAUGCCCUAGUUCCCCUUGGCCUGGUAAGCUUUACUAUGCUGUUUGCGCACUGUUCCUUAUUCGGAUCCCUAUUCCGGCGACCUGGGGCUGUUCCAAUGCCACCGGAGGUGAGCAUGAUGAUCAUUGGUCAGCGCUGAUCACAGUGCUCACCUCAUUUAGGGUCAACGAGCCUCGGAUAAGUGAAUUAGAAGUGUUUUAGGUUCAGCGCGCAGGGUUCGCUGAAUUUCAUGUCGCUCCCACGCUCUCCACAGUGGUCGGCCAUGCUCCGAAUCGUGAACACGGCCUACGGCAUGUCGAGAUCUAUCAACGGGUGUCUCAGCCAGGCUCGGAAGCUCUCGAUUUGCACUGUCGGGCCGUAAAACCCCGAAAAUCACAUAAAAUGAUGUGAUUUUAUGCAGUCGCAGGGGCUUAUGUGCAAAUUUACUUUUCGUGGUUGCUGUGCGCAGUAUGCGGGCAGUGGGUGACCUUCGGACUAGUUGUCCAAGGCCCCUGGCCUUUUCGAAAAUCGGAUGUUGAUUUUCGAUGCGUUUUUCGGCAAAAUCCGCCAACGGAACGUGAUUUCGGUUCAGAAUUCUUCUGACGAUGCCUCACGGUAAAUUAUGUUGUCGCUAAGCCUUGUUGGCUGGUCACUUGUGCCAUUUCGAGGGUUCGAAAAUGACGGGUGAGCGACGGUGGGUUCCGGUGUCGAAUCUGACACUUCCAAGAACCCGGAUCGGAACGAUUAUCCGACGAUAAUCAUUUCGAUGUGAGGAUAUUUGUUUGCUGCCAGCUCACACAAAUUAUAGUGUUUAGUGGCAGCGGGUGACUCGUGACACAAGUCGGUUGUAAGAUAUGGAUCCCGAGGAUCUAAAAGGUAAGUAACACCUAGAGGGGGGUGAAUAGGUGUAAAAACGGCAAACUCGAAAAUCUCGAUGCAAAUAAAACAAAAUAGCGGAAAUUAAAAUAGCACACUGAGAAUUUAACGUGGGAAAACUCCAAUUCGGAGUGAAAAACCCACGGGACCGAUUACGCGAAGAAAAUCCACUAAGAAAACUUGAGUACAAGUGAUUUUGACAAAAAUACACGACUCAAUUUACCGAUUUCUUGUUGAUGGUGAUCUUCGCCGGUCCUCGAUCGAUAGGAAUCCACCAAUCGACCUUGCUGCAACUCCUCGCAACGUCAACGCCUCAACUCCUCGAAGCGUCCACCGAAUCCUCGGCUUCACGCGAGAUUCACCUGUCGAACCUCCUUCCGGAGCUUGUAGAAUCGAAGAUUUGUGAUGAUUUAACUUUUGAAUACCAUAAGCUAUGGGGGUUCACCUUUAAUCAAAAAUCUACUUAAUUUUCGUAUGAGUUCUCGAGUAAAAACGAAGAAUCAAGCCGAUUGUUGAUUGUCAGAAACUCGUUAUGUGAAUCGAAACAUUGAAACGGAAAAAACAAGUUUCUAGGGUUUAGAAUCUGUAAAUAUUUUAAGCCUUAAACUUUUAGAUGACCCACAUAGCUUAUUUAUAUGUUUAGAAGACUUAGAAGUAGACUAGGAUUGCAAAAAGUCCUUUUUUAAAAACCUGUGUCGUCCUCAGUGACCGGUCUUCUCGAGGAGACCGGUCUGUGAGAGAUCGGUCUCUCAAGUGAGGAACCGGUCCCUCACUGCGUGACCAAAAUCACAACGUUCGGGAACCGGUCUCUCAUCACAGGGGACCAGUUGCAUCAAAGUUCACGCAGUGAGGACUUUAGGGGAACCGGUCUCUUGACCUUAGGGACCGGUCCCUGAAUACAGAAAAGUUCAGUAAAGUAUUUUUAAAGCAAUCUAAGCCUUCUGAACUUAUUCUAAUCAAAUAUCUUCAUCACAAAUGAUCUUUUCUUCAUACCUUAGGUGCCGAACUUUACGAGUGAGUCUUUUUCCUUCAAUUUAGAUCUUUUCUUCAAUCUUCUGCAAUCAACUCUUCAAGACUCCAUUCAACAUUACGAAAUCCGCCAACCUAUAAAAUCCUUAACAAUCUCCCCCUUUGGCGAUUUCAUGACAAAAUAUAUUUACAAAGUUCGUACACAACUCAUAAAUAAUAAAAAGAAGAUCAUCGCAAUCACCAAACGAUAAUCUCCUGCAUGAUCGAUCCAAUAAAUGAAAAUUACACUUUUACAACCUUAAUACAAACUCUAUGACUUAGACAUGGAGUCUUGAAGUCUUGAAUUAUUCCUGCAAAAACAUUCUUAAAACAUAAUCAAGAUUCAAGUAAACUUAUCAAGAUCAAACAUAAAUAAAGUAUCAAGUCAUAGUUCAGCAAGUCAAAGUUCAUAGUCAAGCACAAGUCAAAUUUACACAACUAACAUAACUAAGCAAAGCUAAGCUAAAUGCAUAACAUAACUAAGCAAAAUGCCAAAAUGACAAAAUGCAUGCUUCAUCAUCAUCUAAGCUAAAUGCAUGCGUCAUCAUCAUCAAGACCAUCAAGUACCACCACCAUCACCACUUUUUUGUCAGAAAGCGCCAAAUUGACAAAAGAAGGAACCUGGUAACUCCUAAUCGGAGGCAUCCCCUGGAGGUAAAUCUGCUCGGCAACACCCUAACUUGUCAAAAAUCAUAUUCAAUAAGCGCUUCAUCUUGCUCACAUCCUUCCGAAUCGCAGCUUGCUCCGCAGACAAUUUCUGAAGCUCCUCAGAUAGACGUUGUUGCUCACGAUACACAGAGGAAACUGAGAUAUCUUCCUCGGAAAUGUCCAUAGAAGGACGUGAAGAAGUAGCAGUAGCAGGAGGUGGAGCAGCAGGAGGGGAAGAAGCACGCUGAGACGGUGUACGAAGCUGCACCGAGGACUUCACAAAUGUCCUUUCAUUUAUCCGACCCAAACUAUGCUCAUAAGAUGUACACCGGACAUCCACGUCAUGAAGUCGCAGAAUCCUCAUGAUUAUCAAUGGAAAGGGCAGUCUCUCAUUUUGCCCAGAAGUCUUGAUGUCCUUUGCCAUUCUCCGCCAGAUCAGAAACGGAAUAUUCAUGUUAAUAUUUUUGGCACUUACAAUAUCCGGCCUUCCCAAGAGAUACAUAUACAGAAUACGAUCCCAUCUCAGAAUCUUCGUGUUCGCAAGAGGCAAAAUAUUGUAGCAAACCACGAAAUUCAGAAACCUAUACUCCAUUUUGAAAUCUUUGGACAUAACCAUAAUUCCAUUGGACUCAGUGCCCGGCAUACAAAUAGUGUUCACAAUACGGUUCCAAUCGCGAAGUGAGUCGAACCCGGCCUGCAGAUAUUCCACUCCCUCAGUUCUUGCUUCCAUUCCUAGCACAGACGCUAUCGUAUCAGGAGUGAUUGAUAACUCAACACCACGUACGGAAGUCUUAAAUACGUACGGGCCGCCGUCGGAGUCACUCAGGUGACCUGCUCUCAUAUAAAAUUCUCUGAUCAACUCCAAACAAAAACCGGUUUGCUCCGGGAAAUCACAAAUCUGAUGAAGAUUUCCCUGUUCAAAUAAAUCCUGAAAUCCCGGCACACAGCUAAUGAUACUGGCAACGCCAACAUCGCGUUCACCAAUACAAUGCUUCGACGAGUACAUGGACCGUCGAGCAGAAGGAAUAUCCUGCAGACUGUGACAUGGUGGCUCAGAACCUGGUUCUCGAAUUUCAACACCACCAGACUUGCGACGACCGGGACGUUCAGUCGCCUUUCCUUUGCCUUUAUCCACGGCUUUUCCUUUUCCCUUACCUUUCCCUGUAUCCUUAUCCUUAGCUAAUACCUCGGGAACAAAAGCCUCCCAAACCGGCUCGUCCUCCUCAGAGUCGUCGCCAGGAGCAUAUUCGCUCUCUUCAUCUUCCGGUUGAUACUCAAUCGGCCGUUUAGCUUUGGAGCGCUGUCGUUUGCUUCCACGACCACCCCCGGCCAUCAGGACCACAAGCACAAGUAACAAUGAAUACAUUUUGAAGAAUUCCCCUGUUAAACAUAAAAAUAUUUACAUAUGAAACAUAAGAACACUUAAUUUAAUUUUUUUUUUAAUUCCAAAAAAAAUUUCAGCAAAUUGAUAUAUAAAUACUAGAUAAUCCUAGGAGCCACAUAAUCAUCAAAAACAUGGACUAAUCAUGCAACUAAAUCAGCAAAAACAAAUCUUUUUAGGAAAACUUGGAAAACCUAGGUUUUGAUGAUGAAAAACCCACAAAACUUGUUCCAAAAAUAAAGAAAUACUAGAAAAUAAGAAAACAACAGUUCUAAUAACAAGAUCGAAGCAUAAACAUGCAUCUUUCAGCAAGAUCUCUAGAGCAAGCAUCAAAAAAUCUGAAACGAAACACAUUUUCGGAGUAUAUGAUACAAAUGCAACAAACUCCGAAAAUCAAACCUCAAAUCGGUGCUAAACCACGAGGAAUGUGAGGAAAAAAUGCUCUGGAGGCAAGAAAAGUGCAAGAGGAAAAAACAGGGAAAGUUGUGAAAUGCGUACAAGACACACGAGCAAAAACCCCUUUAUUGGGUCGGGCGGAGGGACCGGUCUCUUCUGCCUGGGACCGGUCCCAGAGACCAAAAUUUUUUAAAAAAUUUCAGAUAAGCUCCAAAAAUUCCAGAAAAAAUAUAUAAUAGUCCACAAUGAUAAAUCAACAAAAAUAACCAAAUUUCAUUCCCAAUAACUUCAAAGAAAAAUUCAUAAAUAAAUUUGAAAGAUCAAUUUCAAAGAUACUCAAUUUGGCAAAAUUGUUGGUCCGAAAAUCAAUGACAAUUCGAGAUACAUAUAAAAUCAAAUUCUACACAUCAUGCAAGACCUAGAAAUUGAUUGUAUCAAUUUAUCAUCAUAUUUGUUAAAGACAAUGUAUAAAUAAUUCUCAGAAUUGUGAAAUUAAAAUAAUAUUUUUAAAUUGAGUUAUGCACAAUAGUCAAGACAGGAGUGGCUCUUUAAGCAUCUUUUUAUUAACAUUCCACCUUAUAUCAUCCACAUGAUGUAAAGCUCUUUGAGCAAUUUCCUUUUUUUAUCUCUGAAAGGUACUUCCCUUUUGUUUCAUAGAGAUACAUUAAUCAACAUGUGGUAGCUGCACACACUGACCGGACGACCGGGGUGGUAGCUCUUUCCUCCAGGUGGUGGUAGUUUUCACACUCCCAGUAGGGAUGUAACUCUUUCCAUAUCUUGAAAAUUAGAAAUUUUCAUAACCAAAAUCGGAAAGACUCCCCCUAAAUUAGUGCAACCCUCAAGUCAAAAAUAUUAUUUCAAUUUCAAAAACAGAGAAAAAGUUAUUCAUCUCAAAACUCAUAAUCAGACAAACAAUAGCAACAUUUAAAGUUCGAAGCAUGAGGUAUUAAAUUUGAUUCAGUAUGCAAAACAGAAUCUCAAUGACUUGAUCAUUCAAAAAUUAUGACAAUAUAGAACAAACUUGACAGUGAUCAAUCAAAAAAUAAAUAUGAAAUAAUUAAAGUUACGGACCUAGUCAUCUCCCAAAAGUAGGAACAAUAAUCAGGAAAUUCAAUCAUCUCUCAAGCACAAUCAGGAUAUAACGGAAACCAUUCACAAAAACAAAAAUGCAAUAUGCACAUGAUCUAUGGCUCAAUAGAAUAUAUCUCGAUUGAAGGAUUCAUACCAAUUGCUUUUCUUAAAUGCAGAAAACGCUUUUGAUCCAAAGGUUUGGUUAAAAUAUCUGCAAGUUGAUUUUCAGUUGAAAUAUAUUCAAGUUGUAAAAUGUUUGAUUCAACCAGUUCUCUUAAAAAGUGAUAUCUUAGUUCGAUAUGUUUUGUUCGAGAAUGUAAAACAGGGUUUUUAGAAAUAUUAAUUGCACUUGUGUUGUCACACAGAAUAGUAAGAGUAGUGGAAGGGAUCCGAUAGUCGCUUAGUAAGCUCUUCAUCCAGAUCAAUUGAGUAGAGCAACUUCCUGCCGCAAUGUAUUCAGCUUCUGCAGUGGAAAGUGCAAUACAAUUCUGUUUCUUACUGUGCCAAGCAACCAAACAGUGACCAAUGUAAAAACAAGCUCCACUAGUACUUUUCCGAUCAUCUGCGGAGCCUGCCCAGUCAGCAUCUGAGUAGCCGAUUAGAUCAAGAGAUGUUCCCAUACGAUACCAGAGCCCAUACUCGGUUGUUCCUUUAACAUACCUAAUGAUCCUUUUAACAGCUUUCAGAUGUACUUCCUUAGGGUUAGCCUGAUAACGAGCACAAAUUCCAACACUAGACGCAAUAUCUGGUCUGCUCGCAGUCAAGUACAAUAGGCUACCAAUCAUGCUUCUGUAUUGUUUCUCAUCCACACUCUGACCUUCUGAAUUCAAUCCCAGUCCUUUGUUGCUUGUACCCAUUGGAGUGUCAAAAUCCUUUGCAUUGUCCAAUCCAAAUUUCUUAAUCAGUUCCUUUGCAUACUUGGUCUGAGACAAAUGAAUUCCAUCUUUUGAUUGUUUAACUUGAAGUCCAAGGAAAUAAUUAAGCUCCCCCAUCAUCGACAUCUCAAACUCGCUGGUCAUUAACUUUGCAAAAUCAGCGGCAUCCUUAUCUUUAGUAGCCCCAAAAACUAUGUCAUCCAUAUAUAUUUGUGCCACAAUGAAAUUAUCCUUCAAGUGUUUUACAAAGAGAGUUCUAUCCGCUCCCCCUCGGUUAUAGCCCUUUUUCAAAAGAUAUUUUGUCAAGCAUUCGUACCAUACUCGCGGAGCUUGUUUUAGUCCAUAAAGUGCCUUUUUCAGUCGAAAAACGUGAUUUGGAAAUUUUGAAUCUAUAAAACCUUUCGGUUGUUCAACAUAGACUUCCUCUUUUAAAAAUCUAUUUAGAAACGCACUUUUAACAUCCAUUUGAAAAAGCGUGAUUUUAAAAUGGCAAGCAAUCGCAAACAAGAUACGAAUAGAUUCAAGAUGGGCAACCGGGGCAAAUGUUUCGUCAAAGUCUAUUCCCUCAAUUUGUGAAUACCCCUGAGCAACAAGUCUCGCUUUGUUCCGAACAAUAGUACCAUCCUCAUUUUUCUUAUUCUUAAAGAUCCAUUUGGUACCAAUUAUGUGUUGUUGCUCAGGACGCGGUACUAAUUCCCAUACAUCAUUGCGAACGAAUUGACCAAGUUCUUCUUGCAUGGCAUUUAUCCAAUAUUCAUCAUGAAGAGCUUCGUCGAUAUUCUUUGGCUCGAUCAAAGAAACAUAACACGCAAAUUCACAUUGUAACUGACUUCUUGUUCUCACACCAACAUUAAGAUCCCCAAUGACAUUUGAUAAAGGAUGAUCUCUUGACUCCGUCAGGGGUGUAGUCUCAUGAGAUACGCUAGGGAUUUCAGAUGAGAUGAUUUGAGGCUCAGAUGAAUCAUUUGAUGCAAUAUUUUCGGAAGAUGCAAUAGAAUUAUCAGGUGCAGAAACAUCAUCAUUCACAGGCAAUACAAACGGAGAAUCAUUAUCAUCAUCAUUCAUAAAAGAGUUAGAGGAACCAUUCACAAAAGAACUUACAGAAGAAGCUUCAUCUACUUUUAUAUUAAUGGAUUCUAUCACCGUCUUAGAUCGUAAAUUGUACGCACGAUAAGCACGACUUGUAGUAGAAUAACCAAGAAAAAUUCCUUCGUCACUUCGGGAAUCAAAUUUUCCAAAAUUUUCACGAUCCCGAAGGAUAAAACAUUUACUCCCGAAGACACGAAAGUAUUUAACAUUAGGUUUCCUACCAAGCCAAAGUUCAUAAGGAGUAUUCAAAGUACCCAGGCGCACAUAAAUUCGAUUGAUAACAUAGACAGCCGUGUUCACUGCUUCGGCCCAAAAGUGUAAAGCAAUUUUCUUACUAUGAAGCAUAACGCGAGCCAUCUCCUGUACAACCCGAUUCUUGCGCUCAACCACUCCGUUUUGUUGGGGUGUAUAAGGAGCCGAGAAUUCAUGUUUAAUGCCAUUUGAAACACAAAAAUCAACAAAUUUUGAAUUUAUGAAUUCUCCCCCUUGAUCACUNNNNNNNNNNNNNNNNNNNNNNNNNNNNNNNNNNNNNNNNNNNNNNNNNNNNNNNNNNNNNNNNNNNNNNNNNNNNNNNNNNNNNNNNNNNNNNNNNNNNNNNNNNNNNNNNNNNNNNNNNNNNNNNNNNNNNNNNNNNNNNNNNNNNNNNNNNNNNNNNNNNNNNNNNNNNNNNNNNNNNNNNNNNNNNNNNNNNNNNNNNNNNNNNNNNNNNNNNNNNNNNNNNNNNNNNNNNNNNNNNNNNNNNNNNNNNNNNNNNNNNNNNNNNNNNNNNNNNNNNNNNNNNNNNNNNNNNNNNNNNNNNNNNNNNNNNNNNNNNNNNNNNNNNNNNNNNNNNNNNNNNNNNNNNNNNNNNNNNNNNNNNNNNNNNNNNNNNNNNNNNNNNNNNNNNNNNNNNNNNNNNNNNNNNNNNNNNNNNNNNNNNNNNNNNNNNNNNNNNNNNNNNNNNNNNNNNNNNNNNNNNNNNNNNNNNNNNNNNNNNNNNNNNNNNNNNNNNNNNNNNNNNNNNNNNNNNNNNNNNNNNNNNNNNNNNNNNNNNNNNNNNNNNNNNNNNNNNNNNNNNNNNNNNNNNNNNNNNNNNNNNNNNNNNNNNNNNNNNNNNNNNNNNNNNNNNNNNNNNNNNNNNNNNNNNNNNNNNNNNNNNNNNNNNNNNNNNNNNNNNNNNNNNNNNNNNNNNNNNNNNNNNNNNNNNNNNNNNNNNNNNNNNNNNNNNNNNNNNNNNNNNNNNNNNNNNNNNNNNNNNNNNNNNNNNNNNNNNNNNNNNNNNNNNNNNNNNNNNNNNNNNNNNNNNNNNNNNNNNNNNNNNNNNNNNNNNNNNNNNNNNNNNNNNNNNNNNNNNNNNNNNNNNNNNNNNNNNNNNNNNNNNNNNNNNNNNNNNNNNNNNNNNNNNNNNNNNNNNNNNNNNNNNNNNNNNNNNNNNNNNNNNNNNNNNNNNNNNNNNNNNNNNNNNNNNNNNNNNNNNNNNNNNNNNNNNNNNNNNNNNNNNNNNNNNNNNNNNNNNNNNNNNNNNNNNNNNNNNNNNNNNNNNNNNNNNNNNNNNNNNNNNNNNNNNNNNNNNNNNNNNNNNNNNNNNNNNNNNNNNNNNNNNNNNNNNNNNNNNNNNNNNNNNNNNNNNNNNNNNNNNNNNNNNNNNNNNNNNNNNNNNNNNNNNNNNNNNNNNNNNNNNNNNNNNNNNNNNNNNNNNNNNNNNNNNNNNNNNNNNNNNNNNNNNNNNNNNNNNNNNNNNNNNNNNNNNNNNNNNNNNNNNNNNNNNNNNNNNNNNNNNNNNNNNNNNNNNNNNNNNNNNNNNNNNNNNNNNNNNNNNNNNNNNNNNNNNNNNNNNNNNNNNNNNNNNNNNNNNNNNNNNNNNNNNNNNNNNNNNNNNNNNNNNNNNNNNNNNNNNNNNNNNNNNNNNNNNNNNNNNNNNNNNNNNNNNNNNNNNNNNNNNNNNNNNNNNNNNNNNNNNNNNNNNNNNNNNNNNNNNNNNNNNNNNNNNNNNNNNNNNNNNNNNNNNNNNNNNNNNNNNNNNNNNNNNNNNNNNNNNNNNNNNNNNNNNNNNNNNNNNNNNNNNNNNNNNNNNNNNNNNNNNNNNNNNNNNNNNNNNNNNNNNNNNNNNNNNNNNNNNNNNNNNNNNNNNNNNNNNNNNNNNNNNNNNNNNNNNNNNNNNNNNNNNNNNNNNNNNNNNNNNNNNNNNNNNNNNNNNNNNNNNNNNNNNNNNNNNNNNNNNNNNNNNNNNNNNNNNNNNNNNNNNNNNNNNNNNNNNNNNNNNNNNNNNNNNNNNNNNNNNNNNNNNNNNNNNNNNNNNNNNNNNNNNNNNNNNNNNNNNNNNNNNNNNNNNNNNNNNNNNNNNNNNNNNNNNNNNNNNNNNNNNNNNNNNNNNNNNNNNNNNNNNNNNNNNNNNNNNNNNNNNNNNNNNNNNNNNNNNNNNNNNNNNNNNNNNNNNNNNNNNNNNNNNNNNNNNNNNNNNNNNNNNNNNNNNNNNNNNNNNNNNNNNNNNNNNNNNNNNNNNNNNNNNNNNNNNNNNNNNNNNNNNNNNNNNNNNNNNNNNNNNNNNNNNNNNNNNNNNNNNNNNNNNNNNNNNNNNNNNNNNNNNNNNNNNNNNNNNNNNNNNNNNNNNNNNNNNNNNNNNNNNNNNNNNNNNNNNNNNNNNNNNNNNNNNNNNNNNNNNNNNNNNNNNNNNNNNNNNNNNNNNNNNNNNNNNNNNNNNNNNNNNNNNNNNNNNNNNNNNNNNNNNNNNNNNNNNNNNNNNNNNNNNNNNNNNNNNNNNNNNNNNNNNNNNNNNNNNNNNNNNNNNNNNNNNNNNNNNNNNNNNNNNNNNNNNNNNNNNNNNNNNNNNNNNNNNNNNNNNNNNNNNNNNNNNNNNNNNNNNNNNNNNNNNNNNNNNNNNNNNNNNNNNNNNNNNNNNNNNNNNNNNNNNNNNNNNNNNNNNNNNNNNNNNNNNNNNNNNNNNNNNNNNNNNNNNNNNNNNNNNNNNNNNNNNNNNNNNNNNNNNNNNNNNNNNNNNNNNNNNNNNNNNNNNNNNNNNNNNNNNNNNNNNNNNNNNNNNNNNNNNNNNNNNNNNNNNNNNNNNNNNNNNNNNNNNNNNNNNNNNNNNNNNNNNNNNNNNNNNNNNNNNNNNNNNNNNNNNNNNNNNNNNNNNNNNNNNNNNNNNNNNNNNNNNNNNNNNNNNNNNNNNNNNNNNNNNNNNNNNNNNNNNNNNNNNNNNNNNNNNNNNNNNNNNNNNNNNNNNNNNNNNNNNNNNNNNNNNNNNNNNNNNNNNNNNNNNNNNNNNNNNNNNNNNNNNNNNNNNNNNNNNNNNNNNNNNNNNNNNNNNNNNNNNNNNNNNNNNNNNNNNNNNNNNNNNNNNNNNNNNNNNNNNNNNNNNNNNNNNNNNNNNNNNNNNNNNNNNNNNNNNNNNNNNNNNNNNNNNNNNNNNNNNNNNNNNNNNNNNNNNNNNNNNNNNNNNNNNNNNNNNNNNNNNNNNNNNNNNNNNNNNNNNNNNNNNNNNNNNNNNNNNNNNNNNNNNNNNNNNNNNNNNNNNNNNNNNNNNNNNNNNNNNNNNNNNNNNNNNNNNNNNNNNNNNNNNNNNNNNNNNNNNNNNNNNNNNNNNNNNNNNNNNNNNNNNNNNNNNNNNNNNNNNNNNNNNNNNNNNNNNNNNNNNNNNNNNNNNNNNNNNNNNNNNNNNNNNNNNNNNNNNNNNNNNNNNNNNNNNNNNNNNNNNNNNNNNNNNNNNNNNNNNNNNNNNNNNNNNNNNNNNNNNNNNNNNNNNNNNNNNNNNNNNNNNNNNNNNNNNNNNNNNNNNNNNNNNNNNNNNNNNNNNNNNNNNNNNNNNNNNNNNNNNNNNNNNNNNNNNNNNNNNNNNNNNNNNNNNNNNNNNNNNNNNNNNNNNNNNNNNNNNNNNNNNNNNNNNNNNNNNNNNNNNNNNNNNNNNNNNNNNNNNNNNNNNNNNNNNNNNNNNNNNNNNNNNNNNNNNNNNNNNNNNNNNNNNNNNNNNNNNNNNNNNNNNNNNNNNNNNNNNNNNNNNNNNNNNNNNNNNNNNNNNNNNNNNNNNNNNNNNNNNNNNNNNNNNNNNNNNNNNNNNNNNNNNNNNNNNNNNNNNNNNNNNNNNNNNNNNNNNNNNNNNNNNNNNNNNNNNNNNNNNNNNNNNNNNNNNNNNNNNNNNNNNNNNNNNNNNNNNNNNNNNNNNNNNNNNNNNNNNNNNNNNNNNNNNNNNNNNNNNNNNNNNNNNNNNNNNNNNNNNNNNNNNNNNNNNNNNNNNNNNNNNNNNNNNNNNNNNNNNNNNNNNNNNNNNNNNNNNNNNNNNNNNNNNNNNNNNNNNNNNNNNNNNNNNNNNNNNNNNNNNNNNNNNNNNNNNNNNNNNNNNNNNNNNNNNNNNNNNNNNNNNNNNNNNNNNNNNNNNNNNNNNNNNNNNNNNNNNNNNNNNNNNNNNNNNNNNNNNNNNNNNNNNNNNNNNNNNNNNNNNNNNNNNNNNNNNNNNNNNNNNNNNNNNNNNNNNNNNNNNNNNNNNNNNNNNNNNNNNNNNNNNNNNNNNNNNNNNNNNNNNNNNNNNNNNNNNNNNNNNNNNNNNNNNNNNNNNNNNNNNNNNNNNNNNNNNNNNNNNNNNNNNNNNNNNNNNNNNNNNNNNNNNNNNNNNNNNNNNNNNNNNNNNNNNNNNNNNNNNNNNNNNNNNNNNNNNNNNNNNNNNNNNNNNNNNNNNNNNNNNNNNNNNNNNNNNNNNNNNNNNNNNNNNNNNNNNNNNNNNNNNNNNNNNNNNNNNNNNNNNNNNNNNNNNNNNNNNNNNNNNNNNNNNNNNNNNNNNNNNNNNNNNNNNNNNNNNNNNNNNNNNNNNNNNNNNNNNNNNNNNNNNNNNNNNNNNNNNNNNNNNNNNNNNNNNNNNNNNNNNNNNNNNNNNNNNNNNNNNNNNNNNNNNNNNNNNNNNNNNNNNNNNNNNNNNNNNNNNNNNNNNNNNNNNNNNNNNNNNNNNNNNNNNNNNNNNNNNNNNNNNNNNNNNNNNNNNNNNNNNNNNNNNNNNNNNNNNNNNNNNNNNNNNNNNNNNNNNNNNNNNNNNNNNNNNNNNNNNNNNNNNNNNNNNNNNNNNNNNNNNNNNNNNNNNNNNNNNNNNNNNNNNNNNNNNNNNNNNNNNNNNNNNNNNNNNNNNNNNNNNNNNNNNNNNNNNNNNNNNNNNNNNNNNNNNNNNNNNNNNNNNNNNNNNNNNNNNNNNNNNNNNNNNNNNNNNNNNNNNNNNNNNNNNNNNNNNNNNUGCUACCGCCGUAUCUGCGGGGUGUGUGAUUUGUGGAGGAUCCCACCAGGCGCGGCGGUGUGCACUGCGAGAGGGAAGGUGUUUUCGUUGUGGGCAGUCUGGCCACAUGAAGUAUGAUUGCCCCUUGGACGAUGGACGACUCCCGCCGACAGCGUCGACAUUCACCUCUUCAGGACAGAUGGUGGAUGUGCAGCCUGUGGCACAGUUUGGAGGGCUGGGGGUGGUCGAGCAGCCGGAGGAUUCACAGGAGGCGCCAAGCGGCCCUGGAUACGCGGCUCUUGUCGAGGGACCUGCUGCUGUUGGUGAUGUUACCGCAGGUAUGAUUUAAUUAAGGCAAUCAUACAUUCUAGCAUGAAGUAGUUUGAGCAAUUGCAUGCAUUUUCUUGUGGUCUUUUACUACUAUUUACAUAUUAGUAUAGUAAAGACCAGGACGUGGGUCAGAGGAGUUACCCAGCAUGCAUAAGUCGUGGUGGUAUGUCGCCUACCUAAAGGAAUUGGUGAUUGGUCGGUGCCGGCAAGCUGCUGGUGACGAACCGAGAGUGAGACUCCCUUUGGGGUCUAUGCGUUGUAGAGUGAGGAAGGGCGCAGCUGGCCGUAUGCUGCUUGUAAACAGUCGGCAAAGGUGUGGUGGAAAGGCAUUCGACGGAACCGAUUGCCUGGUAUCCCUCCUAUGGUCGGGGAUAAGUUCGAGAAUUGGUAUUCUCCGUUCACUUUCCCUGACGGUAAGCGAGGAAGCUUCAGAAGGGUUUCUGAAGCUGUAGCAGGUAAACAGCACCGUGAGGCGAUACGAGCGGGAAUUCUCCCGUGUCGUGCGUUGCGUCCCGAACGUAGCGCGGGAUGACAAGGACAUGGCCGACUGCUUUGUGCGUGGACUUCGGCCAGACCUUUGCAAGACAGUGCUUGCACAUAAGUUGCAGACUUUCGCCGACGUCCGGGAUCGGGCCUUUUGGAUAGAACAAGGUGAGGAAUCCCUACGGGAGGAGCGCGAGGCAUACUACAAGGAAAGGGGAAAGGACAGCCAGUGAAUGGACAUGAUGGUCAGUCAAGUUCCCAACGAACUUCGAUAAGUUUGCGCUUGCGAUCCCGAGCUCCAGGGACUUACCACAUUCGGUCCUCGGCGAGAUGUGUGAUUUGUGGGGGCCCUCAUUGCCAUGGCAGUGUGAACAGCGUGAGGGCAAGUGCUUCAGGUAUGGGCUGCCGGGCCAUGUGCGGGACGAGUGUCCGCAAAGGCGAUAGCCGGGCCUUGACGCUAGCGAUGGCCUAUUCCUCUCUGGGACAGCCUGCAGGUGUGCCACCUGCGGCAUGGUCAGGAGAGCGGCUGUUGAGAACAAUGCAAUCAGAGGGUUCGCGACGAGCGCCAAGUGGCCAUGGAUAAGCGACCCGAGUUGCGGUGCCUGCUGUUGUUGGCGUCGUUGUAGCAGGUAUGAAUUAACUGAGCAAGUAUAUUUUUGCAUGAUCUCAAGUUGAUGCAUAGCAUGCAUUUAUCAUAUGGUCAGUUACUACUAUUACUACAUUACAUAGUAGGGACCGAGUGGUCGGGUAAGUAGGUACCCGAGCAUGCUAGCAGGAUGAGAGUAUGACGCCUGCUGGGGCAGGUAGAGAGCCAUUGGGCACUAGCAAAUGGCUAGUGGUGAUUUUGGAUAAGAAACGAGGCUCGUAAUGGGAAAUCGAAAAUAUAAGAGAAUUCUCGAUGCAACAGAUUAGAGAUUGCGAGAGUUGAGCCUUGAUGUUUGGGGACACCCGGAUAUCCCAAGAGUAUUUCGAACGUGGACUCGAUAGAUCGAACAAUGGUGAUGAACCACUGUUGCGAAAUUGGUUGAUUAACGCCGAACUUGGCCUGUGGGCCUAGUAGUACCUCAAACUGAGGAGGACGAGUUGUUGCUCGUGUGGCCGGCGUGCAUAGGCUAAGUUGCCUGAUGCUAGACUUCGUGCGAGACGCUGUAGAGACGUAGAGCGCUCGAGUGUAGUUACGCGUGAAGUGUGGUUUCGAUUCAGCCGGUUGAGUGAAUUGGCAGUAGCACUUUAGCAGGGCUAAGUGUGAAGUAAGCCAUAGAUCACUCGUAGGACUAGUGGCUCGCACUAGGUGCCUAGGAGCCGGUAGAGUGCGUAGCUCUAUAAAGUGUGUCGUGUAGGACGACGUUAGCGGGUAGUGCUUGGGGACGACCCGUGCCUGGACCCUUCGUGGACUGUGGAGCCUGGGCCUAUUUGGCAGGCACAGUCAGCUGCGAGACGCAGCGGCCCAAUACCUAUAGGUAGGGCGGAGAGUUUUGGUCAGGACGGUAGUCCGAGCUUAGACCCGAGUGCGUGGAAUUCCACGUGUUGGAUCGUGAAAUCGAUGAUGCACUGAGAGUGCGGUUGUGACCCAACCCGAGGACUUGACGUGGUUUGGGGGUCUUGGUUGCUCCUAGUUGGAGUGUGUGCGAAUUCUCCAAUGAGAAUUUCGCCCAAUGAUGAUUGGGUCUACGAUGCGAGCGAGAGACGCUAUGCGUAGUGCGACGGGUUUAGACAGUAGGCCUACGUGGUGUUGGUGACCGUUGGUCCACCUGUGGAAGCCGACGUAAUCGGUUUAGCCGAUAACUCCGUGGGGGAGUUGGUGCAAGGGAGGUAAAUUCUCAAAAUGCGAGAGUUGGACUUCACUUAAAAUCGACUAAUUGUCGAGUAGGGGUGCUUCGUGAAAGCCGAAGAAGUCAAAUGCACCAAAAGUGCAUUACAAUGGAGUCCGCGAGAGCAAAUAGUGCAAGAAUUUGCACUUGGCAAACUUGCUCUCGGGGACCGGUCCCUGGCGGGAGGGACCGGUUCCCGAACGUUGUCUACGCGAGCUUGCUCUCGGGGACCGGUCCCAGGAGGGAGGGACCGGUUGCCCCGAGGCUGAGGGCUGUGGCAAGCGCGAGGCAACCGGUCCCUAGGCCAGAGGGACCGGUUCCCGAACACGUUAGAUUUAGGAGGUCCCUCUGGGACCGGUCCCAGGCAGGGAGAGACCGGUCCCCAAGUGUGAAUUUGCCCAGGCAGGCUGGGUUAUGUUGGAAAAAUUUGGAAAACUUGGAGACAACGCUCUUUCAUGGAUUAAGAUUCGAGAUGCGCCGGAGUAGGCCAUCUCUCAAUAGAGCAAAGAUCCAAAUGCGAUUGGAGCACUCGCAGUGGGUCGAUGCACCAAUGAUAUUGCUUCUAAGCGAUAUUGGUGAUCGAAUUGGAGUGUGACCCCUAGAGGGAUGGUGGAAGUGACGAAGAGUCGUAAAUGAGAAAUACGAACUCUUGGAUAGCCAAAGUGGCGGAGCGCCGCUUUGUUGACACUCAGGUGAUUCGAGAGGGCUUACCCCGUGUGUGUUGUGUCGUGGUGGUGGACCAUAUGACUAUUGGUGCGUUCUUGAUAGCUCCACACCAUGGGGAUAGCGGGUAGUCCCGGUCUCGAAGGAAGUGGUUUGGCCUUAGUGGGCCAGUUAGUGAAUNNNNNNNNNNNNNNNNNNNNNNNNNNNNNNNNNNNNNNNNNNNNNNNNNNNNNNNNNNNNNNNNNNNNNNNNNNNNNNNNNNNNNNNNNNNNNNNNNNNNUGAAUUCUAAUUGUUGUUUCCAUCAUCAAUAUUUUAAGCUUUUAAAUUUAUGUGUCUAUUUUCUCAUCUUAGUGCAUAAAUUGUAAAUUUGCUCAACAAUGCAUGCUUUAUCUUUUCAAUCUUUGCUAUGAAGUUGGUCCAACAGAUGACAGUCUUAUCAAUAGUUGUUAGAUAUUGGCGUGGCUUUUCCUCUUAAAAUUUUUUAAAUUUUCUUCUUUGCGUUUACUAGUUCAAAGCAGUUGGCAUAUUGUUAUGUGAGCUUGAGGGUUUAUUGGCUGCUGUCUUCCUAAUAUGCAAAAUUUGAGGAAUCAAAUGCUGCAAUUGAUAUAAUAAUAUGGUAUAAAUGAAAAUUUUGUUCAACAUUCAGUUAGACAUUGCAAUCUAAGCCUAGUUUCGAAUCCAAGGUUUGAGCGUAUUUUCUUCUCAUGUGAUUCAGAUCGAAUGAUAGAAUCAGAUUUUCUUUUCCUUUUGGGUUUGACCUAAGGAUGUGAUGUUCAAAUCAUUAGUUGGAGGAUUUGUACACAACUAUCCCAAAAUACCGGCACCAUUAUUUGGGCAGUAUUAUGUAUCUUGAUAUUGUUUUGAAUUUAUGCAAAUUAGAAAAGGUCCAUGCUGAUGAAAUUCCUUUUGACUUUUUUGUUGCAGAUGGCGGGAUUCUUCAUCUUCUCCAUUGUCUAUCUUUAUCAUAAGUAGAUGGUAUCAGGAGAAGAUCCGGUUGCGGCCGCUGUUUUUUUCCAGUGUUAGUCAUAUUUUGACUGCAAUGGGAUAGGUGGCUUUUUAAGUUAUUCAAGCUUUUAGCUUUAGCUCAUUUAACAUGCACUAUCAUUAUCUCUAGUACUAGUGUAGUGUUUGUUUUAGAUCAGUUUUUAAAUUUUAUAUGCUACAAUCCGUUCGUUUUUCCCCCCUUCUCCAGUGCUAUGCAAAGUACGAAGGGACUAGAAAAGGUUGGAGCUGCGGAAUGCCAACAACAUUACUAGUUUAACAAACAUAUGAUUAUUGUUCCAUGUUUUUGUCUAUUUGUUCACAUUUCCGCCACUAUUUUAGCAAAAUUGUAUUUUUCUAUUUGUAAUAACCAGAUCGCCUAUGGGUGGUGAAAGGGCCUUGCACUUGGUUCGUAUUGUAAAAGAUUCUAGGAGUUGCUAAAUUAAAGGAAUGUCAUUCAAACAAGAUUUACUAGGCAAUAUAAUAUUUUUGUGUUUGGUUUGAUUGAUGAUUUUUCGUAGAUUACUAGAGGGAUAAUUUUCUGAGUACCCCUUCAAAAGCUGAUAAUUACAUAAAUACUUUUCUAAAAAUUGAAAUAUCAUAAAUGCCGCUCUAUAUACGAAAAACUUUUAAAAAUAGCUUUUAAAAUAAUUUUCUGUUAAAAUGUUAACUAAAGGACCUAUGUACCAAUUUUACCCUUAUCAUAAUUGUCCUUACAAAAUUUUCAAAGGUCACUGACUUAUUAUAAAUUUCAUAAACGCCCUUCAAAUUUAAAAAUUUCACAUCAAAUUUAGUUUGGCUCAACGGUCACUCUUUCAAAAAUGCUCUUCUAAAAUUAGUACAUAAUCCUUCUUUCAUGCCUUUAAAUAAGACCAAGCGAUUGAGCAAAGAAUCUCACGCCUUAGAAUGCAAAGUCAUAUUCUAUUUAAAAAUAUUGAUCUUCGUUGUAAGAUUUAUAUUGUGUAAGACACUUCGUUAGAGAAAAAUUAUAGGUUUUUAACAUAAUGAUUUAGAUCUAGAUAUGAAACCUAUGUAAGUCAUUUCAUCAGAAUUUCUCUAUCGAUCAGCUAUUCAAAUAAGAUAAUACUUCCAUCAUGUUAAAUAUUUUCAAAUGUUUCAUUGUGCAUCUCGUCUUUUAAAAUAAGCUUGAUGUUCUUAAACUUUUAUAAAUAUGCCAAAAUAGCCCACUAUGUCAUCUAAUAUUUAUUUGUCGGUAGAAUUUAGAAUCGAUAGAGAUAAAAAGCAUUAUAAUUAAGAAAAUUGGCUAAUACAAUCUAUAACAUAGCAAAUUAACACACAAACAGACUAACAUAGACAUAUGAAGAAAUUGAUACCACUAAAAUACAAAAUAAAAUAGUGCAAGCCACCAACAUACAUUAGUUUUAUAUUUCUCCAAAUACAUUUUGUUUCACAUUUACAUCACAAUUUUCUUUUUAAAUGCUUAAAAACCUAUAAUAACCAAAAAGUGCUAAAAAGUAUUUGAAAUUAUCCACAACCAAAACAACCAAAAAGUAUGUUAAGAGUUAUGCAUCACUAAAAUACCACUUUGAAGUUUGUGCCAGAAUAAUGAUAUCAACAAAAAAGUAGUUUUUGAGAUAGGAAUGAGUGUGUUACCGUGCAGUUGAAGGUUCAAUAUUGGAGAAUAUAGAAAAAGAAAGGCUACCAAAGAAUGGAUUAUGCGCGCAUUGGGUCUUCCAUUACUUCUGUUGUCCGUUAGAGUCCUUCACCGUUGGUCGAUUCUCUAGUGCUUUGUGGUAUGGAAGAGAGCAAGGUCUCUCUUCCCCUUCUUUUUGGGCCUUUUUGGGAUUGUAUUUGGCGUUGUACAUGUAAAAUAUGUACCGGUCUUUUGUCACUUUCUUUUUUUGGCUUGGCUACUACAACAUGCAAUAAUUAAUAAUCGGAUUAGAUAGAUGCAAAAUGUGCAGUUUAAAUAGAUGCUUGAAUUCAAUUAGUAAUAUGAAUGUAACUCAAUUAAGAUCCAAAAGGAGUAUCAGCGAUGGAUGCUUGAGUUCCACAUUAAGGUACUACUUCUAAUGGUACUGGAUUCUUGCAUUUUUUACCAUGAUGCCCAAACUGUUCACAUCUUUUACACUUAUGCAUCCUUUUUGUUGGUUCAUCAAGGGCUCUUAAUUCUUUUCUUUUUUUUAGGUCUACCAACUGGCCUAGACAUAUUUGGUUGCAAUAAAUUAUAGCUAAGAGCAGAUUUUACCCAACCUUCCUUAUUUGGCAUUGGUGCUACCUCAAAGGCAUAAGCUUCUUUGAGUUUGUGUGUGGUAAAAAUUGGGUCCACAUAUUUCUCUAUUUCUAUACCUCUAAGACUGCCUAUGAAGGCAAAAGCACGCGCACACGGUAGCCCCGUUACCUGUUAUAAUUAAAUUAUAUUAUGAAACAGCUAAAAGUAAUCCAACCUAAAAUAUUUAGUUAAAAUGUGUUAAUAUUGUUUAGAGUUACUGCUCUAAAGAGCCUAUUUGACUAGAAAAGUAGCAAAAAGAAUCCAAUAAUACUAAUAUUAAAUGAGUUACCCGCUAGACCCUGCAUGUACAACUACCUUGAUCCAAUAGAACCUCACAUCGGUAAUUGGGACCAAUUAUUUCUGCUCUAUUGUUUGCACUUCUGCAUAUUUUUAUGAUCCCAGUCCCUUGCAAUAAUUAGAAAAAAAAAAUGAAUGAGUUAAUAAUAUAUUAGAAUAAAGAAUGAAUUAUUCUAUAGUAACAUUUGGGUGCAUACCAUAUUUGCACUUCUAAUGUAUUUCAAGAAACUGAAGAAUUGCGAAAUAAACUAAAAUUCGUGAAACUUCAAGCUCGUUACCUUAGAAUAUUUGAGCCCUUAAAUCCUUUUAAAAUUAGACCCAGGGCAAGGAUUUUAUAAAAUAGAGAUUUCAAAUAUUUUCUUGUGAGAAAUAAGGAGUGUUCAAAAUAGAGAUUUUACUUGAUGUAUACUUGUUGGAGAAUAAGAUAAAACUUCAUCCUGUUUAUCACAUUAUUUAGGGAAAACUUCAAAUACCCCUCUUGUGGUUUCACUCUUUCUCAUUUUAGUACCCCGUGGUUUAAAGUGUAUCAAAUUAGUAUCCUGUGGUUUUGCACUUUUUCACCUUAGUAACCUAUGGUUUAAAGUGUAUCAAUUUAAUCACGCUUUCUCACUUUAGUACCCUGUGGUUUAAAAACCAUAGGGUACUAACUUGAUACAAAAAUAAAAUCACGGAGUACUAACUUGAUACACUUUAAACCACAGAGUACUAAAAUGAGAAAGUGCGAAACUACAUGGUACUAACUUGAUACACUUUAAACCAUAGGAUACUAAAAUAAAAAAGAGUGAAACCACAGGGAGAGUUUUUGAAGUUUUCUCCAUUAUUUAUUAUCUUCACGUUUCAAAUGUUGUUUUAGAUUGAAUGUUUUGUUGUUAUUGAUAAGCUUGUAUGGCUUUGAUUGUAUUAUAACGUGAUAUUGUGUAUAUAUAAAAAAGACUCUAUUCGCUUAGACAAAAAAUCUUUUAUAUAUAUAUAUAUAUAUAUAUAUAUGUGACGGAACUGUUCACGCCUUUGUCAGAUUUCUACAAACUUUGAUUUUCAAUAAAAAAAUUGAGCCCUUCCGAUAAAAACCCUUUUUAAAUUAGGCCCGGGGCAUGAUACGCUUGUUUAUACAUACAUCAGAUUUGUUUGGCAACAACAGCCAGAGAGAUAAUAGUAACUUUCACUUUGAACUUUCUUAAAAAAUAACAAACAAAAAACCCUUUUGCAAUCAAGUCAAACUGUACUGCAAGCUACCAACAAUAACAAAAAUAAUAAACUCCACCUAUUAGCACAUCCAAUUAUAUAAAAUUUUCAUUUAUUAAAGUAUAAAAUGGCAACAUUACAAAUAAAGCCCUACCUAUUUCAUGUUGUGCUACAGUUCAGGUAAGAUUGAUACUUAGUUUACCAAUAAUAUUAUCAGCAUAUUCCCAUUAGGAACUGUAAGAAAAGAAAAAAAUUAAAAAAAUGCAGCACUGCUUCAGACAUUUUUCUUUCGAGUAAAAGAUAAUAAUCUUGGAUUAAGAAACUGUGGCCAUCUGAUAUUCAGGUAAAUGUAUGUGUUCUUUCACACAAAACAUUAUCCGUAAAUUCGAUAGGAUAAAUCAGAUCUUCCUGAGCAAGGCCUUGAGAUGCGGCUGCAGGCUUGUCAUAGUAGUAGCCAUCUGAACCACAUAAGAUAGUUCUCCAUCAACCACUUUAAAAUUUCUUGUGAUUUCCUUCACCUGUCGAGAUAAAUUAACAUGAAUAAACGACGAUCUUAUUUAAAAAUUGAACACCAUUGAAGAAUUCCUAAUAGAAAAAUUAAUUUUGGAAGAUUAGCUUUUAAUUGUUUUGAUAGUGUUCUAACUCAAUUAUGUACAAUUAACGCAAAAUUACUGAUAACAUUAAAAAGAUUCUAGUUUAGAAGCAUCAAUACAACAACGUCCUUAUAAUUUAUAACAACUCGAUUAGUUGCUUCUAUAUAAUGCAACAAAGUUGCUUUGCUGUUAAAAUAUUUUGCAUCUAUUAUUAGUCAAUAACAGUUACUUAUGCCUAAAUACUAGUGUAUAUCUAUGCUAUUUUCCUGAUUAAGUAUUACUACCUGAAAAUUGUUUGAUACUUGGAGUUGACUCAAAUUUCCAAAUUACAAUUAUUGGCACAGAUGGUAUUUCACCGGCCAAUAAAAGAACUUACUGGCACUGUUAAUAUAAAGCAAUUGCACAUCAUAUGGUAAACUGCAAAAGAUUUUGAAUAUGCCUAUAAAAGUAAUUAUAUUAAUCAGGAUAGCAGUACUGUAGGUAUCCAUAUCAAAUAUUACUGGAAUAUUUUAGUAAUCAUAUGUUUGCAAUUACCCUCAGUAAAAGAGUAAAUGACCAUUAACAUCUGCUACUCUCCGCUAAGCAUGUUAAUGGAAAGUUAAUAAUUGACCGAAAGUGAGAGGCAUCGAGAACAAAUAGACACAAAAAAAAAUAAGUUCAAGAACUGCAAUUGCACACAUAAGAAGCAGUAAUGUCAUUUUGGAGGGCUGUCCCGUUCUGUGUAUGUGUAUUUAAUAGUCUUGUCAGUGAUGCUGUUUUUGCCAUUUUUCUGCUUUACAGAAAUUAGUUCAAUUUCAUAUCUCACAAAGGUGCUAUGUUCUGAAAACUUAGAUAAUCACAGAUUAUAGGCCAGGAAAAUAAAGGCGGAAAGAUUAAAUACAUACUCUAGAGAACAGAAAUCAUGUGUUUGUAGAUGUUAAACAAAGUUAGAUUGUGUGAAAAAUCUCGGCUCAGGAUCGAUUUAUUUGCAAAGUGAGUGUAAUCCCAUGCAUUCGUGCACUUGUCUAAACAUGUUUCAAACUCAAUCUGCUUCGUGGUGUUCUGAUGGAUAGCAAUAGAGGUUACUAUAAUUAUUUCACUUAGUGUUUGCUUUUGUUGGAGGUUCAACAAAAGCUGCCCAAUGCCUUAUUGAACAUCACUGCACACGUAAUCAUAGUCAAACUAUCGUAAAUGCUUUAAGACUCAAAUGCCGCAUGUUUACUACCCUAAGAGUUUAUUACUACAUUGAGAGUCUUAUGCAUUGUAAGUCUUUAUAGCAACUAAAAGCAAGGAUUGUAAGUGCCGUGGCACGGGGAUCGUGCGCGAAAACUUGCAAAGCACGGCACGGCAUUGUGCGUGCCGGCCGUGCAAUGCGUGCCGGUCACAAAAAAAUAUGAUGUGGCCGACACGUAAUGGCAUGUUAAAUUUAUUUAUUUAGCAACAAAAUAAGCCUCAAUUAAUAUUAUAUAUUUUAUAAAAUCUUUUGAACUUUAUUGAGAAAAUACUACUAAAUAUUCUUAAAUAAGAGAUUUGAGUUGUGUCAUCGGCACGGGGCGUAUCGUGCCGAAUCUUGCGCACAUACAGCAAUGGUAGAUAGCGUGCCCUGCGCGAUGAAGCACUUUAAAUCUUUGGAUAAAAAGCAUUGAAACACAAAAGUAUUGAAUAGGGCUGAAUUCAUUACUCUUUCUCGACUAUAUGUGGCAAUCGAUGUACGAAAUGCAGUAGGGUAGGUUUCAAGAGCAAGCAAUUCUAGGUGUUUUUUCUGAAUCCAAAUGUAAAGAACAGGAAAACAUAAUAUAGUUAAAAUUGAUUCUAUCACUGAAGAGUACCUUUGAUGCAUUUCCAACAAGCAUCGCUUUUGAAGUGUUAACAAUUUUUAUGGCAGCAUGCCAUAGAGGCCUUCGCAUAUUGUGGAACCAAAAAUGGUCAAAGACAUAAUACUGUUACUACUAUAAAGAUGGACAAUCUAAAUGACAGAAAGAAACCUCACUAUAGCAAUGUCAUGCAGUAUAUGACCUCAAUCAAUUAAAAAUUCAAAUAAGAUUAAACCUAAUAACUUAGGCUCAGGGCCUCCUGAAAAAUUUUUUAAACAACUAACCGAUUACAUAUCUGCUUUAUAGUGUUGACUAACAGGUAAUAGGAGGUGAACAUUUGUUUCGCAAAUAUGCUAACUGAAAGGGGGGGGGGGGGGGGGGGGGGGUUGUCUUGUUUUGCCCACAAAUCAUAGGAAAGUUAAUAAUGGACCCUAAAUGACGCAAACGCAUACUUCUUCGUCCUUUAAAAAAAAACCUUGAAAUUCCAACUAAAAUACCUCAGCAGUAAACAAACUUUAUCAUCAGACUAGUGCACUUUCAAAGUUAUGUUCCGAGUCACAUAAUCGCAUCUUAUUUGUGUGAGAUUAACAGACCAAGGUCAAGACAAGGCAAGUUUGUGUAGGAUCAAGAAUCAACCUAGAAGUCCAAUCAGAAAAACUCGCCAGUAACAAUACUGUCCCACCAACUAGAACUACCACUUCCAACUUUCAAUUGAUCCUAAAGGCACCAAUCUUGGUUAAAAAAGCAAUAUUAGUUCAGCGUACCAUGUCCAUUUAAUCAAUUAGAUCAUGUUCAAAAAAGAUCUUUGGAAAACAACAUCUGACCACCAAAUCUUUUGGAUCUAUGAUUUUCCUGGAUUUUCCUUCCCAACUGAUCGUUAGGCUAUGCUGAGGCUUGAUAUUGCUGUUUGGCUAUUAUAUUGUAAAAACCCACUUAAUAUGUCAUGAAUAAUACUUUGUAUAAUUAUUUUACAUAUUGAUAUUUAAAAAAAUGAGUAAACUAUGGAGAUACUGCUUGGGAAAAAUUCUGGUGUACUUAUGUUUACUUUGAUAGAAGGCUCAUUAAGAUGAAAACCCUGCGAAAUAAUCUAAAACAGAUUUCCAGCUUUUAUUUGCUAAAUUAGGUAAAGAUGAUGCUUAAGGUAUAAAUCAUAGUGCAAGACAAAUUUCUCGCAUACAAAACACAAAAGCAAAGAAAGUGAAACAUCAUUAUCGAUACGGUUCAUCUAGGCAUAGCUCAUGUCCUUCAAAUAAUUAUGUAUUUUUAUGCUCUCUUCUAUCUGUUCUAUCACAAAUGUGUAUAUAUAGGCGAUGUAUGUACUUUAUUUUCAUAAAAUCUGUAUCUCUGUAUAUUUCAGUUCACUAUUCGCUGUUGUUAUCCCUGUCAAAUGCAGAACAAAAAAGGGUCCCAAAACCAAACCCUUCCUUAUAUAGCGGUCACCGACUUCAAUUAAGUUAUAAGCGCAAUAUUGAAGCUUUAAUUAGUGUGUUCUUAAUUGGAUUCCCAAUAAUAGCUUGAUUUGAGAUUUUCUCUACGAGGUGUGCCAAGAUUUUAUAUUCAGAUCUAAUGUUCAGUUGUCCCUAACUUUAGACUAACGUUGUCUAGAAUUUUCUCACCCGUAACAUCAGUUUCAAUCUUAAUGAUGAUCUAUAGAAAUGCGGUUAUCUAGGGUCCAUUAUUAAGGAAAUAAUUUCGUAGAUCCUUUCUGAGCAUAGUAAUUUAACAGUUGGAUUAUACGACCUCCACUGGAGUGCAAGGCUACUUCCUGAAUUAAAUAUUUGUCGGCACUGGUACAUGAAGUCUUGAAGACUAAGAAUGCCCCUGUAAAAAUGGAAUAAAAUCAUUCAUUGGAUAUCCUCUUGCGACAUCGCAAAAUAGGUACUUUGACGCUGUCCAUACAUAGUAAAACCAUUGAGGCAGUAGUCAUCAAACAGGGCCUUGUUAUAACCUUGACACUCGUGGGGCAUUCGUGCAUAGUGGAUUUGAGUGGAGUUGUUUCCCCAUAUAACAAAAAUACCAUUGAGGGAGUAAUAAAUUUGAAAUAAAAGGCCCUCAAACUCAUAUAUCUCCAGACAAGAAGAUAACAGAAAUAAAGGCGUAGUGAUUAGUAGACUAGCAUCAUUUUUGUUUUAUGUUUAUAUCAUUCCCAUUCGACGUACUAAAAAAGAGAACCUCAUUUUAAAAUAUGUUCUUUGUCCCCAACUGAAAAGAGAAAAAAGGCAGCUAAGUAUUUAAGGUCUCUCUUUUGUCUUAACACAAGGUGUUCAAGGGUGUAGAUAGCAAACUAGAAGCGCCUCUACGGUGCCUACCAUACUAAUUCAAAUCAAACAGGCAUACUAUAUUCCCGCAUCAAUCAUUUCAAAGUUUAAAUAUUUUUUCGCUUAAUCACAGUCUAUGACUUUUAAAGGUAUUUUGCAUCUUUAGAGAAGUAUAUACGCGUCCCUAUCUGCCAAACAAAUAUCAUUAUAGUUUUGUUAACACGCAAUACUCUUACAAUAGAUGUGGUAAUAUGCAGUUUAACAUGCGCUAAUAAUUAAUCUCGUCCAUGUCAACGUCGCCUUUAGAAGGAGAAAGUGAGAAAAUCCUAAUCUAAACUUAAACCGACCUUAAGGAUUUCGAAGCUCUAUGGUAAUUUCAAUAGCAAAUCUCGCGAGGGAGUGAUACACCACAAAAAAAAAGGAAACGGUUGAUGGUGCUCACGUCAAAUAAAACCUAUUAUUUUAACUACUGUCUAUUUUUGUGACAACACAUGAAUUGUUCUCUUCUUCCUCUUACUGUCCUCUUACUUCCUCUUCUCAGUCUCUAUAAUUACUUUCUCUUUACGCCUCCAUACAAAUCUUCAAUGUUAAAUUACAAUGUAAUAAAACUAGCAACAGGAACAAAAUAAUGGCCAGAUCAUGCGAAAGAGCAUAUAACGAGAGUGGCGUCAAUGUUAGUUUAACGCUGGACCUCGACGAUGCCGGUGCUUUGCGCGAGACGACUCGAGGGAGCCGUCGGGUUUGGGGCGCCAGUAGCCGCUCUCGCGCGUGCAUCGCCUCCCCUCCGACGCAAAGCUUCCACGUCUCUGGCUGUAACGCUAUCACCGGCUACUUGGAACGAAAUUAGAAAUUAAUAAACUCAACAAAUACCCAAAAAGAAAGAGAAAGAAGAAAGAGAAGCAAACAGGUGAGAAGACAAAGAGCAACGCUUUCGCGGAGUGGGAAGAAGAGGACUCCUCGCCGUACGGAAGAUUGAUGGGGGAAGCCGCCCUCGCCUCUGCUCGCCAGCGACCCAAAGGUGGAGAGGGGACGAAGGGCUCCGGGUGCAGCGGCAGCGGAAAGAAACGAUCUGGCAACCUGCCUUUCCCAUGAUUUCCCGGCAGCUUCUUCAAGACUUCAACUGUCGACGGACUCUCCCAUGUUUUACAGUCUUGGCGAGCUCAGCUGUGGAGGAAGUCCGUCGCUCUUACAUGGGGCAUCGGACGAACCGCCGUUCCAGCGAACUCUUACUCCGAAUCAUCGCUCGUCUCCUUUGCAGAUGUCGCCAGGCAGUUUUUGACCAGCAUGUAAAGUUCGAACACAUAGUGUAGCGUUUGGUUUGGGAAAAAACAAACAGUCAACAAAACACAAUAUAAGCAAGAACUAGUUAAAUAUAUAGAUCAUACAAAAUAUCAGAAUAAAAAAAUUAGGCGUUAGAUAAAAAAUUGGAUUUUUCUGAGAAUUAAAAAAAUAUGUAUUUGGUAUAAAAUAAUUGGAAUAAAAAAAUAGCUGGUAAUUUAUAUAAGAAAAUAAAAGGUUGAGGGAUACGUUUACCCGGUAUGAUAGAGAACCAGAACUACUGGUUUAAAAAAUAUGCGUUUGGGAGAUAAAAGAGAUUUACUCCUAUCGCCUCAUCCCUACCAAUUUGCACAUUCAGGUUUUCAUUUCAAUUUUAAUUUUUAAAUUUUAGUGAAUAAAAAUGUCUCAAUUUUAUUUUUCUUUUCAAUUCGACUUGGAAGGUGGAUUGAAAUUAAAUUCGGACAGGAAUAAAUUUAUUCCGAUUAAUUUAAUUUUUUUAAAGCUUCAUGAUUCGUUAAAUUAAAAUAUAAAUUUAUUAAAAAUUAAUUUAGUAAAUUUAAUUUUAAUUUGAUCUUAAAUUAAAAAUUAAAAUUCAAUCAAGUAUUUCGAAUCUAAUUUAUAAAUUUAAAUUUAAAUUUAAAAUCUAAAGUUUUAUUCAAAUUUUAUUUAAAUAUAAAAUAAAUUAACGGAUUCAAAUUGAAAUUGAAAUUAUAAUUUUAAAGUUUGAAUUUGAAUAAAUCGAAAUUUAGUUUUAUAUUUUGAAUUAUCUGUUCAAUUUCAAAUUUUAUAUUUUUUAAAAAAAAAUAUUUAAAAUUUUGACAAAAAAAUUUAAUAUUUAAUUUUCAGUUUGAAUUUCAACUAAUAUAUUAUAAAGAUAAAAUUGAUAUAUUAAUUUGAUUACGUUUCUGAUAUCUAUCUGAACCAAACACUGAGAGUGAGAAUGAUUUAUUCUGAUUCUGAUUCAGAUAGUGAACCAAACAAAAUGAGAUAAUGAAUCAUUCAAAUUUCAUUUCCAGUUUAUUCUCAUUCUGACUCCGAUAUCAAUUCCGACUUCGAACCAAACACACCAUAAUAUUCAAGAGCUAAUUUCAUACAGCACCCCUAAAACAUAUUGAAUAGAAAAUAUAUUUAUACAAAAUUUAACUUUUUAUAGUUAUUCGUUCAAAAAUUCAGUGAUAUUUAUAUUAUUCCAAAAACAUAAAGAAGUUAGUACUUCCGACUUUUUGACCUAUAAAUUAAGAAUUAUAGAUUUGAAUGAUAAUGAUCCCCUAAAUCUUUAGUGAUUCCCCUAAAUUAGAAUCACUAUAUGAGUGGUGCUUCUAAAAGUAUUAUAGUAGGACUCAAAUUUGUAUAGGUAUAAUCAAAUUUAGAACCUUUUUCGGCCCUGCUUUUUUUGGUUCCAAAAGUCCAGUUAACUACAAAAAUUCGUUUGGCAUUUAUGUAUUGCGUUCGUGGGCUGCAAAAACUUGCUUUUUAACAUCCUAACAGCAUAAGCUCCGAAGCUUUUGUGUUGGGAUGUAAAUGGAUACGAAUAUCUGAAUUUUAUUCGAAUCCAAAUUCGAAUAAAGCAGAUUUUAUCCGAUAUAAAUGGAUAUGAAUUCAGAUAUGAUAUUAAAAAAAAAAAAAUCUGAUGGAUUCAAAGUUUGGAUAUGAAUAUUUUAAAAAAACACGAACCCGAUCCGAAAUCAAAUCCGAACCCGAUCUGAAUCCGAACAAAUUUAAUUUGAUAUAAUAUAUAAAAGAACUCAAACUACUAGAUCUGAAUCUAAUGAUCCGAAAUCAACAACCAUUUGUUGGGCUAUAGAACUAUCCUUUAUUUUUUAACUUUUUUAAAAUAUUUGUUUUGUUUCUUUUCUUUAUUACUAUUUUUAAUUUUAGUCUUCAAGUUCUUAUGAGUUGAUUCUUCAGAUCUAUAUGUCAUUUUUAAUUUUUAUUUUUCUCUUAUAGUAUGAAUGUUUAAAAUUGUAUUUGAAUAUGUAAUUUGAAACUUUAGUUUUUUGUAUAAUAUGUUUCGAAAUUUGGUAAAUAUUAUUUUCGGAUUCGGGUUUUCGAGUUUAGAGUUAGGUUUUGAGUUUUUGGUCGGGUUCAGGUUUGUUCCGGAUUCAGGUUCGGAUUCGGAUUUCGAAUCUUUGUCGGAUUCGGGUUUGGAUAUGAAUUUUUAAAAUUCGUCCGAUUCGAAUUCGGUGUCGGGUUCGGAUUUCGGAUUCCGGCUUUUAAAAAUCCGUCCCGAAUCCGACCGGUUGACAUCCCUAGACGUCGGCAGUGGGAAAAAUGAAUCGCAUAUCAGUCCGUACAUCCAUUUUGCAUCCAACGACUCUAAGACCAUCGUACUCCAACCACUCCUCGUGCCUUAAGAUUGAGAAGGAAGUAAGUUAAUUUUCUUUUAAAUAGCGAAAAUACUCGUAAAUAAAAGUUGCAAUUCAAAAGGAAUACAAGCAUUGCACUACAUUGUUUAUUUAAAAUACUUUUUAAUUCAUAAUCCUAUUUUUUUAAAAAAAAUAAUAAUAUAAAUACAUGGCCAUUUUUAAAAUUUUAGUGCUUAUUUUUAGAUUGUAAUCGAGCCCUAUAUUUUUAGUUUCUUUUCUAAUUUUAUCCUUUCGAUUGAAAAAUUGGAUAAUCAAGCGUGAAGCUUUUUAGGUUUCAAAAACGAAAAAAAAAAAAAAAAUGUAUAUGAGAAUGGAGCACCUCGCACCCGAUUCAAGCGCAAGGCGUUCGACACUGAAUUAGGAUCUGAUCUAAUCUUAUCCUAUAUCGGUACAUUCUUAUUCUCCAUCCUACUAAACUGGACUUGCAUUAACUCAGCUAGGGAUGCAAACGGGGCGGAUCCGGGGGCGGGAGAGUUUCCCCACCUCCCGCUCCAUUUCUUAUCGGGGCGGGGCGGAUUCGGGGCGGGUUACUUUUCAUUUUAUUUUUCGCUUCCACUUACCGCUCCAUUCGGGGCGGAUCGGGGCGGGAGCCGGAUUUUUGACGGAUCGGGGCGGAUUGAAGGAAGAAAAGAGUCUCCCACCUCCAGCUCCAUUUACUUGGCGGAUCGGGGGGGAUUCGGGACGGAUUAUAUUUUUUUAUAUUUUUUGUUCCCACUUACCACCCCAUUAGGGGCGGAUCGGGGCGGAGCUCCACCAACCCGGAUCCAUUUGCAUCCCUAAACUCAGCGUGCUCUAUUUAAUCUCCAUUCUACAUAACACAGUACUCGCACUGUCAUAAAUAAACAUGAUUAAAAAGAAUUUUGAACAUUUUAGAAUUAGUUUGGGUUGAAUUAAAUCGAAUUCAGAUCAAAACAGACUUCAGAGGUUCAAAUAUGAUGGAACUGCAGAAAUUAAACAAAGUACCAGAACUAAAUAGCAGUACUACUACCCAGUUGCGCAGCGAGGAAAUUAACCCCCAUUUGGGUUUUGCAAAACUCUUUUCAAGUACCGGCAUUAAUAUGCCGAGUACCGAUACUGAUUCGAGCGAGUAUUGAUACGCGGUAGAAAGUUGAUGAAAUCAACAUUCGAGUUUUGCGAAACUGGACUGAGAGUGUUGGUACUGUUUGCCGUGUAUCGAUACUAGAACCCAAGUACCGGCACUCAUUACUGUGAACAAUAGCUUUUGAGGGAUUGCAAAUAUGAUUAAAUUGGAGAUUUAGGUGCUAUCUUAUAGGCCGAUUUAUGAAGAUCCUAAAGUUUACUCAAAAGAAACAAGUUUAAUCAAAACUGAAGCUUCUAAAAUCGAAAAUUUUUGUUGAAAGAAUAACAGAUGAAAAAAAGAAAAGAAUUGUGCCGAAUUGUCGGCCCAUUUUGAAAGGACUAACCAACUUUAAACAUCAUUUGUUUUAACAUUCUAAUCAUUCAAUUAAUUUGAUAGAAAUUACAUAACUUAGAUGUAUGUUUUAUUGGAGCAAUUAUCCGAGUGACAGAGCUUCUUUUGCAAAUGUAUCAUGGAGAAACUUUUCAUAUUUUCUCAGAUUCAGCAUCCAUCACCAAAGCUUUGCAACUCAGGAGUUAUCACUCAGAUUCGCUAACACCUGAAGCUUGGACAAGAAUCACGGAGCUAUAGUUGCGGAUCGCUUAGCCACUUGGGGACACGCACGCAAAAAGUUUUCUUUAUGAUCGUCUAUUGGUGAUUUUUCUCGGUCUAUAUUCAUUGAUUAAUUAAAUAAAAUCGCCUUAGGGUAUGUUUCCCUCAAAAAAAUACAAAAAUGUAUGUUUUAUUAAACAGGCAUUUAGUCAUCUCAGUUCCAUUAUUUAUCUAAUCAAACGGCAUGUCUAUAUCCAAUUAUUGAAGAAUCACUGCUCAAAUCGGAUAAAAGUUGAAACUUUUAUAUAGAUUUAGUAAUCAUCCCAAAUGGAUCAAAAAGAUUAGUUUCCUUUGUUUUCCAAAAAUAAAAAUACUAAAACAACAAUUUGUUUUUCUUUUGUAGCUAGAAAGGUUAGUGGAUAACAUAUCCUUCAAAAAAUAAAAGAAGGACAAUAAAUCAGAUAAAUAUAAGUGAUUAAAGCCUAAAUACUUCUCAAAAUAAAUCAGACAGUUAACUUUUAUGCUAUUCGCAUCGACACAACAACCAAAUAAAUGAUCAAAAUAGUUAAAUACGAUUCAGACUAUUUGACCUUUUUAGAAAUUAUAUUUAAUGAUAUUUUUCGACCCAGUGUUUGAAAGAAUAAAAUCUCAUUUCUUACGAAGUUUCAAUAGCAGAUUGAAAUUUAAAGGGAAAAUUUCUUGACUACCCCUUCAAAAAUCUGAUAUUUACAUAAAUACCUCUAUAGAAAUUGAAAUAUCAUAAAUGCCCCUCUAUAUAUGAAAAACUUUCAAAUAUAACCUUUAGAAUAAUUUUUCAUUAAAAUUUUCACUAACGGAUGUACAUACCAGUUUUCGCCUUAUCAUAAUUGCCUUUACAAAAGUUUUAACGGUCACUGACUCACUAUAAUUUUUAUAAAUGCCCUUCAAAUUUAAAAAUUUAACUUCCAACUUAUGUGGCUCAACGGUCACUUUUUCAAAAAUGCCAUCCUAAAAGUAGUAAUGUAUUUCUUUCAUGCCUUUAAAUAAGAACAUUCUCCUCUCCUCCAAUAACUUAAAGGAGUUGCUCCCACUUCAUCAAAAUGAGCACUUCGCCAAGUGCUCACUCUGUUUCUUCCUCUUAUCAAGUUCCAUCUUAUCAUUGCGACACACUCUCGAGUUUGGGUAUCAAUGCAACCACAUAGUAGAGGUAAACAAUUUUAUUGUGCUCACUAUGUUUCUUCCUCUUAUCAAGUUCCAUCUUAUUAUUGCAAUACACACUCUUGAGUUUGGGUAUCAAUGCAAUCACAUAAUAGAGAUAAAUGAUUUUAUCGUUGUUCAGACUGGGGAAUAAGUCGAAUUUGACCACUUUAGUUUCAGAUAAUUUUAAUCUCUAAAUAAACUAAUAUUUUGGCAACAUGCAUAGCUUGAGGGAAAAAGGCAUUGCAACCUUUUCUCAUGGGUAGAUGAUGCUCAACAUACAACAAUUGAAUUGAAGUACUAGAUCGAAGGCUUGGAGGAAACGAUUGAGUAAAGAAUCACAUGCCUUGAAUGCAAAGUCAUAUUCUAUCUAAAGAUGUUGAUCUUCAUUGUAAUACUUGUAUUAUGUAAGAUAUUUAGUUAGGGAAAAAUUGUAGGUUUUUAACAAAACGAUUUAGAUCUAGAUAUGAAAUCUAUGUAAGUCAUUUCAUCAGAAUUCCCUCUAUUGAUCAUUGUAAGAUCUGCAUAUUCAUAUAAGAUAAUAUUUAUAUUUUCAAAUGUUUCACUUUGCAUCUUGUCUUUAAAAUAAGCUUGAUCCCUGAACUUCUACAAAUAUACUAAAAUAGUCACUUUGUCAUUUAUCGUUCUUUUUAUUGAAAGAAUUUAGAAUCGAUAGAGAUAAAAAGCAUCAUAAUUAAGAAAAUUAGCUAAUCUAUUACUAUAUACUAAAGUCCGUGGAGGUAGGUUACUAUACUGCCACGUGUCGUCGGGCUACUUUCGGUGCACCUGGUGCACCAUGUGUUAGAAAAUUGCGUGCGAAUAAGCGUAGCGGAAAAAAAAAAUAAAACAAAUUUGGUUUUUAAAACUCAAGAUCCGAUCUCAAAAACUACGUAAUUAGGAUCCCUUAUGUUUUUUAAGAUUAAAAGAGAAAAGAAAGAUCCAAUAUUAACCUUUGCGCUGGUAGAUCUUCACCACAAUUUGAUGAUCGUGAAAUUAGGUUUUCUUGAAGCCGCAUACACUUCUGGCCUCUAUAGGUAUACACACGAGAUUGAUGAUUUGAUCGAUGUCCUUACCGGAAUGCUAGCUCAUUUUCAAAGAGCGUCUUUUUUGCUAGACGAAAAGAGAUAAAGAAAGAGAGAGGAAGAGAGAUGACGGCUAAAAUUUUCGAAAAACUCCCGUAUAUUAAAUAGAGAGAUAUAAUCCUCUUUUAAUAAUAUAAUAAUCAUUAAGGAUAAGAACAAAUUUAGAUUUAAAUUUAUUUUUUGUUUAAUUGGUUAGAUCGAUCAAAUCCUAAUUUGAUUAGAUUUGAACUUUAUCCUAAUUUGAUCAUAUCAAAUUAAUAAUGCAAUAUUUGCACAUAAGUCAUCUCAUAAUUUACUAACCGUUAGUAAGUCCUCUCUUGUAACAUUUAUACUUUGAUACCACUAAUUUGUAACAAUUACAAAUUAGUCCAAUUAUCAAUAUAUUAACAAUUAGGUCCUUUCGACGAUUCAAAAAUCAUUAUCUAGCUAUCCGAUCAGUCAUAAUUUCUUAUGUGUGUGACUCCAUAGGUUCGAUUCUAUUGGGUAGUUAGAUAUAAUUUGAUCACUAUCAACAAUAUCACUAAAACUCCUUUCAGUGGAUCAGAAAAAUUCCAACUCAGCCCAAUGAAAAUUAUAAAUUAUCUAGAUAAUUCUUAUGAGUCUCACAAUCCACCAGUGACACCUAACAGCAUAUAGUGGCAUCCAAUAGAAUGGAAUAUUGAACUACUUGGUGCAGUUAUCGUGUGAUACAACACUUCUAUCAUGAGUCCCGACUAGAUGGAGAUCAUAGAAUAACUCGUCAAACUCCAUCGUCUGUCAUGUGUCAAAUUUAUUCGAAUCGAGUUUCUUAUAUCGAAAACCCUUUUCCGCUAUUAACUUUGUCUUGGCCAAGGUCUUCUAAACUUGGUCUCAUAAAUCAUAUAGGACUAACGCCUCUACCUAUUAAAGGAGAUAGAUUCUAUAUAAGUGCACACCCUAUUCCUAUAAUGAACCUAGUGCAGCCAACAUGUACCGCAAGGAUCCGAAUGGCUAGGGACCAAGUGUAUGUAUAGUCAAACUACAGUAACCUUAUUGUGAAUAGCCGAGGCACUGCAGGUCAAAGGAUCAGUCACACUAUUGCAAUAUUAAGUAAGUCACUGACGAGUGAGUAAACAUAUAAGUGAUUUCUCACGUUGGUCACACUCGGUACCCUUGUUCUAUAACAACCACCUGCAUUUUUGCUCAGUGUUCCUACACUGUUGACUUGAGACUCGUCUGUCGAAAAUGAAAAACGACAUAUGCACCAAUCUCACCGGAUCAAUCACCAUUUCCGUGAUGAUCCAUCGAUCGGGAGCAUUUAGGAAUUAACCACCAAUGUCUCAAAUUCUCAACUCUUGAGAAUACAUGUCAUCAUCUUAUUAAUUUCCUGAACGAUUCAUGGAUACAUACAUCUCCAAAUUUAUUCAUAAUAUUUUUGUCACGCCCCAGAUUCCUCGUUUUUCCUGGUACGCUAACAGACCCGCCGUGUACAAAAUUUUUUUUCCUAUAUACAAAGCGAAGCUGUACAUGUACUUGCAAUCAUACAAUACUACAACCAGUAGUAUAGAGCUGCUAGAAAGGAACAAAANCUAAUCAUAAAUUUAGAAUUUUCUUUAAGUGAUCUAUAAGGUGAUAAGAUGAAUAGUUUAAACUUAACUCAAAGUUUCUCAUUCUAAUCAUAAGCAUAAUAUUAAUCAAUUAAGAAUGGAGAGAGUGAGUUUGUCUAUUUGACAAAAGAAGCAGAAACAGCUUCAAGAGGUGAAGCUUGGUGCCAGAAUAUUGCCCAUCUUGAAUCCUUUUUGAAGAUAGAGAGAUCUAAAACACAAGACUCAAGAUAAAAAGAUUAGUCCAAUAAUCGUGAUUAUUUGUUAUCAUCAAAAUCUAAUAGACGAUUAGGGCCACUAGGCCAACAGGCAAGACAUACCAUACAAAUCACGGCUUCGGCUGCUGCUCCCUUUCCAUCACACCUUAACACCUUUCCAUCUUAUUUAUUUAUUUAAAUUUUCUCGUUUUUCCGUCCGUUCAUUUUUCGGGAAAACACCAGGAACUGUGAGCACACUCAUCCCACCUGUCGAAACUAUACAGCUACCUCCACACUGAACAGUUCGUGGAGAGCAAGUCCAACCAGGACACAACGACACCAACACAAACGCACAAAGCCCUACUCCGGAGUGGCACUCGUGGGCGCUACCCAACUGAGUAUGCAAGCGUAUCUCUGUCGAGCUCAAUCAGGCUCUCAUAGGCUAAGAUCCAAGUAAACAGGAUCUAACUGGUCUAACAACCAAACUCACGUGCCCUAGGCACAAUCUGAUGCAAAAACAGCAAUCUGGGUCCAACGUCAACCUCAACGGCACCCGACAGUCCGAACAACCUAAACACUGCUGUAAAAAUGAGCUAGGUAUCCCAGCAUGAUCGUAAUUAUAUUCUACACUAUCCUAGGUAUCCACCGCCCACAAACUGCGGUGAUACAAUUAAACUACGGCUUCUAGAGCUAAAUCUGGUAGUUUAAGCAUAUGACGGUGUAGAAUCGCUGGUUUUCUCCUAAGUCAUAUCCAAGUCCAACAUGUAUAUAUAUAUAGCUAACAUACUAGGCUCCAAUUCAGAUUUUAAUCAUGCUAAAUCAAUGAAUCGAGCAACUACAAUAUGCUAAACAAAACGACGAAUACAUGUCGACUAUUUCAACUUAGAAGGAAAUCCGCAGAAUUCGGUAAGCAUCAUAUUUAACCCACCUCUCGCGCAACUCCACGGCAGCAAAAAGGUCACGAAUAUGCUUGGAUCCUCAGCCGAACACACUCUCAACCAGCAACAAACCACUUCAAAGAUCUAAACACCAAAAAUCACCAAAAUCCAUCAAUCUACUAAAAUUCAGCACUUAAGCUUAAUUUUCUCACAACUCUAUGUCAAAACUCACCUAACAAUCUUCAAUUCAAGUGAGGAAGGUUCCAAAUCCAGUAGACUAUGAUGGAGAAUCACCCUCUGAUCCAAAAACCCAGCUUCCUCCAAAGAUUGCAUCAAGAACACCAAAACAACUCAAAUCAGCCCAAAACCACCAGCAGCAGAGUAAAACUCAAAAUCAACCAACCUAACCUCAACCAAAAUCUGUCAAAAUAGGCUCCACGAAUUCCUCUUGAAGUCCUGAAUCCACCAAACCAACUUUCAUGGAAAACGGAGCUUCCUACGUUGCACACGAGCCAAAAUGCCGGAGGUCGCUGCUGGAAUUCUGCUGAAACUACAGUCCUCAAGUUUCAAUUUGUGGAAUUUGGAGAAAUUGGAGUAAUUUGAGGAGUUUGGAUGCAAUCUAAGCCUUCACUGUGAAGAGAGGAUGAAAAGAGUUCAUUGGGGUCGAACUCCAGCUAUUUAUAGUGAGCUGGAAGGAUAAAAUAAGCCCCAUGAACAAACACUACAAACCUGCUACACCUGCAGGAAUGCGCACUUUCGGGCGCCCAAAACCCCUUUCUAGGUGUCCGAAACCGCCAGGCUACACCAAUCCUCUUCGUCGGUUUCUCCGCCUACGGUCUGCUGCGCCCAUAUCCUGGUCCGGCGGACCUCACCUACCACCAACCACGCGUCAGCUCAAACGAUAUUCACGAGGUGAACUUUCGAACCCACAACCGGGCGCCUGAAACCAAGAUCCGAAUUGGCUUCCAGUUCAGUUCAAACCAGCACUCAAGUUCUGGGCGACCCAAAUCCAGUUCUGGGCGCCCGAAUCUGGCAAAACUCCAGUUUUGCUUAUUUGAGUGCGCCAAGUCCAUUUCUGCAUCCAUUUCGUGCAGAAAUGACUCCGACUCAGUCCGACACUCUCCAGAUAUAUCGACCAGUCACUAGUACUAUAGCCAAUCCUAUCCAAACCUCAGAAACACUACAUCCGCUUCAUGAAAAUCAGUGACCCAGCCUCGCGUUGCAAGUUCCAGCCUCGUUCUAUGUGUCGACACUUGGAAUCGGGGCCUUCCUUUAAUUAAAGAAAUAAAUUAAUUAAUUGCAUAUUUUUUUGUAAACUUAAAUAACAUGACUAAAUAAUAUAACCGUGCGAACCAAACGCAGGAAUGACACAUUCUUAGUAAUAGGAUGAAUAGGAAUAAGAUUCUCGGACAUCUUUUUAUUGCUAGUAAUAUUUCAUAGUGCGAACCAAACGCACCCUUAGAUAUAUACAUACCCUUAGAGAAAUUUUUCCUCCAAACAAGUCAUAAUCAUUCUUCGUAUUUAAUUAUCAAUAUAACGCAGCGAAUUCAACACGGAUAGCAGCUUAUUUAAAGAAUGAUUGAUCACACUGAGGUUUGAUGUUGAUGAAGAAUUAAAAGAUAGAUCAAGAAGAUGACGAGGAAAUAAAUUAAUGUGCGCUUAAUUUUAUGCACCCAAAUUGUAUACAAAUAGAGGAUAUUGGAUAUUUGUGUAGCAUUUUUACAUCGUAAUUACCUUGAAACAGGCAAGCUUUUCUUUCUUAUCAAAGACGAGAACUCGAUCGGAAUAAAUCAGUAAUUCCAAUGCUGUGUGGUGAAAGAAAGGAAAAGCUAAAUUAUAAAUGAGUAUUGCUAUUCUCGCGGAUUCACCAAAUUUAGAUUUUCCCUUUACAAAUAUCUCUCCCUGUGCUAAAAGUUUGCAUCUUAAUUACUUAUAUAUACUAAAAAUUGCACUAAUUUUCAUCGUGUACUUAAUUUGCUACUAUUUUAGUAAGCCCUAAAAAUUCAGGUUGAUUAUUGAGUUAAGGCGUACAUUUGAAUUAAAAUACGUUUGCAAAUAAUUCUAGUUAUAUUUAAUAAAGUCAGUCACGUAAAUCGAAUAAAAUUAUUCAAUAAUCUAUCAAUUAUAAUAAUUUUAAUAAAAUAGGAGAUAUUUUUCUUUAAGUUUAGAUUUUUUAUUUAAGCUACAAAUGAGAUCAAUGUUGACAUGUGGAAUGAUAUAAUAUUACAAUUGAUUUGAGCAAAUUCUUUUUUUUUUUUUUUUUUGAAAAAAAGGUAGCACGCUACCCGCUUCAUUCAUUGAAAAAGUGAACUCGACUACAUGAGUGAGGCAACAAGGGCCUAAAAAAAAAAAAAAAAAAAAACGCUAAGUAGAUAGGAGAUUUCAAAACUUCGCCAAUUGCUUGGCCGUGUGGACAGCUACCAAUGGGUCCGGCUGAAUUUUACGAAAAACCAAAUCAUUCCUAACUUUCCAAAUGCUCCACCAGCAGGAUAGUAUAUUAGAAAUUCUAUGGCACGCAGUCUGUCCUCCUACCCCACUUUUCCAUCUAUCCAAUACUGAGAUAACAUCGUCACCCAAAUCCCUAGUCUGGGCGUCCUUCCUACCCAUUACUAAGGUGAAUUUGGUGAAAACACACUAUGCAAACAAGUGAUCCAUAGUUUCCCCUUCCGUCCUACACAACACACAAGCUGUGUCUCCUAUCCACCCUCUCUUUACUAGGUUGUUUGCAGUAAGGGGCCUCUUCCUGAUAACCAGCCAGCAGAACACUUUAACUUUUAGCGGUACUCGAAUACUCCAAAUCAGAUUUGCACGUGGAUCUCGCAAACCCCCGUCAGAUAGCGCUGCACAAACCGAUUUGACAGUAAAUCGCCCAUCUGAGUUCCAUCUCCAGAGAAUUUUGUCUGGUCCAUGCUCAACUUUGAGACAGGACACCCUAUCCUUGAACUCAAUUAGGCUAGAACUCAGCCCUUGCGAGAUUCCAGCCUCGUCACCUAAAAUCCUAUUCCAAUGUAAUAUACUGAACUUAAGCAAAUUGCGAAGUUCGAGUGUGUGGAAUGAUAUUUGGAGCUAUCAUACAUUUUCUAAAGGGUUUAGAGAAGAUAUUGGACAAGUUUGAGAGUGAUUGGAAGGCCAGAAGCAAGAAAGUGCAUUGUUCUCGCGAAAUUCAGUAUUUUCUGCAUUGUGUACCGGUACAACCAUCAUUGUGUACCGGUACACAAUGGCAGAUACGUGGCAGCAAGGCUAAUUCGGUAAUUUCACUUCUUAUACCUAUCCUUAUCACCCCAGCAUGACUUCUUCAGCUUUGUGGAUGAUGCUGGAGCUCUGAGAAGUGGUCUUGCACCUCCCUCCUUCUCUCUCUUUAGGGUUUCUCUCUCUUCGAGUGGAAAUCGCCGAUUUGCGCCUAUUUCUUGCCGUUCUUCGCGCUAGCUAGUUUGCGGGCCUUGGAGCAACUGCGGGUGGGUGGAAAGGACUCGCAGGGGAGGUAUUUUCGCAGCUCCAAUUCACAGGAAAGCUGAGUUGAAGUCUAGUGAGGUAAACUAAUUAGUUUCUCUCUAGUUUGAGAUUAGUGAUAGUUUUUUAUGUUGGUUCUUGAUUCUUGCUAUCAGCUGGAUUAAGAUGGUUUAAAGCAGCAAUUGAGGAGUGGCUUUGCUGUAAUUCUUCACCCCAAAGUCAGAUUUAAAGCCAUAGAGGUAAUUAAUGAGCUUUUUCUCUAUUUCGAUGAUGAAAAUGACGAUAUUGGUGAAGUAGUAAUGCAGUUUUCGAAUUUUAUUCACAGUAGGUUUCUGAAUCUAUUGGAGCGGAAUUUGUGACCUUGGGGGCUGGUUUAGAAGGUGUUUCAACCAAGGGUAAGCAGAAUUUUCAGUUAGAAAACUGAUUUCGCAAGAUUCCGGCUAUAUUAGCUAGUAUAUGAGCGUUUUGAUGCCGUUUAAUGUUUGUUCGCAGCGAGAGUGCAAUCGACCCUUGGAUCGUCUUCAGCUGACUUGUGAGAGCUUUUGGAGGUUGAACUUGAGGUAUUAAAGUGAACCAAAACAGGGAUUUAAGUUACUACUUUGUAUUAAGUGAGAAUUAUGCCGAAAUUGGAUAUUUUGGUCAUAGUUUCAAUGCGAUUUUGAUAACUAGUUUUCAGCAGACUUGAGACCCAGUUGAGCUGAUUUUCGGGACUCACUUGGGCUGGUUCGAGCUUAGUACUAAUUAAGUACUUUCACCUAGAUUGAAGAGUAGAUUCGACUGUUCUCUCAAUCUAGGUAAGAUAUUGCUUCGCUUUCGAUAUUUGGACGAAGUGUGGUUCGAGACGUUUUAAUUCAGCUUUUAGCUGAUUUUGAAUUGUUUAUAGGGGACUUGAAGGCAUCGGAUUUACCACGAGUGUGAAUUCUCCGACAAGGGUUGUCGACUUAUAGGUAGGUUUGACCUAACCAAAGCAAGUGAAGCUCCUCUAUGUUCUAUAUGAUACUAUAGAAUUGACACAUAUGUGCGUUUUUGUGAUUAUGUGAUUAUGCGAUCAUGCGAUCGAUAAAGCACUUGGAACAUAUCACCAUAGUGUUUGAUAUAUUUGAAAUAAAAUCUCUAGGAAGUAGAGAACACUAAUGCAUAAAAGUAUUUAUGUUUAUGUUUAGUUCAAUUGAAUAACUAGUGGACAUAUCUAUUAUGCUUCUAUAAAGUAGAGAAUAAUGACAUUCCUUGUGACUAUUUUGAUAGUACCUUAAUAGUAGAAAGUUUCUAAUGUCAUAUGUAAAUUAGCAUUACUUUCAUGUGCUUAUUAAUCUAGUGGAUACUAGCUAUUGUCAUUGUUCAUUGUAUUGAGAAUUCUGAUCAAUAGAUCGAGAGUGAGAACAUUGCAUACUAUGACGUGAGGUUUGAGACAUCUUGGACUAUGGACUUUGCUUGCUUGCCAUUGUGCUCAUUCGCACACGCUUGUGAGGGUAGCUCCCUACAAGCCGGCACUCCGGAGUUGGCCUAUGCGACAGAUUGCUUGCCCGUGUGGGAUUGGGUGCCGAAGUGGAUUGCCGUGGGGAGUGUAUACUACCACGGGGCCAUUAGGCGCGGCGCAAGCUGGACUACCUUGUGUAGGUCCUUAUGAAUGGAAUCAAAGUUCUAAAUGACAGAUGAUUGUAAGGAUUGAUUACCAGUUAUAGUGUAUAGUAUUUACUUACACGUUUAUGCUUAUGUUCAUGUUUAUGUUCAUGCUUACAGUAAUUGCUAUGCUUUAUUAUUCAGUUGAUUCAUUACUGUAGAAAGUAUGAUUACAUGUUGAUUACAUGUUCAUUACCUGUUAGCAUUGUAAAUAUAUCAUGCAAUUACUCCUUUUAUUUUCAUUUAGUAUAUCAUGAGCCUAGUGGUGUAAUUCGCCGAGGCUGGCGGCUUACCCACUGGGAACUAUUGUUUAAUAGUUCUCACGCCCUUUUUAUUGUUGCUUUUACAGAGCCACCUACAGGAGAGGCUAGGGAUCACGGCAAGGGAAUCGCGUCUAGCUAGACCUAGCUUGCGGUUUUACUAGGUGAUCACCUUGCUACUCAUGCCACGGCCGAGGGUGAUGUACCCGUGUAUAGAGAGACUAUCAUUGUAUAUGUAUUUUGAGUAGCCCUGUGAUGUAUGUGAUUAGUUGACUCGAGGAUUAUAGUUUGAUACUUCUCUAUGAUGUUGAGAUUUUGGGUUGAAUACUCUUUGUUUUUCUGUUGAUAGUAUUAUCGACUUAUACUUUGCUCUGAUAUCAGGAUAGGAUUCUUCUAUGUUUUCCUCCUAUCGACAUGUGCUUUUUGUAGACGCCUUAUAUACUGCAGGUGUACGGCGGGUCUGUGCACGUGCCGGAUAUGCUUCCGCUGGUACCCGGGCGUGACAGACUAUAGUGGUAUCAGAGCCUAGGGUGGAGUCUUAGUGGACCUAGCAAACCUUAGGCUGGUUGGACGAUAAGAAUAGGCUCGUGAGAGACGAGGUCUAGUCAAGUUUUUAGCGAAAGUACUUUGAUUGGGUAACUUAUAAACUCCGAAUGGUAGGAGUUUGAUCGGAAUGUACAAUUACUAACUUUGCAGCGGGCCACAUUGGCGGCCGACAACGUGACAUCGGAAGUUUGUAUAUGUUACAUUUCAUUACUUUCGCUUGAUUGGGUGGUCUAUGUCAGAAGUGGGGGUUCCAUAGUAUAAGUUUUAUUAAUCCAUGUUUGUUUAUGCUGCAGCUUAAGAUGCCUUCGACUCGUUCGAAGACCGCCGGGGCGGCUGAGGCGGCUGAUGUGGAGGAAGUGGAGACCUCCGUUACCUCCGAGUUCAGUGGAGUCCGUGAGUUGCAGGAUCAGCUUGCGAUGCUGACAGACUUGGUGACUCAGCAGGCUGCGGCAGCACGACAACAGAUAGAUGCUGCGCGCCGACAGGAUGAAAGAAUGAAGCGGUUAGAGGAUUUAUUACUGCAGCAGACGACUGAUAAAGAGAUUCCUGAUCCCAUGCUGACAGUACCAGAUAGGGAUACGACAGUAAGAGCACAGUCACCAGUGCCAGAUACCUCACCAGUAGCUCCGAGGGCAGAGACACGACAGGAGGUAGUGGUACCACCACCCGUGCAUGUGGCUACGACAGGGACAGUGUUGCCUGAGAUGGUGGGGGCUGAGGAGCGAGAGCGGAUGAUGGAACAACUGAAUGAAUUCCGUCGUUGCAACCCUCGUAUCUUUGACAGGGAAAAAGCAGAUCAUUGGAUGGUCGAGAAAUGGCUGAUGCACAUGAAGAUGCUAUUCUAUGAUACUUUUGUUGAGGAGCGAUACCGGGUUUGGUUUGCGACACACCAUCUUGAUGGCGAGGCUUACAAGUGGUGGCUUGAUAUUCGUGAAGACCGUUGUGUGGACUUGUCAUCGAUCACUUAGAAAAGGUUCAAGGAAUUAUUGUUGACAACUUAUUUCCUGCAAAGUGUAAAGAGGCAGAUGGAAAGGGAUCUGAGAAAUCUGAGGCAGGGGGAUAGAACAGUAGUGGAGUCUGAGCGAGAGUUUUCUCGACUGUUACAUUGUGUUCCUUUUGUGGUCCGAGACGAUGAGGACAAGGCCCGUAUUUUCGAGGUGGGUUUGCGGCCUACGAUUUUCAGGUUGGUCCAGACGUCAAACCUUUCUACUUACAGGGAGGUGGUGAAUCGGGCAUUGAUUGUGGAGAAAGGGGCAGAAAUUAUGAAGGAAAGAGAAGUUGUGGACCGAAGCAAAGGAAAGAGACCAGUGGCUGAGAGUAGCGGUCAGCAAUCCUUCAGGAGACCGCCGAAGUAUCCGAGAGGGCAGUCGGGCUAGUCGAGGGGUCGAGUUUCUUCAGCACCCCGUGGAGUACUCGAGCAUCGUCGACAGCCACGUUGUGUCAUUUGUGGUGGGCCUCAUUUUCCCCCACAGUGUCCACAACGUGGGGACAAGUGUUUUAUCUGCAGCCAGGAGGGCUAUUUUCGCUCAGAGUGUCCGAGAGGUUCUUCGCCUGCCCCAUCAUCAGCAUCUGCACCUGCAUCUUCAGCUCUAAGUCAGGGGACCCCGACAGCACCGUAUCAGUUUAGACGACCACCGGGACAGCGGCAGUCUGAGAGUUCUCGGCAGGGUUCGAGUGGACGUAUGUAUGCCUCCUAGACUGAGGAGGCGGCAGCAGCAGAGGAGGUCGUGGCAGGUAUUAUUAUGAUUUAUGAUGUUCGUGUUCGUGCAUUAUUUGAUACUGGUGCUUCGCAUUCUUUUAUUGAUCGGCAGUUCACCGAGUUGCAUAGCAUUCAAUUAGUACCUACUUUGCAUCCGGGACGAGUGAUCGUGCCCAACCAUACCCUAGAUGUUCAUAAGUUCUGCCCUCGCUGCCCCGUUCGGGUAGGCGACUAGAUUAUGCCAGUGGAUUUGCUAGCACUACACAAACUAGGUGAGUUUGAUGUAGUAUUGGGUAUGGAUUGGUUGACACAGUAUUAUGCUACCAUUGACUGCACGAACAGAACGGUGACCUUUAGGGAAUCGGGUCAGCCUAAGGGGUGUCAGAGUUCACUAUUCACAAUGACUAUUAGCUCUUCGCGAGCACGACAGUUGAUACGGAGGGGUUGUGUAGCCUAUUUGGCUAGUAUUUCUGUGAGUGACGGAGAAGUCGCCAGGAUUGAUGAUAACUCAGUUGUGCGGGAGUUUGGGGAUGUGUUUCCAGCUGAGUUGCUCGGCAUGCCACCUAAUAGGAAAGUUGAGUUUGUGAUAGACCUUGUCCAUGGGAUUACCCCAAUCUCAAAAGCACCCUAUAGGAUGGCACCUGCCGAAUUGAAAGAGCUGAAGGCACAGUUGCAAGAUCUCUUAGAUAAAGGCUUCAUUCGACCGAGUGUGUCACCUUGGUGAGCACCGGUGUUGUUUGUUAAAAAGAAAGAUGGAUCUCUUCGAUUGUGUGUGGAUUACCGAGAAAUCAACAAAGUCACAAUCAAGAAUAAAUAUCCAUUACCCAGAAUUGAUGAUUUAUUCGAUCAGCUGCAAGGAUCGAAAGUGUAUUCUAAGAUUGAUUUGCAAUCAGGUUAUCAUCAGCUUAAGAUCAAGCCUGAAGAUGUUUCCAAGACCGCUUUUAGGACACGAUAUGGGCAUUAUGAAUUUACAGUUAUGCCAUUUGGACUGACAAAUGCCCCAGCAGCCUUUAUGGAUUUAAUGAACCAUGUCUUCAAGCCAUAUUUGGACAGGUUUAUGGUCGUAUUCAUCGACGAUAUCUUGAUCUAUUCUCGAAGUGACGAGAAGCAUGAAAACCAUUUAAGAGUGGUGUUGCAAGUACUUCGAGAAAAGAAACUGUUUGCAAAGUUAAAGAAAUGUGAAUUUUGGCUUCGGGAAGUGGCAUUUUUUGGACAUGUAAUUUCAGAAGCCGGGAUAGCUGUGGAUCCAAAGAAGAUUGAAGCGAUUAAAGAUUGGCCUAGGCCGACCAAUGUUACAGAGAUUCGGAGUUUUCUUGGUUUGGCGGGAUACUACCGAAGAUUUGUAGAAGGGUUUCCGAAGAUGUCUACUCAUCUCACUCGACUCACACAUAAAGGAGCUAAGUUUCUGUGGAAUGAGGUCUGUGAAAGAAGCUUUCAGGAACUGAAAGAAUGGCUGACCACCGCCCCUAUUCUGGCAUUACCUGUUACUGGAGUGGAUUAUGUGAUUUACAGCGAUGCGUCACUGAAUGGAUUGGGGUAUGUUCUAAUGCAGAAUGGCAGAGUAAUUGCUUAUGCAUCUUGCCAAUUAAAGAAUUAUGAAAAGAACUACCCUACACAUGAUCUAGAAUUGGCCGCUGUAGUUUUUGCUCUAAAGCUUUGGCGCCACUACCUCUACGGCGAGCGUUGCGAGGUUUAUACAGAUCAUAAAAGCUUAAAGUAUCUGUUUACUCAGAAGGAAUUAAACUUGAGACAACGCAGAUGGUUGGAGUUGCUCAAAGAUUAUGAUUUGACUAUUCUAUAUCAUCUAGAAAAAGCUAAUGUUGUAGCAGAUGCUGUAAGUCGAAAAUCGACGGAAAAUUUGGCAAUGUCGAUAACUAUGCAACCACUUUUGAUAAAGGAAAUGGAACAGUUGAAUUUGGAAGUUGUAGCUCCUGAUACGCCUGGGCGACUUAUGUCAUUAGUGGUGCAACCUACCCUGGUCGAUCGAAUUAAAGAAAAGCAAGUUCAAGAUGAAUUUUUGCAACGGAUUCGAGCAAAGAUCACUGUUGAUCAUAUUGGUGACUUUCAAGUGGAUGACCAGGGGUUAUUAAGAUUCUGCAAUCGACUUCGUGUAUCAGCAGACUCAGAUAUUAAAGAAGAAAUUUUAAAAAAAACAUUUCGGGCGCCGUAUACUUUGCAUUUUGGAAGUACGAAAAUGUAUAAAGAUUUGAAGUUGACUUACUGAUGGUCUGGAAUGAAAAAGGAAGUCGCAGAUUUUGUGGCUAAAUGCUUAACCUGUCAGCAGGUUAAAGCUGAACAUCGACUUCCUGCAGGAAAACUUCAGAGCUUACCCAUAUCAAUGUGGAAGUGGGAGAGGAUUACUAUGGAUUUUAUUGUUGGAUUACCUCGCUCACAGGCAGGUCAUGAUGCGAUUUGGGUAAUUGUGGAUAGAUUGACCAAAUCUGCUCACUUUAUUCCGAUCCAUACAGUUUGGUCGGGAGAGAGACUCGCACAAGUAUACCUUGAUGAAAUUGUGCGAUUACACGGAGUACCUGCCUCUAUUGUUUCAGACCGCGACACCCGAUUCGUAUCACAUUUUUGGAGGAGUUUACAGGAGGCCCUGGAUACUCGAUUAGAUUUUAGUACUGCUUUGUAACGUACCGAAACCUCGGUAAACUAUAUUUGGACUUUAGCCAAAUGAACUAAAGUACGUGAACGAAAUGGUUGGCCAAGUUCCAAUUGACAUCCCAACCAUGUUAGAAGGGUUAAAAAUGAGUUCUAAAAGAGUUAGAAUGGUGUUAGCGUUGUUCGGUGCGAAAUAGAAUAGAAAACGAACUAAAACUGCACUCUGGAGCAUUGUGUACCGAUACAGGUUGAUGGCUGUACCGGUACAGCAAGCGACCCGAGGUAAAGGCUGCUCUCGGGUUGGCCUCCGCGAAGUCGUGUUACCGGUGACACCAGCCUGCGUACCGGUACACAGUGUCCCCGACAGCACAAUGAAGUCUGCUGCAAAUGUGAUUGUUUGGGGAGUUUAUUUGCAAUUGUUGCAACAUGUAAAAUAACCCAAACACCCUCUCUCUCCCUCUCGUGUCCAUCUCUCUCUCUCCCAACCGUGAGAAGGAAAAGAGAAAGAAAAGAGAAGAAAAAGAGAAGGAAAAAGAGAAAGGAAAAGGAGAAGGAGCUCAAGAGGAGGAAGAUCACCUUCAUCUUCUUCUUCCUCGUGCUUGGAGCAAGCUAGUGAGGUAAGUCCCUUGCCUCCUCUCAUGGUAGGAUCAAGGUUAGGGUCGGGUUUAAAACCCUAGAUCUAGAGAUUUGAUCUCUUUACAAGCUUUAGAACCAUGUAGAGGCCGAAGAACACAUGAAAUCCAUGGUUUCUUCGUAGUGCUCUAAUGGUGGAUUUCUAGGGUUUAUUCCAAAUGCCCUAGAAAUGGUUCAAAUGGUUUGAAAAUGGGAUUAGAGAGCUUCUCGGGUGGUUCUAAGCUUAAUUAUGCUUAGAUAUGAGAUCAAUCCCCAGAAAUUUGAUUAUGGCAUUGUUAGAUCACCAAAUUUGAGGCUUUUGCCUCCGGAUGUUUUCGAGGUAAAUUGACCACGUGGAAACCUAAUUGGGGACCUAACGAACGCGUUGGCGAAGUCAGUUUGACCAUUCGUCAAGUGUACGCGAAGUUAUUGACAAAAUAGUGUUUUGUCGUACAGAUGGCCGCAGCACGCGGAAUAAAGGUCUAAAAAUCAUGAGAUCGGAACCGGAGCACCUUGGAGUCAAGGAAUAAAUUUCGGAAAAGACGGAUCGCGGUUCGGAGGUCGUUUGGAAGUCGUGCAAGAGUUCGGGCCAAACCGGGCAAAGGUUGCCGCGGGAGGCCGAUUGCAAGUGACAACAAGCAAUCGGAGCGCAAGUCAAGGUGGGUUGUGUUUACCGAAAUGACUAGGUCGCCCUUAUGUCUAAGAAAUAGUAAGAAUCCCUAUUGAUGCAUAUAAGUGUAAAUGAGGCAUGUGGAUAAUGUAUGUAGUCAAUGCUAGUUCAUGCAUGUUGAUAGUAUAAUGCAAAAUGCUAAGUAUUGCAUGAGAAUAACGCUAUGAUGUAAAUGCUAAAGUAAAUGCAUGAUUAGCAUUGUGAGACUAUAUGUUUGUGAACUUGUUUGAUAACUCUAGGAUGAGUAGAGAACUCAAAAAUGGAAACGGUAAUGUAGAACACCUAAUUGGACAUAAAUGCACCUAUAGAUCGAGUGGCAUCGAACCUAGAGUCAAGAACAUAGGUUGAACAAAUACGGCAAGAACCUAAUGUUGGUAAAUAUAGGUUGGACAAGAGAAACAAUAAACCUAGUGUCGAUGAACAUUAGGUUAAAUAAGAAUGGCAUUAAACCUAAUGUUAGAGAACAUAGGUUGUGAGAUGAAGAUAAUGAACCUAGAAUCACAUGAACCUAGGUGAGCAAAGGUAAUGAACCUAGAGUUAAUAACCUAGGCUAUGAGUAUGGUAAUAAUGAACCUAAAGUAUUAACUUAGGUUGAGUAAAGGCUUGGACCUAGAUAGGUCAACUCCUUAGGGUUAAGACUAACCCUCGAGUUGUGUGAAAUGGAUUCCGGAAUUCCAAAGCUAAAAGAAUGCGCCGAGAGUGGCAAAAGGAUACACCCAAAGUGGUGUUGGGUGUGUGCGACGAUUUCGCCGCCCAGGGCUAACCAUUGUCGUGGCGUGUGCGACGAUUUCGCCGCCGGAUGGUUGAGCCAGUUGAGGAUUGUACCGCCGGUUGACUUGAACCACUGUCGUGGCGUUUGUGCGACGAUUUCGCCGCAGGGUGGUUAAGUCAUGACCUAGGCCGUUGUUGGGUGAGGUGCGAUUCGUUCGCCGCCAGACGACUAGAGCAGGAGGGCGGGGGGCUGAUGAGCAGCCAGAGCGCGGAUUAUCCGCAGUUGAUUGACUCAAGACCGAGUCGGGUGGCAUAGAUGACUAAGGUAGAGAUAACCUUAGAUAUGAGUUGCCAAUGACUAUGGCAAAGAAUAAGAAUGGCUAGCAAUAAUUAAGAAUAUUAACGAAUAAAGAAUCGCCAAUGGGUGUAGUGUAAAGAAUGAUAAUGAAUAAAGAGUAAAGAAUGAAAGAGCAGGGUAGGAUUAAUUACCCCACUGGGCUAGUUUCAUGAUCGUUGCAUAUUGCAUUUCGGGAGGCAGGACAUCUUAGUUCAAUAUCUGCUAUAUAUCUGUUAUAUGUUAUUGGACUAACUUGUUGCAGGGCCUCAUUAGACAUAUCGAUCGAGCUUUUUCCUUGGGUGGUCGUACCCACUGGGAACCAUGGAGUUGGUUCUCACCCCAUGUUGUUUUGGGGUGUUUGCAGGUACACGCGUGAGCGGCGCUGCGGCGCGAGGCAAGGGCGUAGCUCCGUAGAUAGCGCCCUACCCCAGAGACUGAGGUAGCAGUACCCGAGUCGGUGGUCUAGCUUGGGAAGUUUAAAGACAAGAACAAACUUAGAUCAAGUUGUAAUAAUUGGGAUUGUAUUUGGAAGAUGAGUGUAAAAGAAGAUUAUGUGAAAAAAUGUAUGUAUGUUGAAUGUUGUAAUAACUUAGUAGUAUUAUAUUUUUGAUACUUCCUUAUGCAAUCUAUGAAUGAAUACUGUUCCUGGUUGGAACCUCUUGUAUUGUGUUGAUUGCAAUGCCUUGGACGUACAGGGGAGACUCUGUCCGUUCGGCGGUCUGUUAACGUGGCCGAACUCGACCAAAUAGGCGGGGCGCGGGGCGUGACAGCUUUCCACCCCCAGAGUGACGGGCAAUCUGAGCGUACCAUCCAGACCCUUGAGGAUAUGUUGCGGGCCUGUGUGAUUGAUUUUCAGGGCAAUUGGCCACAGUUCCUACCUAUGGCGGAAUUUGCUUAUAACAAUAGUUAUCAAGCAAGUAUUCAAAUGGCACCGUUUGAAGCUCUUUAUGAUAGGAAGUGUAGAUCACCACUUCAUUAGAGUGAAGUAGGUGAGAGAUUAGUCUUGGGUCCAGAUGUGCUACAGGAGGCUGAAGCUAAAGUUCGACUUGCACGAGAACGUCUACUGACAGCUCAAAGUCGACAAAAGAGCUACGCGGAUAAACGUCGGCGAGAAUUGGAAUUCCAAGUUGGAGACCAUGUGUUCUUAAAGAUUUUCCCAACAAAAGGAGUUAAGAGAUUUGGUAUUCGAGGGAAGCUGAGUCCUUGAUUUAUUGGAUCCUACGAGGUUUUGGAACGGAUAGGGCCGGUAGCGUAUCGGCUUGCGUUGCCGCCGAACCUAUCAGGAGUGCAUAAUGUGUUUCAUGUAUCUACACUGCGAAAAUAUGUUUUUGAUCCGACCCAUAUAUUGGAAAGUAUUCCAGUAGAAUUGCGAGAAGAUUUGAGUUUUGAGGAACAUCCAAUGAAAAUUCUAGCUCGAGAGGUGAAACGGCUUCGAAACCGCGAGAUACCCUACGUGAAGAUCCUUUGGAGCAACCAUGAUGAACGAAAAGCCACGGGGAACUGGAAAGUGCAGUGUUGGAGCACUAUCCCCACCUUUUCCCGAUUGAAUCUUGAGGUAAUUGAUUAAAGUUUCGCGGACGAAACUCCUUUUUAGGAGGGGUGAAUGUAAUACACUGAACUUAAGCAAAUUGCGAAGUUCGAGUGUGUGGAAUGAUAUUUAGAGCUAUCCUACAUUUUUUAAAGAGUUUAGAGAAGAUAUUGGACAAGUUUGAGAGUGAUUGGAAGGCCAGAAGCAAGAAAGUGUAUUGUUCUGGCGAAAUUCAGUAUUUUCUGCCUUGUGUACCGGUACAGCCAUCAUUGUGUACCGGUACACAAUGGCAGAUACGUGGCAGCAAGGCUAAUUUGGUAAUUUUACUUCUUAUACCUACCUUAUCACCCCAGCACGACUCCUUCAGCUUUGUGGAUGAUGUUGGAGCUCUGAUAAGUGGUCUUGCACCUCCCUCCUUCUCUCUCUCUAGGGUUUCUCUCUCUUCGAGUAGAAAUCGCCGAUUUGCGCCUAUUUCUCGCCGUUCUUCGCACUAGCUGGUUUGCGAGCCUUGGAGCAACUGCGGGUGGGUGGAAAGGACUCGCAGGGGAGGUAUUUUCGCAGCUCCGACUCACAGGAAAGCUGAGUUGAAGUCUAGUGAGGUAAAUUAAUUAGUUUUUCUUUCUAGUUUGAGAUUAGUGAUAGUUUUUUAUGUUGGUUCUUGAUUCUUGCUACCAACUGGAUUGAGAUGGUUUAAAGUAGCAAUUGAGGAGUGGUUUUGCUGUAAUUCUUCACCCCAAAGUCAGAUUUAAAGCCUUAGAGGUAAUUAAUGAGCUUUUUCUCUAUUUCGAUGAUGAAAAUGACGAUAUUGGUGAAGUAGUAAUGUAGUUUUGAGAUUUUAUUCAUAGCAGGUUUUCGAAUCUAUUUGAGCUAAAUUUGUGACCUUGGGGGCUGGUUUAGAAGGUGUUUCAACCAGGGGUAAGCAGAAUUUUCAGUUAGAAAACUGAUUUCGCAAGAUUCCGGCUAUAUUAGCUAGUAUACGAGCGUUUUGAUGCCGUUUAAUGUUUGUUCGCAGUGAGAGUGCAAUCGACCCUUGGAUCGUCUUCGGCUGACUUGUGAGAGCUUUUGGAGGUUGAACUUGAGGUACUAAAGUGAACCAAAACAGGGAUUUAAGUUACUACUUUGUAUUAAGUGAGAAUUGUGUCGAAAUUGGACAUUUUGGUCAUAGUUUCAAUGCGAUUUUGAUAACUAGUUUUCAGCAGGAUUGAGGCCCAGUUGAGCUGAUUUUCGGGACUCGCUUGGGCUGGUUCGAGCUUAGUACUAAGUACUUUCACCUAGAUUGAAUAGUAGAUUCGACUGUUCUCUCAAUCUAGGUAAGAUAUUGCUUCGCUUUCGAUAUUUGGACGAAGUGUGGUUCGAGACGUUUUAAUUCAGCUUUUAGCUGAUUUUGAAUUGUUUAUAGGGGACUUGAAGGCAUCGGAUUUACCACGAGUGUGAAUUCUCCGACAAGGGUUGUCGACUUAUAGGUAGGUUUGACCUAACCAAAGCAAGUGAAGCUCCUCUAUGUUCUAUAUGAUACUAUAGAAUUGACACAUAUGUGCGUUUUUGUGAUUAUGUGAUUAUGCGAUCAUGCGAUCGAUAAAGCACUUGGAACAUAUCACCAUAGUGUUUGAUAUAUUUGAAAUAAAAUCUCUAGGAAGUAGAGAACACUAAUGCAUAAAAGUAUUUAUGUUUAUGUUUAGUUCAAUUGAAUAACUAGUGGACAUAUCUAUUAUGCUUCUAUAAAGUAGAGAAUAAUGACAUUCCUUGUGACUAUUUUGAUAGUACCUUAAUAGUAGAAAGUUUCUAAUGUCAUAUGUAAAUUAGCAUUACUUUCAUGUGCUUAUUAAUCUAGUGGAUACUAGCUAUUGUCAUUGUUCAUUGUAUUGAGAAUUCUGAUCAAUAGAUCGAGAGUGAGAACAUUGCAUACUAUGACGUGAGGUUUGAGACAUCUUGGACUAUGGACUUUGCUUGCUUGCCAUUGUGCUCAUUCGCACACGCUUGUGAGGGUAGCUCCCUACAAGCCGGCACUCCGGAGUUGGCCUAUGCGACAGAUUGCUUGCCCGUGUGGGAUUGGGUGCCGAAGUGGAUUGCCGUGGGGAGUGUAUACUACCACGGGGCCAUUAGGCGCGGCGCAAGCUGGACUACCUUGUGUAGGUCCUUAUGAAUGGAAUCAAAGUUCUAAAUGACAGAUGAUUGUAAGGAUUGAUUACCAGUUAUAGUGUAUAGUAUUUACUUACACGUUUAUGCUUAUGUUCAUGUUUAUGUUCAUGCUUACAGUAAUUGCUAUGCUUUAUUAUUCAGUUGAUUCAUUACUGUAGAAAGUAUGAUUACAUGUUGAUUACAUGUUCAUUACCUGUUAGCAUUGUAAAUAUAUCAUGCAAUUACUCCUUUUAUUUUCAUUUAGUAUAUCAUGAGCCUAGUGGUGUAAUUCGCCGAGGCUGGCGGCUUACCCACUGGGAACUAUUGUUUAAUAGUUCUCACGCCCUUUUUAUUGUUGCUUUUACAGAGCCACCUACAGGAGAGGCUAGGGAUCACGGCAAGGGAAUCGCGUCUAGCUAGACCUAGCUUGCGGUUUUACUAGGUGAUCACCUUGCUACUCAUGCCACGGCCGAGGGUGAUGUACCCGUGUAUAGAGAGACUAUCAUUGUAUAUGUAUUUUGAGUAGCCCUGUGAUGUAUGUGAUUAGUUGACUCGGGGAUUAUAGUUUGAUACUUCUCUAUGAUGUUGAGAUUUUGGGUUGAAUACUCUUUGUUUUUCUGUUGAUAGUAUUAUCGACUUAUACUUUGCUCUGAUAUCAGGAUAGGAUUCUUCUAUGUUUUCCUCCUAUCGACAUGUGCUUUUUGUAGACGCCUUAUAUACUGCAGGUGUACNGACUUGCUUUCUUCGUAGACGCCUUAUAUACUGCAGGUGUAUGGCGGGUCUGUGCACGUGCCGGGUAUGCUUCCGCUGGUAUCCGGGCAUGACAUCCAAUUCCAAUCGUUGUUCCCGAAACUAUCUUUGACUUUUAGGUUCAUACUAUUCGCCAUUUCAAACACUUCCGGAAACGACUAUUGUAACGAGGACUCUCCACACCAUCGAUCCGACCAAAAGUUGAUAGUACUUCCGUUACCUAGUUUAUAAGAUGUUCCCAAUUUGAAAACUUCUUUAAGGUUCAAAACUCCCUUCCACCAGAAAGAAUAAGGUCUAAAGGAUCUUCCCUCCAUUAAAGGUCUACGUCUUCGAUAAUAUAAAUCCUGUAUAAUCUUGUUCCACUGUAGAUGAGGUGCCGUGUGGAACUUCCACCACCAUUUGACCAGGAAAGCUUGGUUCAUAGUGGCUAAGUCCAAGAUUCCUAGCCCACCUUCCUUCUUGCUCUUACAAACAGUCUUCCAAGCCACUAAACAGCCCGUUCUAGGGGAGUUACUUCCACUCCUCCAGAAGAAGUCUCUUCGGAGAGCUUCAAUAUGCUUGAUCACCCAUUUGGGCGCCUUGAACACCGACAAAAAGUAAAGGGGUAAAUUGGUUAAAAUUGCGUUCACCAGUAUGAGCCUACCCCAUCUUGAGAGGAGUUUGGCUUGCCAUCCCUCAAUUUUGUUUUGAAUUUUCUGGAUGAUCUCCAUCCAUGUGUCUUUAGUAGGAGGUUUGGGGGAUAGGGGAAGACCAAGAUAUUUGGUAGGAAGAGUGCCUACCCGGCACUCAAGUAAGGUCGCCAGUCCGGUCGCUUUUUCCACGCUUUGUCCUAAAUAGUAUAAUUCUGAUUUCUCUUUGUUGAUUUUCAUUCCGAACGCCCAUUCGAAAAGACACCAUAGAUGUUUUAGGUUUCUCAAAUACUUCUUUCUCGCCUCACAGAAGAAGAAUGUAUCAUCCGCAAAUUGGAUAAGGGUAGUUUUGCUCGUUUUAGCUGGCCCAAUUCCCUUGACCAUAUUAUUGGAGAUUGCUUUGUCCGUCAUACGGGCAAGACAGUCUGCCACCAAUAAGAAAAGGAACGGAGAUAGGGGGUCCCCCUGCCGCAUACCCCUCUUUGUUUUAAUCCAGUUGGUCGUCUCUCCGUUAACUAGAAUAGCUACUUUCGCGUAGCACACACAAAGUUUGAGCCAUUCACACCACUUUGUAUCAAACCCCCACCACUUCAAAAUACUAAACAGGAACGGCCAAUGGAUCCUAUCAUAAGCCUUCUCAAAGUCUACUUUGACGCCGACCCCCUCGAUGUUCUUCUUACUUCCCCAUCCAAUUAGUUCUGAGACUGCCACAUACGCGUCAGAGAUAUUCCUCCCCUUCAAAAAUGCUGACUGCGACGAGGAUAUCAAAUCAUUCAUAACCAGUUCAAGUCGAUUAGCCAAAACCUUUGAUAAGAUCUUUUGGAUCCCGUUCAGUAGGCUUAUUGGACGGAAAUCGUUCGCCCGCUUUGCCCCAUCGUUUUUAGGGAUUAGACAUAUAAAAGUGUAAUCGAUUGGUGCGGUAGGCAACCUUACCUCAUACAACUCCUGGAAAAUAUUAAAAAUAUCCCCCUGUAAGGUAUCCCAAAAGGUUUGGUAGAAUAUAAGAGGGAAACCAUCAGAGCCCGGCGCCUUGUCACUUCUGAGUUGGAAAACCGCUUGCUUAAUUUCCUUCGCAGUGAAAGGUUUCGUAAUCCACGUCAAAUUGGGGGCCGUUACACGAUUAGAGGAGAAAAGCUCACUCCACUCCCCAAUUAAAGGAGGAUGGGACUUUCUCAUCCAGAUUGAAUUGCUCCUUUAAGUUGCGAAAGAAGUAGUUCUUUAUUUCCUCGUCUGUUUGAUACAUAGCAUCAUCCUCGACAAUCGUACCAAUCCCAUUAGCUCUCCGUCUACCAUUGGCUAUGGAAUGAAAGUAUUUUGUGUUUCCAUCUCCUUCUCGUAACCAAUGUUGUUUGGCUCGGGUUCUCCACAUCGCUGCUUCAUCAUUUAAAACCCUUCUAAGUUUAGCUUUAAGGUCGUCUCUUUUCCUUAUUAGAUCUAGUGAGAUCUCGCUCUGUUCUUCGGCUUUGUCGAUUUUCUGGAUUUCCCUCAUAAAACAAUUCUUUAGACCUCUAAUACUGUAGAACUCAUCCACGCACCAUUCCUUAAUUCUAUUUCGAUAGUGUCGCAGCUUCACCGUAAAGGUCAGCACUGCCGAUUGUUUCUGUGUACCUUCCUUCCACCAUCCCGGUAGUUUGGAUACAAACUCCUCAUGAUUUAGCCAUGCGUGUUCAAAAUGAAAUAAUUUCUUCUUCUUCACCUUAGCACUACUUUUCGCAGUAAGUAGUAUAGGGCAGUGAUCAGACGUAAUCCUGGGGAGGGCUUCAGCCUUCGUCAAAGGAAAUUCCUGGUCCCAUUCCGUCGAAAGAAGGAACUGAUCGAGUCUAGCUAGCAAGAGUUGGCCUUCGUUUGCAUGUUGGACCACGUGAAGGAUUGAUUAGACAGGGGUAAAUUAAUCAGUGCUAAUCCUGUGAUAAGAUCGUUAAACAACGUCGAACUUCAUUAGUUAUGUAUCCAAAAGUUUUUGGCCUAUUUGGAAUCGUGAUAAAGUAUCGUUUGAAAAUUAAUGCAAUUUUUUAGGUAUAGUAAUUCCAGAGGAGCAAAUGUGUGGGUAGAAUUUUUGCAAUAUAAGCUAAAAGCAAUACUAGAACGCUUCAAAAGAUAGAUUAAAUAAAAAAGAAAGAGAGAGAACAAAAGAAACAUUCUAUUUUCGCAUCCUUUCUCAAUGAUCAAGCAUCCAAUUCACACUAAAAAUUGUUAGGCACUAGUUGAAUUUUAUUUAAAGAUUAAAUUUUAUAACUUUUCGAUAUUAUUUAUUUUAUGAAUAAAUAGUUUUAGAUACGAGGCGGUACACAAUGUAGCCAUUGCAUUAUAUUAUCUAUGUCUAAAUUCAAUCAAAUCUCCCGUCUUGAGAUAAAAGUAUAAUAUUUUUUUUUUUUACAAAAUAAAUCAUGGUGAAAUUGGCAAAUUCCUAGAAACACAAUCUAAUUGGUGUAGUGAGUGUUUAGCGUAUCUUUUGGAAAAUGAUUAUGGACCCAAAAGUAUUUUUUGGCUUACAAGAGCAUUUUACAAUCUCGUUUUCAAAAUUUGAUUCUAAUUUUUAGAAUUAAUUUUUUGAUUUUCGAAGUCCAAAAUUAGAAAUAGGUAAAACCCGCUUCUUGAAAUCUAAUUCUAAUUUUGGAUUCAAAUUUUAAAUUUCUAUUUUGAAUUUAGCCUCAAAUUUAAAAUUUUAAUUUUAAAUUCGAAUUUAAUUUUUGAAUUUAAAAUUUUAAAGUUUUAAAUUUUAAAUUUUAAUUUUAGUUUAAUUUUAAUUUAAAAUUUAAAAUUUAAAUUUAAAAUUUAAAAUUCAAAUUUUAAUUUCGAAUUCUCAAAUUUUAAUUUUAAUUUUAAUUUAANUCAAAUUUAAAAUUUUAAUUUUAAAUUCGAAUUUAAUUUUUGAAUUUAAAAUUUUAAAGUUUUAAAUUUUAAAUUUUAAUUUUAGUUUAAUUUUAAUUUAAAAUUUAAAAUUUAAAUUUAAAAUUUAAAAUUCAAAUUUUAAUUUCGAAUUCUCAAAUUUUAAUUUUAAUUUUAAUUUAAAAUUUAAAAUUUAAAAUUUAAAAUUUAAAAUUUAUAUUUUAAAUUUGAAAUAGAAAAUUUUAAUUUAGAUUUAGAAUUCAAAUUUUAAGUUUUAAAUUUUGAAUUUACAUUUUAAACUAAAAAUAAAAUUUUAAAUUUUUGUGCAAAUUUUAAAUUUUAAAUUUAAAUUUACGAGUAUCUAAUGAAUCCAAGCAUAUAUGCGGUGCCAGAGUCAUGUUUUGUUUGAAACAUUGUAUUUUGAUGCCGAAUCCGACGUGGCUUAAUUUAAUUAUUGUCACCCGUCACUACUCCUACAGUCCUACUCCAACAAACUUAACUAAAAGUGAAUGGAGUUUUGGUGUUUUCUCAAAAUGCGCGUGCACCUCCAAAGUUGAAAAAGAGUGCACCACGGGCACGUAGCUAUAUAUCCAGUGUUUGACCAUUGGACCUUCUAGAAGUAAUUAUAUAUGUUGUUAUAUAUAUAUAUAUAUAUAUAUAUAUGACGAUUUUUUAUUUUUCAAUCAAUUCUAUUUAAUUAGUAACGCUCCUGCUUUAGUUAUUAGAAAAUAUAGCUCAACUUCUUUGGAUCGAUCUUUGACUACGUACGUCGAUGGUCCGAUGAAGACAAACACAGAAAAACGAUCGAGGCAAAAAGAAGACUCAUUGACUGUGGAGUUCGAAAGAGUGGAAUCUUUAAAUUAAUUGAGCGAAAUGUAUAUUGACUUGGAAUCCAUUAAAGGGGCGUUUGGAUUGACGUAUUUGUAGAUUCAACGUAAGUCAAGAGUAGUGGUAUUUGAGUUUUUCUGAAGUGUGAUUAUCUUUUUGUUGUUUGUUUUGACGUAACUCGUACUGCCUGAAAGUUAAAUUCAAUCACUUCUGUUGUUUGUUUUGAUGUAACUUGGUGCUGGUAAAAUUAGUUUUUUAAGUUCCGUUGUUUGUUUUGAUGUAAGUAAGUGAUUCUCAUUAUCUCCUAAAUAUAGUAGUAAAUUUAUCACUAUAAAAUUUAAUCUUUUAUAUAAUUAAUUUUAUUAUUAUUAUUUAAAGAUAAUCCUAAUUUAUUAUAAAUAAGAUAAUUCUAACCCAUUAUAAAGGAAGUAGAGUUUAGAUUUUACUGUUUAAUAAAUUUUUUAGAGGAAGUUAAGUGUAGUGAAAGUCGAGUUCGGCACUUUAGAGGAGGAAGUCGAGAGUAGGUGAAGUGGAGCUCUAACGUAACUUGAGUUAUAUUAUAUUUUUCACUUACAUCAAAACAAAUAACAAAAGUGAUGGAACUUGAGUUCCAUCACUCCACUUACACCAAAACAAACGGGCCCUAAAUGGCAAGUACAACGCUUAAGAAAAAAAAAAAGAUAAAAUAUAUAUAUAUUAAAUUUAUCGGGGUUAUAUAUGGAUUAUUUUGAAUUGACUAUCUAAUCUUACAAAUUUUUAAUUUUACUAUCUAAUCCGUAAUUUAUUUGAUUUGAGUUAGUCAAUUAACAUCACCUUGACUUCACAAUUUUAGACUACUUAAUUACUUAACUUAAUAAAUUUGUAGUUGCGAGAACUGUAUAAAAUAUUCCAACUAAAUCUCCAAAGGUAAACGACGAAUUCAAAUUUGAAAGUCAAAAUAUCGACUCAAAUCAAACAAACUGAAAGAUUGGAGAGUAAAAUCAAAGUUUUGAAAAUUUGAGUAGUAGCCAAAUCAAAAUAGUCUAUAGUUCAGAUAAGUUUUAUAUUAUUUUACUAAAAAAAUAAUAUAUUUGCUUUUGUAAGUGAUUACAUGUUAUCCAAAUCUCACUGGUUGGUUUUUUAAUAUUUUGAUUUUUGGGAAAACUUCAAAAUCCUUCCAUGUGGUUUCACACUUUCUUAUUUUAGUACUAUGUGGUUUAAAGUGUAUCAAUUUGCCCUCCUGUGAUUUUAUUUUUAUCUUUUCGGCUACUUUUUCCUUAAUAUUUCGUUAAAUUGUAUACAAAAAACUUAAGAUAUCCAUAUAGAUUAAUUUAUCGAAUAUUUACUUUAGUACCCUUUAAUUUUAACUUUGUCACUGAUUUAAGAAAAAAAAAUAAUAAAAUUGAUACUAAAAAGUAAAAAACGAAAUCACAGAGGGGCAAAUUGAUACACUUUAAACCACAGGGUACUAAAGUGAUAAAGUGCGAAACCACAUAGGGGGUUUUUGAAGUUUCCCCUUGAUUUUUUAUUACCUUACUGGAAAAUAGAUAACCACAUCUUAAUUAAUUAUACACUUCCGUCUCAACUCUUUUAAUCAGAUAGUGCAUUCCGCAAUCCUCAAUACCAAAUGGGCUAUAUUAUAUCUAUUUCGGUCUGAGUUGUCAAAUUGCUUGUUUAAUUUGUUAUGUAGUACCGACCGUUUCUAGAGCAAGUGGCAAAGAGUUUAGUGGUUGGUACUCGAAAUCUCAAGUUUGAAUCCUAGUUGAUUCAUAUUUUCAGCUAAGUUUAUUUCUAAAUGAAAUAAACGAAACGAAUAGCGUGCUACCUAUCUCUCUCAAAAAAAAAUAAAAAAAUUGCUAUGUAGUGGUUGGAAGGUUUUGGUAUGACGGGAAGGUGGAAUGUACUUGUAGCUAGAUUGAUAAAUAAACAAAUUUAGACGAAAAUCUGGUUCUUGAUUGUACGAAAUAGAGAAAGUUAGACGAAACAAGCCCUAAAUCUCAUAAUCCCCCUGAACCUACUUAAUACUAUAUACAGCUAGUGGGGUAGCAACAGCUGGUAAUAUAUUAUAACUUUUGCAGAAUAAGAUACAUUAUUGUAGCAGCAUUCCAGUAAUUGGCAAGGAGUGGGUCUUAUAGAGUGGAGCUAGAAUACCUUUACAAGUAUCACCUCGGUGGUGCUUUAGUGUUUUUAGCCCUUGGAUGGAGAGAUGUGAAGUUGAGAUGAUUGUGGCAGGUGGUGGUGGGUGGAAUAGUUUUUGAUCCAAGGACUAUUAGUAAUUAAGAAGUAGAUCCAAUGGCUAAAAACCUAAUAGCAUCAUGGGGGUGAUACUUGUAAAAGUAUCCUAGCUCAACUCGGGUCUUAUAUAUAUAUAUAUAUAUAUAUAUAUAUNCGUGCUCCUAAGCCGUUUUCGAUGAUGGAGCUUCCGAAUCGACGAUCGGCUCCGUUAAACUUUAAUCUAGCGUAUUUGAACUAUCUAGAAAAUAAUUUUUGUGAUUUUUCGGUAUCAUUUUCCUAGCGAUCGAAAGGGUUCAAAAUUAACAAUUUUUAAUGGUUGAUGUAUACCGUUUGCAAGUUUAACGGUGUAAAAGUAUUCAAAUCAAAUGAAAUUUUGAUAGAAAAUUCUUUAUACUAUUUACAGCAAGAUCAAUAUGUUUGAUCGAAAAUUUUAAUGCUAUAUCACCAUUUUUUGUGAGAUUUUUAUUUUCAGCCGUUGAUUUUGAACCCUUUCGAUCGCUAGGAAAAUGAUAUCGAAAAAUCACAAAAUUUAUUUUCAAGAUACUUCAAAUAUGUUAGAUUAAGUCUAACGAAGCCGAUCGUCAAUUCGGAAACCCCAUCAUCGAAACAGCUUAGGAGCACGGAGGCCUCCGUGCUCCUAAUAGCAUACAAGACCUACUCUACAUAUAUAUAUGGAUCUAAUCUGAAUUUGUACGCAAUUAGGCUUUUUUUAAAGGAUUGUAGAGAUGAGUGAACAUUUCGAGUUACCGAAUGCAAAUUUAGUAAAUUAGUCAUAAGUCGAAUAAUUAACCAAAUACUAAUCCAACAAUAAUUAUACGCACUUCAUUAAUCCUGUUUGGAUAUUAUAUUAAAUAUCCAAUAAGCUUAUUGGGUAAGAAGAUUUUUCUAUCUUGCUAUUCAUGAUCUAAAGCAAUAAUAUAUUUUACAAAAGAGUGAUUUAUUUUAUACCAAAAUAAUAAUUUAUAUGUUGAACUUUUUGUCUAUCGGUAUGCUUUUUAAGAUGACAUUAAAAUACUGGAAAAAUAUAUAACCCAAAUAAAAUAAGAAGAACUGCAGCAUUGCAUUUGUCAUAUUUGAUUGAUUGGUACUUGGUUCAAUAUCUUCUACUGGGAUCGAGUGAUAUUAUCAGUCAAACAUGCGCACUCGCGUGAUUCGCGUUCCAAAUUUGAUGAUGCGAAAGAAAGGGAUGGCUUUGUAUUGAGACAUAUAUUUUGCGGCGGAAUUUUCAUACGAAGUAAAGUGAGAUGAGAAGAGAGAAAAUAAAGAGAAAUAAAACAAAAAGAGAGUGAGAAGAGAGAAAGCAAGGAGACAGAAAAUGAUGCGGAAAGAAAAAUGAAGGAAGAUAAACCAAGAAAAAAGAGAUCCGAGAGAAAGUGAAGUGAUAAAAAAGUAAAAAGAAAGUGAAGACAGAGAAAAUGAGGAAAGAAAAAAAAUACAAUGAGAGAAAAUGAUGAAAGAAAAAAAGAAAAGUGAGAGAAAGUGAGGAGAGAGAAAGUGAAGAGAGAUGAAUUUUUCUCUUUCACCUUCUUUAACUUUUUUUAAUCUAGUAACCCCCUAGGUCAACAAAAUUAUAUUGUUGGGAAGGGGUAAAGAAAGGUGAAAUGAUUAUCACCCUUAAUAGUUAACUAUGCGUACCAAAUAUAAUUAAUAGGGGGUUGAAAACUUAUAGGAAUAAUAUUUCACCUCCUUUAACCUUAUAUAUCAAACAUACCCUAAAUCUUAAAAUUGAGAGGAUAAUAUUAGAUAAAGUUUAGAUGAAUAUUUUAAAAAUAGUUGUAUUUUGAAACUGAGACACAUUAUGGAAGAAAAACUUGACAAACUUUUACUCUCUCUUUUAUAAAACUAAUCUUGAAAGAAAUUUUAAAUUCUAGAUCAAAAAAUUAAAAAAUAUAUAAAAAAUGAAAACAUUAAGUCAUCUUGCUUUGACACAAUACCAGCCAAGAUUUUUCUGUGCCUUAGACUAAGAAAGGUAGGUAGGCCUAACAUGGUUCAAAUUCUUAUUAUGUUUGGCAUCCAUCCCAAUGGCAUGGCCGUGUCUUAAAAAGUGUGGCUUUUUAUCGUACUGGCAUUGAUCCCAAUGGCCUGGUCAUGUCUUAAAAAGUGUGGCUCAUACCAGUCUGAUAAAACCCACAUUACAUCCCCACAGGCUAUAUGAGUGAAGAAAAUUUGUAAAUUCUUUAUAUAUUUCUAUGUGCUUAUGUGUAAUUAUUUAUAUUUGAUUCGUACUUAAGAUUACGUUGAAUUGGAUAAAAUAGGAAAAAUUAGAGCAGGAGGAUUUAGCGACUCAAAGGUGGUCCGGGUCGUUCACACUCAAUUGAUCUCAAAGUAUUACCAAAUCAUAUUCCUCUCUCUAAUAUCACUAAAAUAGGAAAAAUUAGAGCAGGAGGAUUUGGCGACUCAAAGGUGGUCCGGGUCGUUCACACUCAAUUGAUCUCAAAGUAUUACCAAAUCAUAUUCCUCUCUCUAAUAUCACUCUUUAAUUUCAAAGUUAAAUGCAUCAGAGCCAUCCGAACUUUUGGCCGUUUGUGAAUAGUCACUUAAACUUUGUAAAUUUAUAUUUCCCAUCUAAACUUUCAAGAGUUCGAAAAUAACCAUCUACAUUUAUAUUUUAACAAUUUAAAAUAACUAUGAUUAAGAAUAUAAGGGCAUAUUUGCUUCAUCUAUUUAGAAUAUAAAAUCAAAAUGGAAUUCAUUGAUUCGAUAGUUGUCGUUUAUUUUAUAAGAAUCGGAUUCCGGUUACCAUUUCAUUCCAGAAUGAAAAUGGCCAAAUCCAUUUAUGGCCCAAUCCGAUUUUUAUCCCAAAUUGGCCCAUUUCAAAAUAAACUAUUCAAAAUUAUCUUUCACCAACACCUACCUUCUCUCCCUUCAUCACUUUUCUCUCUCUUAAUCAAAAUUCUCUCUAAAAAAUUCUAAAUUUUCAUUCUAAUUUUCAUUCCAAUAAUGAACCAAAUAUUUUUUGAUGAUUCAUUAUUCAAUUAUCCAUUCCAAAACAAUUCAGUUUCAUUUCUCAUUCCUAUUCCAAUUAUGAACCAAACAUGCUCUAAAUGUGCAUAGCUAAUUGAGAAAAUUUGAGAGUAUGAGUUAAAAAUAUAAAAUUUUGAAAGUUUUGCUCGCUAUCUACAAACGGAAAAGAGUCGGUGGUUCUAAUUGCAUUUACUUCUUAAUUUUAUCCUAUGCUACUACCCAAGCUUUUUAUGCAUCCGAUAUUGGAUUAUGAUAUCCUUUUAAAUUAGACCAUGUUUGGAUAUAUAGAUAAAUAAGUAAUAUUCUAUUCAGUAUGAGAAUUUUUCAUUGUGAUCGAAGCUACGAGUAUUCUCAAAUGUCUAUAAUGGAAUAGCAUAUUUGGCCUUUAAGGAAAAGAUAUAUUACUUUGUAGGUAAAAUUUAUUGUCCCACAAAAUUAUAAAUGCUAAGACCUUUUAAGGAAUGAAAUUCAAACUUGUAUUAUCCCAUCAUACACAAAAAAAUUUUAUAUCGAAUAAGAUAAAUUACCCCAUAUGUUAAACUUGUGCUAUCAAAUUAAACGUUUAAAGAUAGAAUAUCAUAUUCAACUUUCAAGUUAUUUUUUCAGAAUAAAAUAUCUCAUAGGUAAAAUAUAUUAUCCUACCAAAUCAUGAAUAUCAAGUACUUUGAAAAAACAAAAAUCAAGCUCUUAGUUACAAUCAUACUACAAAAGUAUUAUAUCGAAUAAGUUAUCCUUGGAUAGUAUAUUCUUAUAGGUUAGGAAUCUGGUACUCACCCUGAUACCAGAUUUUGAGAAUUUGUAACCUGCUCUGAUAGCAACGUUGUUGAUCUGGUACCGAUUUGUUGGAAUUCUGCAACAAAAAUAUUAAAUUGAAUUUUUACCGUAAAACUGUCUCCUCAGCAAAAGCUAAUGCGAUCACAAUAGAGAGAAAAUCAAAUAAAAAAUAUACAGGUAAAAUAAAAUUUAUUAAACAAGAGAAGAAUUACACUUGACUUCUCUUCUACACAUAAUAGCUGUGGCACCCUACUUUCCAGGGAGUCACCCAUCCUAGGACUACUCUCGCCUUAGCAUGCUUAAUUCUCUUAACCUCUUGGGCCUAACCACCGUCUAAAAUGCUAUAACCGGGUCAAGAGUCUUAGCCCUAUUAUCUCUUAUAUAUAUGACUAUCUAGGGUCUCACAUUCUCCCUCUCUUUAAGCCCUGAUGUCCUCGUUAGGCUCAAACUUACAAGCAUCAGGUUAUGUGAGACUCGUCUCGUUAGUCUUAACUGACCUUGUAGGGGAGUCAUGCUCUACCCACAAUGGUCAUUAGCAUGAGAGUUUCGCUCUCCACGAUGUGUAGUCUAGCUCAGCCGAGACUUAUCUUAUAUUUUCAGCUGGUAACUGACUCUGAUACCAACCGUAACACCCUACUUUCCAGGAGGUCACCUAUUUUAGGACUACUCUAACCCUAGCAUGCUUAACUCUCUUAACCUCUUGGGCCUAGCUAUUGCUCAAAAUGCUAUAGCUGGGUUAAAAGUCCUAGCCCUAUUAUAUCUUAUAUAUAGGACUACAUAGGUCUCACAGUAGCUUCAACUUGAGCCCUCUUUCUGAAUCUCUCACCUUUCUCUUGUCUUCUAUAAAUUCAGAAAACCUCUCUCUCAUUCUGUGCACCCAUGCACAAGAUAUACUAAUGACCCACGAUUAUAAAAGCCACACACGUCCUCUUGCACUCAUACACUAAGAGCAUCCAAAAUCAUAACCACCUUGGCCGUGCCAUAUAGGUGUGGCUAAGUCGUACCACUACCACCAAAAUAAUAGCACCUAUGCUAUAUUUAUAGCUUACAUUAAAAAUUUUCCAAAUGCUAGUCCAAUUAAAUUUAUACUCUAAUUAAUAUUUAAAUCUUAAUAUUUUAUCUCCAACAUAUUUAAAUAUUAAUCCUAAUCUAACUAGGAUUCAACUACAAAUCUAACCAAAUCUAACAAUCCCCAUUUUGGUUUGAUUUGUAGUCUUUAGUCGUUGCAUCGAGCUCGCCACACAAGCUCCACCUUUAGCUUGUCUCCUUUGCUCGAUUCUGCCACAUUCGCCGCUCUAGUUCAGAAUGUAUAAGCAUCUCCAUGAAAUUUUGAAACCCAAAUUGUCCUCGCUCUUGUUCUAACCAUGCUCCAGUUCAAAAAGUAUAAGCUUUUUCGCCUCGCACAAGACUCGAUCUUGCUUUUGGACCCUCAAAGCUCCACCUGAGGUUAAAAAAUUGCAACUCUUCAAGUCCAACGCGCCUAAUGAGAUCAAAUUAUGCUUUAAACAUCGAUCACUUCCAACGAUAGGUAACAUCGUGCUAUAAUGUCAAUCUUCUACAAGGAUCGGUAAUCCGGCCAGUGCUUUGGCAUCGAUCUCUCCCAAGAUCGGUAACCUCAGGCUCUAAUACCAAUUGUUGGAAAUCUAGUAUCGGUUGUUCGGAUUCUACAACGAAAAUGUCAAACCGAAUUUUUACCAUAAACCCCUUCCUUCUUCUCGGUAAAAGCUAAUGCAAUCACAAUAGAGAGAAAAUCAAAAAAAAUAAUAUACAGAUAAAAUAAGAUUUAUUAAACAAAAGAAAAAUUGCACCUGACUCUUUUUCUACACAAAGUAGUUUCCACUCUAGCCCUCUUCUGAAUCUCUCAUCCCCAUCUCAUCUUCUAUAAAUUCAGAAGACCUCUUUCUCAUCAUGUACAAGAUAUACUAAUGACCCACAACUAUAAAAGCCAUAUACGUCCUCUUGCACCUAUACACUAGGUGCAUCCAAAAUCAUGGCCAUCUUAGCUAUACCAUAUGGCUGUUGCUAAGCCGUACUACCACCACUAAAUUAAUAGCACCUAUGCUAUAUUUAUAGCUUACAUCAAAAUCUACUCAAAUCCUAGUCCAAUUAAAUUUAUACUCUGAUUAAUAUUUAAAUCUUAAUACUUUAUCUCCAACAUAUUUAAAUAUUAAUCCUAAUCCAACUAAAAUUCAACUACAAAUCUAACCAAAUCCUAACAAUCCCCAUCUUGAAUUGAUUCCUUAGCCAUUGCGACGAGCUCACUAUUGGAUUUUAUUGGGUUUUAUUGGGUUUUUGUGAUUUAAAACUUGUUAAGGCCUCUUGAGAGCCCAAUAAUUAUUAAUGGGCUUUGCUUGGGAGCCCAACUAAAGUUUUCAUGUGUGUAGUUUAGUCCCACAUUAGAAACCAAAAGGGUGUUAUUGGCAUAUAUAUAUUCCUUUAUUCUCAAGCUAGUUACUUGGGAGAAAAUGAGAGUUAUGCUCUCGUUUAAAUACACACAUGCUCAACAUGAGCACGAGCUGGGCCGGGCUGGGGGGGCGGCUGCUCGCGCGGUCCAUACAUCCGGUUUAUUUUAUUUUAUUUUUUUAUUUUUAAUUUUUUGGUUUUAUCUUUAUCUUUAUCUUUAUCCUAAUCCUAAUCCUUAUCCGUAUAAUCAUAGGCUUAUCUUGUUCUACAUGAAUUUAACGCGUUGAAGCAAGAUUCUUGCCUUGGUUAUAAAUACUGGACGAGGUUGCACGAGUUCGGGGUGAACUGACGUAUACCUAAGAGAAAAACCUACCAUCUACCUCGUAUUUCCUGCUUUCUCGUCAUUAAUCUUUUCCGCCGAUUUUCGCCGAGCUUUCAUUGCUGGAUCUGAAACUUGUUUGGUUCAUCUUGCGGCAACUUGAAAUCGUGCCGACGGGGUGGAACGUGGUCGUUGUAUCGUUGGAUGUAAUUGCCGGGAAGCCUCGCACGUGGAGGGGCAAUUUCGCUUCUAGGACAGUGCUCUGCACGCCUCGAUCCACAGGUCUUAUCUAAACCUUUUCUUUACAAUAUUUGUUAUUUAUUUUCUUUCUCGAAAUUUUUCUAAAUCUGAAAUUAAAUUUCGAAUUAUUUUUAAAGAAUAUUGUAAUAAAAGAUCAGAAAGAUUUUUCCAACACUCACCAUGCAAGCUCCACCUUUAGCUUGUCUUCUUUGCUCGAUGUCGCCACAUCUGCCGCUCCAUCUCGAGCGACUGCUUCUUCGUGAAUUUUUGGAACCCAAAUUGUCCUCGCUCCCAUUCUGAUUGUGUUCCGAUUUAGAAUGUAUAAAUUUUCAAGCUUGUUCUUCUCGCACAUAACCAGAUCUUGCUUUUGAACGCCCUAUGACUUCACCAGAAGUUAAAAAAUUGUAACCUUUCGAGUCCAACAUGCCUAACGAGAUCAAAUUGUGAUUUAACAUCGAUCACUUCCAACGAUUGGUAACAUCGUGCUAUGACGUCGAUUUUCUAUGAGAAUCGGUAAUCCAGUGCUUUAGCGUCGAUCUCUCCUAAGAUCGGUAACCUUAGGCUAUGAUAACAAUUGUUGGGAAUCUGGUACCAGUUGUUGGGAUUCUGCAACGAAAGCAUCAAAUUAGAUUUUUACUAUGAACCCGUCUCCUCAGCAAAAGUUGAUGCAAUCACGAAAGAGAAAACCCGUCUCCUCGGAAAAAGUUGAUGCAAUCACAAAUGAGAAAACCCAUCUCCUCAGCGAAAGUUGAUGCAAUCACAAAUGAGAAAAAAACCAAAACAGAAAAUAUAUAGGUGAAAUAAAAUUCACUGAACAAGAGAAGAAUUACACCUGACUCCUCUUUUACACAGAAUACCUUCACGCACUAAAGGCGUCCAAAUAUUAUGACCACCUUGGCCAUACCAUAUGGGUGUGGCUAAGCCAUAUGACCAUCACCAAAAUAAUAGCACAUAUACUACAUUUGUAGCUUACAUAAAAAUCUAACCAAAUCCUACUCUAAUUAGAUUUAUACUCUAAUUAAUAUUUAAAUCUUAAUACUUUAUCUCCAACAGAUUUAAAUAUUAAUUGUGACUCAACUAGGAUCCAACUAUAAAUCUAACCAAAUCCUAACAUUACAUUCAAACAGGAUCUUAAAAAAAGAUGCAAUAUUUAAUAGAUUAGAACUGUGAUCAAACUUUUGAAAUGAAUACUACAUUUGCUUUUGAAGUUUUUUUUGAAUAAAAUAACAUUGUAGGUGAAUUACAAUAUCCUGUCAAAUUAUAAAUGUCAAUAACUUUCAAAGAGCAAAAAUCAAAUGUAGCUUUCAAUCAUAUAAAAUAAUUUAGCCAAUUUGCAUAAAAAAUCCACUAGUUUUGCGAUUUUGAAAAAGUUGGCCACUAUUUUGGGUUUUGCAGAUCCAUAUCGAAUUUUCAACAAACUGACCAAAAUACCCUUUUUCCUUUCUCUCUUUCUUUUUUUUUCCUCUUCGUUUUUUUUUUCCCUCUCCGACCCUCAUCGCCUCCUACACCGCUUUCGCGGCCCUCGGCGAUGAUAACAAGGGCGGCGCCACUUCCUCUUUUUCCGUCUCCUCCUCUGCUGGCAUCGGCCGUGUCACACCCCGGGGUCCCUUUUUGGAUUUAAAACGAAUGCGGAAGUGCCUUUUUUUUUUUUUUUUUUUUGAAAACCUUGAUCCCCGGUUAUACCAGAUCCGCCACAAAUAUAGGGAGUCCACUGUUCACACGGACAGAGUCUGUCCUGUAUUUGCACGGCGUCGCACAAGUACAAAAUACAACAACACACAUAUAAAUAUCCAUAUACAUUCACCAUUCGCAUCCACAUCCAAUUCAUCACAAUAUUCAUAUAUCCACUUCUAUUAGUUUAAAAUGUUUCUUACCCGAAAAUUCAUUUUGAAACACUAAGUCAUGAAAACCAAGAAAUUUUUUUUUAAAACCGUUUCCCACCCAAAACCCUUUUUCUUUUAAAAACGCACUACCACGAGGGGUAGAAAACUAUUUCCAUUUUGUAAGAAAUCCAUAAAUCCUUUAUUACAUUCACAAAAUCCCAAUUAUUCAAAUAAAGGAAACCGUUGAAUCAAUAAGUCUAAGUAAAUUAUUUGAAAGACGAGUUUGAAAAUUUAACCAAAGCAACAGGCCGAUGGAUCUAUCGAAUGCUAAGCUAUGUACCUCACGGACCGUCCCGACUUAGACCUGCAAUGUCACCUGAAGAGGGUGGGGGUUGAGAACAUGUACACAUGUCUCCCCUCCCAUUGGGUACCGCAAAUCGACGAGGGCGAGGGUACUUACUAGUCAAGAAGGAUAAAUAAAAGUAUAGAUAAUGAUAAUACAGUAGCAAUGAUAAAUAAAGAAACGAGAUAUAUAUGAAUCACUAUCGCUACUGUAUGCAUGCAUCAACCGGACGACUAGUCCAAAAGUACCCAAUCAGAAACCUGCCAUAUCAGUCCGUAGACCUUAAGCCUGUGCCACAACUACUCUAACAUGUAAAUGACCCUCGCAUAAGCACCCGGAUCUGAAAGGUAUACGACUCUCGCAUAAGCAUCCGGGUCUGAAAGCAUAUAACCCUCACAUAAAGCACCUGGGCUCACGAGCUGGCACUCCCGACCAAUUUUUCGGAAAAGAACACCCUCUUGCGGUGGAUUAGACUACUGGUGUUCGUGAAAUGCGUACGAGCAGUGGAGAUCGAUACUGAUAUGCUCAAUGGCCAACAGUCGGCAACUAGCUGACAAUCCUACCCCUCAGGGUGUAUCGACCGUUGUAACGCUCAGCCCACUAGCAAUAAUAACUCAUUGGGCCCAACCACCAGCCCAAAAUGCUUAAGCCCAGUUAUUAUUACUAGUGUCUAAGUCUCUUAUAUACUGAAUCACAUCCCUAUUCAUAUCCGAUGUGGGAUUAGUAGGGUGUGACAGACUUCCCCCGUUAAGACCCUGACGUCCUCGUCAGACUUCUCCCGUUAAGACCCUGACGUCCUCGUCAGUCCAGUUAGUCCAAUCAUACAUAAAGCCCAAGAUCACCAGGCGAUUUGAGACUCAUCUCGUUAGCCUUGUCAUCCAGACCCUGGCAUAGCCGGUCACCUUGUCAUUUAGACUCCGGCAUAGCCUAUCACCUUGUCUUUCAGACCCUGAGACUCCUGCAUAGCCUAUCACCUUGUCUUUCAGACUCGCCACACAUUUUCGGCUGGUAACUAGCUCUGAUACCAAAUGUAACGACCCAGCCCACUGGCAACAAUAACUCGUUGGACCCAACCACCGACCGAAAAUGCUUAAGCCUAAUUAUUAUUACUAGUGUCUAAGUCUCUUAUAUACCCAAUCACAUCCCCAUUCAUAUCCGAUGUGGGAUUAUUGGGGUGUGACAACUAUAUAGGUUACCAAGUAGUCCAACCAACCAAGUAUGCCAUAAUGCUCGAUGCAAUAAACAGACCGAAUAGGUCAAAGUACGAGAUACAAUAACCAACCAACUAGGUCACAAAUCUCACAUGUAGUCAUAAACCUACUCUACUUCUACUCAUGAUGCUAGAUAUGUAAACAAACCAAGUAGAGCGAUAAAGACAUAAUAAAGGUGCAAGGCUCAACAAAUAAAUACAACAUGAUAGUAGGAGAAGGGUGGAAAGGAUGUCAUCGAGCGUGCACCACUGUACCGACUUCGGAUCGAAGUAUCUACCUGUAGGUACGUACGUAGCACUGGUCUCUCGAUUGCGGAAGAAUAUCAACAGGACCUACGAAAGGUCCACCAGGUUAGAAUCCAACCCACGACUAAGAACCACUAACCCACAAUCCGACCUGUAAAACCAACGGGAAUUGAUUUCCCAAAAUCGAUUACCGUAACUUGCUAGAAGUCCCGAAAAUCAUACCAGGACUUCGCCGGGACCCACGAACUGUCCCAGAACUCACCGACUCGUGCCACGAGUCACCCGUUGCCACUAAACACAAUAAUUUGUGUGACCUAGCAGCAAACACAUAUCCUUACAUCAAAAUAAUUAUCGUCGGAUAAUCGUUCCAAUCUAGAUUCCCGGAAGUGUCAAUUUCGACACCGGAACCCACUGUCGCUCACCCGUCGGUUUCGAACCCUCAAAACAACGCGGGAGAUCAGCCAACAAGGCUCAGCGACUACAUAAUUUAUCGUGAAGCACCGUUGGAAGAAUUCUGAACUAAAACUGCGUUCUAUCGGUGGAUUUUGCCGAAAAACGCAUCAAAAUUCGACAUCUAAUUUCCGAAAAGGCCCGGGACCUUGGACAACCAUUCCAGAGGUCACCCGCUGCCCGCACACACUGCCCACAGCAGCCACGAAAUGUAAAUUUGCAAAUAAUCCCCCGUGACUACAUAAAAUCACAUCAUUUUAUGUGAUUUUCGGGGUUUUACGGCCUGACAGUGCAAACCGAAGACAUUCGAGCCAGGCCGAAACACCCACUAAUAGGUCUCGAUGUGUCGGAGGCCGUGCUCAUAUUUCGGAGCAUGGCCGGCUACUACGGAGAGCGCGGGAGCAACGCGAAAUUCAGUGAACAACGCGCAUAGUGACUAAACCGUGAUUGAUACUCAGACUGGGGCUAUGCUGACCCCAAAGGAGGUGAGUACGAUGAUUGACACGGAUCAGGGAUUGUCGUGCUCACUUCUGGGAGUGUCAGGGUGCCCUCGGGUCAUCGGAACAGUGACUCGAACCCGAAAUAGUGCACAGAAAACACGAAAUUAAGCUUAUCAGAACCAGUGGGAGCACGGGCUGGCCGGCGGUCGCCGGAUGGCGGGCACACCGGCAAGGGACGGGUGUGGCAGGUCAGUGGGAGCCGGGGCACGUGCUGGCUGGCGGCGGGAGGCAGCCGGUGGCGUGGCGGAGGAGAUCAAGCCCGCACGCUUGGCCUUGGGUUCACGGGUUGGCAGUGCUAGGCGGCGGCCGGGGGAGCUUUGGGGUGGCGGCAACUCGUCGCCGGAGGCCGAGGGAGGCCGACAUGGCCGUCCAAGGGCGGUGGCGGCGCGCGGGGGUUAAGAUUGGGACCACAGCCAGGCGAGGGCCUGAGGUGUGUGGGCCCUUCUCUGUGGUCCACGGCAGAGAGGAGAGGUGCUCGGUAGAUGUAACAUAUGGAAAUUUGGAGUUGCGAUGUCAACUUUGAUCUCGGGGAUCAAAGUGAGGAUUGAGCUAGUUGGACAUCAUCCUCGAGUGAUUCGUGAUGCGUUGGAAUGAAUUUCGGAGAUAAAUAAGUGUUUCGGCGCAAAUUGGGCGCGAAACGAAAUGUAAAAAGAAUUUUCGGAUUUCCGACGCUAACUUUGAUUAAAAGAAUUAAAGUAAGGCGUAAGGAUAAAUUGUGGAAUCUCUGAAUCAAUUGUGAAGUUUCAGAAAAGCCAAGGGUGUGUUUCCAAAGGGUUUUGAAGUGUUCAGUGCGAAGUGGUAGUGCAAAAAGGAGAAAUUUCUGCCGUGUAAUGAAAUUGGAGCCGAUUCUAUUGCUAAUUCGGCUCAAAUAAUGUCAAAAUGAAAAGNAUAUAUAUAUAUAUGAAUGAGAUAUCUAUAUGUGAAUGAGAUGGAACAUUGUGCUAUAUGAUGUGGGGAUCGGAUGCGGACAAGGGGCUCUAUAGUGGUAUGACAACAAAUUGAACAUUGUGGCAUUGGAAAGUGGCAAUUGACAUGUGAAUGGGAAAACUUAUGACAUUGUGGCAUUAGCUAUAGACAAUGUGAACUUGUGGCAUUAGCUAGAGACAAUGUGAACUUGUGGCAUUAGCUAGAGGCAAUGUGAUUACUCGGAUAUGAGGUUGGGAUUUGUGUUAUUCCCGGAUUGGAUUACCACUAGUUGGUGGGGUAUCCUCGGGUUAGAGGAUUGGAUCAUGCUCACAUUCGUCUGUUAGCUUGGUAGUGGUAGCUCCACCCAAGUUGUGGUCUUUGAAGUACUUCACGGUUAGGGACAGACGUAGUUGUCCCGCAGACGGCUCCGGGUGAGAGUAGCGGACAUCUCCUCACAAUGCGUAGUUGGUUGUGUGAGUCAAGGCUUAACCUUCGGGUGAGCUGGUAUGAUUGGGUUAUGAAAAGAAAGGUAAAUGGCAUUCAUCAUGAGCAUAGUAGAUACUAUUACAUGUUUACCUUACCUGUUCUUUAUUGUUCAUAUUGCGCAAGUAUAGUAGCAUGCUAGAUGUUUACAUGUUUAUCGCUAACCCUUUACUACUUAUGCCUGCUUAGACCUAGUGGGAAAAUCGGCGGCGUCGGUGGCCGCACCCACUGGGAACUAUUUAUUUAGUUCUCAUCCCACUUUGAUGCAGGGUCAAGUUCGAGCGCGUCGGUCGAGGACCGCGGUAAGGGCAUAGCGCCCUAGUUAGCUAGCUACCUCCUACUUUGCAUUAGGGUCGAGUACCACUUUGAUAUAGCAUGUAUAUAAUUGAGAGAUUUAUGUAUUUUGGUGAGGUUGCUAGAGAGAUCAUGUAUUAUGAGAUGUUAUGUAUCUAUUUGAUGCAAGAUGUAAUCAAUGAUGUAUAGCUUGAUGGGAAAUAUGUAUUAAAUGAUUGAAUGCAAUGUAAUAGUUAGACUCUCUCUCUUGCUCGCUUGUAUUUUAAUACUCGCUUGAUCAUGUAUGUUGUUGAUGUUAUUCCUGGGUAACUAGAUGUACAUGAUGAUAUUUGUUCGCCUUUGGCGGACAGGGGAGACUCUGCCCGUUCGACGAUUGUCGCCGAUCCCGUGCUGACCAAAUAGGCGGUCGCGGGCCGUGACAGAUUAUAGUAUCAGAGCGGUAAAAGAGAGAAGUCUAGGAUGUACCCAGGAGACCCUAGGACGGUAAACUCUAAGGACAUAGGUGCGUUAGUGACGUGGACCUAUGUGUCGUGGCGGAAAAUAAGUUAAUUGGGUAUAGUUGUAUAUGUCUCUAGUGGUUAGUAGAGAUGGAUUCAAGUAAUAUUUGUCCUCACUUCGAGUGAGUUGUGUUGGCGGCCAACAACAUAACACUAGGAAUUGGGAAUGAGUAUGCUUGUGAGCUUCCGCCGGAUUGGGUGUCGAGUCGUUUGUUCCUAUUUUGCGUAGGGUCGUGGGUUAUGGUAAUUAACGUAUGUUGUGUUUCAGGAGCUAUGGCACCACCGAGAUGCCCCGUGACGUGAUCCACUCUGGCACCGCCUUUGGAGGUGCCUGAGCAAGUUGGAUCUAGUGAGGUGCAGGAGUUGUGGGCGCAGAUGACUGCACUAGUUGGUGUGGUGGAGUGCCAAGAGGAUCGGUUUGAGCGGCUCCAAGAGCUUAUGGAGCGGCAAGUAGCGGCGACGGCGACAACGGCGACUGAAGGCCGUGAUCCGCCCGCGCCCUCGGCUCGCGCGCCCAAUGCGAUUGAGGGUGUGGGCAUUGCGGCAGCCCCGAUUGCGGCAUGUCCUUCGCCGGCUUGUGUUCCUCCCGUGGCUUCGGGUUCGUCAGUACUUGAUGCGGCCGCUGAGGAGGCUGAGCGGGAGCGUGGCUACACGGCUCUUACCAAGUUUAUGAAAUUCCACCCUCCGACGUUUGAUGGCGAGGUAAUAGACCCUUGGGUCGUGGAGACUUGGUUAGCCACGAUGGAGACAUUGUUCGAGGACAUCUACACCUUGAAACGAGAUAAAGUACACUUGGCCACUCAUUGCUUCGAGAAGAGGGCUCGAGUCUGGUGGAGGAGGGUGAAACAAGAUCGAUCUCUGGACCUUCCCCCGAUUGAUUUGGAGGAGUUUCCGGGGUUGAUAUUUGUGGAGUAUUUUCCCGACAGUAAUAAGAGAAAGAUGCGGGAGGAUUUUCGGAAGCUCAAACAGGGCAAUCGUACAGUUCGGGAGUAUGAGCGAGAGUUCACUCAUCUCCUGAAUUGUGUCCCGGAUGUGGCACGGACCGAGCAGGAUCGGGCGGAGUGCUUUGUGGGGGGACUCCGGCCCGAUAUAUUUCGGAUGGUGCAUGCUUUCAAGUUCCGCACUUUUGCGGAGGUGUUGGAUCGUGCCUUAUGGGUCGAGCACGGGAACGCUUGCGUGCAGGAGGAGCUCUAGGCGUUCGAGAAGGACAAGGGGAAGAAGCGGCCCGGCGGUAGUUCAGGGGGACAGUCAAGUUCCAAGAAGCCCCCGAAGUAUCCAAAGGGACAGUCCAAGAGCCGUGGACCCUUGAGGUGUGUGAUCUGUGGCGGGGAGUAUCGGCCAAUCAACUGUGAACAUAAGGCGAGACGGUGCUUCAGGUAUGGUCAGGCGGGACAUAUAGGCCGGCAGUGCCCAGAAGGAUCGUCGCCUGCCCCGUCUGUUGCAUCCGCUCCGGCGACUCCGAGAUAGUUUGGUGGAGCUCCUCCCGCUGCGAUGUCUGCUGGAUGUGUGUUGGCGCCACGUCAGUCUGAGGCGCCUCAGCCGGCUCCAAGUGGCCGAGUGUUUGCGGCGCAAGUGGAGGAACCUGCGGAGGUCGUCGACCGUGACGUCGUGGCAAGUAUGGUUUUGAUUAACGGAGUUCGCUCCAGGGCUAUGUUUGAUACAGGUGCUACGCACUCAUUCAUCAGUAGGCCAUUUGCACAAAUGCAUGGUAUAGAGAUACAAUUGAGUGAAAGCACUUGGCGAGUAAAGGGCCCCGGGCAUGCAUUUGUUAUUCGGAAGGAAUGCUUGGCGUGUCCAGUGCAGGUGGGCAACUGGAUCAUGUCGACACGGAUGUUAGUGCUCAAGAAGUUGAAGGACUUCGACAUCAUAUUAGGCAUGGACUGGCUCUCGAAGUAUUAUGCGUCUAUCGACUGCAAGAACAAGGUGAUAACUUUCGUGAGCCAGGAUAGGAGGAGUUCGCCUAUCGAGCAUGCAAGAGCUCAUGCUUCGCCGCGACGGUGUCGGCGACAAGGGCGAGAAAGUUGGUUAGCAGCGGUUGCGCAGCUUACUUAGCGACCGUUGUGGAGGUCAAUAAGGUGACUCCGGCACUUGAGGAUAUAUCCGUGGUCCGGGAGUUUCCAGAUGUCUUUCCUGCGGAGUUACCGGGAUUGCCACUGGAUCGAGAGAUCGAGUUCGUUAUAGACUUGGUCCCCGGGACGGCGCCAAUUUCGAAGGCUCCAUAUCGAAUGGCACCGACCGAGUUAGAGGAAUUGAAGGCUCAAUUGCAGGAUCUAGUCGAUAAAGGGUUCGUGAAGCCGAGUGUAUCACCUUGGGGAGUCCCGGUGCUGUUUGUAAAGAAGGACGACGGAUCCUUUCGUCUUUGUGUUGAUUAUCGUGAUCUCAAUAAAGUCACGAUUAAGAAUAAGUACCCGUUGCCUGGUAUCGACGACUUGUUUGAUCAGUUGCAAGGGUCGCGGGUUUACUCGAAGGUUGAUCUCCAGUCCGGCUAUCAUCAGUUAAAGAUCAAGCCAGAUGAUGUGCAUAAGACCGCGUUUCGAACAUGGUACGGGCACUACGAGUUCACGGUCAUGCCAUUUGGGCUUACAAAUGCCCCGGCAGCGUUCAUGGAUUUGAUGAACCGUGUGUUUAGAGCUUAUUUGGACCGAUUUGUGGUGGUAUUCACAGAUGACAUCUUGGUCUACUCACGUAGCGACGAGGAGCACGCGGAACAUUUGAGGAUUGUGCUACAAGUCCUUCGGGAGGAAAAGCUCUAUGCAAAGUUGAAGAAGUGCGACUUCUGGCUUAGGAAGGUUGCUUUCUUAGGGCACGUCAUUUUCGAGGGUGGUGUAUCUGUUGACCCAAGGAAAGCGGGGGCGAUUAAGGAUUGGCCUCGCCCGACUAAUGUGUUAGAAGUUUGUAGUGCUACUAUAGACAGUUUGUGGAGGGAUUCUCAAAAAUCGUGUUCCACUUACUCGUCUCACUCAGAAGGGCGCGAAGUUCGUUUGGAGUGACGAUUGUGAGCAGUGCUUCAAGGAAUUAAAGGAAAGGUUGACGUUGACUCCGAUACUAGCCCUACCGGUCCAGGGAGAGGACUUUGUGGUUUAUAGCGACGCAUCCUACCAGGGGCUUGGGUGUGUUCCGAUGCAAUGCGGGAAGGUGAUUGCUUAUGCAUCCCGCCAGUUGAAAAACCAUGAGAAGAACUAUCCCAUUCAUGACAUGGAGUUGGCAGCGGUGGUCUUCGCACUCAAGUUGUGCAGACACUACCUUUAUAGAGCGCGUUGCGAGUUAUACACAGACCACAAGAGUUUGAAAUAUCUGUUCACUCAGAAGGAACUCAAUAUGCGACAGCACAGGUGGUUGGAAUUAUUAAAGGAUUACGAUGUUACAAUCCUUUACCACCCUGGGAAGGCAAAUGUAGUAGCGGAUGCGCUUAGCAGAAAGUCGAUGGAGAACCUCGCGUUAUGGGUCACCAAUCAGGAGCCCUUGUGGAAGGAAAUGUGGCGAAUGGACCUUGAAGUUGUAGCUCUGGAGGUUCUGACUAUACUGUUGGCUCUCGUUGUCCAACCGACCUUGUUGGAACGAAUCAAGGAAUUGCAAUCCGCGGAUAUAAGUCUCCAAAAGGUGCGGCGCGACAUCGAGAGUGGUCGCCUUGGGGAUUUUAGCAUUGGCACCGAUGGCACUCUUCGGUACCGAAACCGGUGGUGUGUGCCGGAUAAUGAAGAAAUCCCAAGGUUGAUUUUGGACGAGGCACAUCGGUUUUCCUAUAGCGUCCACCCGGGCGGCACCAAAAUGUUCGAGGAUUUGAGAGCGCACUAUUGGUGGCCGGGGAUGAGAGGAGAUAUUGGACGCUAUGUGGCGCAAUACCUUGUAUGCAGCAAGUCAAGGCGGAAUGCCGAUUUUCAGUGGAAAAACUUUAAAGUUUACCAAUUUCUGUUUGGAAAUGGGAGGAUAUCACUGUGGAUUUCGUGGUCGGGUUGCCCGUUCGUCGAGUGGCCACGAUACUAUUUGGAUAAUGGUGGAUCAUUUGACCAAGUCGGCGCACUUUUUACCGAUCCACACUACUUGGUCGCGAGACAAGUUGGCACAGGUUUACCUCGACGAGGUAGUGAGGCUUCAUGGGGUUCCAAAGUCAAUUGUGUCGAAUCGAGACCCCCGGUUCACAUCUCACUUUUGGAAAAGCUUGCAACAGCACUUGGCACACGACUCGAUUUUAGCACCGCAUUUUAUCCUCAAACCAAUGGACAGUCAGAGAGAACGAUCCAAGUGUUAGAGGAUAUGUUGUGAGCGUAUGUCACUGACUAUCGGGGUGGUUGGCAUGAGCACCUAACGAUGGCCGAGUUCGCCUACAACAAUAGUUAUCAAGCUAGUAUAGGAAUGGCCCCGUUUGAAGCUCUCUACGGGAGGAAGUGUCGUUCCCCUAUACACUGGAGCGAGGUGGACGAGCGGAUAGCCUUGGGCCUCAAUGUGUUGCGAGAGGUGGAAGAGAAGGUCCGCCUUGCUCGCCGAAGGAUGUUUACGGCGCAAGCUAGGCAGAAGAAUUAUGCGGAUCGGCGUCGGAGAGACCUUGAGUUCGCGGUUGGAGACCGCGUCUUCUUAAAAGUUUCGCCUAUGAUGGGUGUGAAGAGGUUUGGAGCUCGGGAAAAGCUAAGUCCCCAUUACAUCGGACCGUAGGAGGUACUAGAACGGAUUGGUGCGGUGGCUUAUCGGUUAGCAUUGCCGCCCGAGCUUGCAGAAGUUCAUAGUGCAUUCCACAUUUCAAAUAUCUGCAAAUACGUUCACGAUCCCGAGCAUGUGCUCUUGUUCGAACCGCCCGAGCUUCAAGAGAAUAUGACUUAUGAGGAGUUCCCGGUGCGCAUCAUUGCUCAUGAGGUGAGGAAGCUGCGGAACCGUGAGAUUUCAUAUGUCAAAGUCCAAUGGAGCAACCAUGAUGAUCGGGAGGCUACUUGGGAGCUCGAGGAGGCGAUGAGAAAGCACCAUCCUCAUCUUUUCUAGGAUUUGGAUUAAGGUAUGCGUAUUAGUUUAAGCGCGUGGUGUUUCGCGGACGAAACUCCUUUUAAGGAUGGGAGGAUGUAAGAUAUUGGAUUCUCGGUACGUACGAAUCCGAACUUCGGUCGGAAUUGACCAAAGUGCGGAGUUAUUGGCUUCGAAACGCUUCGGAAAAGUCCGAAUGCGUUAGAAUAGCUUCUAAGGGUGUUGAGGGCCUCGGAGAGCAUUGAGGAGAAAUCCCAAAAAUUUUGAAAAGAAAUUUGCUCUCGGGGUCCGGUCCCUCUAGAGGGUCCGGUCCCCGUAGCCCGAAAAUGCCCAGUGCGGACAGUGAGUAACUUUGGUUGUUUGAGAGGUUUUAUGCAAUUGUGGCAUGAGAAGGGGCUAUAGAACUGGGUUGGCCUUCUCCUCUCUCAUUUCCCUCACACUUGCAACCUAAACUAGCUCUCUCUCUCUCUCUCUAAGAUAGCUCUCUCUCUCUCUCUCUCUUAGGGUGGAUCCAAGAGGAAAAGUUAGUGGAGAAGGGUGCUAGAAGGUAGAGUUUCAUUUUCUUCUUCUUCCUUGCUAGUGGAGAAAGCUUGUUGAGGUGAGCUCCUAGAUCUCUAAUGGUAGAUCUUUGAGGUUUGGUUUAAAUGCCCUAGGAUUUGAUCUAGAUGGGUUUCUAGAUGCUAACUAGAUGCUAUUUGCUUGAAUCAUGGGAUUAUUUAGUGUAUUCUUGCAAGUAGAGGAAUCUCGGAUCAAAGAGGGGGUUUUGCUAUAUGUUAGGUAAAUUGAACCUACGUAAACCUAAUUUCUAGGCAUUCUGACGCAUUGGUAGCCUCGGUUCGGCAAUCCGUUGAGGCUACGCGAAGAUAUUGGAGAAAAAGACCAUUUUGGCUUCGUUUCCGCCUGGAAGACCGAGGCGGUGUUCAAAAAUCACGAAACUAGGAUUCUCACACCUUGGGACUAUUUAGAGGUGGGGGGUGCUAUCCGGAACAUCCAGAUUUCUUUCUAUGCCUUAGUUGCUUCUUUGGCCAUUCUAGUUCAUGUAGUAUGCAUGCAUUAUAGAGUAGGUUGUCAUUUAUUCCUUUCCUUGCUUGCUCUCAUGAGAUUGAUAUAUAUAUAUAUACAUAUAUACAUAUAUAUAUAUAUAUAUAUAUAUAUAUACAUAUAUACAUAUAUACAUAUAUAUAUAUAUGUGAAUGAGAUGGAACAUUGUGCUAUGUGAUGUGGGGAUCGGAUGCGGACAAGGGGCUCUAUAGUGGCAUGACAACAACUUGAACAUUGUGGCAUUGGAAAGUGGCAAUUGACAUGUGAAUGGAAAAACUUAUGACAUUAUGGCAUUAGCUAGAGACAAUGUGAACUUGUGGCAUUAGCUAGAGGCAAUGUGAUUACUCGGAUAUGAGGUUGGGAUCGGUGUUGUUCCCGGAUUGGAUUACCACUAGUUGGUGGGGUAUCCUCGGGUUAGAGGAUUGGAUCAUGCUCACAUUCGUCUGUUAGCUUGGUAGUGGUAGCUCCACCCAAGCUGUGGUCUUCGAAGUUCUUCACGGUUAGGGACAGACGUAGUUGUCCCAUAGACAGCUCCGGGUGAGAGCAGCGGACGCCUCCUCACAAUGCAUAGUUGGUUGUGUGAGUAGAGGCUUAACCUUCGGGUGAGCCGGUAUGAUUGGGUUAUGAAAACAAAGGUAAAUAACAUUCAUCAUGAGCAUAGUAGAUACUAUUACAUGUUUACCUUACCUGUUCUUUAUUGUUCAUAUUACAAAGGCAUAGUAGUAUGCUAGAUGUUUACAUAUUUAUCGCUAACCCUUUACUACUUAUGCCUGCUUAGACCUAGUGAAAAAAUCGGCGGCGUCGGUGGCCGAACCCACUGGAAACUAUUUAUUUAGUUAUCAUCCCACUUUGUUGCAGGGUCGAGUUCGAGCGCGCCGGUCGAGGACUGCGGUAAGGGCAUAGCUACCUCCUACUUUGCAUUAGAGUCGAGUACUACUUUGAUGUAGCAUGUAUAUAAUUGAGAGAUUUAUGUCUUUUGGUGAGGUUGCUAGAGAGAUCAUGUAUUAUGAGAUGUUAUGUAUCUGUUUGAUGCAAGAUGUAAUCAAUGAUGUAUAGCUUGGUGGGAAAUAUGUAUUAAAUGAUUGAAUGCAAUGUGAUAGUUAGACUCUCUCUCUUACUCGCUUGUAUUUUAAUACUCGCUUGAUCAUAUAUGUUGUUGAAGUUAUUCCUGGGUAACUAGAUGUACAUGAUGAUCUUUGUUCACCUUGGGCGGAUAGGGGAGACUCUGUCCGUUCGGCGACUGUCGUCGAGCCUGUGCCUACCAAAUAGGCGGUCGCGGGCCGUGACAUCGCCUCUUCUUCUUCUUCUUCUUCUUCUUCUUCUUCUUCCUCUUCUUCUUCUUCUUCUUCCUCCUAUUUCCUUGACCUUUUCCUUCCCCUCCCCCUUCUCCUCUCCCUCCCCCUCCUAUCGCCAUCCUUACUAAUGCGAGCCUCUCUAUCCAGCACGCUACACCGGAGCGACGAAACACGAAAACGACUUACCUCUCUUUUCUUUUUUUUUUCCUUCAUUUUUUUUCUCUCUGACCUUCAUCGCCUCCUCCGCUGCCUCCGUGGCCUGCGGCGACGGUAAGGGCGGCGCCACCUCCUCUUCCGCUGGCGCUGGCGGCCCUUAACGAAGGUAACGAGGGUGGCAUCGCCUUCUCUUCAUCCACCUCCGCCUCCGCUAACACCGGAGAAGGAGAAAAAGAAGGAGAACUCAGAGCGGGGCUAGGUGAGUGCGGAGUUGACAGAGGCGAUAAGGUCGUUUUCAUGUUUCGGCACUCCAAUGCGGCGUGCUGGGUAGAGAGGCUCGCGUUGGUGAGAAUGGAGGUUGGACGGGGAGGGAGGGGAAGUGGUCAAGGGAAGAAGAAGAAGAAGAAGAUGAUGAUGAUGAUGAGGAGAUAACGCCGAUAAGGGUUGGAUAUAGUACAAUUUUCUCUGAAAUUAUGUAAUUUUUGUUGAAAUUAAGAGUGCAACUUUUAUUUCAAAGAGUGUAAUUUUUAUUUCAAAUCGUGAAAUGUUAAUAUUAAACAGUGUACUUUUCUUAUAAAAUAGUGCAAUUUUAUUUUAACAGUGCAGCAUUCAUCUUCUUCUUUUUUCUCUGAUUCUUAAACUUUUCGGUAACAGCAAUAAUAUAUAAUGGCCUUUUAAAGAGAAGAAAAGCUUCUUCUUCAUUUUUUACUUUUUAUUCUUUUUUUUCCCUACUCUUUCCAUCUUUGUUCGCUCCUUAGAGAUGGACCGUCUUUUUUCCUCACUCUCAUGAAUGGCGAGUACGUACCUCCUCAGCAACGGCCUCAUCACCUCCGUUUGCUCCGCCCUCACCUGGGCCCGCUCCGAGUUCUUCUUCUCAUUCUCCGGCAUCGACAGAGGAGGAGAUGGAGGAAAAGGAGGUGGCGCCGUCCUUGUUACCGUCACUGAGGGCUGCGGAGGCGGUGGAGGAGGCGAUGAGGUCAAAGAGAAAAAAAAAGAACGAAAGAAAAGAGAGAGAGAGAGAAAGAGAGAGAGAAAGGAAUAAAAAUAUUUUGGUCAGUUUGUUAAAAAUUCGGUUCAAGUCAGUAAAAUUUAAUAUAGUGGCUCAUUUUUAUAAAAUCGCAAAAUUAGUGAAUUUUUAUACAAAUUGACCAAAUAAUUUUUAUACCGAAUAAAUUAUUUUUAAAUAUCUUAUUUGGAGGCCCAAAUAGGACUAGUAAACAAUACGUGAUAGUACACACUAUAGUAAAUCACUGGCGGUUGGAUCUCAUUUAUUUGUCCAUGUCCAUGCCCAAUGAAACUCGCGGUUAAUUCAGUGGGCAUUAAAAUCAUGAUUAAUUUAUCCACCAAAUUUCGGGGAGGGGGCGGGGAGGAAAGGGAUUCUAUAAAAGCUUAUAGUUCAUCUCAUAAAGGCCAUAUAUGCUCCCUUCCUUCUUAUUCUUAUUUCCCUAUAGGGCCUCUGCAGCGCCAUAUAAAUGGCCGAGAGCGCCGCCGCCACUGCCGCCGCUGCUGUUGACGCGGAGUCAAGGCGAGGGGAGUACACAAAAGAUGGAUCAGUGGAUCUCAAGGGAAACCCUGUUCUUAGAUCCACGAGAGGUGGUUGGACUGCUUGCUCCUUUGUUGUGGGUAAUCAUGAAUUGAACUCUCUCUCUCUCUCUCUCUCUCUCUCUCUCUCUAUCUCUCUCUCUAUAUGUCUAUGUGACUUGCCAUUCAUUUUCCUUCAUGUUCUUUUGUAGGAUUCAUUAGCUGCUUCUCUGCUUCCUUUUAUAUAAUAAUAACAAUGCUUACAUAGAAAUGCUGUUUAAGUACAACUGCUAGGAAAAGCACUAAUAAGUGACAUUUCAUCAAAAAUUUUCUACAGUAACUUCUACGCAACACAAGCAAAAAGACACCACAGCAAAACCUAAAGACUUUUCAUUGUAAUUAGAAAUGAAAAAAAAAAAAAAGGCUUCUUUUCCGGCUGGAGCUUAUACAGAAGUAUUAUUUUAGUAGAGCUACUUACUACAAGAUGCAUCAUUAGCUGAUUUUUCAUCAAAAUCCUAUUGCAACCACUUGUAGAAGUAGAAAAUCACAACAUCAAAAGCUCCGGACUUGUCCAUAUACCCAAAUUAAAGAAAUGACAACUUACUUCCGCUUUGUACCAUAGCAGAAGAUGUAAGCUUUUCAGCUAACCAAACAUUAAUUUUAUUAAAGCUAAAUUACAUUUGUAAUAGUUCUAUAUGUGUGUUCCAUUAAAGCUAAACAAUUGAAUUAAAUAUUAUAUUUUUGUUCUUGAAGUUCUAAGAUUAUGAAAUAUUCUCCUCUUUAGAGGGGGAAAUUGAGGCUCCACUCCAUUAAUGGUGUGUGUGAGUGAAAGAAGCCAGAGCAUCCAAGUGCACUUAAUUGCUUCGAUGCGACCAAUUCAACUUAAAUUUCUUAUUUAUUAGGCAACAUGCUACUGUAGACCCUUGAGACCAUUCCCAUACCUACUAGGCUACUAUUAAGUAUUAACCCACCAGAGAGAAGAUAUGGAAUUUAUGGGAAUAUUAAUUUUUUUUUCUUUCUGAUGUGCCGGAAUUUUAUUGGCCAGCAGGAUUAUCUUUUGGGCCAAUCCAAUCCACGUGGGUUGGCCGAGGAGUCACGUGAUUGGGUAUGGCAGUCAAGUUCAACCAAUUGUAGGUGCAUAUUUAUUAUUAAUUAAUUACUGCUCCAUACCUUAACCAAAUUUUAUGGGCUUUUUUUGCAAGUAGCCCUCUGACAAAUUUUAUUUACAAAAAUAGUCUUGUCCAAAAUUUAUUUGCAAAAAUGGCCCUGGCCCUGCCACGCCAGCGCCACGUCAGCGCCACGCGGGCAGGGUCUGGGCCAGGUAUUCAAGUUGAACACGGUGAUUGGUUCACCGUGUUUAGACACGGUGAACCAAUCACCGUGUUCAUGUGUUACUAACAACCCGCCCAGGGUGUUAGUAUUGCAUUAGACACGGUGAUUCGUUCACCGUGUCUAAACACGGUGAACUGUUCACCGCGUUUAGACACGGUGAACCAUUUACCGUGUCCUUCACUUCCAUAUUUGGCCAAAUACGGCCUGGCUAGUUGUAUUGGACACGGACUUAGCCGUUUUCGGGGGUGCUCAAUACAUUUGUAUUGGACACGGUGAACCAUUCACCGUGUCCAUUAGAUUUGUAUUGGACACGGUGAAUGGAUCACCGUGUCCAAUACAAAUGUAUUGGACACGGUGAUCCAUUCACCGUGUCCAAUACAAAUCUAAUGGAUACGGUGAAUGGUUGACUGUGUCCAAUACAAAUGUAUUAAGCACCCCCGAAAAUGGCUAAGUCCGUAUCCAAUACAACUAGCCAAGCCGUAUUUGACCAAAUAUGAAAGUGAAGGACACGGUAAAUGAUUCACCAUGUCUAAACGCGGUGAACAGUUCACCGUGUUUAGACACGGUGAACGAAUCACCGUAUCUAAUGCAAUACUACCACUCCGGACGGGGUGUGAGAAACACGAUGAACACGGUGAUUGGUUCACCGUGUUUAGACACGGUGAACCAAUCACCGUGUUCAACUUGAAUACCUGGCCCAGACCCUGCCCGCGUGGCGCUGACGUAGCGCUGGCAUGGCAGGGCCAAGGUCAUUUUUAUAAAUAAAUUUUGGAUAGGACUAUUUUUGCAAAUAAAAUUUGUCAGGAGGCUAUUUGCAAAAAAAGCCCCUUUUUUAAGCUUUUUGUCCACGUAGUACUGUCGCAGCGCAUUAUUCCCUGCUCGGAGGCGGCUUCACCGACGAGAGGUGCUGCUUCUACUUCGUCUCCGUACGUAGAAGGUUUGUGGGCUCUGGAAUGUUCCGUUACCAAAAGGGUCUCUCGAUUAUUCUCUGGAUACGUUCUUUGGCAUUUUCUAACUGAUGCUCUCUUCUUUUUUUUUUGGUUUUUUUGUUUUUUUUUUUUUUUUCGUUGUUUGCAGUGAAUCGCUGAUGGAGAGAAGGUUUUUUGUUUGCGGGAACUGGAAAUGCGUAAAUUAUCUCUUCCCGAUUCUCUACAUUUUAUGGUCGUUUUUUUUAUUAUGCUUUAAUAAUCCCUGAGUAGAACUUCUUUUUUUCUUUUUUUUUUUUAUUCCUCAUAUUUGUGUGCCGUCGAUAGAUUUUGGUUGUAGUAGUUAACUUGUACAAUUCAUUAACCUCUCGAAAUACCAAAUUCUCGUUAAUUUGCAUCAUCUUUUCUUGUUUGACACCAUCGACCUGUAUGUUUGUGACUAAUUGAUUUAUUUAUUUAUCUUUUUUGAAGGUGGUGUUUGUGACUAAUUUAGCGAAAAUAUCUACAAUAUUGUUUAGUUUAGAUGUUGCUGCAUCUCAUGUAUUAUCAAGUGCAUUUCAAAUGUGCUGUUAAAACUUGCUUAAUGCACUUUUCGUUUUCAAACUUUAAUUGGACUUGUGGUUUUUAAACUUUAAUUUGUUUCUCAAACUUUAAUUUGCUAUAAUUUUUUAUCCGAGCAUUUUAGAUUGUUGCAAUCAAGUCGCGAACAUUCUGGUUAGUGCAUGACUUUUACCAUUUUUCGUGAUUUCAUCAUCUAUGUUUGACAUAGAAGUCUGAGCAUAGUAUUUUGUGAACUUUACCUGUCGGGCCCAUUUUGCCCUGUUCGUUUAGGCCCUGUUUGGAGGUCAGAGUUAGUUAUCCAAGGAUAACUUAUUGAUAUAUAAAAAUUUUCUAGUAUGAUUGCAGGGGACGAAGCAAGAAAUUAAAAUUCGGAGGCCAAGAUUUAGAUUCGAUAGAAAAAAAAAUUCAACCUUGGAUAAUAAGAAAAAAAUUUUGUCAGAUUCACUGAUCAGUUAUUACUAGCAACAAUAAUAAUAAUAUGCUCAAAAAGGAACAAGACCAUAAGAGUUGAAGAGAAAGGAUCGAGAAAUUUGAAAAAAAAAUUGAGACACAAUUUUAUUAAAAGAAUUAAUUUGGCCCCCCAAAAUUAAAAUUUAUAAUAUUUUAUUUUUAUUACAAAAGACUUCUAUGUAAUUUGAAAAAAGUUAGGGGGGCCAUGGCCACUGUGGGCCCGGCAAUGGCUCCGCCACUGUUAAUGAUUGUAAGAAAUCUGGUUGAUUUCAGCUCUUUGAGAGGUCUUGAUAUUCAUGAUUUGCUAAGAUAACAUAUUUUAUCUAUAUGGUGAUUUAUUUUGUCCCAAAAAAUUAACUUAAGGCCAAAAAUAAUAUCCAAUUUUAGGCAUUUAAUCACACUUUUCGUCUACGAAAUAUACAAACUUCUUAAGAAAAUUAUGGAGAUAUACUGAAUAAGAUAUUUAUGCAUCCGUGCAGAGCCUUAGCUUAUCCCUUAUUCAGAGCUCAAUCUUAUUCACAUCAUUGUUCUAGCAGUUUUUUCAUGUUCUGUGACUAUUUGUACUUUCUACAGUGUAGAGAUGUUGGUAGACCUUGAUCUACAUUCGGUCGUUCUAGGACAUUUUGAAAGACGCAUGUUGUUCGGCGAAUCAGAUGAAGUAAGUUCCUCGACAGAGAUAGUUUAAGCAUUUAUAUUUAUUCAUAAGUUCAGUAGAUGCUUAUUUUUAUUAGUAAAUAGUGUUUAUAUUGGAUUACUUUUCGUCCGAUGGGCCUUACAAGAAUUUUACUCUGUUUUUCUCUUUUUUGGUUGAUCCGUAUUUUGACUUCUUGUUAUUAGAUGAACAUAGCCUAGGGAUGCAAAUUAUGUUUUAUUCAACUUCUUAUUGAUCUUAUUUUUGGGUUAUUUUUUUAAUAUGGAUUUUAUAUGAUUUUUGUUUUUUUUUUUUUUUUUNNNNNNNNNNNNNNNNNNNNNNNNNNNNNNNNNNNNNNNNNNNNNNNNNNNNNNNNNNNNNNNNNNNNNNNNNNNNNNNNNNNNNNNNNNNNNNNNNNNNNNNNNNNNNNNNNNNNNNNNNNNNNNNNNNNNNNNNNNNNNNNNNNNNNNNNNNNNNNNNNNNNNNNNNNNNNNNNNNNNNNNNNNNNNNNNNNNNNNNNNNNNNNNNNNNNNNNNNNNNNNNNNNNNNNNNNNNNNNNNNNNNNNNNNNNNNNNNNNNNNNNNNNNNNNNNNNNNNNNNNNNNNNNNNNNNNNNNNNNNNNNNNNNNNNNNNNNNNNNNNNNNNNNNNNNNNNNNNNNNNNNNNNNNNNNNNNNNNNNNNNNNNNNNNNNNNNNNNNNNNNNNNNNNNNNNNNNNNNNNNNNNNNNNNNNNNNNNNNNNNNNNNNNNNNNNNNNNNNNNNNNNNNNNNNNNNNNNNNNNNNNNNNNNNNNNNNNNNNNNNNNNNNNNNNNNNNNNNNNNNNNNNNNNNNNNNNNNNNNNNNNNNNNNNNNNNNNNNNNNNNNNNNNNNNNNNNNNNNNNNNNNNNNNNNNNNNNNNNNNNNNNNNNNNNNNNNNNNNNNNNNNNNNNNNNNNNNNNNNNNNNNNNNNNNNNNNNNNNNNNNNNNNNNNNNNNNNNNNNNNNNNNNNNNNNNNNNNNNNNNNNNNNNNNNNNNNNNNNNNNNNNNNNNNNNNNNNNNNNNNNNNNNNNNNNNNNNNNNNNNNNNNNNNNNNNNNNNNNNNNNNNNNNNNNNNNNNNNNNNNNNNNNNNNNNNNNNNNNNNNNNNNNNNNNNNNNNNNNNNNNNNNNNNNNNNNNNNNNNNNNNNNNNNNNNNNNNNNNNNNNNNNNNNNNNNNNNNNNNNNNNNNNNNNNNNNNNNNNNNNNNNNNNNNNNNNNNNNNNNNNNNNNNNNNNNNNNNNNNNNNNNNNNNNNNNNNNNNNNNNNNNNNNNNNNNNNNNNNNNNNNNNNNNNNNNNNNNNNNNNNNNNNNNNNNNNNNNNNNNNNNNNNNNNNNNNNNNNNNNNNNNNNNNNNNNNNNNNNNNNNNNNNNNNNNNNNNNNNNNNNNNNNNNNNNNNNNNNNNNNNNNNNNNNNNNNNNNNNNNNNNNNNNNNNNNNNNNNNNNNNNNNNNNNNNNNNNNNNNNNNNNNNNNNNNNNNNNNNNNNNNNNNNNNNNNNNNNNNNNNNNNNNNNNNNNNNNNNNNNNNNNNNNNNNNNNNNNNNNNNNNNNNNNNNNNNNNNNNNNNNNNNNNNNNNNNNNNNNNNNNNNNNNNNNNNNNNNNNNNNNNNNNNNNNNNNNNNNNNNNNNNNNNNNNNNNNNNNNNNNNNNNNNNNNNNNNNNNNNNNNNNNNNNNNNNNNNNNNNNNNNNNNNNNNNNNNNNNNNNNNNNNNNNNNNNNNNNNNNNNNNNNNNNNNNNNNNNNNNNNNNNNNNNNNNNNNNNNNNNNNNNNNNNNNNNNNNNNNNNNNNNNNNNNNNNNNNNNNNNNNNNNNNNNNNNNNNNNNNNNNNNNNNNNNNNNNNNNNNNNNNNNNNNNNNNNNNNNNNNNNNNNNNNNNNNNNNNNNNNNNNNNNNNNNNNNNNNNNNNNNNNNNNNNNNNNNNNNNNNNNNNNNNNNNNNNNNNNNNNNNNNNNNNNNNNNNNNNNNNNNNNNNNNNNNNNNNNNNNNNNNNNNNNNNNNNNNNNNNNNNNNNNNNNNNNNNNNNNNNNNNNNNNNNNNNNNNNNNNNNNNNNNNNNNNNNNNNNNNNNNNNNNNNNNNNNNNNNNNNNNNNNNNNNNNNNNNNNNNNNNNNNNNNNNNNNNNNNNNNNNNNNNNNNNNNNNNNNNNNNNNNNNNNNNNNNNNNNNNNNNNNNNNNNNNNNNNNNNNNNNNNNNNNNNNNNNNNNNNNNNNNNNNNNNNNNNNNNNNNNNNNNNNNNNNNNNNNNNNNNNNNNNNNNNNNNNNNNNNNNNNNNNNNNNNNNNNNNNNNNNNNNNNNNNNNNNNNNNNNNNNNNNNNNNNNNNNNNNNNNNNNNNNNNNNNNNNNNNNNNNNNNNNNNNNNNNNNNNNNNNNNNNNNNNNNNNNNNNNNNNNNNNNNNNNNNNNNNNNNNNNNNNNNNNNNNNNNNNNNNNNNNNNNNNNNNNNNNNNNNNNNNNNNNNNNNNNNNNNNNNNNNNNNNNNNNNNNNNNNNNNNNNNNNNNNNNNNNNNNNNNNNNNNNNNNNNNNNNNNNNNNNNNNNNNNNNNNNNNNNNNNNNNNNNNNNNNNNNNNNNNNNNNNNNNNNNNNNNNNNNNNNNNNNNNNNNNNNNNNNNNNNNNNNNNNNNNNNNNNNNNNNNNNNNNNNNNNNNNNNNNNNNNNNNNNNNNNNNNNNNNNNNNNNNNNNNNNNNNNNNNNNNNNNNNNNNNNNNNNNNNNNNNNNNNNNNNNNNNNNNNNNNNNNNNNNNNNNNNNNNNNNNNNNNNNNNNNNNNNNNNNNNNNNNNNNNNNNNNNNNNNNNNNNNNNNNNNNNNNNNNNNNNNNNNNNNNNNNNNNNNNNNNNNNNNNNNNNNNNNNNNNNNNNNNNNNNNNNNNNNNNNNNNNNNNNNNNNNNNNNNNNNNNNNNNNNNNNNNNNNNNNNNNNNNNNNNNNNNNNNNNNNNNNNNNNNNNNNNNNNNNNNNNNNNNNNNNNNNNNNNNNNNNNNNNNNNNNNNNNNNNNNNNNNNNNNNNNNNNNNNNNNNNNNNNNNNNNNNNNNNNNNNNNNNNNNNNNNNNNNNNNNNNNNNNNNNNNNNNNNNNNNNNNNNNNNNNNNNNNNNNNNNNNNNNNNNNNNNNNNNNNNNNNNNNNNNNNNNNNNNNNNNNNNNNNNNNNNNNNNNNNNNNNNNNNNNNNNNNNNNNNNNNNNNNNNNNNNNNNNNNNNNNNNNNNNNNNNNNNNNNNNNNNNNNNNNNNNNNNNNNNNNNNNNNNNNNNNNNNNNNNNNNNNNNNNNNNNNNNNNNNNNNNNNNNNNNNNNNNNNNNNNNNNNNNNNNNNNNNNNNNNNNNNNNNNNNNNNNNNNNNNNNNNNNNNNNNNNNNNNNNNNNNNNNNNNNNNNNNNNNNNNNNNNNNNNNNNNNNNNNNNNNNNNNNNNNNNNNNNNNNNNNNNNNNNNNNNNNNNNNNNNNNNNNNNNNNNNNNNNNNNNNNNNNNNNNNNNNNNNNNNNNNNNNNNNNNNNNNNNNNNNNNNNNNNNNNNNNNNNNNNNNNNNNNNNNNNNNNNNNNNNNNNNNNNNNNNNNNNNNNNNNNNNNNNNNNNNNNNNNNNNNNNNNNNNNNNNNNNNNNNNNNNNNNNNNNNNNNNNNNNNNNNNNNNNNNNNNNNNNNNNNNNNNNNNNNNNNNNNNNNNNNNNNNNNNNNNNNNNNNNNNNNNNNNNNNNNNNNNNNNNNNNNNNNNNNNNNNNNNNNNNNNNNNNNNNNNNNNNNNNNNNNNNNNNNNNNNNNNNNNNNNNNNNNNNNNNNNNNNNNNNNNNNNNNNNNNNNNNNNNNNNNNNNNNNNNNNNNNNNNNNNNNNNNNNNNNNNNNNNNNNNNNNNNNNNNNNNNNNNNNNNNNNNNNNNNNNNNNNNNNNNNNNNNNNNNNNNNNNNNNNNNNNNNNNNNNNNNNNNNNNNNNNNNNNNNNNNNNNNNNNNNNNNNNNNNNNNNNNNNNNNNNNNNNNNNNNNNNNNNNNNNNNNNNNNNNNNNNNNNNNNNNNNNNNNNNNNNNNNNNNNNNNNNNNNNNNNNNNNNNNNNNNNNNNNNNNNNNNNNNNNNNNNNNNNNNNNNNNNNNNNNNNNNNNNNNNNNNNNNNNNNNNNNNNNNNNNNNNNNNNNNNNNNNNNNNNNNNNNNNNNNNNNNNNNNNNNNNNNNNNNNNNNNNNNNNNNNNNNNNNNNNNNNNNNNNNNNNNNNNNNNNNNNNNNNNNNNNNNNNNNNNNNNNNNNNNNNNNNNNNNNNNNNNNNNNNNNNNNNNNNNNNNNNNNNNNNNNNNNNNNNNNNNNNNNNNNNNNNNNNNNNNNNNNNNNNNNNNNNNNNNNNNNNNNNNNNNNNNNNNNNNNNNNNNNNNNNNNNNNNNNNNNNNNNNNNNNNNNNNNNNNNNNNNNNNNNNNNNNNNNNNNNNNNNNNNNNNNNNNNNNNNNNNNNNNNNNNNNNNNNNNNNNNNNNNNNNNNNNNNNNNNNNNNNNNNNNNNNNNNNNNNNNNNNNNNNNNNNNNNNNNNNNNNNNNNNNNNNNNNNNNNNNNNNNNNNNNNNNNNNNNNNNNNNNNNNNNNNNNNNNNNNNNNNNNNNNNNNNNNNNNNNNNNNNNNNNNNNNNNNNNNNNNNNNNNNNNNNNNNNNNNNNNNNNNNNNNNNNNNNNNNNNNNNNNNNNNNNNNNNNNNNNNNNNNNNNNNNNNNNNNNNNNNNNNNNNNNNNNNNNNNNNNNNNNNNNNNNNNNNNNNNNNNNNNNNNNNNNNNNNNNNNNNNNNNNNNNNNNNNNNNNNNNNNNNNNNNNNNNNNNNNNNNNNNNNNNNNNNNNNNNNNNNNNNNNNNNNNNNNNNNNNNNNNNNNNNNNNNNNNNNNNNNNNNNNNNNNNNNNNNNNNNNNGGAGUCCCGUAAUAAAACUCCAACAUCCAAUCAAUGUAAUACUCAUCUCUCCAUGUCGCAAAUGGAAACUCUUGUCUCCCGCGCCACCUCAGACUAAUGCCCAGUAAUAAAUGAACCGAUCGAGCUGUAGCGGCGCAAAUCGUGAAAACGCUAAUAAAAUCCUGCUGCGCAAUAAGUCCAACACCGCAGAUGCUCGCACUGGCCAAUCUGCUUCAACUUUGCGCACAUACUUCCGUAUUGAACAGGAGAAUAUCCCUGCAUCGAUUGUGAAUUGCCAGCACGGUAAAUUAGUACAUAAGUUAAAGAAGAUUCUAGUAAAUUUGAAAAUGUUUUUAAAAAUUUACCUCCCCUCUUGAUCAAAGUAAUCUAUGUCGUGGCUGGCUCAGUCAGCACGGAUGUAUGCAAUAGGUCCGGUCGUCAUGAUCGUCCAUCUGAAUAUUGGCACAAAAAAAAAACAUUAAUUAGAUACAAUAUGAUUGUAAAAUGUGCGUAAGUAAAAAGAUUAAGAGUUAUAGUGUCCAUAUUAAUAGGAAAACCUAUCGACGGACGUCCUCUCGAUUUCUUCUUUGCCUGAUUUCAGGACAACUGCUUUAUAAUGUCCAAGCUGUACACAUACUACAGCUGCCCUCCCUAUUCCCCACUGGCUUCCGUCAUAACACUUACGGUAUACGGUUAUCAGCUAGGUCGUCCUUUUUUCUUCUCCCGCGUGUGGCAACUAUAGCGGAAUCAUAUGGAUGUGAUCCAAUAACACGAUCGGGUACGCCGGUAGAAAUUGGCGCGUUCAUAAGGCCUUACAUAUGAUCGACAGAUAUAUCAGGAGAAUAUUAAGCCAUAAUAAUCUAUUUCAAUGUGUGAUGACAUACCAACAUUGAGCAAAAUGGUGAACCAAGAGGAUUCCUGUGAGUUUCCAAACACAAACGAUGAAAUCAUGUAGAACUGCUUUCCAUUGAUAGUCACUUGGUAUUGAUCUCUCGCCAAAGUAAUGUUGAACAUAUGAAAUGCAAAUCGUUGAACGGCAUAUCCCUCGGCACUUUCGAUCCGGCUAUUGAUGGUUUUUUUCAACGUCGUGCAAACUGCGGAGCAUUGCAGCGCCUUUCUGUCCGAAUGUUUUAGAAAAAAUUCAACAUACUCGAUGAAAUGUUGGCCAUCAAAAAAGCUUGUAAUUGGUAAGCCGCUGCGAACUUCCCCUCAACACCCUAUUUUAAACGUUCGAUCGAGUUAGUUUCAUAUACCAAAUUGUCGACCACCAUCAAAAGCUUCUAGCCCAUAUGUCCUUAUCGUUCAUGAGAUGUCAACCCAACGCCAAGCUUCGUUCAUCCAUAGCCUUCAAUCUUCCUUUUAAUGCGUAAUAUUGCGUUUUCUGAAGCACUCCCAAUUCGAUAAAAAUUUAAGUAAGUGUUUCCUUUGAAAUGAAAUAUUCAUAUUGGCCUUCAUAUUCGCGCAAACACCAAUCGAUGAGCAUGACCUUCAGACUGGUGGGAAUACAACGUGCAGACCGACGGUUCGCUAGGCCUUUAAACAUCUGAAAUAGUGUAAUAACUCGAGAUCUUGUUAAUCAUACCUUUCUUAGGCAACUUAAAAACUCACUCCACAACUCGAGCAUUCCACACCCUCCACCAAAUUGCGAAACCUAGCGGAAAUAAACCACCAUUUCCAUCGACACUGUGGCAAUUAAUGCGUGCCUCCGUAUUUCCCAUACAGAUGAGUAAGCAUAAGAUAACUAAGUAAUGGCCGUCAAUACUCCAACAUGAUCGCACGUCCAAAAGCCCAAAGGCUCGUGAAAAACCAUUCUCGUUAUUGCUCCACACUUAACUAUUACUAUCAAUCUUUGUAAUAGUGUCCUGGAUUUGUUGAUUUGCCAACAUAGAAGAAGGGUAUCGAGGAAGGCUCUGGAAGAUUGAUUUGCUCCCAACUACCGUAUAUAAUUUUAGUGCCUUAUAUCUGUGCCGCCAAGCUUAACUAUAUGAUAUGCUAUGUGUAACGUCGCUCUGAACUCAGAGCUUUGAAUGUCAUUGACCUAUUGUAAGCGCUUGCCCUUAGUGUCAGGUAGUUAUAAAUGUUGCCAUAUGAAAGAUGUGUACAGAUUUCGAUGUCUUGUAUUUGAAAAUUGGAACCAAACAAGUGUGCAGACGCUUUAUCAAUCUUUAUUGUUAAAAAUGAACUACCUUUUGGUUGAGGAGCAUGUAUCUCCAGGCGAUAGAAUCGACACCACAUUCGCACAGUAAUAUCUAGUUGUAUUUGACUUAAAAACUUUAAGCUCGCACAUUAUGUGCAAUGUGCCAAGGCGUUGCCAAGGCCCUACUAGCUAGGAUGAUUUAUGAAAAGGCGAUUAGCCACUGCGUCAUCACUUGGAAGCGGACCCUGAUCAAGUAUUUUUGUUCACUAUAUGCAUAACAACGCUUUUGAUUAAUUAAUGUAUUACCGCAGGUAAACCGUUGUGCGUUGAUCGUCAAAUUCAACGAGAUUCAACCGGUGUCCGGUACAUCUUCUGUUGUUGGCCAUUGGAUGUUUCAAUCCAAUUCAACAGCCUUACAUCUCGUAAUGGCGCGGAUGACAGAGGGCAUUCAAGCCCCCCGCCACAUCAAUGAUCGAGAUCCAAAAGAAACACGCCCAACAAAACUCCUCGUCAUCACUAAAUCAGCACUCAAUUCGCCUUGAUCCUCUUCAUCAGUUCACUAACAUACUCCUCAUCAACUUCUACUUACGGUCCAAUAGAUCAGUUGUAGUCACUCCCGAUUGGUCCAUUCACGAUGAGUACAUAAUAAUUUCUUUUGAUAAGGAGGGAUAGUAUUUCUUACUGGCCAAGCCGAUCAUUUGAGAAUACUAGAUGUGUCCUGGACCUUCAUCUACAUAAGGAGAGUUAGUAUUUCUUACUUCCCAAGCCGGCCAUUCAUGAACACUAGAUGAUUCUGGACUCUUCAUCUACAUAGGGAGGGCUAGUAUUUCUUUCUUCCUAAGCCGCCAUUCAUGAACACUAGAUGAUCCUGGACCUUCAUCUACAUAGAGAGAGCUAGUAUUUCUUUCUUCCCAAGCGGCCAUUGAUGAACACUACAUGAGGACUUCAUUUUGAUAAGGAGGGAUAGUGGUCUUGACUUCCCAAUCCGUCCAUUCGUGAACAUAAGAUGAUGGUCGUGGACUUUGAUAAGGAGGACAGUAGACCUGUAGAGAUAUAUAAUGAUUAUUAUUCACAUUGAUUUUUUACGUAACUAAUUAUACAAUCACCUACCACUCAUUUUGAUAACCACAGAGACGGAUCCAUACAGCAGAUGCAAUGCUGCAUAACUGGCUGAGAUGGAACUGCAAACUCUCCUGAAAACACUUACAAGACAAAGUAUUAAUUUCGCGCGCACCUAAACUAUUGAGAAAUCACGAAAAAGAUUAUAAAGUCAUUACUUUAUACUUGAUGUACGACCUCGUUCGCGAUUGACGUAAUUUCUUUGAUCAUUGCGGGUACGACACAUUUCCGUUUGAUAACGGCUAUUUGGACGGUCGUGUGCCGUCGACCCAUCUUUCUCCACGUAUAAUUUUAUACAUCCAUGGAACGGAAAUAUACUCGUCACGCCAGAUAGUGUAUUGUUAUUUGAUACGUUAACAAAUUUCCAUUCGCCUCCCAUUAAACAUUUCACCGUGAUGCGUAGACGGUCUGUCCACUCGAUCAUAAUUAGUAACAUUGUAUAUUUCCAUCUCCUAAUCCCGAAAUGAGAUAUUGCGUCGGACGCAAACCAAUUCUUUACGGCACCAAUAUAUCGUGGUCAUUAUUGUUUCGACAAAUUUUCCGUCCAAUAGAUAUAGAAAGGAACAAGUCGCCAGAUAUAGAGUUCUAAAGUUAUAUAUUAACAUGUAAAAAUAUUAAACUCAAGACAUAUCACAUUUCUAACAUACAACAAAAGAGAGGGUAAAAGAUGGUAUUACCAUUGUACAAGCACGGUCGGCGGCGCGACUACUUUGCCAAUUAAGAACGCAGGAAUAACCUGUGACAAAGAGACAGAGAACAAUCAGUGAAAGAGGGGGGUGGGGGGUGCAGAGAGUUGGGUAGGGGGAGGGUAGUGGAAAGGCUUCUCACUGUGAGAAGCUACAGAGUCUUGGGGGUGGGGGCUUCUCACUGUGGAAGCUCACAUGGCUUCUCACAGUGAGAAGCCAUGUGAGAGUGCUUGGGUGGGGGGGGGAUUCUCACUGUGAGAGCCUCAAACCCCCGUGCUCACAGUGGCUUCUCACUGUGAGAAGCCCUCCCGCACCUCACAGUGAGAAACCUCACAAGUGCUUCUCACUGUGGAAAGAGUGCUGAGUGGGGGGGAGGGAUUCUCACAGUGAGAAGCUCUGCUUGAGGCUUCUCACUGUGAGACCAAUGUGAAGGGGGGGUAGAGCCCCGCCGCCCGCCCCCCCGCACAGUGAACGCACCCCCCAGCACUCUCACAACACUGUGAAGGGGGGUGGACUUCUCACUGUAAGAAGCCUAUUCUCACUGUGAGAAGCCUUACAGAGGCGGGGGGGUGGUGUGGGUGGGGUGGGGCUUCUCACUGUGAGAAACCUCACAGCGGCGGGUGAGGGCGACGUCGCGGCGGGCGCGGUGUGGGCCCAAGCAGAGAGAGAGAGAGAGAGAGAGGAGAGAGAGAGAGAGAGAGCUUCUAGGGCUAGGGCUAGGGAGAACGAGGAAUGAAGCUACCUUGGGCAAUAAAGGGCGACGGCGAUCGGCUAGAGAGGAGAGAGAGAAGAGGAAGAGAGCGAGAGAGAGAGAGGAGAUCGAAGAGAGAGAGAGAUCGAGACAGAGUUCGGGGGGGGGGGGGGGGGGAAGUGUAUUCAAAGAGAACACGGUGAAUGGUUCACCGUGUCUAGAGUGUUUGCUGUGGACACGGUGAACCAAUUCACCGUGUCCAAUAGAUAUUGCAUUUAGACAGAGAGAUCGAGACAGAGUUCGCGGAGGGGAGGGGGGGGAGGUAUUCAAAGAGAACACGGUGAACCAAUCACCGUGUCUAGACACGGUGAAUGGUUCACUGUGUCCAAUAGAAAUACCAUACCCUUAGCCAUUUUUGUUGGUGCGAUAUUUCUAUCGAACACGGUGAACCAAUUACCGUGUCUAGACACGGUGAUUGGUUCACCGUGUUCAAUAGAAAUACCGACCGCCGCAUUCCUAUUGAACACGGUGAUUUGUUCACCGUGUUUAGACACGAUGAACCAAUCACCGUGUUCAACUUAAAUAGCUGGCCUAGCCAUGCCCGCGUGGCACUGACGUGGCGCUGGCGUGGCAGGGCCAGGGCUAUUUUUGCAAAUAAAUUUUGGACAGGGCUAUUUUUGCAAAUAAAAUUUGUUAGGGGGCUAUUUGCAAAAAAAGCCCAAAUUUUAUAUUACUGCUACGUUGUUAAUAGUACAUAUAUAGAGACCUAGCAACCAAAGUCACCAAAUUUAAUUUAAAGGGCUCUUUUUUUUUUCCUUUUUCUUUCUUUAAGUGUAAGAUGGAUAACUUCUUGUGAAAUUUUUUAGUAUAAAAGCAAAAAUAUGCAAUGUAAAUCUUCAUUUCAAACAAUCACAUUUCAAUUACAAGUUUAGUGCCCUCGAUCGUUAUGACAAUGGCAAAAGCGACUCGAUAGUUCGAGACCAUUUGAUGGGGCCACUUACUAUAGCUCUAGUACCAUUAUACACUAAAACUCUUUGUGCACCGCAUUUAUAUACCUUGAUCGGACAAAACAAGCCCUAAACGCGCGAAACCAAUUACUAACCCUUUUUCGAUCAUGUGUUCCAUGUUUCCUAGCUAAACUUACAGUCCAUUUUCAUGUGUUCUUUUCUCAAGGAAAAAUAAGAAGAAAUAGCUAGAUGAGGAAUUUUGUGUUCUUUAAUGCUUUCCUAUUGCAAAUAUAGCUCCAAUACUAUUGUAUAUAUAAAGUAAAAUCAAUCGCUAACUAUAUUAAGUGAUUAUAUAUAUAUAUAUAUAUAUAUAUAUAUAUAUAUAUAUAUAUUGUGCAGUGUAUGAAGUGUUUGAGAGGAUGGCAUAUUAUGGGAUCUCAUCAAACUUGGUGUUGUAUUUAACCACUAAAUUACACCAAGGCACGGUCUCAUCAGCUAAUAAUGUGACUAAUUGGGUUGGAACCAUUUGGAUGACUCCGAUUAUUGGUGCCUAUGUCGCGGAUGCGCAUCUCGGCCGUUACCGCACAUUCAUUAUCGCAUCCGUUAUUUAUCUCUUGGUACGUUUAAUUUACAUAUAUCCGCAUCAGAAUUUUUACUUAUUUAUUUACUUAUUUUUAAGCAAAUGCAUCUCUUUUUAGAUUUUAAUAUGCAUGAACAAAGUCGGGCAGUGUGAAAAAGAUGAGAAUUUCCUGCUAACAGUAUAUGAAUGUUGUUUUAAACAUGUUUAGAGCUUAACGGAAACUCUAAAGCGAAUUCGAGCUCCAUUCUCACAUUAACAUAAACAUCGUAGCAUCGUGCAUAGAAAAUUCAUACUUCCCUAACUCUUUUAUGCUUGUUCUUGUACAAGAAAAGUGAUGUCUACAUAUCUAUAUUACUACGGACAGAAUAAAUUUAUUGAAUCAGAUCCAAUCUAAUCAGUUUAUAUAAACUGUGAUCAAAAUUUUCAAGCUUGUGAGCAAUUUCACGAGUGUAUAAAAAAGAAUAGUUAUUUCGGAGUCCUUAUUGUUGCACUGACCAAGAAAUUAAGACGAAAAUGAAUAUAUGCUUGUGCAUGCAAGCUAUCUCACAUAUAUAUAUAUAAACAAUUCCCAAGUAGCAUAUAUACAAGUGCAUCAAUUAAUGAGUAAAUGCGACAUAUAUAUAUAUAUAUAUAUAUAUAGAAUACCCUUAAUUUGUACAGUACUGUAUCUAGGAAGGGGUGUAGGAUGAUUUGACCAUUCAUCAAAUUAUUUUAUUUUUGCAAAGGGAGGCACGGCCAUGGCACCCAAUUCAAAGGUCCGACUUGGUAAGAAACCAAAACUUAUCAGGCGAAUCAUUUUCAUAAGUAAAAAAAAAAAAAGAAAAAAAAAUCCUUUUACGCAAACAAAUUAGAUAAUGCUACUAGCUAGUAUCGAAGUGAGCUAGCUAGUUGUAUGUCCGAAUGGCCUAUCGGAGAUUUUUUUUUUUUUUUUUUGAGAAAAAAGUAGCACAUUAAUUAUUUGUUUCAUUCAUUAAAAAUAUAAAUUAAAUAAUAUUGGUGAGGUAAAAAGACCUCGGUAGAAGCGAAAAGAAAAAUAAACACUAGGAAAGUUGCCUCUUAGUUACCAUCGUAUGGUCUGCGUAAUCAUUUCUAAAAAUAGUAUUAUUCCUUAAAUUUCGGAUGAUUCACUAGCAGGCUAUCAAGCUGGUCAAUCUUAUUCGAAUAGGCUAUGAUCUGUUUCUUAACAUCCACCUAUCCCACAUGCUUCUCAUGUCGCCCCUCAAAUUAAUUCCUAGACUGAACCCCUUCUAGGGCCUAUCGGAGAAUAUUCAUGAUCAUCUCAUCUUUUCGUUGAACAGCGAUAUUUGACGAAUAUGCCAAGAAUUCUCUAAGCAUCAAGAUUGGUGAAAAAUUGCCAUCCAUAAAUAUCUUGUAUGUGAUUUAGACAUCAACUUUCCAACCGUAAACCAGCUGCUACAUCAGAAAUUAAAUUUGGCCCAUAAACCCUCCAAAUCAUUUUGUUGUUACGAAUUAGAUGUCCUCUCAUUAAUUUGUUACUCAAUCCAUCUAAAUCACUUACCAACCCUUGCCUAGACUCUUCUCCUAGCUAGCUAUCACCUCUCUUUCUCACUUCCUCCAGACUUUUUGCUGUACAUCCAUCAUCUCCCGGUUUGUUGCUCAAACCAAUAGGUGUUUUGUUUUUUUCGUCUUAUUAUCUCCCACUUAGUCUUUCUCCUUUUUUGACUCUUUCUGUAUGGUGGCGCCGAGUUUGACCCUUAGUUUGUUUGCAACUUGCAUGUGGACCCUUGUCGCCGAAAAAAUCUUUAUUAUAACAAUUAUAAUAAUAUAUAUAUAUAUAAUAGAAUUAGGUUAUUAUACUAUUAAUAGUAUCAAAUUUUAUUUUAUUUUUUUGAGAGAUAGGUAGCACGCUACCCGUUUCGUUUAUUUCAUUUAGAUAUAAACUUAGCUGGAAAAAUGUGAAUUAAUUAGGAUUCGAACUUGGGUCUCGACUACUAACCACCAAGUCUUUUGCCACUUGCUCUAGGAACGGUCAGUAUUAAUAGUAUCAAAUAUUAAUAAUAUCAAAUAUUUGGUGCUAUGUAUUAGGUUUUCAGCUCUUAAGGGCAUGUUUGGUUCGGUCGAAAGUGAAGUAUCGAAAGUGGCAUUUUUAAAAAGUUACGUCUUAUAGAUUGUUUGGCUUGCAAAAAUGAAUAUGAAAGUCACCUUACGAAAGUGGACUGAUAAAAUGAGUUAUACCUAAAUCUCACUUUUAUGACUUCAGCUCAAAAUAUUCAAAAGUCCCCGAAAGUGGAGAGCUUAGUUAAGAGAUUACAUUUGGUCUUAACUUUAAUAUUUAAAUUUAUUUAUUUUUAAAGUUGAAUUUCACUUUAAAUUUGAAUGAAAUUUAUGAUCAAAUUUUGAAUUUUAUUUGUAAAUUAAAAUUCAACAUAAAAUUUUAGAUUCAAAUUUGUGACUUUAUACUUAAAUUUAAAAUUUAAAAUUUUAUUUUUAUUUAAAUUUGAAUUCUAUAAUUUAAAUUUAAAUUUAAAUCUAAAUUUUAAUUUUAAAUUUUAAAUUUUAAUUAAAUUAUUUUUAGUUAAGAACUUCAAUUUGAAAUUUGAAAUCAAAAUGUUCCAACUAUAAAUUCAAAUUAUUGACUGAAAUUUGAAUUUAAAAUUUAAAUUUUCAAGUUCAACUUCAAAUUUAAAUUUGCUAUCUACAUUUAAUUUCAAUAAUUAGUUUCAGUUUGAAUUUGAAUUCAAAUUAUCAAUACAAAUGUUCAAUUCGAAUUAUGAUUUAAACUAAAAUUUUAAUUUUAAUUUAAAUAUUGAUUUAAAUUGUGAAUUUAUAUUUGAAUUCAAAAUUUAAGAUCAAAGAGUAAAUUAAUAUAUGAUUUAAUUAAAAUUAUAAAUUCAAAUUUGAAUAAAUGUUCUAAUUUUUGUGUUGAACUUUUAUUUUAAAAUUUAAUUUCAGUUAAGUUAUAAUUUAAAUUAUAAAUUCAAAUUGUAAAUUAAAUUUAUGCCUUAAAUUUUAAUUAUAAAUUCAACUUAGAUUUAAGUUUAAAUUUAAAUUUUAAAAUAUAAUAUUGAAUUCUAAUAGAAAUUAAAUUUAAAAUUUUAAUUUAAAUUGUGAGUAUAAGUCGUUUGUUUAUAUUUUCACCUCUUUAUAUAUAUUUUAAUAAUCAAAAUUACAAAAUUACAAUUUUAAUAUUUUUACUUUGUAGCCAACUAAACAAUCGAACUGAAAAGUCACUUUUGUAAAAGUUAUUUUUAUAAAAGUGAUUUUUUUCACUUCACCUACUUUUGAGCAACCAAACAUGCCCUAAAUGAAAGGAUGUCCAGUUAGAAUCAUAGUAGUUUUUUAGAAUUGAGUGAGUGGUUGGUUGAAUAGGAUGAUUUAAUGAGUGAGAAUAGUUAAAAGGGUAAAUCUAACGGCGAAAAACUCAAUAACAUCAAGCGCUUGAUACUAUUAAUAUUAUAGUAACCAGACUUUAUUAUAUAAUAUUAAUCUAAACUAAUUAUACUGUGUCAUAUAAGAUAGCAAAGAAUCUAAUUAAUACUAAUAUGAUUAGUCCAUAUUAGAAUAGUAUCUUAGAAAAAUUUUGUUCUUGUAUUUAUGUGCAACACGAGAAUAUCUCAGUAAAUCGAGCCUGAUAAGAUUCGACUUGAUGGAACCCAAUCCCUCUAAGUUGUUUUUUAAUGGGUCGGCCAGGUUCGACUUGCGCCCUGUUUUGCCUAGUUUUCUAGAAGUGAUUUUGGGCUUACAAAACUUUUGGGCUCUUUAAAGCGUUUGACAAUGCGAGCUAAAAAAUCUGAUUUUACGUUUCAAAAUCAGAAAAAUGAUUUUGAACACUCCAGAAUAAGAAGCAGAAAAAACUGAUUCUUGAAAUCUGAUUUUGAUUUACAACUCAAACUUUAAAUUUUUAUUUUAAUUCUAAAUUCAAUAUUUAAAUUUAAAUUUAAUUCUAUUUUUUAAAUUUUAAAUUCAUAUUUAAAUUUUUAAAUUUUAACUUUUCAAAUCUAAAAUUUAAAAUUUAUAUUUUAAACUUUAAAUUUUAAAUUCUAAUUUUAAAGUUCAAAUCUCAAAUUUUAGAUUUUAAAAUUUUAAAUUUAAAUUUUAAAUUUUAAUUUAAAAUUUAAGAUAAAAUUUAAAAUUUAACAUUUUAGAUUUUAAAAUUUAAAUUUAAAAUUUUAAAAUUUAAAAAUUAAAGUUACAAGUUUUAGUCUUCAAAUUAUAAAUUCAAAUUUUUAAAAUUAAAAUUUUAACGUUUACAUUUUAAUUUUCAAAAUUAAUUUUAAUUUUAAAUUUUAUUUUAAAUUUUAGAUUUUAGAUUUUAAAUUUCAGAUUUUAAAUUUUAAAUUGUAAAUCUUCAAUUUAAAAUUUAAAAUUUAAAAUUUAAAAUUUAAAAUUUAAAAUUUAAAAUUUAAAAUUUAAAAUUUAAAAUUUAAAAUUUAUAUUAUGAAAUUUUAAAUUUAAAUUUAGAUUUGAAAAUUCAAUUUUUAAAUUUUAAAUUUUAGAAUUUUGGAAUUAUUUUUUAAAUUAAAAUAUAAAAUUUAAAAUUUUAUAUAAUUUUGAAAUUUAAAAAUUUUAAUUUUAAUUCAAAUUUAAAUUUAGACUUUAAAUUAUUUUAAAAUAAAAUUUAAUAAAAAUACUAAUUUAUGCAAACAUUAAAAAUCUAUAUAAAUUGAUCAUGAGUGUUUCAUUUGUUUGGUCAAUUAGGCUCUGCUGGAGAAUUUUCGUAAGCGACCGAGCACGACUAGCUAGGCUUGGCCCACCAAAUUUAGACUUGGCUAGAGCUAAAAAUUAGGUCCGAAUACAUACAAGGGGGGGAAAAAACGUUGAAAAUUAACCAAAAAGAUAAACUAAUUAAGUAAAGGUUGGGAAUUAGUAAUGAUCUUAAACUCCGAGCAGGUCGAUUGAAACCCAAAAAAAUGUAAUUAAUGAAACAAAAGCUGAUAUAUUUUUUCUUUUUCACGUACCCUCAAACAGGGAAUGAUACUAAUAACACUCUCAGUCUCCCUCCCCUCACUCAAACCCCCACCAUGCAAUCCCCACACCACCACGGCCGCCGCCGCUGGCCCCACAGCAUGCAGCACAAAGGCCUCCUCUCUGCAGCUCGGCGUCUUCUUUGCGGCGCUUUACAUCCUGGCAGUCGGCACGGGCGGCACAAAGCCAAACAUCUCGACGAUCGGGGCGGACCAGUUCGACGAGUUCGACCCGAGAGAGAAAGCCCACAAGCUCUCCUUCUUCAACUGGUGGAUGUUCAGCAUCUUCAUCGGGACGCUCUUCGCCAACACCGUGCUCGUUUACAUCCAGGUAAGCGCGCGCGUAAGUUAAUUGUUACAGUUUGUGCAGGAUUCGAUAAGUUCAAUUCUUUAACGGCGCAUCCUUAUAUAUAUAUAUAUAUAUGAAAAGCAAGAUUAAGUUCCGGCAGAAAAAAAAUUUGCAAUCAAAAUUUUCUUCUCCCCACGUACGGCUGCAGGACAAUGUAGGGUGGAGCCUGGGGUACGCCCUGCCGACGGCGGGGCUGGCAGUGUCGGUGGCGAUCUUCGUGGCAGGCACGCCCUUCUACCGCCACAAGCUGCCUGCCGGCAGCCCCUUCACCAGGAUGGCCAGAGUCCUCGUCGCGGCCGCCCGCAAGUGGCGGGUCCCGCUGCCCACCCAUCCCGACGACCUCCACGACCCGGACCUGCAGGACUACGCUAAUAAGAACCGCAAGUUCCGCCGCAUCCGCCCCACUCCCGCCCUCAGGUUUUGAACUUUAAUUCAUUCAAUCAUUCCCCACUGUCUUUAAUUUUCUCUUUUUUUUUCUUCUUUUUUUUUUCUUUUUUUUGGUAAAAAUGUACAGAGAGAGCGCGCAGCCUAAUUACCUAUAUACAGUGCCCUUCUGAAAUUGUCCCCUCCACCUUCUUUUUUUUUUUUUUUUUUUUUUUCUUUUUUAUGGUAAAAAUAUAUAAGUGGAACUAACUUAAAUAUUUCAAUCUUUUGGAAACCAACUAUCUAAUUUUCAUUUUUUUUUAGCUUUUACUACACAACACUUUGUUUUAUUUUAUUUUAAUUAUGUAUUAGUUUUGGAAAAUUAUUGUGUACACUCGGUACGUACGUAUAUGCUUUCAUAUAUCGUAUUUCGAUUAAUCAUUUAUUUUGCUUGAUUGUUCGAUCUUCACCACCCAAUAAAUUAUAGUUUUUCUUUUGUUUAAUUAAAAAUUGAACGUCGAUUGAACUAACAACAUGAUCAGAUUCAUAUUUUUUCUUAAAAGAAAUUGGAAUAUGGUGUAUCAAUACCUGGAAGCACCAGAUGCAGGCAAUUACUUUUAAGAAGUUUAAACGAUUUGAGGAGCCACGUAGUAAAAUCAGAAUUUUUACAAGUUGAAUGUCAUUUUCAAAUUAUCCAAAGUUUAGAUCAGCUCUAUACGAUAGAGCAAUGCAACGUUACUGGUAUAUAUACUCCAAAGUGGGGUAUAUAUCUUAUUUGUCGCAUUAAUUUUUUUUAUAUUUACUAUUUGAUUUUUUAUCAAACCUAGAAUGAAGGGUGUAUGGUAAGUUUGCUUACAAAAAGUUACAAUAGAAUUCCUAAACAACAGCUAGCUAGAGAUAGAUGCUGGAUCCUCACGUACAUACACCAACUCUUUUGUGAACAAAAGUUCAACAAACUGAUCAUAAUGGUGAUUGGGAAACUUAUUCUGAUGUUUUCACUUAUUCCUGCAGAGCCCUGAAUAAAGCCGCCGUAAAGACGGGCCCUGCAACACCAUGGAUGCUGUGCACGGUAACGCAAGUCGAGGAGACCAAGCUGAUAUUGAAAAUGAUACCGAUCUUAUUCGCGACGUUCGUCCCGAGCAUAAUGGUAGCUCAGAUCAACACUCUCUUCGUGAAGCAAGGCACCACUCUGAACCGCCACGUCGGCCCGCACUUUCAGAUCCCCCCCGCCACCCUCCAGGCCUUCGUCACGAUCUCAAUGCUUGUCUCCGUUGUGAUCUACGACCGAUAUUUCGUGACUUUCAUGCGGCGGUGGACCAAGGACCCCCGCGGGAUCUCUCUCCUUCAAAGAAUGGGAGUUGGUCUGGUCCUGCACAUUUUUAUAAUGGCGAUCGCUUCUGUCACGGAGCGUCGGAGGCUAAGCGCCGCGAGAGAGCACAAUGUAGUCGAGAGCGGGGGAAAGGUUCCGCUAACCAUUUUCAUUUUACUGCCUCAGUUUGUGCUCAUGGGCGUCGCAGAUUCUUUCUUAGAGGUGGCCAAGAUAGAGUUCUUUUACGAUCAGGCGCCCGAGGGGAUGAAGAGCCUCGGCACGUCCUACGCCAUGACGAGCUUGGGUGUUGGGAAUUUCCUUAGUAGCUUGCUUUUAUCCACGGUUUCGCGUAUGACCGAAAGGAAUGGACACAAGGGGUGGAUUCUUAACAACCUCAAUGAGUCUCACUUGGACUACUACUAUGCCGUUUUCACUGCCCUUAACUGCGCGAACUUGAUUUUUUUCUUCUUUGUAAGCCGAUUUUAUGUGUACAAGGCUGAGAUUUCGGAGUUCGCCGACGAAUCCAGAAGUGAAGAGAAACAGGUGCCUGUGCCAACAUUGACGAAUCGUAAUGGUCAGGUCUUGCAUUCGUAGAAUAUAUAUAUAUAUACCAGAGAGUUAUAAGGAAAAAGCAAAUGCGCAUGUUGGAUGCUUAGAUUAAUUUCAGCGUAUGUUGGAUGCUUAGCUUUGUAGGGGAUAUAAAGGCAACGAGAAAUCAAUACACACCUGAUUUAAUGUUACAUAUAUAUAUAGGCGAUGUAAGGGAAAUUUAAUUUACAGCUGUAUCACUGUGUGGAUGAAAUAGUUCUAAUUUAAAUUAAACAGGUAUUCUAAUUUAUUUUGCAUGUCCAUCAGUAUAUAUGUACAUGUCGCGUAUGACCGAAAGGAGGCAAGAGCUGCAAUUCAUUGGUCAGCGGAGAGUUUAGUAUUGCUAAGUUAAUCUUGUUGAUAUACACUAAAUAAAUGUGUAACAUUUUACAGCAGAUUUUUAAGGUGCUUUUACGGGCUCAUUUGGUUCGUGCUAUGAUAGAUUACUAGAAGUAGAAGAAUGCCCAAGAAUUUGAUUCCCACUCAUCUUAUUACUAAGAAUAUAGCAUUUCGAUGUUUGGUUCGCACAGUCAUAUUAUCUGAGAUUACCAGAAAGAUAAAUUAAUGUGUUUGGUUCGCGCAGUCAUAUAAUCUGAGAUUACCAGAAAGAUAAAUUAAUGUGUUUGUUUUAUUAGCUAGUAAUGUUAGUAGUAAUAUAAAAUUAAAACUAACCGGUUCAAACAAAUUCGACAUAUUUAUUGCAAAUUAACUACAAAAUUUGCAUCAUAAUUGUCAAACAAGCUAAAAAAUUAUAAUAUUGAAAUAGUAAUAGCAUCAUCAUCAAUAAAGACAAUUGUUCAAAAAUAAAAAUUUAUAAGCAACAUCAAAUAUCCAUAACAAGUCCAAACAAGAAAGCAACAUCUAUCAUAGAAAGUAAACAACAAAUAAGUUCAACGCUUCAUAGACAUUGAAAACAAAAACAAAAUACCAAAGUUUGACAUCCUCUAGUCAUUGCAAAAUAUAAAACAACUUUAUCUACGUGUAGUUAGAAUAUACUCAAUAUAUUCCUUUCUAAACUCUGACGGAAUUCCGUAAAAUCCAGUUAGUUUGGUUGUAUCAUGUUAAGAUAUCGUAAGCAAUCAUACGAUCCUUAUCGACGAGUCCCUCAACCUUCAAAAGCUCUUCAAACAACUUUUCCUUUCGAAUUGCAUCAGUUGCCGGGCAAGAAUUCAUUUGAAGUUAGAUCCAUCUUCAACACAACUAAAAUAAAGCAAAUAGAAAGAAAAAAUUCAGUCAAACUAAAUUAAAAAGCAGUUAACUCAAUUUUUUUUUGCUAGUAUCAAAGAAUUAACUUAUUCAUCUGUUCAAAUUAACUAAAGCAAAUACUUUUCUAGCAUAUUCAAAAGCAUGAUGUUAAAUACCUAGGAAUAACAAAUAUACUCAAAGAAUAGUGGAUCUUGUAGAUAAAACAUCAAUUAGCUAUAGAUUUAGUGCAUAAAACAAGGAAUCUGAAAACUAUUGAUCACAAACAGAAGAAGCAUAAAACAAGGACAAUUAAUUGAACAUAUGCCUUUUACAAAUUAAGACAGAAACUAUAGGUUUAGUGCAUUAUUGAAACUAUAGGUUUAGUGCAUUAUUUGUUUUGCCUGGGAUCAAUUGGAUUAUCCAGCUCUACUCAUCUAGCUAAGGCUAGAAAUGAGUAUCUUUACAUGUGUAUUGGCAAUUUGAAUUAUUGCUGAGGUCCACAUUGAAUUAUUGGAGAGGGUCGAAGUAAGGUUCAUGUGCAUUGGCAAUUUUCUUGGUUAGCGUUCACUUCUAAAAGCCCAGCUACGCUAUGUAAACAUAUACCAAAUGGGCUUUCAAUAAAGCCACAGGUUAAGAGCACUGGAAUUUAGCAACGUAAAAUUUUUACAGCUUUAUGUAUCAUGGGAACCUUGAGAAAGACUAAGAUAUUAUGAGCAGAGUAAAUUUUAUUUACAUAAUAGAGAAUAGAAAAACAUUGUAGACAAUUACAGGAUUAACGAUGCCAGUAACACAACACAAUCUCAGAUUCUAGCUUAGAAUAAAAGGAAGAGAUGAAAGAUACAAGUCCCAAAUAUGAGACUCGAAAAAAUUAUUGACAAACUACUAAUUAAGACCAACUAUUAACAUAACAUUCAAUUCUUAAGAGAAUGAUUCAAAUUGCCAAUACACAUGUAAAGAUACUCAUCACCACAUAAAGUGGUCCUUUCAACUGGAAAUUCAUCAUCAUAAUAUAGAGUAUCUUUGUAGGGUUUUUAGGGCGCAGGUUUGCGGGCGUGUUCAAAACAAUACAAUUAGUUUGUUUUCCUCAGAUUCUAAUGAUUUUUUUUUUUUGCUGCGACAGACACAAUAGCUUUUUAAACUAGAUAUUUUGCUUCUGAUUUUUACAGGCUCAUUUUAACUUUUCCUGGAGCACAAACUUUGGACAUUUAAUUUAAUUUUUUUCCGGAUGCUGCUUGGAGUAGAGAAACUAUAUAAAGAUCAGGCAAAACAAGGGCUAAAAAUUAUCCUCAAUAAAUUCCAUCCUUAACAUGUGGGUCGGAUGCUUUCAACCUCCACAUCAUUAAACAAGAGAGCAUUCUCUAGCUCUGCCCAUGGACAAGAUCUUAACUCUAUAUCCGAACAAUUUUUGCAAUAACCAAUCAUAGUUAAAUGCCUAAGCUUUUUGUCUCUGAAGUGGUAGACAAGUAAACAAGAUUAAGUUUUACUCUGUUUCAUGACUCUACCUUUUAGUCUCAGCCAAAAAUCAGUGAAAAAAGUUAAAUAAUAUCAAAGAUAUUUUCAUUUCCCAUCACGGCAGUUUCAAAUCCUUAAUUAUCCAUGACAAUUUGUUGUAUACUAGCUUUACCAGAAGUAAGCACAGAGUAAAACACAAACUAAGAUGUUACAAAGGGGAAACACAAACAGAAAUUCAUUUAAACAAUAAAUCCAUUCAAAAUCAAAACAAAUAAUGCACUAAACCUAUUUAAACAACAUUUUAUAGCAUCAAUACAAACUAGAAAGAUUUUGCUCAUGGCAUAACAAUAAAUCCUUCAAAAAAUCAAAAAAAAAAUUUGGGAUCUGACAUGGGAAAAGGAAAUGGAGAAGAAAUUACCUCACGAACCUUGUUUUGGAGCAAGUAAACCUCAGAAAUGGCGAGCGAUGCCGCUGCGAUUGGUGGAGGUGAUCAUGGCAUGGAUGCCCUAGGUCGAGAGAAGAGGUCGGGGAGAGUCUCGCAUGGUGGAGGUGAUCAUGGCAUGGAUGCCCUAGGUCGAGAGAAGAGGUCGGGGAGAGUCUCGCAUGGUGGAGGUGAUCAUGGCAUGGAUUCCCUAGGUCGAGAGAAGAGGACGGGGAGAGUCUCGCUGUCAGAGGGAAUCGCCACGGGGUCGGGGAGAGUCUCGCUGUGAGAGGGGAUCGGGAUGGGUUGGGAGAGAGGAGAUAAUAGGCUAGGUUAAAAAACAUUUAACAUUACCCCAAUAAUUAAUGUGAGAUACCUAUCUCCUUCCAAGGGAAUAGGAUUAGCACUUUAAAUUAAUCUCAUUAUCAAAUGAAUUUAAAAUUACCAAAUAGAUUACUUAAUGUAUUUACUCAAACAUCGUCAUAUUUUUACAUUCCGAUUGGAUUACUAGAUAUCUUAAAAAGAUAACGCGAACCAAACGCGCCAUGAAAUUAAUCACAUUACCAAGUGAAUUUAAGAUUACCAAAUAGAUUACUUAAUGUAUUUAGCCAAAUAUCGUCAUAUUUUCACAUUCCGAUUGGAUUACUAAGUAUCUUAAAAAGAUAACGCGAACCAAACGCGCUCUUAAUCUAAUAGUGAAAAUUUGGAGAAAAUGUAAUACAUGCUUACCCACGGCUUUAUGUGCAAGAGUCUCUUUGUUUGAGAUAAAAAAAAAUUCAAAAUUCAAAUUAAGAAUAUAAAAGAAAAAAAAAUAGAGAAAGGAAAGAAUCAACAAAAAGGGAAAGUAAUCCAAUAUUUAUAAAUUUUUGAAUAAUUCCCAAAAGAAGGAAAAUCUUAGCUUAUUUAGAUUCUUCAAAAAAAAGAAAAAAAGAAAAAAAAGAAAAGGAAUGAGAAAAAAAAAAAAGAAAAGAAAAAAUUUUUCUUCUUUUGUUGAUUCCUUCCCACUUGACCCCCCUCCCCCCCCUCUGCGCGCUACAAAAGGAGGGGGGUGCGCUGUGCCACACCCCUCUCCCAACCAGUACAAAAAAAAAAGGAAGAAAAAAGAAAAAAGCUUCGCUCUUUCAUUCAGCUAGGGUACACCACGAUGAUUCUGAUGACGACGACGACAAGGAUAUGGCGACUUCUACGGCAACAAAGGAUAUUGCAUGCAAACAUAUGGUGUAAAUAUGAUUUUUUUGUCGGUUUGUUCAACACUACAGUCUUCGCGAUAGAUUCGAACAAAUCAAAUUUGACAUUAAAUCGUCACUUUCAUCGUGCGUAUGUAUCGCUAAUCCCUAUACCGAACGGCUAUUUUCGUGAUAGCCUCGACACGGUCAAAGGAUUGAUCGAGCGGCCAUCUUCGUGAUAGGCUCGACAUGAUCAAACCCACGUAUGCAUCGCCAAUUCUUAUACUGAGCGGUUAUAUUUGUGAUAUACAAGCUCGACAUGAUCAAAGGGGUGAUCGAACGACCAUUUUCGUAAAAAAAGGCUAAAUUAUAUAAAACUCCCGUGUCAAAAUCUGAUUUUUCACUCCCCCCCUAUCAUUUAAAAAUCUAUAUUUUGUCCCCUUGUAAAAUGAAAAAUUUUCACUUCGCCUCCUGCAGAUAGUAAUCUGUUAGGGUUCCGUUUAUAAAAUAUUAUUAUAUAUUUUUUAUGCCAAAAAUGCCACCAGCCUUUUCUUCUGUGAACAUGGUGAGGGGCAAAAUGGUCAUUUUAUCAUCACAGUUCACACCGUACCCCCUGUGAACAUUUUUCAUUUUACAAGGGGGUAAAGUGUAGGUUUUUGAAUGACAUGGGAGGAAAGUGAAAAAUCGAAUUUUGACAGAGGGGUUUUCUGUAAUUUAGCCAUAAAAAAAUAAUUAAAAAUAAAAUCGAUGAACAUAUUUUGAUUUGCUAUUUACGUGAUAGGCAUUGUUCGAAUCAUUCGCCAUUUUCAUAAUAGACACGAUUCGACUUGAUCAACUCGCCAUCUUUGUGAUAGGCACUAUUCGAACCUCAAGCCAUCUUCGUGACAGGCACAAUUCAAUUCAACUACGUUGCUCUCAUGCCAUCUUCGUGAUAGGCACGAUUCAAUUCAACUACAUCGCUAUUUUUGUGAUAGGUACAUAUUUGAUUAAAUCGUCAUCAUCGUGAUAGGCUCGAUAUGAUCAAAUUUGCAUAUUUGGACAAAAAAAUAAAUAAAUAAAAGGAAAAAAAGAGCGGAAGAAAAGAAAGAAAGAAAGAAAGAAAGAAAAAAAAGGGAAGAAAGAAAGCAAGAAAAAAAGAAGAAAGAAAAAAAAAAGAGAAAGUAUGGUCCUCUACCUCAGUCAAAAAAAAGAGAACAAAGAAAAAAGAACAAAGCCGACGUGCAGAUUCAAGCCCAAAACCUGUAAAGCCCGAAAUCUCGCCCACAUGCAAAUUUGGGUCCAAAACCAAUAAAAAUUCAUAUGAAUAAAUUCCUCAAUCCAGGCCACAUGCAAAUUCGGGCCCGAAACAUGUAGAGCCCAAAACCUAUCUCAGCCCAAAACAAUUAAAAAUCCAUAUGAAUAAAUUCUUUAAUCCAAAGUCUACAAAUAAAACCCAUAGUCCACAAAUAAAACCCAUGAACUCAAAGUCUACAAAUAAAACCCAGUUUAAUUUAUUCUAUAAAUAAACCCACCAAAGCCCAAGAGCAUAAAGUUGAAAAUUUCUAAAGCUAUAUCAUCCAAAUGCCUCCAACCCAAACCAAAUUCAGCCAAUUAAUUUCAUGGGCUUUCCAAAUGGACUUCUAUUAUAAAUCAAUUUCAUGAACCCAUUUAAUGGGAUUCCAAAUGGGCCCCUAUCAUGAGAUAAUUUCAUGAACCCACUUCAUGGGCUUUCCAAAUGGCCCCCUAUCAUGAAAUAAUUUCAUGAACUCAUUUCAUGGGCUGUUCAAAUAUGCCCCUAUCAUAAAUUAAUUUCAUAAACCCAUUCCAGAGGCUUCCCCCCUACCAUGAACUAAUUUCAUGAAUCAAUUUCACUAAAUUCAAAUUCAAAUCGACCAUCAAGUCGUUAAAAUGAACAUUUGACUGUCAAGUCGUUAAACCGAACAUUUGACCAUUAAGUCGAUAAGCUGAAUUCAAAUUCAAAUUGACUAUCAAGUCAUUAAACUAAACAUUUGACCAUCAAGUCGUUAAACUGAACAUUUGACUAUCAAGUCGUUAAACUGAAUUCAAAUUCAAAUUGACCAUCAAGUCGUUAAACUGAACAUUGACCAUCAAGUCAUUAAACUGAACAUUUGACCAUCAAGUCGUUAAACCGAAUUCAAAUUCAAAUCGACCAUCAAGUCGUUAAAUUAAACAUUUGACCAUCAAGUUGUUAAACUGAAUUCAAAUUCAAAUUAACCAUCAAGUUGUUAAACUGAACAUUUGAUCAUCAAGUCGUUAAACUGAAUUCAAAUUCAAAUUGACCAUUAAGUCGUUAAACUGAACAUUUGACCGUCAAGUCGUUAAACUAAUUUCAAAUGUAAAUUGACCCUCAAGUCGUUAAACUGAACAAAUGAUUAUCAAGUCAUUAAACUGAAUAUCUGGCCGUCAUGUCGUUAAACUGAACAUCUUACCGUUAAGUCGUUAAAUUGAGUAGAAAUUCAAAUUGACCGCCAAGUUGCUAAACUGAGCAAUCAAAUUAAACUCCUUUUGACCGCCUAGUCGUUAAACUGAGUGAACUGAAUUCAAAUUCAAAUGACUAUCAAGUCCUUAAACUGAAUUCAAAUUCAAGCCAACCGCCAUGUUGUUAAACUGAGCAACUUAACUCAAAUCGACUGCCAUGUCAAUAAACUGAGCACCUUAAUUCUAAGCCCGCUAUGUUGUUAAACUGAGCAACUUAACUCAAGCCGACCUCCAUGUCGUUAAACUGAGCAACUCAACUCAAGCCGACCUCCAUGUCGUUAAACUGAGCAACUCAACUCAAAUCGACCGCCAUGCCCUUAAACUGAGCACCUCAAUUUCAAGCCGACCGCCAUUUCGUUAAACUGAGCACCACAACCUUAAGCCGACCGCCAAGUUAUUAUAUUGAGCACCUCAACCUCAAGCCGACCGCCAAGUCGUUAAACUGAGUAUCUUAACUCCAACCGGCUGUUAAGUCGCUUAACUGAGCAAAUCACUUUCAGAUAUGAUCGUCAAGUUGUUCAACUGAUCAAAUGAUCGUCAAGUCAUUAAACUAAAUUCAAAUUCAAAUUGACCGUCAAGUCGUUAAAAUGAAUUAAAAUUCAAAUCACCAUUAAGUUGUUAAACUGAAUAUUUGACCGUCAUGCCAUUAAACUGAAUUAAAAUUCUAAAUAACCUUCAAGUCGUUAAACUGAAUUAAAAAACAAAUUGAGUGCAAAGUUCUUAAACUGAGCAAAUUAUUUCAAACUCUUUUGACCACCAAGUCAUUAAACUGAACAAAGUAAAAUUAAACUCAACCUUAACUUACUUUAACCGACCGCCAUGUCGCUAAACUAAGCACCUCAGCUUUAAGCCGACCGCCAUGUCAUUAACUGAGCAACUCAACUCAAGCCGAUAGCCACGUCGCUAAACUGAACUACUCAACUCAAGUCGACCGCUACGUCACUAAAGUUAGCUACUCAAAUCAAGUUGACUGCCAUGUCACUAAACUGAGCUACUCAAAUUAAGUCGACCGCCAUGCGUUAAACUAAGCAACUGAAUUUCAAGCCGACCGCCAUGUUGCUAAACUGAGCCACUCAACUUCAAGUUAACCGCCACGGCGUUAAACUGAGUGACUCAACUUCAAGCCGACCGCCACGUCGUUAAACUGAGCGACUCAACUCAAGCCGAUCGCCACGCUGUUAAACUAAGCAACUCAACUCAAGCCGACCGCCACGUCGUUAAACUGGGCGAUUCAACUUCAAGGCGACCGCCGUGUUGUUAAACUGAGCAACUCAACCGCCAUGUCAUUAAACUUAGCACUAUAACUUCAAACCGACCGCCAUGUCGUUAAACUAAGCUACUCAAAUCAAGGCGACCGCGAUGUCGUUAAACUGAGCGACUAAAUCUCAAGCUGGCUGCCAUGUCGUUAAAAUAAGCAUCUCAACCUCAAGCCGACUGCCAUGUCAUUAAACUGAGCACUUCAACCUAAAGCCGACCGUCAUGUCGUUAAACUAAGCAACUUAACUCAAGCCGACCGCCAUGUCGUUAAAAUAAGGAACUCAACUUGUAAUACACUGAACUUUUGCAAAUUGCGAAGUUCGAGUGUGAAGAGUGAUAUGUGGAUCUAUCCUACAUAUUCUAAAACGCUUGGACAAAUUUUUGGACAAGUUAGAGAGUGAUUGGAUGGCUAAAACCAAGAAAGUGCAUUAAUUUGGCGAAAUCAGCAUUUUUCUGCUUGGUGUACCGGUACAGCCAUCAUUAUGUACCAGUACGCAAUGGCAGAAAUAUGGCAGCAAGGAUUUUUUGGUCAUUUCACAUCUUGUUCCUAUCUAUUUGAUCCCAGCACGACUCCUGGAGCUUGCUGGAGUGUGCUAGAGCUCAGAGACAGGUUGCUUUCACCUUCUCUCUCUCUCUCUAGGGUUUUUCUCUCCCUCUCUCUACGUAAAAGCCGCCGAGUCGAGUCGAUUUCGCGCUCCGGCCGACGCUCGCUGUUUUGGUACUCAAGGGACGCUUUCAGCACGUGGGGAGGAGGACUUUUCUCUGAGUUUUCUAUGAGGUUAGUACCAGAGAAGCUGAAUCUCAGCUUUCGAAAAGGAAUUAGCUCAAUUUUCUCUCUAGUUUGUGAUUUUGCAUUGGAAUUUGAUGCGUUUUGGUUUCACUGUUUCCAACUGAAUUCAAGGAUGUUUUCAGCAGUAAAGAGGAGUUAUUUUGACUGUGAAUUAACCACUCUAGCUCAGUAAAAGUUGCUUUAAAGCUGGACUAAGAUAAUUAAUUAUUUACAAAGUUAAUUCGGAACUAUACGAAGUUAAUCGAGUUAUUGAUGCAGUUUGGAACUUGUGUCUUCACAGCAGGGUUUUGAACCAAGUUGAACUAAAUUGGUGACCUGGGGAACUUGUUUACAGGGUGUUCCAACUAGAGGUAAGCUGAAAUUUCAGUUAGAAAACUGAAUUCGCAUGGUUUCGGUUAUAGGAACUAGUAUACGAGCGUUGUGACACCGUUUAAUGUUUGCUCACAGCAGGGUUGCGAUCGGCCCUUGGAUCAUUUUCAGUUGAUUGGUGAGAGCUUUUGGAGACUUAACUUGAGGUAUCUAACGUGACCCCAAAACAGGGAUUUAAGUUGCAAUUUAGUACAAUUGAGUUUUUCGCCGAUAUUGGACUUUUAGUAAUCUUUGUGACGUGGUUCUUAUGUUUCAUGUUCAGCAGGGUCGAGGCCUAGUUGAGCUCAAUCUUGGAAUUCUUUUGGGCUGCUUGAGCUUAGUAGUAGGUGGGUUUGACCUAACCAGAGCAAGUGAAGCUCCCCUAUGUUCUAUAUGUCACUAUAAAAUUGGUAUCAUUGUGUGCUUUUGUGGUUGAUAUAGGACUUGAGACUAGUCACUAUACUACAGUGUCGAUACAUAAUUGAAUUGAGAUCUCUAUGAAGUAGAGAACAUUCAUGUAUACAAGUCUUUAUAUUCAUGUUUAAUUUAGUUGAAUGACUAAUGGACAAGUUAUCAUGUUCCUAGAAACUAGAGAACAAUGACAUUCUUAUGACUUCAAUGAUUAUAAAGUAUAGAACCAUGACAUGCUUGUGACUAAAUGAUAGUGCCAUGAUAGUGGAAAAGUUUUUAAUGCCAUAUGUAAAUUAGCAUUACUUUCAUGUGCUUACUAAUCUAGUGGAUACUAGCUAUUGUCAAUAUUCAUUAUAUUGAAAUUCCGAUCAAAGGAUCGAGAGUGAGAACAUUACAAGUUAAAUCGUGAGGAUUCAAACAUGUUGGACUAUGGGCUUUGCUUGCUUGCCAUCGUGCUCAUUCGCACACGCGCUAGAACACAUCACCCNUCCUUACAAAAGAAAAUGAUGAAUCGUUGAGACUGCACCUUUUCCCCGCUCGCAAGGCUCUCGCAAAAAAGGUGGGGGGCACUUUGUUUGAGAUAAAAAAAAUUUUUAAAAUUCAAAUUAAGAAUAUAGAAGGAAGGAAAUAGAGAAAGAAAAGAUUCAAAAAAAGGAAAGAAACCAAUAUUUAUAAAUUUUUGAAUAAUUUCCAAAAGAAGGAAAAUCCUACCUUAUUUGGAUUCUUCAAAAAAAAAAAAGGAAAAAAAGAAAAGGAAUGAAAAAAAAGUAAAGAAAAAAAAUUUUCUUUCUUUUGUUGAUUCCUUCCCACUCGUGGACAGGGGGAUUUGACCCCCCUCAUCUGUGCGCUGGCAGUAAGAAAAGGAGGGGGUGUGCUGUGUGCACACCCUUCUCCCAACUAGCUAGUACAAAAAAAAAAAAGGAAAAAAGAAAAAAGCUUGGCUUUCUCAUUCGGCGAUGGUACACCACGACGAUUCCGAUGACGACGACGACAACGAUCAUGGCGACUUCUACGCCAACAAAGGAUAUCGCAUGCAUACAAAUGGUGUAAAUGCGAUCUUUUUAUUGGUUUGAUCAACACAAUCAUCUUUGUGAUAGGUUUAAACCGAUCAAAUUCGACAUUAAAUCGUCACUUUCACUGUGCGUAGGUAUCGCUAAUCCCUAUACUGAGCGGCCAUCGUCGUGAUAGGCUUGACACAAUCAAAGGGUUGAUCGAGCAGCCAUCUUCGUGAUAGGCUCGACACGAUCAAACCCACGUAUGCAUCGCCAAUCCUUAUAUCGAGCGGCCAUCUUUAGAUAGGCUCGACAUGGUCAAAGGGUUGAUUGAACGGGCAUCUUCGUGAUAGGCUCGACACGAUCAAACCCACAUAUUUGGACAAUAAAAAAAAAUAAAAAAUGAAAAUGAAGAACAUAUUUUGAUUUGCCACCUUCGUGAUAGGCAUUGCUCGAAUUAUUCGCCAUUUUCGUGAUAGGCACGAUUCGUCUUGAUCAACUCGCCAUCUUCGUGAUAGGCAUUAUUCGAACCUCAUGUCAUCUUCGUGAUAGGCACGGUACGAUUCAACUACAUCGCUAUUUUCGUGAUAGGCACAUAUUUGAUUAAAUCACCAUCUUCGUGAUAGGCUCAAUAUGAUCAAAUUCGCAUACUUGGAUAAAAAAAAUAAAUAAAUAAAAGAAAAAAAGGAGAAGAAGAAAAGAAUGAAAGAAAAAAGAAAGAAAAAAAAAGAAAGAAAAAAAGAGAGAAAGUUGGGUCCUCUCCCUCAGUAAAAAAGAAAAAAAAAAGAGAACAAAGAAAAAAGAAAAAACAAAGAAAUAAAAAAAAAAGAGGAAAUAGGUUCGGAGCUAUUUAAUUGAAAAGGGCUCAAUCCAUAAUUUACUUAUGAGCCCAAUAAACAAAAUUUCAUAAGCAGUUCACAAAGAAAAAUAAAACCUAAAGCACAAAGCCCACAUGUAGAUUCGGGUCCAAAACCAGUAAAGCCCGAAGCCCAGCAUAUAUACAGAUUUGGGUUCAAAACCAAUAAAAAUCCAUAUAAAUAAAUUCCUCGAUCUAGCCCUCAUGCAGAUUCGGGCCCAAAACCUGUAGAGCCUGAAACCCAGCCCACAUGCAGAUUUGGGCCCAAAACAUGUAAAGCCUAAAACCUAUCUCAGCCCAAAAUCAAUAAAAAUCCAUAUGAAUAAAUUCGUCAACCCAAAGUCUACAAAUAAAACACAUAAUCCACAAAUAAAACCCAAAAACCCAAAGUCCACAAAUAAAAUCCUAUUUAAUUUAUUCUAUAAACAAACCCACGAAAGCCCAAAAGCAUAAAGUCCGAAUUACUAAAGCUAUAUCAUCCAAAUGCCUCAAACCCAAACCAAAUUCAGCCAAUUAAUUUCAUUGGCUUUCCAAAUGCACUUCUAUCAUGAAUCAAUUUCAUGAACCCAUUUCAUGGGAUUUCCAAAUGGGCCCCUAUCAUGAGUUAAUUUCAUGAACCCACUUUAUGAGCUUUCCAAAUGGCCCACUAUCAUGAAUUAACUAGUGAAGGACCCGCGCGUUGCGGCGGAACGAUUCUGCAGAAAUAAAUAUAUAAAUAAAAUAAAUAAUAGUAAAAAAAAGAGUCAAAAAAUUGUAUAAAAAAAUAACUAAAAAAUAAACAACUAUUGCUGUAAUAAAAUUAUAAGAAAGAUUACAAAAAAUAAAGACAAAAAUCAUACUAAUAAGAAAUUAUAUAUAAUUAUAUUUAUACUUAUAUAUAUUAUAAUUAUUAUUAUAAUUAUAUAUAAUUUUUAGAAAAAUUGAUUUAUUGUUCUUACAUUUUGCCUCUAUUCUUCUUUUAUCUAUCUUAUCCUUUUAUUUUUAUUUUUUUUUACUUUUUUUAUGUUUCAUUUUUAAAUUUCCUUCAUUAUUUUUUAUAUAUUUUUAAUAAUUCUUUUAUUCAGCUUAAUUAAAAUUUAUAUUGAAUACAAAUAAUUUAACUUAUUUAAAAAUUAUUUAUAUAUUUUAAAUUUUUAUAAAAAUAAAUAAAAAUUUAGAUUGAAUUAAAAAAAUUUAUAAAUUUUUUUAAUCAUAUAUUAAGAGAACAAAUAUAUAAAAAAAUAAUUAAAAAGAAAAAAGUAGAAACAGACAAAAACAGAAAAAAAAAAAAUCCCUUCUCUCUCCUCUCCUCUCCCCUCAGCUGGGCCCCGCCCUCUCCUCUCUCUCCUCUCCUCUCCCGUUCUCUCCCGCGCCACGCGGCGGCCCCGCCGAGCGCGCCGGCCUGCCGGCGCGCCGCCCGCGCGCAGGUCACGCGCGCCGGCCGCUCUCUCCCUCUCCUCCCUCCUCUCCCCGCCGCACGCGGUGCCCCGCCCCACGUGCCCGCUGCCCGCCAGCCCGCUUCCGCCCGCGCCACGCGCGCCCCGCCAUAGCACGCCCGCGCGCCCGCGCCCCGUGCUCACCCCUGCCGCGCCUCCGUCGCCGCCACCUGUCCCGCCGCGCCCGCGCCGCUCGGCUUCCUGCCGCCCCGCGUGCCCGGCUCGCCCGCGUCCCCGCGCGUGCCCGCACCACGCGGCGCCCCGCCACGCACGCCCACCUGUCCGCGCCCCGCGCUCGCCGCUGCCCGCGCCUCCACGCUCGCCACCUGUUCCAAAACUGAGAAUUCAUGUAUGUUAUAGAUUUCAUGAACCCAUUUCAUGGGCUUUUCAAAUGUGCCCCUAUCAUGAAUUAAUUUCCUGAACCCAUUUCAUAGGCUUUCCAAAUUGGCCCCUAUCAUGAACUAAUUUCAUGAAUCAAUUUCACUGAAUUCAAAAUCAAAUCGACCAACAAGUCGUUAAACUAAACAUAUGACCAUCAAGUCGUUAAACUAAACAUUCGACCAUCAAGUCGUUAAACUGAACAUAUGACCAUCAAGUCGUUAAACUGAACAUUUGACCUUCAAGUCGUUAAACUGAAUUCAAAUUCAAAUUGACCAUCAAGUCGUUAAACUGAAAUCAAAUUCAAAUUGACCAUAUAGUCGUUAAACUGAAUAUUUAACCGUCAAGUCGUUGAACUGAAUUCAAAUUCAAAUCAACCAUCAAGUCUUUAAACUGAACAUUGACCAUCAAGUCAUUAAACUAAACAUUUGACCUUCAAGUCGUUAAAUUGAAUUCAAAUUCAAAUCAACCAUCAAAUCGUUAAACUGAACAUUUGACCAUCAAGUCGUUAAACUAAACAUUUGACCAUCAAGUCGUUAAACUAAACAUUUGACCAUCAAGUCGUUAAACUAAAUUCAAAUUCAAAUUGAACAUCAUGUCGUUAAAUUGAAUAUUUGACCGUCAAGUCGUUAAACUAAUUUCAAAUUCAAAUUGAACCUCAAGUUGUUAAACUGAACGAAUGACCAUCAAGUUGUUAAACUGAAUAUAUGACUGUCAAGUCGUUAAACUGAACAUCUAACCGUCAAGUCGUUAAACUGAGUUCAAACUCAAAUUGACCGGCAAGUUGUUAAAUUGAGCAAUCAAAUUAAACUCCUUUUGACUGCCUAGUCGUUAAACUAAGCGAACUGAAUUCAAAAUCAAAUGACCAUCAAAUCGUUAAACUGAAUUCAAAUUCAAGUCGAUCGCCAUGUCGUUAAACUGAGCAACAUAACUCAAAUCGAUCGCUAUGUGCUUAAACUGAGAACCUUAAUUCCAAGCCGACCGCUAUGUCGUUAAAUUGAGCAACUCAAAUCAAGUCGACCGCCAUGUCGUUAAACUGAGUAACUUAACUCAAAUCGACCGCCAUGUCUUUAAACUGAGCAACUCAAUUCAAGUCGACUGCCAUGUUGUUAUACUGAGCAACUCAACUCAAGUCGACCGCUAUGUCGUUAAACUGAGCAACUUAACUCAAAUUGACUGUCGUGUUUUUAAAUUGAGCACCUAAAUUUCAAGCCGACCGCCAUGUUGUUAAAUUGAGCACAGCAACCUCAAGCCGACCGCCAAGUCAUGAAAAUGCGUACCUCAACCCCAAGCCGACUGCCAUGUCGCUAAAUUGAGCAUCUUAACUUCAACAGACCGUUAAGUCGCUAAACUGAGUAAAUCAAGUUCAGAUAUGACCGUCAAGUCGUUAAACUAAGCAAAUGACCGUCAAGUCGUUAAACUGGGCAAAUGACUAUCAAGUCGUUAAACAAAAUUCAAAUUCAAAUUCAAAUUGAUCAUCAAGUCGUUAAACUGAAUUAAAAUUCAAAUGACAAUCAAGUCAUUAAACUGAAUAUUUGACUGUCAAAUGAUCGUUAAACUAAAUUAAAAUUCAAAAUGACUAUCAAGUCGUUAAACUGAAUUAAAAUACAAAUCGACCGCCAAGUCAAUAAACUGAGCAAAUCAUUACAAACUCUUUUGACCGCCAAGUUAUUAAACAGAGCAAAUUAAAAUUAAACUCAACCUUAACUUACUUUAACCGACUAUCAUGUCGCUAAACUGAACACCUCAGCUUCAAGCGGAUCGCCACAUCGUUAACUGAGCAACUCAACUUAAGUCGACCGCCACGUCGCUAAACUGAGCUACUCAACUCAAGCCGACCGCCACGUCGCUAAACUAAGCUACUCAAUUCAAGCCGACUACCACGUCGUUAAACUGAGCUAUUCAAAUCAAGCCAACUGCCACGUCGCUAAACUGAGCCACUCAAAUCUGGUCGACCGCCAUGUCGUUAAACUGAGCAACUCAACUUCAAGCCGACCGCCACGUUAUAAACUGAGCUACUCAACUUCAAGUUGACCGCCACGUCAUCAAAUUGAGCGAUUCAAUUUCAAUCCAACAGCCACGUCGUGAAACUGAGCGACUCAACUCAAGUCGACCACCACAUCGUUAAACUGAGCGACUCAACUCAAGCCGACUGCCACGUCGUUAAAUUGAGCGACUUAACUCAUGCCAAUCGCCACGUCGUUAAACUAAGCAAUUCAAUAUCAAGCCGACCGCCGUGUCGUUAAACUGAGCAACUCAACCUUAAGCUGAUCGACCGCCAUGUCAUUAAACUAAGCACUAUAACUUCAAACCGACUGCCACGUCGUUAAACUGAGCUACUCAAAUCAAGCCGGCCGCCAUAUCGUUAAACUGAGCAUCUCAUUCUCAACUUGAUUGCCAUGUCGUUAAAAUGAGCAUCUCAAUCUCAAGCCGACUACCAUGUCGUUAAACUGAACACUUCAACCUAAAGCCGACCGCCAUGUCGUUAAACUGAUCAACUCAACUCAAACCGACAGUGUAACAUACCACGUCCCUUGUAAAUCGUGCCGGGUUCCGUCAAAUGAGCGGAACGCGAAAUUGAACGAGUUUGGGUGGACCCUAAGCCCGUUAGAGUCCAUAAGUGAGGCUAGAAGGGACCCGAGAGAGUAAUCUGAAAAUCUGGCUAAGUCCCAGAUUUUGUGCUCUCGGGGACCGGUCCCUGAAGGAGAGACCGGUCCCCGUACGCGUAGCCUGUCAGGAAGUCCUAAGGCAACCGGUCCCUGGUGGUGAGACCGGUCCUCGGGAGACCGGUCCCUGAAGGGGCAGACCGGUCCCUCGCUGCGCAACAGCUGAAAAACCCGAAAAUUUGGCUAAGUCCUGGAACACCCACGUUCGGGAACCGGUCCCUGGUCGGGGAGACCGGUCCCCGAAGGCGAAAAAUGCCCAUUAUGGGCAGUUCAAGAAGAAACAAGUGGAGGGGCUUAAGUGCAAUUGUUACAACACUAUAUAUGACUCAUCCCCUCUCUCCCACAGCCAUUUCCACCCUUCUCACCCAUUUCCUCUCUUUCUCUCUCUAGAACUCAUGCUCUAGAACUUGGAGAAGAAGAAGAAGAAGUGAAGAGGAGGAGGAUUUGGAGGCUUUGGAGGCUUCUACAAGCUCCCCUACAAGGAGGACUUGGAGGAGCUAGGGCUAAGGUGAGUUUUGGUAGAAAUGAGCCUAGGGUUUGGAUUUUGGUUUACGAAAUGGGAGCUUUGUGCUCCCUAGAGGCUUUAAAGGCUCUUUUGAGCCAUGUACACCAUGGUUCUCAUGAGAGCUUAAAGUGCUCUCAUGGUGAAUCCUUGGAAGUGGUGUUUGGAGCCCUAGGGUUGGUACCAAAGGUCUAAAAACCUUGCUAGAAUGCUUCUUAGAUGAUCCUAAGCUAUUCCUUGCUUAGGGUUGGGAUCGAUUCUUGAGGAAAUCCUAAAUGACAUUAUUAGGGCGUGGAUUUGGGGCUUUUGCCCUAGGAUUUUUCGGGGACAAAUUGACCCCGUAGAAACCUAAUUGGGGGUGCCCUAAACACGUUGGACAACUCCGUUUAACCUUGCGAAAAUGAUAGAGUGUAGUUCAUGUACAAAAAGGCCUAAUAUGGCACUAUUUUGAUUAUAGGACGCGGAAUCGGCUUUCGUAAAGUGCGGGAGCUUUCAUAAUCUACACCCACACAACCAAUAAAGGUGGGGGGUGCACGCCGGAAUCGUUGGAUUCCCUUCUAUGUCUGUUUUCUCUAUUCUUGAGCAUAUAUGUUUUAUAAAUACCCAUUCAUGCAUAGUAGGGUAGUUACAUGUGGAACUUGGUUUGACUUCUUUAUAUGCUUCUAACGUAGUUGAACAUAGAGAACGAUAGAACCAAAAUGGACACGUGUGAUUGGACCCUCAAGUUGUGUGAAUGUGAGGAUGGACUUGGAUAAUAGAAAACAAGGGUGACAUUGACAUAGGAACAAGAUUUGCGUUGAGAGAUGAACCGUCGAAUAUAGUUUAACCCAUUUUGACAUCGUCAAAGGUAAAGCCUUGAGAUUGGAAAGAAUGAAUAGGUAGAGACCUAACAUGACAUCGACAUUGUGAUCAGUGGCUAUGAAUCCUCAAGUUGGGGAUUAGAUCGACACUCACAUUACGUCUUGGCUUGAGGGUGGUCGCUCUCCGUCGAGCGGUGCGCUCCGGAGUUGGUCACCACUGGGCAUGGUAAAGUCCCACCAGUUGACGGUCCCUAGGGAGGUUCGAGUCCCCCGUUAUUAAGGGAUUUUGGGUUGUGAGUUAUUGGGGUUAACAGAGUUAACCGGUAAAAUUGGGUAAGAGCCAAAACUUGAUUAUGAUUGGAGCAUGCAUGCAUUUCUAUUAUCGCAUUGAGAUUUAUAGCUACUGAUUUCUUUUUGCAGGCAUAGUAUUAGUUGCUUUCAGUAUUGGUUACAUUUCUUUCCUUUGAAAUACUUAUGCCUGGAUAGACCUAGUGGGUAAGUCGGCGAGGUCGGAUGCCGAACCCACUGGGAACUUCGUUGUAGUUCUCACACCACUAACCCUGCAGGUCCUAGCACGAGCGGGGCGGCGGAGGACCGCGGCAAGGGUUUGGCGCCGUAGGUAGCGGCCAUCGGGACUCUAUACAUUUUGUAGUCAUUCCCUUUUGUUAUAAAUGUAUCAACUUUAUUUCGUUGAUUUAGGAAUGAAAAGUGUAAACAAUCAUGUAUUUGGUGGAUGGCUAAAUGUAAAAGAUAUGAUGGCUGAAUGAAUGUAAUAGUUUUGUUUACUUGAAUUUGGUUUAAAUGAAAUCAAAUAUCAUGAGUGAUGUAUAUUUAGCUUAGAGCUUUCGCUUCCGUUGUUGCUUGCCCUCGUGCAAGCCUUGUAUUAUAUAUGCAAUUCUCUUGUUGAUUGUCUAUUUAUACUUGUGGUAGAGCCUUGGGCGGACAGGGGAGGCUCUGUCCGUUCGGCGUCUGUUGACGUGACCCGAACCCGACCAAAUUGGCGGGGAUUGGGGCGUGACAGACAGCCAUGUCGUUAAAAUGAGUAACUCAACUUCAAGACGACCGUCUUGUUGUUAAACUGAGCGCUACAACUUCAAGCCGAAAGUCAUGUCGUUAAACUGAACACUACAACCUCAAGCCGACCGCCACGUCGUUAAACUAAGCGACUCAACUGAAGCCGAUCGCCACGUCAUUAAAUUGAGUGAUUCAACUUCAAGUCGACCGUCGCGUCGUUAAACUAAGCAACUCAACAUUAAGCCGACCGCCAUAUUAUUAAACUGAGCACUAUAGCUUUAAACCGACAGCCAUGUCAGUAAACUGAGCUACUCAAAUCAAGCCGACUGCCAUGUCAUUAAACUGAGUGACUCAAUCUCAAGCCGACUGCCAUGUUGUUAAAAUAAGUAUCUCAACCUCAAGCCGACUGCCAUGUCAUUAAACUGAGCUUUUCAACCUAAAGCCGACCGUUAUGUCGUUAAAUUGAGCAACUUAACUCAAACUGACCGCCAUGUCGUUAAAAUGAGCAACUCAACUUCAAGCUGACCGCCAUGUCGUUAAACUGUGCACUAUAACUUCAAGCGGACCGUCAUGUCGUUAAACUGAGCACUACAACCUCAAGCCGACCGCUAUGUCGUUAUACUGAGCUGAUCAAACUAAACUCAAUUUGACUGCUAAGUCGCUAAACUGAGCAAUCAAAUCAAACUCAAUUUGACCGCCAAGUCGCUAAACUGAGCAAUCAAAUCAAACCCAGUUUGACCUCCAAGUCGUUAAACUGAGCAAUCGAAUCAAACUCUAUUUGAUUGCUAAGUUGUUAAACUGAGCAAUCAAAUCAAACUCUAGUUGACCGCUAAAUCGUUAAACUGAGCGAUCAAAUCAAAUUCUAUUUGACCGCCAAGUCGCUAAACUGAGCACUCAAAUCAAAUUCUAUUUGACCGCCAAGUCACUAAACUGAGCCAUCAAAUCAAACUCAAUUCGACCGUCAAGUCGUUAAACUGAGUAUUUUAAUUUUAUGGAAUUCAUGUACAGUGGAGGUAUGCCCUUGCUUAAGCCAUGUACUUGAAAUUUAUAUCAAUUCGAGUUCAUCUUUAUCCUACGGUCUCUUCGUAUCAUCGACAUUAAAUUUGGUCUCUUAAUCGAGGGUUCCUUAACACUAAAAGUGUGUGACAAUUAACAGCAGAUUCUUGAGUAUGUUGGAAGUAUGAACCUGUAAUCCUGAUUUCAAAAUAAAAUUUAAAUCAAUUUAAUCUGUACCAUGAACGACCACUCGCCGGAAAAAAGCCUGCGGCAGAACCGGUUCGUUCGCGGCAGACACUCUUUCCUUUGUCUCUCUCUCUUUCAGCAAUUUAAUUCUCAUGCGACAAUAAAGGAGCACAUUUAGAUGAUUAAGCCGACACUUGGAGGCGGUGAGACGUGUCCAUCGCACAAGAGCUCAACAAAGCUAGCCGAUUCAAGUUGGCCACUUGAAGACACGUACGGCUCUUCCUCUUGUUACUUGAGAAGCGCUGGAUGCACCGAGGUUAACUUUCUUGUUUUUGUAUUGCAUACUGAUAUAAGGUCAAUGUCAUAGAUGCUUAUAUUCAAGGAGCCUCUUCUUACAUGCUGUUGGAAUCAUUUUUUUCGUCGUGCUUAUAUGGAAUCAAUUUUUCUAAAUGUCCAAUGAAUAAUUUUUUAAAAAGGAUAGAGUUAUAAUAAUAUUUAGAUGCACAUAGAGCUAAGUAUUCUUGGCACAUUCUUUUGUUUUCUGGCCAUUUGAUAUGCAAUAUAUAGUAUUGAGUAGAUAUAUACUGAUGACUUCUGAAUUUUUGCUGUUGUUUGAUUGUAUUAGUAAGUAUCAACAGCUGGGCAUUAAGCUUUCCUUAAGAAAUUAAAGACUAAUGCUGGUUUAUUGCAUUUUUUUGUGUAGACUUUAAGCUAUAUAUUAUUUGGAUCACCUAUUACAUUUUUCUGCUCUGGACUCUCUCAAUUGUUUCGUUAUAUAUAUGGAAGGCAUCUAUAAUCAAUGAAAGUUUGGAGCCAAUUUUGCUAGUGAAAAGUAUCACUACAGUGAGAAACUUUAGGCUACAUUAAAGCAGGAUCAUAUAUUGACCAGGAAUUUCCAACUAGUACUGUUUUCAAAAACCAUCUGCACCGUAUGGCUGAGGUAGAUAGAGGCUUCGGACACGAGGAGGAAGCCACAAAGGAUGGUUCCGUGGAUCUUAAAGGUCGCCCCUUCAUUCGAUCUAAAGGAGGUCGAUGGACCGCAUGUUCUUUCAUUGUAGGUGAGCACUUGCUUAGCUACAAACCACUUCACACACAUCUUGCAAGGGUAUAAAUUAGCUUCUUACUUACAAUCUUAAUCACCUGCUCUUUAUUUGCAACUUUGUAGGCUACGAAGUUUUUGAGAGGAUGGCCUACUAUGGAAUAGCUACAAACUUGGUUCUGUAUCUCACCGACAAGCUACAUGAAGGAACAGUCUCCUCAUCAAACAAUGUCACCAAUUGGGUCGGAACGGUUUGGAUGACUCCAAUCCUAGGCGCGUACAUAGCCGACGCAUAUCUCGGUCGAUAUUGGACUUUCGUGAUUGGCUCAGCUAUUUAUCUUUCGGUAUCAACCUUCCUACUCUUAAUCAUUCUGUUGUAAGAACAAGAUUAGAACGUACAUGCCUUAACUGAACUAAUGGCUUGCUUGGUUGAAUGGUGGAAUUGGAAUGGAUAAUGUAAUGGAAAUAAAUUGGAAUGGUAAUUGGAAUGACCCACUCCCCCAAAACGUUUGGUUUAUUUGUGGAUUGAAAAUUAGAUUGAGUUAUUCAAAUUUCAUUAUUUGGUUCAUAUAAACUAAAAAAAUUAUAGUAUACUAUAAUACUAAUUUUACUCUCAAAUAUAAAUUUAUAUUAUUUAAAAUUUAUAAAAAAUAUAAUACUAUUCUCUAAUAAGUUUUCCAAAAAAAAAAAUUAAAUUUAUUUUUAAAAACUUUUAUUGAUGUGGGUUAGGGAUAGGGAUUUGAGAGAGGGAUUUGAGAGAGGAUAGGUAGGUUUUUUUUUUUUUUUUGAUGAGAAAGGGGUGAAGAGAAGGAGGGUGAGAUGGUCACAUGGGCUUUGGGCUUUCGGAAUGAAAUCUCAAUCCGGGCUAGAAGACCGGAAUCAAGUUGAAGGCUAAUGGGCCAUUCCCAUUCUAGUCCGGAUUAGAAAUCCCAAACCGAUUCAUGCAAACCAAACAAAAUUAACUGGAUUUGAUCAAAUCGAUUUCUAUUCCAUACCCAAAAUGGAUAAACCAAACAAACCCUAACAGUGAAAUUCCAGUUGGAAUCCAACCUUUAAAAUUUUGAUUUCACUCUCUAACAUUAGAAUAUGUCUGAAGUAAUUGUUUUUCCAUUAGAACUUCAUGGUAUAUUUAACUUUUUUGAUAAAAUACGCUCUGCGUGGAAUAUCUUGCAACUUUAUGGAAUAUUGUGUAUGUAUAGAGGUUAGAAAAUGCUACCUUUUAGUAGAAUUUGACGGAAAUUUUGGAAAGCAAAUAUGUUGAUAAAAUUAAAAUUUUUGAAAUUCAUGUACUCAUAGCAAUGCUCCUAUGCACCAAAAAGAUCUCGGCCCUUAAAUUUUUUAAAAUGAAUGGUGGAGAUGUCUUUUAGUUAAAAGGGUGACCGGCUUUUGUUGCCAUAGGUAUCAGUCACCCUUUUACCAAGGGUAAAUUAUUUCCUCGUAUAUAAAAUUAACAUGAAGGGCUUUUUUAUAAAUUUCUAUUUUUAUUCCCUUAAUGCCCUUCAAGUAAUUUGGUAAGAUAUCCCAUUUUAUUUUUAUAAACUUUUAACCCACAGAUAUUUUCCUCGAGGCUAUUUUACCUUUUUUUUUCUUUGUUGACAGAGAAAUUCAUGUCCAAUCUACAUUUAAAUCUAAAUUUAAAAUUUGAUUUUAAUCAAUAUUUUUAAACUUUAAUAUUGUUUUUACUAUCGAAUGAACAGUUGAAUUUAAUUUUAAAAAUAGAAGCCUUUAAUUUAAAUAAAUAAUAAAAGUUAUGUUUAUAAAUACAACAUAAUUUACAAUUUAAAAUAAGUUAAUAUUUGAUAUUUCGUGUCGUUUUAAUAUCAAAUUUACAAUUUGAAUUGAAAUAUACUAUUCAUUUAAACAUAAAUUUUUUUGUUCUAAACAUUUAAAUUAAAAUUAAAAUUGAAUUUAAUCUACACAAUUAUAAAGUUUAAAUAAAGGUUUAUUACUUAUCAAAUUAGCACUUGAAUUUAAUUUUAAAAUUAGAAGCAUUUAAUUUAAAUAAAUAAUAAAAGUAAUGUUUAUAAAUACAACAUAAUUUACAAUUUAAAAUAAGUUAAUAUAUUUGAAAUUUCAUGUCGUUUUAAUGUCAAAUUUACAAUUUGAAUUGAAAUAAACUAUUCAUUUAAACAUAAAUUUUUUCGUUCUAUACAUUUAAAUUAAAAUUAAAAUUGAAUUGAAUGUACACAAUUAUAAAGUUUAAAUAAAGAUUUAUUAGUUAUCAAAUUAGCACUUUCUAAUUUGGUAAGUAACAAAAUUAAAUAAGGAAACAAAUAUUUGUAUAGGGUUAAUCAAAUUUAGUAAUUAGCUUGUAUUUAUUUUUCCAUAUUACCCUUACGAAUGGUAACCCGUUGAACAGGUAACUAUUAUGCAAAAGUCAAUCUCGCCCCUCAAAUAUGAACGGCUAGAUUUAAUUUAGCCGGUGUAUUGAAGCAUUCCCCCUCAUUUAAAUCUGCGGUAUAUUCAGAUAAAGCCUGACUACACAUCCAAUGGAAUGAUCAUGCUUUUUAUGAUCUAUAAAUGUAAAUAAGAAAUCCCUAACUUCUAAUAUGAACAGGGUAUGAGCAUGCUAACCCUAACUGUCUCUCUCCACUCACUGAGGCCACCUGAAUGCUGCAACACCCAUGCAACACCACUCCAAGUGGGCAUAUUCUACUUAUCACUGUACAUAAUAGCGGUCGGGACGGGCGGGACGAAGCCCAACAUCUCCACCAUGGGUGCAGACCAGUUCGACGACUUCGACCCCAAGGAGAGGAAGCAGAAACUGUCCUUCUUCAACUGGUGGAUGUUCAGCAUCUUUUUCGGCACACUGUUUGCCAACACGUUGAUCAUUUACGUUCAGGACGACGUUGGUUGGGGAAUUGGAUACGGCAUUCCGACUGCCGGGCUUCUCAUAUCCAUCUUGGUUUUCUUAGUUGGGACACCUUUCUACAGGCACAAGAUACCAACAGGGAGCCCAUUUACAGUGAUUGCAAGAGUACUUGUUGCUGCUAUUAGGAAGUGGAGAGCCAUACUUCCUAAUGAUUCUAAGGAGCUUUACGAGCUGAGUUUGGAGGAGUAUGUCACGAAUGGCAAGUUCAGAAUAGACCAUACCUCUUCAUUAAGGUCCAAUCCUCUCCUUCUGAAAGUUUUAAGGCUAAUUAGUACUGAAACAUUUAUAUUUUCCUCGAAAUUAUACAAGAUCAUCAAUUAUGUCCCUUUAUCAGUGUUUGGUUAGGUUAUAAACAUCUCUUUGCUCUCGAUCAGUUAUAAAUCACGCAGUGUAAUGUGAAAUUCAGGAUAUGUGGAAUGUCUUGCAUUGUAGUCUAGUUAUGAACAGUACUAUUAGGUUAAAAUUAUUACCAAAGUUUACGAACUUUGAUCCAAUUGCAAUUUAACCUAUAUUACCAUUUGGUGCCCAUUAGCCUUUUCUUUCCACUGCAAUUUAACCCCGAAGCUUAACUUGAUUAAAAAAUUUACUAGUUCUAUAUCUGUUGUCACCGAGUGUUUAAACAAUUCACUAGUUAUCAUGUAUUGCCAAACAACUAAAUUCAGGUUAUAAGUUAUAAUUUGGUGCAAUACCCUCGUAACUAAGAUGUUUGACUUCGUAUUAAAAGAUGAUAGAUGAGUUUGUUUGCACCAAAUCAAGUUUUGUGCACAAAUUGGAUAAGAAACAAGUUAGCAGAUCAUUUUGCAUCAAAAUAAAGUAGGUGGAUCAAAUUAUAAGUAGGAUACGUGGGAAAUGCUAGCACGCUUUUAUAUAUGAUUUUAACCAUCAUUAUAAUUUCACUCUGAUUGCAUGAGCAAUGGAUGGUUGCAGAUUUCUCGACAAAGCUGCCAUGAAGAGCGGUCCAGAUACUCCGUGGAUGCUUUGCCCGGUGACCCAAGUGGAAGAAACAAAACGAAUGAUGAAAAUGCUACCGGUCUUAUUGGUGAGCAUCAUCCCGAGUGUUAUGGCCGCGCAAGUCAAUACUCUCUUUGUCAAGCAAGGCAAGACCCUAAACCGGAGCAUGGGUCCGCAUUUCAAGAUCCCUCCUGCUAGCCUUGCCGCGUUCGUGACCAUCUUCAUGCUGAUCAGCCUUGUCCUCUAUGAUCGGUUCCUCGUUCCCUUCGUGAGGAAGUACACGAAAAACCCCAGGGGAAUCACGUUGCUGCAAAGAAUGGGGAUCGGGCUCGCAAUUCACGUGCUUAUCAUGAUCGUCGCAUCGUUAACCGAAAGGUAUAGGCUCAAGUUUGUGAGAGAUCAUGGUCUAGUCGAUGAGAAGACCAUUCCUCUUUCGAUCUUCAUUCUCCUACCGCAAUUCGCGCUAAUGGGGAUCGCCGAUACGUUUGUGGAGGUCGCGAAGAUCGAGUUCUUCUACGACCAAGCACCAGAGGGAAUGAAGAGUCUAGGGACCUCAUACUUUACUACUACUUUGGGGCUGGGGAACUUCCUAAGUAGUAUUCUUUUGAAGGCAGUUUCUCAGAUUACAAUGAGAGGUGGACGUGAGGGUUGGAUUCAAGACAACUUGAAUGCGUCUCAGUUGGACUACUAUUAUGGUUUCUUUGCACUUCUCAGUGUGCUUAACCUUACCUUGUUCAUGGUUGUUUCCACGCUUUAUUCUUACAACAGUGAACGAAUGGAGGCCGGUGAUGAGAUCGUGGAGGAUGGCGCGGCAAGGCAACGGGAAGAUGAGAAAGAAGCAAAUAUUGAUAGAUAGAUAUUAAGUUGGUAAUUAUAGAUCAUUAUGUGUGUUGAUUGUUCAAUUCAAUAAAAAAAAAUGAAAAUGACAGAAGGAAAGCUGGGAGCCAUAUAUAGUUUUCUCAUUUUGAAUUUGCAAACAGUAUUAGUACAAUAGCAAUCCAGAUUUAACAUUUAAAUACCCUGACUAUAUAUUCUCAAUAUAUCAUUACAUAUAAUUAACAUAGAUUUAAAUAUAUUUAAAAUAAUAUUGGUACUUAAAUAUACCCAACAUAUCGUAUCCUAGAGAUUUUAUGAAUUGCCGUAUCGCUAUAUCUGUAUCGUGUCAUAUCCGUACGCCGUACCCCGUAUCCGUAUCUAUGCAAUAUAGGUAUGCAGUUAUGCUUUUGGUGCGCCGGAAUAUGCUUUCCAAUUUUGAUUGUUCUUUGGCAUCUCAUUCUUUAAAAAGUCUAGGAGGUUUGCAUAUUUUUGUUACGUUGAUGGUGAACAAGAGUACAAGACGAGCACUAGAAUAUUAAACUGCACAUUGUUAUAUUUGGUUUAGAUUUGUAGUUAUCUAAAUUGAGGAUAAAUCCUAAUCUAAUUGGGAUUAGAUAUUAUUUAGAUUUAAUUUGGCAUAUAUGGAUUAUAAUUAGGAGUGUAAUUCUAAUCUAAUUACAAUUAGACUCUAAUUAGGAGACAUGUAUUGUAUAUACAUGUUACGGCCAAGUUAAUGAAGCCGCGACCAAAUUAAGAGCCAUGCAAAAUUAAUUAAGUUAUUGGUGGCCUGCCGUGCUCUAAUUAGAGGCAAGCUCUAAUGACGCCGCAUCUAUGCUAAUUCUGUACGGUGGCAGCAACAUGAGCCGAGGGAGUUGGAGCUCUAAUUAGUUGAGUAUCUGAGAAGGAGCCGCACAUGCAAUGCUAAUUAAUUAAGGUGUUGUUCCGUACGGUUUGAGGCGCCGGUGACUAAUUAGAGGCCAUGCACUAAUUAGUGCUAAUUUGGAAUCCGUACAUAUUGGGUUGAGAGAAGCUCUUUUCGGAGUUGUUUGUUGCGGCGUUUCGGAUCUAAUUAAGUUUUGGUUCUUUUGAGAGAUUUUCUUGUACUCCGCCUUUUCGACAUUAAUAAAUUAUUUGCUCCGUCUUCGCCCGUGGACGUAGGCCGUUGGCCGAACCACGUAAAUAUCGGUGUGUUCUUUCCGCUUAUCUUUUCUUUUCUUGCAUUAAAUUAUUUUCUGGAUCUAUUUUUCGCGCAAUUUUAACACACAUAAGAGCUGAUUUGGGAGUCAAUAUUGUGUUAUCUUUCAGUAUAACGUUGAAUUAUCUGUGUUAAGUGUUAACUGACGAAUUCUUGAUUUUAUAAAGAAAUAUAUACUAAUAUAUAUUAGUUUGUAUUAUUUCUUUAAAUUAUUUCAUCAAAAAGAUACAAUCAAUCGUAUGAAAUAAUAAUUUAUAAAGUAUCAACCAACUAUCAUCCAACUUGAUCAAAUAAUAAAAAUAGAUAUUUAGUUGCACUAAAUAGAUAAUUAAUCAUUUAUUAUAUUUGUUUGUUUUAUUAGAUUUUAUUAAAUAAAAUGGCAAUAAACGAAAAUAUACUAACACUUUAAUAGAAAAAUUAAAAAUUAUUUUCUAAAGCUUUGUUGAUUAGUAGUAAGUUGACAAAGUAAAUAAAAGAAAGUCAAACCUAAGUCGUAAAGGAUUGAACCUAUCUUUUUUUUUCUUUUUUUUUUUUUUGAGAAAAGAUAGCACGCUACCUGCUUUAUUCAUUGAAGUAGUGAAUUUAGCUACAGAGGUGAGGCACCCAGGGCCUCGAGAAAGGGCGUACAAGUGUGCGAAAAAAAAAAAAAAUCGAUAUUGCGAUUAACUAGUAGAUUGAGCAAGUAGUACCCAGGAUUUCAGCAUCUCCUUUAACCUGUACACCGCCACAAGAGGAUCCAUUUGGGUGUUACGAAAAAUUAGGUCGUUCCUAGUCUUCCAAAUGAUCCACCAGCAUGCAGCCAAUUCAGGUAGGCUGUUCCUCGUGUUAAGCAGUCCUUUUUUGACCAUCCACCUAUCCUAGACAUAAGUUACAUCGUCUCCCAGCUCUGUCGCCUGAAAUCCUCUAUACCCAUCACCGUGAUAAACUUAGUAAAGACACACUGAGCCAGCAGGUGAUCCAUAGUCUCCUCCUGUGACCUACACAGCACACAGGUUACAUCUCCAAUCCAACCUCUCUUCGCAAGGUUAACAGCUGUUAAGAGCCUUUUCUUAAGAAAAAACCCACAGAACACUUUAAGCUUAAGAGGUAUUUGUAAAUUCCAAAUACUCUUAGCACGUCCGUCCCUCGUACCCCGGUCGGUUAACAUGGUAUAGGCCGAUUUGGCCGAGAAUAUUCCGUUGGUCGACCAUCUCCAACAUAAUGUGUUCGAUCCUUGCGUAACAUAGUAUCCACUGACCCUAGCCUGAGAUCCGAGAGGCUUGUUCUGAGCCCGGCCCUUGUAAUCGACUCAUCACUCAGCAUCCUCAUCCAGUUCCACCCCUGACUGUCAAAGCACUCCUUGACCGUUAACAAUUUGCGUUCCGUCAUCCCAUAUAUCUCCGGGAAAGACACGUGUAGGGUGGUUUCCCCACACCAUCUAUCUGUCCAAAAGUCAAUGGAGCUUUCGUUUCCCAGUAAGUAGGAGAUUCCCCAUUUGAACAAGACAGCAGUGCUAAGAACUCCUUCCACCAGUAUGAAUACGGUCUGAAGCUUUUUCCCUCCCUCAAAGGUCUUCUUCUUUGAUAGUACAAGGCUCUAGUUAUCUUGAUCCAUUGUAGGUGCGGUACGGUGUGGAAUCUCCACCACCAUUUGAUCAGAAGUGCACGAUUCAUAUUAGCUAUAUCCAAGAUGCCCAGUCCCCCUUGCAUUUUACUCAAACAGACACUCUUCCAUGCUACCAAACACCUCUUGCCUACCGAGUUGCUUUCACCGUUCCAGAAAAAAUUCCUGCAUAGAGCUUCGAUUCGUUUGACCACCCACUUGGGUACCUUAUACACAGACAGGAAGUAGAGGGGUAAAUUGGUAAGAAUAGCGUUGACCAAAAUUAGUCUACCCCCUCUUGAGAGAAGUUUGGCUUGCCAUCCCUCGACUCUGCACUGAAUUUUCUGAAUGACCGCUCUCCAUACCUCCUUCGUGGGGGUCGAGGAGAUAAAGGAAAGCCUAGGUAAGUGGUUGGCAGCUUGCCGACCUUACACCCCAGCAGGUCUUCAAGUCUUACCGCUCUGUCGUCCACCUGUCCCAUGUAGUAAAUUUCGGAUUUAUCUCUAUUAAUUUUCAUUCCCGAUGCCCACUUGAAAAGGUGCCACAACAGUCUGAGGUUUCGCAUAUAUUUUUUCCUCGCCUCACAAAAGAAGAAAGUAUCAUCCGCGAACUGUACAAGGGUAGUUCUGCUUUCAUUAGAUGGGCCAAUACCUUUAAGGAGAUUGUUAGAUGCCGCUACAUUAGUCAUUUUGGCCAGACACUCCGCCACCAGUAAGAAUAGGAAGGGUGAUAGCGGGUCUCCUUGGCGAACACCUCUCUUAGUUUUAGUCCAAUUUGUCGCCUCCCUGUUCACCAAUAUAGCUACCUUCACGUUACACACGCAUUGUUCCAUCCAUCCGCACCAUUUAUUGUCGAACCCCCACUACUUCAAUAUAGUAAAGAGGAAAGGCCAGUGAAUCCUAUUGUAGGCCUUUUCGAAGUCCACCUUUAUGCCGAUCCCCUCAAUAGCCUUCUUACAUCCCCACCCUAUUAAUUCUGAAACUAUUACGAACGCAUCAGUGAUGUUCCUCCCCUUCACAAAAGCUGAUCGAGAGGGGGAAAUUAAGUCGUCCGGAACCAUUCCAAGUCGAUUGGCUAGAACCUUCGACAAGAUCUUCUGGAUACUGUUAAGAAGGCUAAUAGGUCGGAAGUCAUUCGCUCUCUCCGCCCCGACCUUCUUAGGGAUCAAACAUAUGUAGCUAUAGUCGAUGGGAGCAUUAGACAAUCUCCCCUCGUACAAUUCCUGGAAAAGAUUGAUAAUUUCACCCUUUACUGUAUCUCAAAAAGUUUGGUAGAACCUUAAUGAAAAUCCAUCCGGACCCGGUGCUUUAUCACUCCCUAAUUGAAAGACUGCUUGCUUAAUUUUGUCAAUGCUAAAUUGUUCAUUUAGCCUCGUAAGCUGAGCCGCCGACACCCUACUAGUGGAGAAGAGUCCGCUCCACUCCCCAAAAGAAAUAGGGGUCGACUCGUCUGGUGUGAAGCGCUCAUCAAAAUAUCGGAAAAAAUAGGCCUGUUUUUCCUCCUCCGAUUGGUAAACUCUUCCAUUUUCUAGCACCUCACCGAUGCUGUUGGCUCUUUGUCUCCCAUUGGCUAUACUAUGAAAAUACUUUGUCUUCCGGUCUCCUUCCUGUAGCCAAUGCUGAUUAGCCCGAGUUCGCCACAUAGAUGCUUCAUCAUUCAGAAAUCCUCUUAAUUUCGCUUUUAACUCAUCUCUUCUCAAACCUCCUUCCUCUGUGAGAUUAUCUUGUUCCUCGGCUUUGUCUAUCUCGUGUAUUUCAGUCAUUAGCUCAUUUUUCAAUCCACUAAUACUAUAGAACUCUAGUUUGCACCAUUCCUUAAUUCUUUGCCUACAAUGUCUUAAUUUCUCAGUGAUAGUAAGCACGACGGAUUUCUCCAGGGCCUGCUCUUUCCACCAUCGAGGUACUUUAUCAAUAAAUCCCUCGUGAUUUAGCCAUGCGUCCUCGAAUCUAAACAUUUUCUUCCUCUUCUUGAAGUGUUUCUCCACCGUUAAGAGAAUGGAGCAGUGAUCUGAGGUAACACGGGGGAGCGCCUCAACUCUGGAUAGAGGGAAGUCCAAGUCCCACUCCGUUGAGACUAGGAAGCGAUCAAGUCUCGCUAGAGUAGGAUUUUUUUGCAUGUUAGACCACAUGAAUGAUUGGUUUCGCAUAGGUGGGUCAAUUAAUGCUAGUUCUCUAAUCAGCUCAUUGAAUCUAUCUGUAGCUCUAGCACUCCAGGUCUUCCCCUUUCGCUUUUCCUGACUCCUAAUACUGUUGAAAUCUCCGCAAAUAAUCCAUCUACCCUCACAACUCCUUUUUAGCUGAGCCAAUUCAGAGUAGAACUCCUCCUUCCCGUCCCAAGUAGCCAGCCCGUACACGUUAGUGACGUAGAAGUUUUUCCCAAUCUUGUCAUGAGUUAGGCGAACGGUAAUCGAAUAAUUUCUCACCAGUACAUCAUGACAAGUGUACGCACGAGAGCUCCAGCACGUAAUAACCCCCCCGGAGGUGCCAUCCGAUUCCAAAAAAAUGCAUUUGUUUAGAAAUGAUCUAGCUACACUACGGAGGAAAGAGCCCGAAACAUGUUUCACUUUUGACUCUUGUAAACAUACUACCCCAUAAUUAAACUUAAUAACGACCGCCCUAACAGCAUUACGCUUAGGGCGGCUAGUAAGCCCCCUUACAUUCCAACUACACACACUUAACAUAAUAGAAAGCCAAAAGACACCCUCUCAAGACUCCCCAAAAUGGUGUCCCACCAACACAGAAGGUCCCUCCUCCUACACGUGCUUGCAUAAGUACUCCACGAACUCCUUCGCCUCCGCUUCUUCCAGAUGCACCCCACAGAGACGGCUCUUACGUAGGAGCUUCCUAACAGUAGAAUUGACCCCGCUUCCUUUCCCUACCUCGCGCUGACUGACCUUCCUACUCAUUGACCGGUACAAGACUGAAGUCCUCUUGGAUUCCGCCAGUCGCUUACUGGUCCGAGGUAGUAAAGAGACAGCCAAAUCCCCACUGUUGACUGUAGGUUCCGUCCCAUUGACCUGCAUCUCCCACCCCGUAAGCUGAUCAGAUGGGCUGCCUUUCGCCUCCUCGACGCUCUCAGGGGCUUGCUGGAAACCAAAAUAAGGUACCAUCUCUGUCCCAGUGUUAGCAGAUACAGACUCCUCAUGGACGCACCCAAUCUCCUUGAGAGUCGCUUGAAGAGCCCACAGUCCAUUUGAGCACGCAUGCAGGGCCCACCCGCAGCGCUUCCCCCCAAAAAUGAGAAUCCUAUUUCCUGGGCUUGGUGUAGGCGCGACAUGCCAGGCCCGCUUCCCCACUAUCACAAUCCCUUCCCUAAUAACUGGUCUAUCCCACCCACCCAACGUAGGGUCCACCAAAUCCAAAACAAGUUUCAUAAUGCUAUAGAACUUGAUGGUUUGACUCCUCUGGUAUGAUUCCAAGAAUAGUCCCUGCUCAAACACUACCUCGGGCCCCCUACUCUUGGGAUUCGAACUGUGCACCUCCCCAUACACCAUAUCUAUCAAUGGUAGGGAAAGUAAGCUCAUCCCAAGUCCCUGUCUGCUAGUCUCCUUCAUCAUACAAGUCCCCUUUACUCCUCCCUGCUUCGUACCCUGUGCAUCCCUACCCUCGGGACCUGGGCCCCAGCUUCCCGUUGCACACCCAUCUCUCUUGCCGUACACCACGAGCUCGCCGCCUGGUACCCAUCCGGCUUGCCGACCUUGCCCGCCUCGACCAUCGGACAUCGGUCUCCACGUCGUCCGGCUCCUCGGUCGACCGCCGUGCUUCGCCGUCCACCCAUCCGUUAAGCCACCUUCGUCGUUCCCCCCUUUAACAGGCGUGGAUCGGGAACUCCAGCCAAGCGCCGCCAUUUCCCCCCCUUCCGAACCGUACACCUUCUUCCCUCCAGGCUCCCGCCUAGCUCUCCCGUCGUGGUAGGGUACCGGCCCCCCAGACGCCAGUCCGCAAGAUUGACCACCUCUCUCCCCCUCUACCGAAUCAGCCAUAAGUGCCCUGUUGUUGAGUUGGGUCGAGUCGACUUCCUCCAGCUCUUCUGCUUCGUCCCCCAUCUCCUCGUCCGCACUCGGCUGUCCGCCGCGAGCCUGUGGACUGGAAGCUCUAUCAAACCUGUUGGCACAAGAAAAAGUGGUGCCAGCUCAUAGCUUGCUUGGCUCAUUUGUUUGCCUAAGGAGGACAAAUCGAAAGAUGACAUAUAGUGCAUCAAGAACCAGAAAAGAAUGCCGAACGGGAAUGGUUAAAAAUGUGAGAGAGCAGUAGUUUCAUGACCAACAAGACAGUGGCUAAAGCAUUUCCCAAGAAACAAACCAUUCGAUAACCGCAGACUAACUAAAGAUUGGCAAAGAUUCUAUAAAUAGCGAGAAGUUAUUUGCACGAAAGGUCUUUUCCACAUACAAGACCACUUGUUUUUACUCUUUUGUUUUUUUUUUUUUUUUACAUUCCUAUAUUUACAGCUUUCUAAGAGUAUUUACUAAUUUUAGAAUUUUUAGCCUUUAGUUUCUCUGUAAACCAAGCCUCAGUGCUUUUCUUUCUGUAACAUUUUACAUCUUGAUUAAUGAAAUCUAUUUUGUUCUUUUAGUUCCAAAUCAAUUCUCGCUGUAACAUUAUGAUCUUUUCUCUAUUCUAAAAUUGGACUAUUAAUAUUACUUUAUUGGGAAUCCGGUACUUGUUUUGAUACCAGAUUUUGAGAAUUCGCAACCCGCUUUGAUAUCGAAUGCUCUUGAUUCGGUGCCAGUUGUUUGGAUUUUGCAAUAAAUUAAAACAUCAAAUUAAGUUUUUACUAUAAAUUUGCCUCGUCAACAAAAGUUGACACAAUCAGAAAAGAAAAAAACCUAGCACAAAAAUAUACGGAUAAACUAAGAUUAACUAAAUAAUAGAAAAUUACACCCAACCCCUUUUCUGUAAUAGAGUAGGUCAAAUCAGAGCCUUUUUUCUGGAUCUCUUCCACUCUUUUUCGUCUUCUAUAAGUCUAAAGGAUGACUUUUCUUUUUGUGCGCCUGCGCACUAGGUGCAUCAAACUUGGCCUAAGCCCUCUCUUUGUUAGGGCUCUUUUAUAAAAUGACCCUGUAGAAUUCUGAAAUCGGCAAAAUGACCCUGUCGAAAAUAUAUUUGUAAAACUAACCCUCCUUUCUCCACGUAGGCGCCACAUCAGCUAUUUCACACAAAGACGGUGAAUCGUUCACCGUCUUUGUAAUUCUGUUGUGAUUGGUGAAUGAUUCACGGCCUUUAGUGCAAAUAUAAUACACUGGACCUUUGCAAAUUACGAGGUUCGAGUGCUUGAUCAGUGUUCCGAGUUUUUUCAGAUAUUCUUAUCUGCCACCACGAAUGACGCACCUCGCACGGUCGAUAGGUUUUGGCCGUGGGGUAGUAUUCAUGAUUCAGAUUAAUAUGUAUAUAUAUAUGGGUAUUAGGUAUUGCGGGUCCAUGGCUUCCAAUAGACGCAAGCAUCUAUUGUUAAUUACCUCCGUGGCAUUGGGGCACCUUCGACUAAGAGACCUUUAUAGAUGGGAUGAGAUGAAUCGUAUCUUGGUUCAUUGAAUCCUAAGUAUAUGUAUUAGGAUUCACUUUGAGAUUGACUAGGUCCUAAAUAUAUGUGUUAAGACCUAGUCGAUAUUAAACUCUAUGUAUUAGAGUCUGGCUCUAAGUAUAUGUCUUAGAGUCCGACUAUAUUCACCUUGGUUGUAUAUUCCAAGAUGGAGAUAUGAUCAAACCCCAGGUAUAUGUAUUGAGGUAGAUCGGAUUUGAUAUUACCCGAGAGUGGCUAAUUCCUGAGUAUAUAUAUCAGGAUUAACCGAGUUUAAUAUAUUUUUCACUCUAGUUAUAUGUGCUAGAGUGAGGAUCUGACUAAACCCCGAGGUGUUAUGUUAGGCUUCGUCGGAUUUGAUUUUAUGAGUUCUAGGUAUAUGUAUUAGAGCUCGAUCGGGCAUGGAUUUUGCUCUAGGUAGGUAUGCUAGAGCAAAAGGCUGACUAGACCUUAAGUAUAUGGGUUAGGACUAGUCGAGCUUGGUUUGACUUUCACUCUAGGUAUAUGUGCUAGAGCAAAAGGUCGACUAGGCCCUAAGGGUAUAUACUAGGGUUAGUCGGAUGAACUCUAAGUAUGUGUUAGAGUUUGAAUAAACUUGAUAUCAUUUGACUGAAUUCUAAGUACAUAAUUUAGAACUCUGUCGGUUUAGAGAUGGUUUUGCCUUAGUAUAUAUGCUAAGGCGAUUGACUUAGCCCUAAGUAUAUGUAUUAGGGGUAGUCGGUAUUUAAUUUUUACUCUAGGUAUAUAUGCUAGAGUAAAGAAAAGGUUUAUGAUGAACUUUGGGCAUGAACUUGACAUAUGGUUUAUGAGAUUUGGGUACUGUCUCAUGGGAUUUGGUUCAUGGGUAUGGUUCAUGAGAUUUGGAUAUAGUUUAUGAGGUUUGGUUCAUGGAUAUGGUCCAUGAGAUUUGGGUAUGGUUUGGUGUAUGGCUCAUAGGAUGAAAUGUGGUGUAUGGUUCAUGAGGUUUGGUAUAUAAUCCAUGGGAUUUGGUCCAUGGAAUUUGGUUUAUGAACUUUGGUUAUGGUUUAUAAGGUUUGGUGUAUGGUCCAUGGAAUUUGGUUCAUGGAAUUUGGUUUAGUUCAUGAACUUGGUAUAUGGUUCAUGAAGUUUGGUAUAUGGUCCAUGGGAUUUGGUCCAUGAGAUUUGGUUAUGGGAUUCGUUUCAUGGUUCAUGAGGUUUGGUUUAUAAUUCAUGAGAUUUGAUUUAUGGUUCAUGAACUUGAUGUAUGGUUCAUGAGGUUUGGUUCAUGAAAUUUGGGUAUUGGUUCAUGAGAUUUGGUGUAUGAAUCUUGGUUUAUGUACUUGACUCAUAAUUCAUGAACUUGGUUUAUGGUUUAUGAAGUUGGGUAUAUGGGAUUUGGUUCAUGAACUUGCAUAUGGUUCAUGGUGUUUGAGGUUUGGGUCAUGAACUUAGGCACGGUUCAUGAACUUGAUUAUAGAAUUUGGUUAAUGACUUGGGUUCUAUUUAUAAUUGGAUUUGGAUUUAGGGUUAUUUGUUGACUGGAUUGGGUUUGAGUCUUUAUUUAUGGACUUGAUUUGGCUCAGGUUUGGGUUUUAUUUGUGGACUUAAUCAGAUUUGGGUUUGGGUUUGGGUUUUAUUUGUGGACUUGGUUGGAUUUGGGUUUGGAUUUGAUUUGGGUUUUGGGUUUGGGUUUUAUUUGUGGACUGUAUUUGAUUUUGGAUUUUAUUUGUGAACUUUGGGUUUGGAUUUUUAUGUGGACUGUAUUUGGUUUUGGGUUUGGGUUUUAUUUGGGUUUUGGGUUUGGGCUUUAUUUGUGGACUGUAUUUGGUUUUGGAUUUUAUUUGUGGACUUUGGGUUUGGAUUUUUAUGUGGACUGUAUUUGGUUUUGGGUUUGGGUUUUAUUUGGGUUUUGGUUUUGGGCUUUAUUUGUGGACUUGGUUCGGAUUUGGUUUGUAUGUGGACUUGAUUCGGAUUUGGUUUGUAUGUGGACUUGAUUCGAAUUUGGUUUGGUUUUUUUUUCAAUUCUAUUUCGGGUUCGAGGCAAUCCUCUUUUGGUUUUGCAAUUUUGGUUUGAUUUGGGGUCCGAAGAAAUCCCCUUUGAUCUCGAUUUGGUUUGAUUUGGGGUCCGAAGAAAUUUCCUUUAGAUUUUCCAAUUUAACUUGGAUUUGGGGUCCGAAGAAAUCCCCUUUUGAUUUUCCAAUUUGAUUUGGAUUUGGGGUCCGAAGAAAUCCCCGUUUUGAUUUUCCAAUUUGAUUUGGGGUCUGAAGAAAUCCACGUUUGAUUCUCCAAUUGGAUUUGAUUUGUGGUCCGAAGAAAUCCCCGUUUUGAUUUUAAUUUGGGAUCCGAAGAAAUCCCCGUUUGAUUCUCCAAUUGGAUUUUAUUUCGGAUUCGAAGAAAUUUCCGUUUUGAUUUUGAUUUGGGGUCCGAAGAAAUCCCGGUUUAGUUCUGAUUUGGGGUCCGAAGAAAUCCCCGUUUGGUUCUAAUUUGGGGUUCGAAGAAACGGGGAAUCUUUGAGUCCUCUCCCCUCUUCUGGCGAUACUUCCCCGGCGAUGCUGUAGAUGUCGUCGGCGAAGUUGUUGAUGGUGGCAUGGAUCUGUUCGGCCGUCGGGUUUGAUUUGACAUUUUUGAAGAAAUAUUGAAGGGUCCGAAGAAACGGGGAAUCAAAGAUUCCCCUUCCUUCUUCUUUCGAUCAAACCGACGAUGCUGUAGAUGUCGUCGGCGAAGUUGUUGACGGUGGCACGGAUCUGUUCGGCCGUCAGAUUUGAUUUGACAUUUUUGAAAAAAUAUUAAAGGAUCCGAAGAAACGGAAAAUCAAAGAUUCCCCUCCCUUCUUCUUUCGAAAGUAUCAAACCGACGAUACUGUAGAUGUCGUCGGCGAAGUUGUUGACGGUGGCACGGAUCUGUUUGGCCGUCAGAUUUGAUUUGACAUUUUUAAAGAAAUAUUGAAGGGUCCGAAGAAACGGGGAAUCAAAGAUUCCCCUCCCCUCUUCUUUUGAAAGUAUCAAACCGGCGAUGUUGGGGUGGUCUGUCACGCCCCGGGACCGGCAGAGGCCCUCCCGGUAGCGUGCCCAGACCCGCCAUAUGUCAACACAUAUAAGGCGUCUAGAACGAACACGGAAGUAAAAGCAAGUAAUAGAACAAAUAAAGAAGCGAACUAACAAGCCACUAAUGAUAUCAGAGCGAGUAAAGUUCUAACAUCUACACCAACAGUAAUAGAACAUAACUAAAACAUAAAAGUAAACAUAAGUUAUACAGUAUCAGCCUCUAAUACAAAAAUGGUGGUCGCCAGUACACUGGUAAAACUCUCAACCUCUCCAAAAGAAAUACAACGAGAGGUAGACCACCUAGCGAAUCGUCCUCGAAGGAAGCUAGCUCGAAGCAACUCCCUUCCCGCGGUCCCUGGCCUCACCCUGAGUGGAAGGCUCUGAAAAACAUCGAGAAAAAGAGGGCGUGAGAACUAUAAUUUAUAGUUCCCAGUGGGCAAUUACUGACCUCAGCUUCUGCUCCACCAGGCCCCAAAAAUAAGGGUAAGUAAUGCAAUAGCGAUAAGCGAUAAAAAGGAGCAUGUAAAUAAACUGCUGAAAGAGAGAGCAUAAGUAAAAUGCUAUACUACAAUAUCUCACAUAAGCAUAAUGUCGAAUGGUGUACAUCCAUUCUAUCAUAAGGAAAAGUGACCAAUGGCAAUAGUUUACGGUUACCAACCUUCAUCCAUACAUGAUGUAUAAGCUCUAUCAUGGCGGCCAAGUAUACUAUAUGUCUCAACCCUAUGCUAUAUGCAUGUAAAUGUAAUCCAACUACUAAACCUAUCUAGUAGUGAUUGUUCAUUCUCAAACCGUGUCGAUUUCUAUUUCCAAUCAGGGACCUACCCAAGGUAGUCCAGCUUGUGCCGCCUAAGUGCCUGUGGUAGCCCGACAUUCCUACACAUGGAAUGUGUCUGUCCCACUCGACCCCGUAGGCUUCUCGAUACCGCACGAGCGAACAAAAGUCGCAUAGGCUAACUCCGGAGUGCCGGCUUGUAGGGAGCGACCCUCAUAAGCAUGUGCGAAUGAGCACAAAUGGCAAGAAAGCAAAAUCCAAGUCUCAAGUAUCCAAUCCUCAUGUCUCUAACAUGGUAUAGUCACUAGCAUCCCGAAGAUCUAGUUUAAGUCACAGUGUGAAUUUUCAGCUUUUGCUACGCCUAGUGCCCCUUGAUGACACUUAGGCAAUUUGAUGUCCAACAUAUAUCCCAAGUUCCUCAAUGGCCCUAUCCACUAGGUUCACACAUGUCCCGAGCUCAACGCCGCUUGAUGACAUUAGCUCGCUUGUUCACAUACAUUCUAGCUCAAUACCUCUAUAUGGCAAUUUUAUCAUCUUUCAUGUCAAGUAAACUUAAGUUUAAUGCAUGAAUUCGAACUCCUUUACACUAUAGAAACAUGGAACCAAAUCCCAUAAAGAAUGCCAAAUGAAACCAAUGAUCUCCCAAGCAACUCUCUACUACAUAGAGGUCCAAAAUUGCACUAUAUAUAACAUAUGCAUUUUAAGCAUUCUAAAAAUUAUAAUAAAUACAUUUAGUAUGAAUAUGCAUGCUUUUUCAAUUUACGGAACAUAUAUAACCAUAUAUGAGAAUUUCUCAUAUGUAGGCUAGGUCAAACCCACCGAACCAUCGCGUAGGGUCUCAAUUCGCCGAAACAAAGUUGUCCCCGAGUCUCAAAAUACCCUAAAAAUGAUCAGCGAAGAGAUACGAGGGCAUUACGACCAUCCUAUAACAUCAAACAUUAACCUAGGAGCAAAAAGGGGCAAAACUCACCUCAAGAGUAGAAAUCUUCUCCUAAGCUCCAAAAGAGAGCUAGAACCCUUCCAAUCCAAGCCCUAGGAAGGUUCUAAACCAACCAAUCAAGCCUCAAAAGCCCUAGGUUCAAAAAGCCCAAAAUAAACCCUAAGUCUCAAAACUAGGGUUCCAAAUGGUAAAACCUACCAAAUCAAGGGUUCAAGGGUAGAAUCCAAGUACUAACCUCCCAAGGUGCCUCCAAACAAGCUCCAAAUCUUCUAGGGUUGAAGAUUGGCCCACCACCAAGCUCUACAAGCAAGCUCCAAGCCUUGCAAAGGUGGAAAAGAGAGAAUGGGGUUGAGCUCCAAGCUCCCUCAAGCUAGCUCCUCUCCUUCUUCUCUUCCUUCUUCUUCUUCUUCUCUCUCUAGGAAGUGUAGGGUGGGGAUGAGAAUGAGAAAAUGAGAGAGGAGAGAGGAGGAAAUGGCUAAUAAGCCCAUCUAAUGUAACAAAAUCCAACCAGGCCCCCCAAAAAACCAAUAUUGCAUCAGCCCGGUCUGGGCAGUUUUCGCCCAGAGGGACCGGUCUCUCCCCAGCAGGGACCGGUCUCUCGCUGCGAACACGAAGAACCAGCGUUCGGGAACCGGUCUCUCCCUGCGCGGGACCGGUCUCUCACUGCGAAGACGCGCUAGGGGACCGGUCUCGCCUGCCAGGGACCGGUUGUCUCAGGCUGCCUCAACACUGCUCACUGGGGGACCGGUCUCUCCUUCCAGGGACCGGUCCCCGAGAGUAAAAACUCUCAGGACUGUCCAGAAUUCCAAUUUUCGAACUUUUUAGGUCGGAAAACAUUCUACAACCCUCCACCAAGUGUGGAAAAGCUCGAAAUACACCAAACACUCGAACCUCGCAAUUUGCAAAGGUCUAGUGUGUUACAUGGUCGCGGCAAUGUAGAUCAUCCAUUCUAUCAUCAACAACUUCGAAUGGGGUAUUGAGAGGUCCGAAGAAAUGGGGAAUCAAAGAUUCCCCUCUAGUCUCCCAUCGAAGCCAUCUAGAUGGUAUGGAUGGCUACGAUCACAGGACCAAAAAAGAAAAAAAAAGAAGGGGAAGAAAAGAGAUUUUUUUUUUCUUCUUCUUCAUUUUUCUUCUUUUUUUUCCUUUACCUGUUGAUCAAAUGACGGAUUGGAUGAAUCAGCUCGACGAUUCCUCCACCUUUCCGCGGCUCGGCAAUCUCUCAUCCUUUUCGCGGCUCUGCGAUUUCUCCUCAUUUCCGUGGCUCGGCGAUCCUCCUCCUAUCCAUGGCUCGACGAUAUCUCAUUUUCUUGAAUUUUUUGUAUGUCGAAACGAGUGUAGCAAUCUAUCUUUUUUUUUUUUUGUUCUUUGUCUAUCGUAUCGUCUCCGUACAAAAAUUCUCCCAUGUUUGAUUUCGGUUCUCGUAUUUAUAAUAGGAGGGGUGAUGAGAGAUAUUUUGAGAAAUUCGAAAUUCGAAUUUGAAUUUUGAAUAGGUUGUUGGAUAGUUGGAGGAUUUUUGGGAAUUGGUUGAAGAUUCGAAAUUCGAAAUCGAAUUUUGAAUCGGUUGUUGGAUGGUUGGAAUUGGUUGGGAAUUCGAAAUUCGAAAUCGAAUUUUAAAUCAGUUAUUGGAUGGUUUGAGGAUUUUUGGGAAUUGGUUAGGGAUUCGAAAUUCGAAAUCGAAUUUUGAAUCGGUUGUUGGAGGAUAUUUUGAAAAUUAAUUGGAAAUUCGAAAUUCGAAAUUGAAUUUUGAAUGGGUUGUUGGAUGGUUAGGUAUUCAAAAUUCGAAUGAGAGAUAUUUUGGGUGUUCGUUCGAAAUUCGAAAUCGAAUUUCGAAUCGAAUUUGAAUAUGGUAUUCGAGAUUGAAAUUUUAAAUGUGGGUGAAAAUGUGGGCCGUUAUUUCAUGAAUUGGGCUGAAAUUGGGCCCACUUUGUUGAUGAAACUUGUUGGGCAUGAAUAUUUAUUGGGCUGAGAUGAGGCCCGAAUUUUUGUAUAGGCCUAAAAUCUUACAGGGCUUUCAUGAGGCCCAUUAAUUCACAGUUAUGAAUGGGCCUAUUGUGGAUUAAAAUCAUAAUUAUUGGCCCCAAGAUUUCUCGGUCAGCAUGAAACCUAUUGGGAUUGUAUGAAUCCGAAUUUAAUCGGUUUUAAUUACUUUAUCCAAAUUUUUUUUUCACUUCAAGCAAUUCUGGAGGGUCGUUGACAGUGUUCCGACCAAUGACUCGUAUCCCAAGAAUUGUAGUAAUUAAAGUAGCGCUAAGGUCACCAAAGUGAUGGACUUAGGCUGCUCUCGGGUUGCAUUUUGUUGGGCUGUGUACCGGUACACCUUGAUGGUUGUACCGGUACACCUUGAUGGUUGUACCGGUACAGAAAGUGUACCGAUGACACCUUGAUGGUUGUUCCGGUACAAAUGAAUUUUUCUGCCAACCCGAGCCUCGGGUUCGCGCGUACACUGGGUUUAUACUGGUACACUUUCCCGUGUACCGGUACACUUUGCAGAAAAGGCUGUUUUUGUAGAGGGGUGUAUUUGCAAUUGUUGCUAACUCUAUAUAACCCACCCCAGGCCCUUAGAGAGCUCCUUUGAGCCCUAUUUCGUGGAGAAACCUGGUGAGGCUUUCUCCUUUGAUUUUUGCUCCAUUUUGCUUGGUUUUAGCUAGUUUUGAUCUCCUCUCAUUGCUUCUCUUUGCUCUUUGUUGGGAUUUCACCAUUAGAGAAGCUUUGAAGCUUUUGUUAGAGCUUGGUAGAGGAAGGAUCUUCAACCUUUGGGCAUUCCAAACUUGGUUUGGAGCAUCUUAUGAGGUUAGUACCCAUGAUCCCUCCUUUGGAUCCUGUUUUGGAGGAUUUUUUAUGUUGUAACCCUAGGGUUGGAAAUUAGGGUUUAUUUUGGGAAUUUUGGAUUUGAAGCUUUUGGAAUCAAAUUGAUUGGUUUAGAACCUUUGUUUAGGUUGGAUUAGAGGGCCUCUAACUCCCUUUUGGAGAUCGAGAGAGGUUUCUUCGCAUUCGGUGAGUUUUCACCAUUUUUCUUGAGUUGCUUAAUGUUUGAGCAAUGGGUUGUUCGUAACGUUCGUGUAUCUCUCUUUUCUGUACCUUCAGGGUGCUAGGAGAGUAGUGGGCACUUUCGUCGGCUCGAACGAAGGGUUGCGAGAGUCACGGUGAGUUUGACUUCAUGGAAUAGGGGAGAAAUGUCUCCUAUGUGAUUUGUACUCGUCGUUUCAUCGAAAUGCAUGCAUAUUUAUGCUAGAUAGGAUUUUUAUAAAUUUUAGAAUACUUAAAAUUGCAUGUGUUAUGUAUAAUAAAAAUUCAACUCUAUAUAGUAGAGCCUUAUGUGGAUUAUACAUGCACGUGAGUAGUAUUCUUUCUUGUGGAUUGGAAACAUGUCUCAUAUGAUGAAAAUGACUCGAAUUAUGUAUUCCUGAACACUAAACGCAUGCUUGGACUUAGUGAACAAAAGUGCCAUAAAGGGGCACCUGACUCAGUAAACUGUGAAACUGCAACAUAGAGACAUAGUGAUAGUGUAACGCACUGGACCUUUGCAAACUGCGAGGUUCGAGUGUAUGGCUGGUGUUAUGAGUUUUUCCAGAUUUUCUGGUGGGUCGUAGACAGUGUUCAGACCUAUGGCUCGUAUCCCGAGAAUUGUGGUAUUUCAAGUAGCACUAAGGUUGCCAAAGUGGAGGACUUAGGCUGCUCUCGGUUUGCAAAUUUCGGGGUGGCGUACCGGUACGCGGUGAUGGCUGUACCGGUACAGCCAUCGACCCUGGCAGCCAGAGCGCCAACCCGAGGCUCGGGUUGGGCUGGUUCGUGGGAUGUGUACCGGUACACAAACCCGUGUACCGGUACGCAGUGCAGUUCGGGCUGUUUCGGGGAGGGGUGUAUUUGCAAUUGUUACAACACCUAUAUAGGUGACCCCAGCCCCCUUAGCUGCUCUCUUUGAGCCCUAACCAGUGGAGAUCAAGGUGAGUCUCCCCUUCCCUUGUUUGAUCCCCAUUUUUGGUGGAUUUUAUGGUGUUUUGAUCUCUCCCUUCUCCUCUUCUUUGCUUUUAUUGGGUUUUCUCCAUGAUUGAAGACUUGGAGCUUUGAGAGGAGCUUGUUUGUGAGGAGACCUCCAACCCUAGCUGAUUUUGGACUUGGUUUGAGGCUAUUUAAGAGGUUAGUAACAUGUAUUUUUCAUUUGAUACAUGUUUUGUUGAUUUUGGUUAGAGGAAACCCUAGAUUUUGAAUUUUAGGGUUAGAAAUGGGGAUUUUCGAGUUGAGGCUUUUUGAUCUUGAUUGAUCUUAUUUGAACCAUCUUUUAGGUUGGUUUUGAAGGAUUCUUGCCUCCUUUUGGAGAUCAAGAGAGAUAUUCACCAUUUUCGGUGAGUUUUUCCCACCUUAGCUUGAAAAGCUUAAUGUUUGAGCUAUGUGUUGUUUGUAGGGUUCUUGUGACACUUGUUUCCUUACCUUUAGGGUACUAGGAGAGUGGUGGACACCCUCAUCGGAACAAUCGAAGGGUUCCGUUGUCGUCGGUGGGUUUGACCUAGCCACAUAAUGAGAAAAUCUCAUUGUUGAUGAUUUAAGUAUUGUAAAAUGAAAAAGCAUGCAUAUUCAUGUUCGAUGCAUUAUUUGUGAAUUUUAGAAUGCUUAAAAUGCACAUGUUAUAUACAAUGCAUAUUUGACCUCUAUAUGGUAGAGAGUUUUCAUGUUGGGCUAGGGGCCUAUGGUUAGCAUUCUUACAUUUGAUUAAGAUCAUGUUGCAUAUGGUGCUUAUGGCACAUAGAUUACACUCUUGGGCUUAGAACGCAUACUUGACAUGGUUGGUCAUAUCGACCUUAAGUGACAUAGGUUAGAGUGUAUACAAAUGGUAAGCUAAUGUCAUAAAGCGGCAUUAGGCUUGGACUAGAGAUGGACUUAGCAAGCUAAUGUCAUAAAGCGGCAUUAGACUUGAUGGAUAUGUAAAUUGCAUUUGCAUGUUAUUAUUAUGAGAAAUUAUGCCAAGUGGAUAGUUGCAUUGGAAAGAACAUACAUGUGGCAAUAUGAGAACACGCUAGAGAGCAUGUGUAUUAAUCUAUUAUUGAUAGAACAAGUUAACGUCAUAAAGAGACUUAGAAGGUGAAAUGUGCUUAGAUUAUAGCAAUGUUUAAAUGUCAUAAAGAGGCACUAAACAUAGUGAAUGUGGGAACUUCACCUUGAGAUUUGGACUUAGUAAAGCUAAGGUCAUUGACAUCGAAAUUAUUGAACGGUUUAACCUUCACAUUGAGACAUAGUACUAGACCUUUGGGUUGCUAGUGACUGUUACCAUGUUAGAGACAUGAUGAUUGGGUACUUGAGGUUUUGACCAUGCUUGCUUGCCAUUUGUGCUCAUUCGCACAUGCUUGUACGGGUCGCUCCCUACAAGCCGGCACUCCGGAGUUAGCCUACGCGACAUAUGCUCGCUCGUGCGGUACUGAGAAGCCUACGGGGUCGAGUGGGACAGACACAUUCCAAGGGCAGGAAUGUUGGGCUACCACAGGCACUUAGGCGGCACAAGCCGGACUACACCCGUGUAGAUCCUGAAUGAGAUUUAACCAAAAUAUUAAACAACAAGUUGAUAAUCACUAAUAGACAGGUCAUAGUAGUUGGAUUCCUUAACAUGCUACGGCAUAGGGUCGGACAUUGAGAUUCAUAGGAUACUUGACGGUAUCGCUGAUGGCAUCGUAGUGUACUUGGUUGCCAGGAUAGUACAUACUAGAUAUGUAGUUGGCUUUGAGACAUAUAUCAUACUUCAUAGUAUUACACGUUGCAUCAUAGCAUAUUUGUUUAAGUACUGGCAUACUGGUUCAUGUAGAGUAGAUGUACUUCAUGUUGACAUUCUACAUACUUAUGGCAUAGUAGAGUAGCAUAUUAUUAUUAUGCUUCAUUUACCGCAGUUAAAUUCUAUUAACUUUAUCUGCUCUCUUUUGGGCCUAGUGGUGCAGUUGGUGCAGGUCAGUAAUUGCCCACUGGGAACUAUAAAUUAUAGUUCUCAUGCCCCCUGUUUUAUGUUUUCUUUCAGAGCCUUCCACUUCGGGAGGGGCUCGGGAUCGCGGGAAAGGUUUCGCCUCGAGCUAGCUACCGAGGGAUUUGGCGUUAGGUGGUCUACCUCUCUUUUGUUUUGCGUUGGAGAGGUUGUGAGAGUUUUGUACCUUAUUAUAGAGACCACCCUACUUUUGUAUCUGGAGACUUAUGAUGUAUUAGUUUCUUUAUGUUCUAGUGGUUUAGUCUCUUUCUCUUUCCUUUCUAUUUCCGCUUGUUGAUAGAACUUAGCUGCAUGCUUGCUCUGAUAUCGUUAGUUAUUGUUUAUUUUAUCUUUCAUAUCACUUUGUUGUAGACGCCUUAUAUGUGCAGGCAUAUGGCGGGUCUGGGCACGCACCGGGCAGGGCCUUUGCCGGGUCCCGGGGCGUGACAGAUAGGCCAUUUGGACAUCGACUAUAUUCUAUGUUUUAGACAUGAUGACAUAGUGAUAGGCCAUUGAGAUAUUUGCUACAUUUCAUGUUUUAGACAUGAUGACUUGAGACUUGAGACGGACUUUUAUGUUUGCUUGCCAUUGUGCUCAUUUGCACAUGCUUGUGAGGGUCGCUCCCUACAAGCCGGUACUCUGGAGAUAGCCAUCGCGACACAUGCUCGCCCGUGCGGAAUUGGGCGCCGAAAUAGGAUGCCGUAGGGGAGGCUCAUUUCUAGAGUGGGAAUGUUGACUACUACGGGGCCAUUAGGCAUGGCGCAGGCCGGACUACCCACGGGUAGGUCCUACAGGAUUGGAACAUUGGUGACAUAACAUACCAAGUGGACAUUGACUAGAAUAGUAAACAAUGACAUCUUACUGGUUACAUUGUGGAUAUUAUGUUGGGUGUAUAUUCAUGCUUAUACAUGUUAGAAAAGCAUCAUACUUAUGCAAAUCAUGCUAAGUAGAGAUAUCAUGCUUUAGUAAGUAUUCAUGUUUAAAUACUUGUCAUUCGUAUUGCUUAUUUAUUCACACUUACCUGCUUAGUUUUCGGGCCUAGUGACGCUUUUCACUGAAGUCAGUAAUUGCCCACUGGGAACUAUUAUUUAAUAGUUCUCACGCCCUUUGUUUUAUGGUUUUAUUACAGAGCUUUCAGCGCCGGUGGAGGUACGGUAUCGCGGCAAAGGGGUCGCGUAGCUAGAUAGCAAGGAUUUACAUUUUGCUUAGGUUGUUUUCUCUCUUUUGUUUUGUAGAGAGAGUGAGAGUUGUAUCCCUAUAUAGAGACCACCUAUGUUAUACUUUUGGCUCUUGUAUUUGGAUUUCAGUUGUUCUACUUUAUGGUUCUAUCUUAGUGGAUUUUAGCCUUUGUUUAUUCCUCUAUUAUAGAUUCUAGUUGUACCAUGCUCUGAUACUCCUAGAUGUUCUUUUAUCUUGUUUUAUUUACCGUUUUAUUGUAGACGCCUAAUAUGUUUUAGAAAUAUGGCAGGUCUGGNUAUGGCAGGUCUGGACACGUGCCUUGCGUGCUUCCGCUGGGUCCCGGGGAGUGACAACAACCCCCUCCCCUUCCCUCCCCCCCACUUUGCCUUACAAGACCGCCUUGCCAAUUGCCCCAGAGAAGACGGUGAAUGGUCCAAACCAGGUUCGAGCUCAAAAAGAAUAGGGAAUGAGAGACCACCUUUAUCGAACUGGCGGGGUUUCUAAAUAAGUUAAGUCUUAAGCAGACUGAAGCUAUAUAAAGAUAUGGAUGUCUGUCUUGUAUUGAGUAUGUAUGUGUAUAGAAAAAGGAUAACCUCAGUGGACUUGAAUUCCACAGGACAGAGAGUGACCUCUGUGGACUUAGACUCUACAGGAUAUGAGUUAAGUAUACAGGUAUAAAAGUGGUAGAUCUUUUAGCUCUUUAUCGCUGUGGAGGAAAAAUCGGACUAUUUUGGUGAGCUGGAGUGGGUAAAACAGUACUCAUCAUGGAAUUGAUCAACACCAUUGCCAAAGCUCAUAGGGGCGUAUCCGUAUUUGGCGGAUGGCAUUCUCCGAAUUAUUGGGUUGUUCGCUCCCAGAAUUUUUAGGAAUGAUUCUAUUACGAAGAUUCGUGGCGUUAUCAUCAGCCAUUAUUUACAUAAAAUGUAUAUUUACCUUAAAUGUUAGUCCCACUGGGCGUGCCAAAAAUUAUUGGUAGUCGAAAUCUACAAUCCCUAACCCGGUCAAAGAUCCUCCUCGGGGAGCGCGUAGGGAUGUGGAACGGCUGUGGAUAGUGACCCUCGAAAUUUGCGCCAUUCGAUUGGUCAAGCGAUUCGGCUGACGAGGGAUCGGGUCAACCGGGUUCGAAACCUCUACAGCAAAUUUGGUUCGGCUGGAUGAGCCGAAUGAGCAAGAGAAGUCAGAAUUUCAGCCAAGGAAUGAGCCGAAUGGCUAAUACAGCACAAGAGCUGGUCGGCCUGAAGAGCCGAACACUGCCUUCUAUUGAAAGAGAACGUAGAAAGUACAAGAAAAAGGGUUUUAGUUUACAACGGAGUGAUGCCCAAAGGGCAGACAGACUCCAGGACGCUAAGUUACAGGAACUACUCCUAAGAAAAGUAAACGUGAGAAAGAAAGAUGCAGGAAAAUAAAGGUGGUCUUUUGUGUGCAGGGAUGAAGACCCCUUUUUGGGGUAUUAUUAUACUAUUUAUAGAUAGCCCCCUCGGUCAGUUAUUGUUCUUACACGAUCGGCCACUAUCUCCUCAUAUUCCGGACCACUUCUAGCCGAUCGGAACCGCAUGUAACUGCUUGCGGUUACCGUAACCUCCUUCAAUUGGCGCGAUACACUUUUCCGGUGCUCCCUAUACACGACCGAAUAGAUGCUUUUGAAGGGAAUAUUCGCACCUAAAUCUCAUCCGCGCCUAAUUGGCUCAACAGAAACCCUAGGGGUCUUAUUGGGGUUUUUCUUAGAAUGAGAUCUAACUAAGGUUUGAUCUCUUGUAGUCCUAAUUGACGAGUAAGUUGAAACGUUAGGAGGCUCGGUUCGAAGAUCCGUCGAGUCUACGCCAAGAUAUUGAAGAAAAACCUCAUUUCGGCUUCGUUUGCCGAGGGUCGUGGGCGAUUGGCGACCAUAAAUUCUGGAACUUGAAUUCUAGCACCUUAGUGACCCUACGAGGUGGGUGGUGCUAUCUGAAAUCAUCGAAUCUCCUUUUAUGUCUAAAUGUCACUUAUUGAACAUGUAUGUGUAUAUAGGAUUCAUGCAUUGUAGGGUUAAGAUGAGAAUAUGUUGAUAUAUUGCUUGCAUGCUUUUAGUAUAAAGAUGCAUAUGAAUUGUUAAUGAGUUAUUGAACAAGUGUGAACCCUAUAGAUGUAUGAAUUGUGACAUGAACCUAGUUGAGGCAAAGAACAUAGUGACAUUAUGACACGUGAGUAAAAUAGCACAUUGUGGCAUUAGCGAGUAUAAUGAAUGCGAGAGAAUAGAACUCAUAGUGAGUUGUGACAUUGUGAACAUGGCAUCCUUAUAGUUAAGGAUUGAAUUGAGUAUGGCAUCCUCAGAGUUGUGGAUUUGAUUAUACUCACGUGUAAGUCUUGGCUUGAGGGCAGUCGCACUCCCUUGAGCGAUGAGCUCCGGAGUAGUCAUCACUGGGUUGGAGUUUUCCCAGAGGAUGGUCCCGUCGCGUUGUAGGAGUUUCUCCCCGAUAGUAGGGAUUUGAGUUGGUGAGUUGUUGUUCGUGGCGAAACCUACGGGUCAGCCAAGAGGAUUGGGUAUUGGAAAAUGGAAUUGGCAUACAUCAUGAGCAUCUUACAUUAUUAGCAUUCUUCUUCAGGCAUAAUAGCUGCAUUUGUUUAGAAUGGUUAUCUAUCUAUCUUCUUCUUCUACUUAUGCCUAGUUUAGACCUAGUGAGAAAGUCGGCGGGGUCGGUGGCCGAACCAACUGGAAACUUUCUUAUAGUUCUCACCCCACUGCUUUUGUAACAUACCAAAACUCGGUUGAGUAUAUCGAGCCUUAGUCAAAUGGACUAAAGUAUGCGAAAGAGAUGGUUGGACAAGUUUCAAUUAGUAUUCCAACAAGGUUGGAAGAGUUUAAAAUAAGUUUAAAAAAGUUAGAAAGGUUUUAGCAUUUAUCGGAGAGAAAUAGAAUCGAAAAGAUGCGAAAAUCUGAAAUCUGGAGUUGUGUUACUGGUUUAACAUCGAAAGUGUACCGGUACAUAGUGUAAACCGAGAGAAGUAGCUCUCGGGUUGAGUAAAAAAAGGUUGUGUACCGGUGACAGAAUUUCGUGUAGCGGUACAGUGCACGGUGGACCACAAGAGCAGCCUGCUGCAGAAUUGGAGUUUGAGGGCCUAACUACAAUUGUAGCAGCCUAAAUAAGACCCAAACCUUCUCUUCUCUUCACGGCAAGCUGAGAUUACACUCCUCUCUCAUUUUCUCUCUCUCCCUCUGUAACACACUAGACCUUUGCAAAUUGCGAGGUUCGAGUGUUUGGACUGUGUCCUGAGCUUUUCCAGAUUUUCUGGUGGGUCGUUGACAGUGUUCCGACCUAUGGUUUGAAUCCCGAGAAUUGUAGUAUUUUAUGUAGCGCUAAGGUCACUAAAGAGUUGGACUUAGGNACUUAGAACGCAUGCUUGACAUGGUUGGACAUAUCGACAUUAAGUGGCAUAGGCUAGAAUGGAUACAAAGAGUAAGCUAAUGUCAUAAAACGGCAUUAGGCUUGGACUAGACAUGAACUUAGCAAACUAGGGUCAUAAAACGGCAUUAGACUUGAUGGAUAUGUAAAUUGCAUGUGCAUGUUAUUAUUAUGAGAAUUAUGCCAAGUUAAUAGUCGCAUUGGAAAAAAAUCAUAUGUAGCAAUAUGAGAACACGCUAGAGAGCAUGUGUAUUAAUCUAUUAUUGAUAAGAACAAGCUAACGUCAUAAAGAGACAUGGAAUGUGAAUUGGGCUUAGAUUAUAGCAAUGUUUAAGUGUCAUAAAGAGGCACUAAACAUAGUGAAUGUGGGAACUUCACCUUAAGAUUUGGACUUAGUAAAGCUAAGGUCAUUGACAUCGAAAUUAUCGAACGGUUAAACCUCCACAUUGAGACAUAAUACUAGACCUUUGGGUUACUAGUGACUGUUACCAUGUUAGAGACAUGAUGAUUGGAUACUUGAGGUUUUGACCAUGCUUGCUUGCCAUUUGUGCUCAUACGCACAUGCUUGUGAGGGUCGCUCCCCACAAGCCGGCACUCCGGAGUUAGCCUACGCGACUUAUGUUCGCCCGUGCGGUAUCGAGUAGCCUACGGGGCCUGGAGGGAUAGACUCAUUCCUAGAGUGGGAAUGCUGGAGCUACCACUGGCACUUAGGCGGCACAAGCCGGACUACACCCGUGUAGAUCCUGAAUGAGAUUGAACCAGAAUACUACAACAAGUUGACAAUCACUACUAGAUAGGUUAUAGUAGUUGGAUUUUCUUGACAUGCUAUGGCAUAGGGUUGGACUUUUGGGAUACUUAGUGUACUUGACAUUAUCGCUUAUUGCAUUGUAGUACACCUUGCUGCCAUGAUAGUACAUACUAGAUAUGUAGUGGGCUCUGGAAUAUAUAUGUCACACUUUAUAGCAUUACUUGUUGCAUCAUGAUACAGUGUUUAAGUUUUGGGCAUAUUAGAUCAUGUAGAGUAGAUGUACUCCAUGUUGACAUUCAGAAUACUUGUGGCACACUAGAGUAGCAUCUUAAUUUCAUGCUUCAAUUACUGUUGAUAUUUCCUGUUAACAUUAUUUGCUCGUUUUGGGCCUAGUGGUGCAAUUUGGUGCAGGUCAGUAAUUGCCCACUGGGAACUAUAAUUUAUAGUUCUCACGCCCCCUGUUUUAUGUUUUCUUUCAGAGCCUUCCACUCCGGGAGAGGCUCGGGAUCGCGGGAAAGGUUUCGCCUCGAGUUAGCUAUCGAGGGACUUGGUGUUAGGUGGCCCACCUCUCUUUUGUUUUCUUUUGGAGAGGUUGUGAGAGUUUUGUACCUGGUUAUAGAGACCACCCUAUUUUUGUAUCUUGAGAUUUAUGAUGUAUCAAUUUACUUUAUGCUUUAGUAGUAUGAUUAUCUCUUGAUCCUACCUGAUGUUAGAACCUAGCUAUAUACUUGCUCUGAUAUCUCUAGUUGUAGAUCUUCUCAUGCUUUACUCUUCCGCUUUUGUGUAGACGCCUUAUAUGUGUAGACAUAUGGCGGGUCUGGGCGCGCACGGGGCGGGCCUAUGCCAGGUCCCGGGGCGUGACACCCUCUCUCUAAAAGCUCUCUACAAGGUGGAUUAAAGGAGGAUUGGGAGGAGAUUUGGAGCUUUUGAAGUUGUUGGUCUCUCCUACAAGGUGGAUAUUGGAGAGCUAAUGGGCUAAGGUGAGUUCUUAUGAAAUGAUGAUACUAGGGUUUGAUCUUGUACUCUAAAUCUCUGAGAUUUGAUCCUCUCACAUGGUUAGAAACCUAGUAGAGGCUUUGAAACACAUGAAAUCCAUGGUUUCUUCUAGUGCUCACAUGGUGGUUUGCUAGGGUUCAUGUUAGAUGCCCUAGGAAUGUUUGGAAUGGCUUAGAAAUGGUAUUAGAGAACUUCUUAGAUGAUUCUAAGCUAGUUUUUCUUAGCUCUAAGAUCAAUCUAAGGAAAAAUUACAAUAUGACAUUAUUAGGGCACCAAAUUUGGGGUUUUUGCCCCCGAUCGUUUUCGAGGUAAAUUGACUUUGUGGAAACUAAUUAGGGAUAUUUCCGACGCGUUGGUGCGCUCGGUUCGGCAAAACAAAAAGUCUAUGUAAAGAUAUUAAGUAAAAAGCCUAAUUUGGCUUCGUUUUGGUACAGAUGGCCGCAGCACGCGGAAUAGACGCCCAAAAAUCAUGAAAUUUGAACCGUAGCUUCUUGGCAUUCCUACAAGGUGGGGGGUGCACACUGGAAUCAUCGGAUUCCCCUUUAUGUCUAUUUCACAUUUUAUUGAGCAUAUUGAUGUAUAGUCAUUCAUGCAUAGUAGGGUUAAAUUACAUACGAACCUUGGUUUGAUUUUAUUUACAUGCUUCUAAAGUAGUUGAACAUAGAGAAUGAUAGAACCAUAAUGGACAUGUAUGGUAGAACCCUAAAGUUGUAUGAAUGUGAGACUUGGAUUUGGACAAUAGUAAACAAAGGUGAUAUUGACAAUAGAGACAUGACUGGCAUUGAGAAAUUGAUUGUUAAACAUAGUUUAACCAUAGUGGCAUUGUGACAAGUAUGACUUGGAAAGUAGCAUGAACAAAUAGGUAGAAACCUAUUAUGACAAUAGCAUUGUGACUAGUGGCUAUAUAUCCUCAAGUUGAGGAUUGGAUCGAUACUCACGAUUAGUCUUGGCUUGAGGGAAGUGGCUCCCCCUCGAGCGGUGCGGUCCGAAGUUGGUCACCACAGGGCGAGGUAAAGUCCCCCCAGAAGACGGUCCCUAGGGUGAUUCGAGUCCCCCGUUAUUAAGAGAUUUUGGGUUGUGAGUUAUUAGGGUUAACAAGGUUAAUCGAAUUAAUUAGGUAAAAGCCAAGGUAAAUUGUGGAAAGAGCAUGCAUGCAUAUUCAUCAUACAUAUGAUUAUCUAUCUGUUGAUAGUUUUCUUGCAGGCAUUGUAUUAGUAGUAGCAUUAGUUGGUUUGCUAUCUUUCUUUCUUGAAAUAUAUACGCCUGAAUAGACCUAGUGGGUAAGUCGGCAAGGUCGGCGGCCGAACCCACUGGGAACUUUGUUGUAGUUCUCAUCCCACUAACCAUGCAGAUUCUAGCGCGAGCGAGGUGAUCGUGGCUCGUGGCAUGGUUAUCGUGCUCUAGGUAGCGUACUACCCUUAUGUAUAGAGGCACCCUUUGUAUAUUUCAUCUAUUAUGUUGAUGAAUGAAAAUGUAAUAAAACCAUAUGAGAGAUGAAAAUAUAUUAAGUUCAUUUGAGAGAUGAAAUUGUAAAUUGGGAUGAAUGAAUGUAAAGAAAUUGUAUGAGUUUUGUAUUUGAUUGAAAGUGAUCAAGGUACAAUGUAGGAAUGUAAUAGUUGAAUUGCAUUCACUUGUUAGGUGGUUGUUGCUUACCCUCGUGCAAGUCGUGUAUACUUGCAUUCAUUAUGUUUGAAUUGCUAUCGUUAUAUAUGUGUUGUUGGAGCCUUGGGCGGACAUGGGAGGUGCUGUUCGUUCGACGUCUGUUGGCGUGCCCGAACCCACCAAAUUGGCGGUCCCGGGAUGUGACAGAUAUAGUGGUAUCAGAGCGUGAAAAGUGAAAGUAUAGGAUGGACCUAGGAACCUUAGGAUGGAAACCAUAAGGCUUUAGGUUUAUGAAAUGGAACGAAGAUCUGGAAUUGUGGCGAAAAGUUAAUUGAUUGGGUCGUAUGUGGUACGCCUCUAUAACGGAUGAUGGAGGUGGAUCCAAGGUGUAGUUUAUUUUCCUCAGGGUGUGUUCAUGUUGGGUGCACACAAUAUGAAAUCGAGUGAUGAAAAUAGAUUCCCUUGCAUGACUUUCGCCUGGAUUUGAGUCGUGGUUAGCGUUGCGUGUAGGUGUUGCGCGCUUGACCUUGAGGGUUGAGUUGUUGUGCGUUCGGUGGUUACGCGUGGCCGAUCUUUAAGGAGAUCGAUAUGGACCGGGACGAGUGAUGUCUAUGAGUUAGCCUAGCAUAGUAGAGACUCGGGGCUCUGAGGUUUAUUGACCGUACUAGUCGUAGUGGUGAAGUGACGAGCCGACAUGGUGCAAUGUCAGCAGGAGGCUGCAAUACACAAGGAGUAGAGCUAUUGGAGGCUGUAGAAAGUUGUGGAUGACUUUCCUCCCAAGAAGUUGAGCCGCUUGUUUUUGAUGGAGUGACAUUAGUGGGACGGAGAUAUGUGGACUGACUCCACGAAAAUUCUCUUGGAGGAUUUGCGUGUGCUGGAGCGGAUUGAGGUGUACUAGCCGUAUGUUAUUUGGAGUAGACGGCUUGUGAUUGAUCAUGGUAGUUUCAUGAGUAACCUAUGAUGGAUGACGGAGCAGCAGCCAGUUUUCAUGAGGCUGAGUUUCAGGGAGUUAUAUCAUUGGUUUACCUCCCCCACUAUGUGUGGAAGCUCCAGGAUAGGUUCUAGAAGUUGCGGCAGAGUGACCGCUUAGUGAUGGGAGUGUAGAGGCGAGUCCUUCCGUAUGCUGAGUUAUGUUUCAUACUUGGUGUGAGACGGUGAAAGGGAGGCCGAUUGUUUUAUUCUGGGGGCAUUGAUUGAAGGUGUUCGAGGUUGUAUAGUCUUGUGACUUGCAAGCCCCUGACGAGGCCAUGGAUUGGGCCUUGUAAAGUGAUGAGGUGUUGUUGUGAGAGAAAGGAGCGCAGGUCAUUUGGUUGCGAGAUGAGGAGUGACGCGACUGAUGAGUGGAUCAGGUGGUCGAUCAAAUUUUCGGCGACCCCAAGAAAGUCGUGGUUGCGACUUCAAGGUCUUUUGUUGACCUUAUAUGGAGGUGUUAGUUGUGGUGGUUCCUACCGGACGCCAUAGUGUGUUGCAAGGUAGAUGAUAUGGUUGGUGUUGGCUACCGACCCGAAUAAGGGUUGAGUGCUGUUGGCGGAUAGCCGGACCAUAGCGAUGGUGUCGAUCUCUUUCUUUUGAGGUCGCAUGUGAGUGUGUCGCCUACGGCAUGGUCUAGAGAGUAUGAAUGAUCGGUGAUGCGGUCAGAGGGUUCGCGACGAGCAUUGUGUGGCCAUGGAUAAGCGGCCCUAGUUAAGGAAUCCACUGCUACUGAGGGUGUUGCAGCAUGAGAAGUACUUCGAAAGAGGUUGUGUGAUUUGAUCUGAGGCAGAUUUAGAAUGUUGCAUGCAUAAGUAUAGUUGAGACAGAGAUUGUGGAUAAAAUUAAUCCCCUGGUAUGCAUGCAUAACAGUGAUAUCACCUACUAAGUGGAUAGGUGUGAGUGGAUUGUGCCGGCGAAUGGCUGUUUGCGAGUCGAGGGUUGGGCUCUAGACAGUGGUGGAACUGGUGGACUAACUCCCUAGGCAUUGUGAGUAGCUGAUUGAGAGAGUUAAGUUGGGAUGUUGAGGACAACCUUGUGGUUUGAGAAUUCCGGACAAUGUUGGGAUCGAGUGGUGGUAGUAGCGUCCCUGUUGUGUGGAUAGCUGAGCGAUCACCAAAUUUUGGCGAAUGGCCGAGUGAUACCUCAACGAUAGUGAGGGAAUUCAUGCUUGUGUAUCGUGGGCAUAGGCUAAAUUUCCAGUGCAUGACGUGUAGAGAAACGCACGGUAGCAUAGGACGCUUGAGUAUAUGUCACGCCCCGGGACCCAGCGGGAGCCCGCCCGGCGCGUGCCCAGACCCGCCAUAUGUCUACAACAUAUAAGGCGUGCGCGGUCUGCGGCUCUGUACCGGUACAAGCCCGAUGGCUGUACCGGUACAACCAUCAACCCUUGUACCGGUACAAGGCCAGUCUUGUUCCGGUACAAGCCCUGCUGCAGGCUACCCGAGAGCUGUCCAAUGAAUCCAAUUUUUGGAUUUUGGUACCAAGCUUCAAACCAACAUCCUCGGGGUGCGUGCCAGGGGUCGGAACACUAUCAACGACCCUCCAAAAACUGUGGAAAUGCUCCACACACAGAUCAAAUACUCGAAUCUUGCGAUUUGCAAGAUCCAGUGCAUUACAGUAUAGGUGUCCGUGGAUUGUGAAUUAUCGUUCUGCCGGGUGAGUAGGUUGGCAUUAGCACUUGAGCAUUGCUAGGUGUGAAGGUGCCAUGGAUCACUCGUGGGGCCGGUGGCUCGCGCUAGGCGCGAGGAGCUGACAGUGAUGUGGAUUGCUCAGUAGAGCGUGUCGUGAGUAUGACGACGGUAGUGAGUGUAGGUUGAGGACUAUCCGUGCCUGGACCAUGUGCAACUGUGGGCCUGAGGCCAUGUGGACAGGCGCAGUCGGCUAUGGGUGACAGCGGCCCCGAUACCUACGGGUAGGGCAGAGGGUUUGGUCGGGGCGGUAGUCCAAGUUGGACCCGAGAAUGUGGAAUGCCACGGGUGUGGUCGUGAGAUUGAUCGUACACUGAGAUCGUGAUUGUGACCCAACCCGAGGUUAUUUGGAGUGGCUAGCGGUUUGGAUUACUCCUAGUUGGAGUUGGUGUGCGAAGUCCCAAAUGUAGAUUUCGCCAAGUGAUGAUUGGGUCGGUGUUGCGAAUGAGAGACGCUGUGUAGUGUGAGACUUGUUAGGCAGUAAGCCUACGUUGGAUUGUUGGUCUGUGGACCACCAGUGGUAAUUGAGAUGAACGAUCUAGUUGAUCGAUUAUGACUUGGUGGUUUGAGUGUAGCAACCAUUGGAGCGGAGGCUCGGUCUAAUUGCUCGCAUUUGGAAUCGCCAAAUUGGCGCUGUCAGUGAGUUGAGAUUGGAUACGUGAACGAAGUGUUCGCGGGAAUUCAUCGCGAGAAUAAGGUGAUGUUGAAACGUGGUAAAAGAAUGGAAAGGUUCUCUUUGAGACAUUGGAAAUGGCGAUAAGCCACGUGAGAUUCGGAAAGACUAGGUCCUUAAGGAACCAAAAUUGGUGGAUAUGCCGAAAUGAGCCAUCUUGUCGUGGAGCUGAAGUCCAUGUGUAGUUGAGCAUUCGCGGUUGAGCGAGGUUUGGUGCAAUCGCAUGAAGCGAUACAGAUUGAGAAACCGGAGUGAGUUUCCCCGAUGAGUAGUAAGAUAGACUCUUGAGUGGCUAUAAUAGUAGAGUGCCAUUUAUGGACUCUUGUGUGGAUUAUGGAGUUCUACCUGUAAGUGUCGGGUAGUGGUGAUGAGCCAAUCGAUGGGUGAUAUUGCUCUCGAAGGAGAGUGGUGUCUAGUGGAAUUCAUUGGUGUCGGCUAGUGAAAAUGAUUGGUGAUGACACGGAGCCGAUGAGCCGAAUGUGCGGGCAAUGGUCAGUGAUGUGGAUAGAGGCAAUCGAAAAGUGCCCGGGUUGGAAUAUGCCAACUAGGAAAGAGUUGAGCUAAAGUGGUGAUUGAGGUAAAAUAAGUCCAUCGUGUGAUACACUGAGGUUGGAUUAUGGUGAAUCGCUGGCGAUCGAUUCGCACUGCUCAUGGGACUUGUGGAAAUUUGGAAUGUAAUCGGUGAGAAGUGUACCGCAUUUCAUCCUUAGAAUGAUGACUAGUCAAGGAGGACAAGAUGAGUUUGAGCAUAGGUGCUUAACCAUAAGGAUGUGAGAGUGUGCUAGUGAUUAUGUGGCAAUGGCAGUUGAGACUCUCGCUGCGAGGAUAUGUCAGUCCCUGUCCAUUAGGACGUGGUGAGCGAAAGGAUUGUUCCUGGACCCGAGGUAUUGUGGAGGUCGGCGUAGUGGUUUGCCGUGUGCGACCUUGGUGAUGAGCUGGUGUGGUUGUCUGCCGACGAAGUUUUUAAUUCGCGUAUAAAGGCGAUAUCUUCAAGGGUAUUACCAGUGUGGCAUAGGGUGUGUGGGUGUUGAGGAGAGUGUGAUUCUCGACGCAUUGGACCCUAGAAAGGUUUUGGGAGUGUGUGGGCGCGGUGGCCGCGAGUUGACAUUGCCGCCUAGUUGAGGGAAUGCACUGUUGCAGGAGUAAGUGACUCGUGAAGUAAUGGAGGUGCAUUCUGGACUCGUGAGGAUAGGACUCUACAGAACCUUAUGAUUCUGUAUGAUGAUGAGCGUGAAGUGAGCGCAUCGAGUGCGAGGUCUUGGAAACUCGAGAUGUAGCGUGUGGAUUGGUCCUCAUCUGAUUGAUGAGUGGAAUUAUAGUGUGGAUUCUAGUUUCGCGGAAAUGUAACAUAUCAAAUUUCCGUCGAGUUUAGCCAAGCUUAUGUCAAAUCGAACGAAGCGUGGAUUUGGACAAGUAGAGUGGUCCGCAAGUAUAAAACGCUUUGGAAUGAGUCGGUGCAGUGGCAUACAAGUUUGCACUACCAUCGAGGCUUGCGGGAGUUCACAAUGUGUUUCCUGUAUUAAGUCUCCGCAAGUAUAUUCGUAGUUCAACUCACAUAUUGGAGUAUGAACCGGAAGAGUUGUGCGAGAAUGUGACUUAUGAGUUACGGUAUGUGUUAGUUUCGGGGACAAAACUAAUUUUAAGGGGUCGAGAAUGUAACAUACCGAAACUCAGUUGAAUAUAUCGAGCCUUAGUAAAAUCGACUAAAGUAUGCGAAAGAGAUGGUUGGACAAGUUCCAAUUAGUAUUCCAACAAGGUUGGAAGAGUUUAAAAUGAGUUUAAAAAAGUUAGAAAGGUUUUAGCAUUUAUCGGAGAGAAAUAGAAUCGAAAAGAUGCGAAAAUCUGAAAUCUGGAGUUGUGUUACUGGUUUAACAUCGAAAAUGUACCGGUACAUAGUGUAAAACCGAGAGAAGUAGCUCUCGGGUUGAGUAGAAAAAGGCUGUGUACCGGUGACAGGAUUUCGUGUACCGGUACAGUGCACGGUGGACCGCAGGCGCAACCUGCUGCAGAAUUGGAGAGUUUGAGGGCCUAACUGCAAUUGUAGCAGCCCAAAUAAGACCCAAACCUUCACUUCUCUUCACAGCAAGCUGAGAUUACACUCCUCUCUCAUUUUCUCUCCCUCUCUCUCUUUAAAAGCUCUCUACAAGGUGGAUUAAAGGAGGAUUGGGAGGAGAUUUGGAGCUUUUGAAGGUGUUGGUCUCUCCUACAAGGUAGAUAUUGGAGAGCUAAUAGGCUAAGAUGAAUUCUUAUGAAAGGAUGAUGCUAGGGUUUGAUCUUGUACUCUAAAUCUCUGAGAUUUGAUCCUCUCACAUGGUUAGAAACCUAGUAGAGGCUUUGAAACACAUGAAAUCCAUGGUUUCUUCUAGUGCUCACAUGGUGGUUUGCUAGGGUUCAUGUUAGAUGCCCUAGGAAUGUUUGGAAUGGCUUAGAAAUGGUAUUACAGAACUUCUUAGAUGAUUCUAAGUUAGUUUUGCUUAGCUUUACGAUCAAUCUAAGGAAAAAUUACAAUAUGACAUUAUUAGGGCACCAAAUUUGGGGCUUUUGCCCCCGAUCGUUUUCGAGGUAAAUUGACCCCGUGGAGACCUAAUUAGGGAUAUUUCCGACGCGUUGGUGCUCUCGGUGCGGUGAAAUGAAAAGUCUAUGUAAAGAUAUUAAGUAAAAAGCCUAAUUUGGCUUCGUUUUGAUACAGAUGGCCGCAGCACGAGGAAUAGGCGCCCAAAAAUCAUAAAAUUUGAACCGUAGCUUCUUGGCAUUCCUACAAGGUGGGGGUGCACACCUGAAUCAUCGGAUUCCCCUUUAUGUCUAUUUCACCUUUUAUUGAACAUAUUGAUAUAUAGUCAUUCAUGCAUAGUAGGGUUAAAUUACAUGUGAACCUUGGUUUGAUUUCAUUUACAUGCUUCUAACGUAGUUGAACAUAGAGAAUGAUAGAACCAUAAUGGACAUGUAUGAUAGAACCCUAAAGUUGUAUAAAUGUGAGACUUGGAUUUGGACAAUAGAAAACAAAGGUGACAUUGACAAUAGAGACAUGAUUGGCAUUGAGAAAUUGGUUGUUAAAUAUAGUUUAACCAUAGUGGAAUUGUGACAAAUAUGACUUGGAAAGUUGCAUGAACAAAUAGGUAGAAACCUAUUAUGACAAUGGCAUUGUGGCUAGUGGCUAUAUAUCCUUAAGUUGAGGAUUGGAUCUAUACUUACGAUAAGUCUUGGCUUUAGGGAAGUAGCCCCCCCUCGAGUGGUGCGCUCCGGAGUUGGUCACCACUAGGCGAGGUAAAGUCCCCCCAGAAAAUGGUCUCUAGGGUGGUUCGAGUCCCCCGUUAUUAAGGAAUUUUGGGUUGUCAGUUAUUAGGGUUAACGAAGUUAACCGGAUUAAUUAGGUAAAAGCCAAGGUAAAUUGUGGAAAGAGCAUGCAUGCAUAUUCAUCAUACAUAUGAUUAUCUAUCUGUUGACAGUUUUUUUGCAAGCAUUGUAUUAGUAGUAGCAUUAGUUGAUUUGCUAUCUUUCUUUCUUGAAAUACUUAUGACUGAAUAGACCUAGUGGGUGAGUCGGCGAGGUCGGCGGCCGAACCCACUGGGAACUUUGUUAUAGUUCUCAUCCCACUAACCAUGCAGGUUCUAGCGCAAGCGAGGCGAUCAUGGCUCGUGGCAUGGUUAUCGUGCUCUAGGUAGCGUACUACCCUUAUGUAUAGAGGCACCAUUUGUAUAUUUCAUCUAUUAUGUUGAUGAAUGGAAAUGUAAUAAAAUCAUGUGAGAGAUGAAAAUGUAUUAAGUUCAUUUGAGAGAUGAAAUUGUAAAUUGGGAUGAAUGAAUGUAAAGAAAUUGUAUGAACUUUAUAUUUGAUUGAAAGUGAUAAAGGUACAAUGUAUGAAUGUAAUAGUUAUAUUGCUUUCACUUGUUAGGUGGUUGUUGCUUGUCCUCGUGCAAGCCGUGUAUACUUGCAUUUAUUAUGUUUGAAUUGCUAUCGUUAUACAUGUGUUGUUGGAGCCUUGGGCGGGCAGGGGAGGUGUUGUCCGUUUGGCGUCUGUUGGCGUGCCUAAACCGACCAAAUUGGAGGUCCCGAGGCGUGACAGCUUUCUUCAGAGCCGAGACCGAGUGAACCGAUCGAGGAUCGCGGUAAGGGUAUCGCGCCUUAGACAGUAACCACUUGAGUAUAGUUCAUACCUAUUACUAUCAUCUUUUAUAUAUGAGGAUCGGAGUUGUAUAAAUGAUGUAUAAAUGUAAAAGGUUUAUGUUUUGGAUGAUCAUGUGAUGUAUAAUUAUAAAGAAAAGAAAAAAAAAGAAAAGAAUGUAAAUGGUUAAAUGUUUGUAUAUGGUUAAAAGUAAUCAUGAUACUUGUAUGUAUGUAAUAGUAUAGAACUUUCACUUUUGGCUGUUGCUUGCCCUUGUGCAAGUCAUGUAUAUUCAUGUUCCGCUUGCGUAAAUUAUAUAGAUGAUUGGUACAUGUGUUGAACCUUGGGCGGACAAGAGAGGUGCUGUCCGUUCGGCGUCUGUUGGCGCGCCCGAACCGACCAAAUAGGCGGGCUCGGGGCGUGACAGGUUGUCCCAAACAAACAUUCGUUUAUAGGACAGGUCCUAAAUUUUUAAAGCUAGCUAGCCAUGCAUCUCUCUUAUUAGAAUAUUGCUCAUUAGAAUAAGACAAGGAACCUGCUAACCCACGGUUUAGUAUAAAAGGAACGAAAAUUUGAGUAUAAAUUUUUGCACAUAUUCAAAUUAUAGUCUCCCCUCCUUCCCCUUCUCCUUUCUAACAUUACUUAAUUUGAUACAUAAAUCCCCCUUUUUAGCUUCAACAGUUUAGAGAUACACAAAACAAUAUUAACACCACCUGCUGCUUCUGCUGCUAUAUAUUGUAAUACUUGUACGCAUGUUGACACCAACUCUCCCAAUUCGAUUCACCUUCUCUUCGCAAGCUGGAACGUCCGCUUCAAGAACUGGUUGGCGACGUCGUCGUUCCGGUGGCACAGCACUCGCAGUAUCGUGUUCGGGUCGGAGCGGCUCCACCGCCCCGUCGUCGGCGGCAUGGGGAGCACCCUGCAGUGCCCCGACCCAGACCCGCCACCACCGCCAAUCCCACUGGCCUCGCAUGCCGCAAUGCUGAAGUCCUCGACGAGCCGCUCUGUCGGCUGCGACAUCAGCCGCACGAUCCCCUCCACGACCUCCGCCUCCCGCUCCACCACGUCCUCCGCCACCAGCCCCUCCCCGCACGUGCAGAACACGCGCUUCAGGCUCCGAAAGUCGUCCGCCACCAUCUCGUAGUCUGACAGCAUGAACGCCCGGUCGCUCCCACCCGCCAGCAGCACCAUCAGGAACGCGUCGAAGGACGCCUUCAUGACCUCCCUCACGGCCAGCGGCUGUGCACGGUCGACAAGGAGGGAGACAAGGAGAGUGAGGUUUUGCUUGAGGAUGCGCAGGCCGGGGCGGAUGCGGGUGUUGGCGACGUCGCCGACGUAGAGAGAGUCGUAGAAGGAGCGGCGCGAGUCAAGGAAGACGAGGCGGUACGCGGCAAUCUCGGAGACGUGCUGGAUGGCGGAGAGAACGGUGGAGCGGGCAACGUCGAAGCGGCGGGUGGAGGGGGCGACACGGCGGUUGGAGGAGACGGGGCCGGAGGAGGAGAUGGCGGAGGGGGUGUGGGAGGAGGAGGAGGAGGAGAAGAAGGAGAGGGACUUGUCGAGGGAGAGGAGGUGGGCGAGGAGGUAGUGGAGGGUGUUGAGGCGGAUGUACAGGCGCUGCGUGCCGCGGCUUGUGGAGGGGCGCGGGUGGUGGCCGUCCACCGCCGAUGAAGAUGAGCUGCCGCUUCGGCCGCCAACGAUGCCGUGGAUGGCACCGUCCCCCGCACGGCACGGGGUGGCCGCCCUCUUCCAGAGCCGGCCGAACCGGGAGUCCUGAUUGCACCUCGUCAGGGGAGGGAGGGUGGGGAGGUAGCUGUGCUUGGUUCCUUAUACAACCACAGUCAUAAAUAAACACACACGCACACACACAAAAACGUGUUAAUUAAGAGCGCUUAUUAGUCCUAUCUUCUUUUUAGGGAACGUAUAAUAAGGAAUGUAAUAGUAAUUACCACAUAUAUACUGUCAAAAGAGAUAGUAAAUGAUCAAAUCAUGAAUAAUAUGAUAAUUUUAUACUAAUAUGAGGCUUAGGAAUAAUUUUAUUCUUUACUUUUGAAAUAAAAAAAUUGUUGUAGAGCACAACAUAAAAUGUGAAAGAGGUUUAGAAUAAUAAUACAAAUAACGAUGACGAAGAUUGAGCUUAUAGUUUAACGUAAUUUGUUGAUGCACUUUUUUCUGAACAAGAAGGAAUCAAGCCCUUAAAAAUUCUAGCAACAGUCUGAGCCAUGAUAUCGGAGUUGUUGUUGCAACCUUCAUGCAAAUCUUCAAAUUUGAUCUUUUAAUGCAGACAACUACUUCUGAGUACUCUCAGUGCAGCUAUGUGUGCUUAAAAUAUUCUAGCUAUUAUGUACUGCGAAAGAUAUAUAGUUGUUUAUAUGAUAUAUUACAAUUUUAGCAUAUCAAUAAUUUUUCGAGAAAUUUUCUGGUGUAUGCAUGACAGUACCAUUGAAAUUUAAAUAUAGAAGUUCUAAUUUGCAAAACAUAAUGUUUGUUUUCUAUUAUGUUGAUUUUACCUUUUUUCUUAAAAAGGUAACAAUUAGAAUCAAAUGUGCCUUCAUAACAUGACAAUUAUUCAAAAGUUUGAAGAAUUAAUUGAUGCUUAGUUUCGAGUUAUAUAUAGUUGCAUACUUUUAAAUGCCUAGUUAAUUUUAAAAGAGAAAGCUCAACUAAUAUUUGCAGAAAGGCCUGCAGAUAAUUUGGACAUACCACAGGAUGCAACAAAGGAGGUGUAUUCCUGGAAGAUACUCUCCAGGCCAUCAGCAAGGUCUUGAACCAUCUCAUCCCUCGCUCCCACCGGAAUCUCGAAGAAUUCAUCCACUGUCACCUUAGCCAACUUCAUCAAAUCCACUGCAGAUUGCGCAUAUGGCUCAUUUUUGGACCUCGGGAUCCAGCUCUAAAUGCAUAGACAUGUACACAUCGAUCCGACUUAAUUAGCUAUCAUAAUCUAAUGUAAGUAUCGAAAUGACUUUCACUAAGAAUUAAACAAAUAUUAGGCACAUAAAAAGUAUGAGACCUAUCAGAACUCCGACCUAUUUUGAUCCGAGCCAUUUGACGGUUCCCUGCUUCGAAAUUUGAAUGUAUCAUUCAUUUGAACAUGCUUAAUGAAAUGGUGUAACCUACGUACGUAAUUUGUGCAAAAUUUUUAAAGUGAGACAGUGGAAUCAAAAUAGGCCAUAGUUCCAGACGAAUUCUAUACAUGUUUGUUUAUCUAGCUGUAAGUAUCAAAAUUUGCCCUGCUAAUUAACAUCUGAUCUCUCCGGCUGCAGCACUUAGAAGAUGAAAAAAGAACUCACCUCUGUUUCUUUUGCUCUUUUAAGGCACUCCUUCCCAAUCCUCAGCCUCUCAUCUAUCCAAGAUUUGAGGAGGCUCACCACAAUGGAGUCCACUUCAUAAGGGGCCAUCUCCCUCACGAUGCCCUUACCGCCGUCCUCGCACUCUGCGGAGUCCUCGACGACCAUCUGCACCAAUGCCUUCUCCAGUCUCCCCGCGGACUGCAGGACUCGAACCAGCUCGUUGGUCAGGCUGGUGAUCUUGGCCACGUACUGCUUCAGCACCACGCCGAAGCAGUUGUGAAGGGUCACGACCGCGAGGGCCGUCGGGCCCGGGUGCCACCUCUUCAGUACGGGACUGUACGUUUCCUUCUCCAGUAGAGCCAAUUGCUCGGUGUCUUUCGCCAGCUCCGUUAGGAUGUUGCUCGGAUCCUCAUAAACUUCGGCGACCAUGCUGUCGGCGUGUCCGAUUCCAUUCUCCAGUAUCUUGCAUGAUGUAAAAGUGUUCGGCGAAAAUGCAAUUCAUUCAAUGGGGUGAAUCUUCAUGAUGAUAAUAAUAAUUAUUAAAUUUACUCAUUAAUUAAUUUAAUUAAUAUAUUUAAGUGCCUAAUUCAAUAGGUAAUUAACAAACUAAUUAAUUUUUUAAAAUUGAGUAUUUAAUGUGUUUGUCCAAUUUUUCAAUAUUUAUAUUGAUCAAUUAAUUAAUAUAAUUAUCUAACUAAUUAAAUAAUUUACUAAUUAAUUAAAAAAUACUUUUUAUAAUUAAUUAAUUUCUCCAUUAUCUAAUGCAGUAUUCAUAGCUAAAAAAUUUAUUCAUUUAUUGAGUUAUUAUUUAUUAAUAUUUUGAUGUUCAUUAAUUAGGUAAAAUAUUUUUAGUUUAAAAUUAUAAAUACUUUUAUUUUUUUACUACAAUUUAACUAUUUAAAUUUUAUUUUUCUUAUUUAAUUUCUAAAAAUAACUCAUGUUUCAUCCACAUAUUAAAAAUUAGUAUUAAUUCGAUCUGCUUAUUAUGGAAACUGUAUAUAUACCAGAAAAAAUUAAGUAAUUUGUGAUUUCUAAACUGCAUUUGGGAAAGUGAAAUGGCGUUGUGCCGCUAGAGAGGAAAAAGUUUAGAAUGCGGCAGUCACAUUACUGACGUAUGCCUCCAACCAAUUAAAAUAUAUUUCUACAAUUUAUCCAUAUUAUCACGGUCUUUAAAAAAUAAUUUUUUUAUACUUUUAUUUUAAAAAUGAUAAGAUUAAUUGGUUAUAAAUGAUAUAAUGUGACCGCUACAUAAUAGACUUACUAGCUAGAGAGGGGCAAGAGUACGUGCGGCAUCAAAAUUUAAAAGAAGUGCAAGAUUUUCACACCUUGGUGAAAGCAUUCCUCAUGGAAGACCUUAUGUAGAAAUCCACUCGGUUAUUCGAAGAAUUCACCAUCCCACUUGCCUCUCGGUCGAUGAAUCCUACUCCGCUUCCCAUGCCGGAAAGAUCCUCAGCAAUGAUCUUGGUGGUCGAAAGCGCCACCGAGAGUACUUUAUCCAUAUUCGCAGCCGAGCUCUUAUCGAAACUUUCAUGAUAAUCCAACAACUUCCUCUCCGCCCACGCCUGCAUGGCGGUCAGGACGCUCGACAGCACCUUCACGUAACACCCCUCGCGGUCGGCCUUCUUCGCGUCGCUCGCCACCUCCGCCAACAUGGCCAGCGUCGAGCAUAUCAAAUCCGUUUCGACUUGUCCAGUGACCACGUACUGCUGGAAUAGCGCCCAAGCGAAGCACGCGUUGUGGAUCAUCCUAUUUAUCCCCAAACAUGGCCACGUCUUUCUCAUCAGCUCGACGAGCUCGUCGACUUCGUCCAAUAUGACGGUCUCUUCGCGGUGAUCGAACACCGACUGAAGAAGGGCUAAGUAGAGGUGGAUGUUGAGCGGGUAGCCGUCGGCCCAAUGGCAAGCGUCGGUCGGAGAGCCACCGUUGCAACUGCGCCACGCUAGGGAGAGCACGGAGUUGCACAAGUUCCGCAUGGCGUCCGAGUUCUUGCUCGUGUCCAUCGGCUUCAGCUCGCUCGCACGGAUGACUUCGCGGAAACGGAGAGCCGCGGAGUUCAGCCGGUCUAGAGGGAUCAAGGGGUGGGAGAUGAGCCCGGCUUCGAGGACCUUGAGCUGGCGGCGUUGCCAUUGGUGGUACUCCUGGGUGUCGUUGAAUUCGGAGGGCUUCAGUUGUCGGAGGAGCUCCAGGGGAAGGAUGAUGGUCUCUGCUCUUCUUCCUACCUGUUAAGAAUAGCUAAUUAAUUUAGACAUCAUAGUGUAAAGAGAUGCAUGCGUUCUUCCAAAGUUUGGAUGUAUCGUUUCUUAAUUUUUCAUUUUAAAACCUAUAGAUUAGGAACGAGAAACUAGAGAAAAAGAUUGCGUGAAUGUGCAAACGCACAAGAAUUUGGGUCCUCUGUCCAAAUACAACGUUACUCUAUUUUGAUGUUGUUUGCUGAGCCCUCAACAUCUUUUACUGUUUUUCUUUACGUUGCUACGAGUAAACUUUCGUUUUUACCCAAAAAACAUAUAAGGUUCCGGACAUUAAAUAAUAUAGUAUAAAAAAUCUAUUUCGGAUAUCAAAAAAAGCUGUUUAUUGUACCGAAAAAUCUUUGUUUUAUUUUGUUACAGUAUUUUACUUGGUUCACAAGCAUGUCAUAAAUGCUUAAUCUGGAAGUUCUAAUAGACUAAAAAUUAUAUUUUAGAACUGUUAGUAGUUUUCUAUACUGAUUUUGUAUUAUAGACAAUAACCACUCAAUUGAUAACUCAAAUUGAAUAUUCAAACUUGUAUUUGUUAAGUGUUAACAUAUAUACGAGCGAGGCCGCACGUAAAUAAACAUGGAGGAUAUAUAUAAAUUGGGACUCACCUGACCAACGAGGGUCCGCAUGAGGGUUUUUCGGAGCCGGCCGUCACUCUGGUCGGUCACGCGCAUCUGUUGCCGCAUGAUCUCCGCGGACGUCAUCGGCCGCUUCACCUUCCCAGGUGAACCGGGACUCCCGAGCCCUGCGGUGGGCCCCGACUGGCUCAUCGACCUCAUCAGCCGCGACGACCUCCUCGCUUUCAGUCCUAGCGCCUUCUUAAUCUUGCUAUUUACCAACAUCAUCCCUGUCCCGCCCUUCGGUCCCCCUCCCGUCGCCGAUCCGUCCCCUCCGCCGUUGCCGCCGCUCGCAUUUUCUGAUGGAUAAUAGUUCAAGGCUCCACUCCUGCCAUUAAUAUAUAUCGUAAGGCAAAUUCUUCACAUAUGAUACAAUAAUAACAUUACAUGCAAACCCGAAAGUAUAGUCAUUUCUUUCCCCUCUCGAAUUGCCUCUACCGAGGCGACUGUUUAAUGCGAGCAAGACCCACAAACCGGAAUUAUAUUGCCAUCCUCACCUGCCAUUACCACCAAAGCCGGGUGAGGAGCGGCACGACAUGAAGAAGAGCUCGUAUGCGGUCUCACGCAACUCCGUGCGCGAGAGGGUCUCAAGAUGGCCGAAGGGGCAUUCGAGCAUGACAUCCCUGUAGUCGGGCUCGGUGUCGGUCGACAGGGAGACCGACGAGACGGAGGGGCGGCGACCCAUUGUGCCGGGUCGUAGGUGGAUAGCAGGUCGCGGCCGAGGGUAAGGUGUUAGAAGAAGGGAGAGAAGGGGGUCCCCAACAUAGUAUAGGUAGGUGCCUGUAUUCUAGGUAAGGGGUAAUUGGAGGUGAGGAGAGAGAGGGGGAAGGAAGGGAGAAGGAGGGAAUCUGUUUGUUUUUGGUUAUAUUGCCUAUGUUGUAGGGGUUUCACGAGAGUUUGCGGUAGGGGUGCCUCAGGUUGUCUGGCAUUGAGUUGGCUGCCAUCAAUUUGCUAAAUUUUGAGCAGCCAUUUCUAUAUCCAACGUUUAUCUCAGAGUUGGCUUCAUCGUGAGGUUUUUUUUCCCGUACAUUCUUCUUAGUGCUAAAGAUGUGCAUACUUUUUGUUUUAUUUUACUUACUUUUCUUCCAUAGUUGCUAAUUAUUGCUUUUAAUCUGAGUUCCCCAUCGUUGUGCGCCGUAAACCUGUUGGAAAAAGGCAAUUUAAUUCAUUUAUCCCAAUCACUUUGUCAAUUAGGAUAAAUUUUAUUAUUUUUGAACAUUAUCUUUUGUUGCGUUUCUUUCUUAUCUUAUAAAUAGUUAAAUGUUAAUCAAAUUAAUUUCUUAGAAGAUUUUGAAUAAAUUUAGAUUGUACUUAUCCCUAUCAGGUCUAAGCCCUAUAAAUAGCUGCGUUUGGGUGUGACUUUAUAUAUGAUAACAAAUAAAAUGAAAUAAAAGUUCUUCUCCUCUAAUUAAUUGUCAAUUUCUUCCUUUUUAUUUUUAUUUCUCUAUUCCUACGUUCUAAAUAGUUGCAAUGGUUUACUAUAUAUUUAUUUUUUAAAGCAAUUUAAAACUUUCUUUUAGUCCAUGGGUUUUCUGGACAGACCAAUAUCGUAUGGACCUUACUAAUUGAGAGCCUACAUAUAAGUCUUACAUGUAAGUUUAGUCCCAUAUUAAAAACUAUGACUUGUUGUUGCACCUUAUAUACUCUAUUAUUGUCAAGCUUAUUGCUUUGCUGUUAAUGCGAAUUGUGCUUCCCACAAGGGAGGGACGGGGCCAUGUAUAGGCCCACAAUGGCCAUGGCCCCUCUAGAUUUUUUAAAAUUACAAUAAGGUUUAGUAUUAAGUUGUUGAACAAAUUAAAAUAUUAUAAAUUUUGGGGACCAAAAUGAAAUUGUUUUGAAAACUAAAGGGUUGCUUGUGGGCCACGCAUCACGCAUGAUGCAUGCAUCAUGAUGGCUUGCCCCCAGGCGCCACCGGCCCGCUCGCCUGUCUCGGCGCCUCCUCCCACACCAGUACACCACAAUCCACACGUAAACAUAACCACUCUCUCUCUCUCUCUCUCUCUCUCUCUCUCUCUCUCAGUUCCACACUUCCACUCCCAGGCUCAGAGCUCUCUCUUUUUCUGACUUCUCUCAAAUUUCAAUCUCUCUCUCCAGCCUCGAAACUCUAGCUCGCCAGAAAGCUGGGCGCCGGUGGUGCUCCCCCCUCGCCGCUCGGGCUUGGCGCCUCGAACUACGCGGCUACAGCCCUUCGGGCUUCCAAUUUCUCUUGAAUAAUUCUUUGGUGAUUGGUGAGUGAACCGUGAACAUUUACUUUUAUGUCAAUGUGUGGUAUGCCCUUGAUUUAUUUCUUAUUGUUUGUUGAACUAUUUAAAUAAUUAUUAAUAUAUAUGCAUGCUUUGAUGCAGUGAUGCUCAAAUGUUCAAUUCUAGUUUAAAGUCAUCUUUUGCUGAAUAAGAGAACUAGAAAAGUGAGUUGAAUUUGUUUGACAGUAUUCAUUUUACAUUUAUAAGGAGGCUAUAAAAACUCUACCAUUUUGAUUCUAAGGGAGAAAAAUACUUAAAAGUUAAAAGAGUAUCUGUAAGGUCUGAGAUUUGGCAGUGUAGUUGAACUUUCUGUUGACGAUGUUUUUGUGUGUAAUUUAAUUACAAAAGCACUCAUCAAGUUUCAGAAAAAAAGAGUUAGAAUGGAGAUUUUACGCAAUCUUUACUUUUCACUUAAAGUGAAUAGGAACAUGGGUUUUCGGAGAAGCCACGGUGUAGAGAUGGCUUCUGGUGCGUAUCGAACUCCAUUCAUAGCAAUCCAAUAGCUUGUUUUCAGUGGUUUGACUAUUCUGGAACCAACGGCGCUGACGGAUUUUAGGUUUGACGCAUGGAAUUCGAGAAAACUGGAGAUACAUAUAUUAUAUGUAUUUGUGUGCGGGUUUUGCCAUUUGUUGAGAGGAUGGAUUUUUUUGCGAAUCCACGACCAAACUAAGCGAAACGAAUCGUGGGUUUGAUGUCUCUGUCGUCCUGAUCGUACUGGUGCAAUUCGUUCGCAAAUCUGACGGACAGAUCUACUGAUAUCCCGCGUCGAUUGAGGAGGGGUCAUUAAUGGCAAAACGGUAAUUUGGCGAAAAGCUCUACAUUUUAUGUACCAGUUUGCAUGAAAUCGAAUGUGGGGGUGUAUUUGCGUGUUUUACUCGCGCUGUGAGGGACUUGGUUCUAAACAUCGGGUUUUUUGGGGACUAUUGUGCAUUUUUACCCUAUGUAUAUAUAGUCUUCUAGGGUUUUGCUCCAGGGAAACCCUAACCCUAGCCCCUAGCUGACUCCCGGCCGCUUCUGCUCCCUCCCCUGGGUGCGCAGCACGCGCCCCGGCCGCAUGCGCACGCCACCGGCCGCCGGAGAAGGCUUUCUUUCUUUCUCUCUCCCUCAUAUUGCAUGCACUCGGCUUCCCAUCUCUGCCGAGAGCAAGUGAGGUGUCCCUCACCCUUCAGCCCCUCUCCAGCGCCUCCCCCGGAGCCACCGCGACCUCCCUCGCCGGUCGUCGCCGCCCUCGCGCACUGCUGCUGCCGCCCAGGCAGCUUGUGGCCGGACUGGGCCAGCUCGGGCCGAGCAAGCUUCAGCUCCCUUAAGUUGCACCGCCGCCAUCUAGGGAUGGUCGAGCCACCCUCCCCCGGAGCCCCAGCGACCCUUCCCGCCGACUGCCGCCGCCACCGAGCGCCACCGCCGUGCUACAGCCGCUCUGCAGUCUUCCUGGGCGUGUGCGGGCCGAGGUGAGCUUGCACCUCUUUCCCUGUGCCGCCGCCGCACGAUGCCGCACCUGUGGCAUCCCUCCGGCCUCUGGCAGUCCACCGCUGUCGUCCCUGAGCGCCCCGUCGGCCGCCAUGGGCGCCGCGGCUUCCGGACCCGAACCCUAGCCAGUGCGGGCUCGAAUUGCUCCGCCGUCGACGCCACUGCCUCCCGCAACAGUCCGGGGCUAGCCCCGACCUCCCUACGUCGGCCGCACUGGUCGGCCACCGGCGCUCCCGCCGAAGAGCCGCCGCCGGCCGUGCCCUAGCUCCCACUGCUCCGAUAAGUCUUCGCUGUGCUGUAUGCGAAUAGUUUUCGAUUUAUCCUUGCUUUUUCGGUGAUCCGAGGCUGUCCCGAUGCCUCCGGAGGUGAGCACGGUGAUCGCUGGUCAGUUCUGAUCACAGUGCUCACCUCACUUUGGAUUAGCGGUUGCCGAAACUCUAUUUUCAGUGCAGUUUUUCCGAGUGCGCGUUGUUCGCUGAAUGUUCGGGUUGCUCCCGUGCCUUCCACAGUGAGUCAUUGUGCUUCGGAUCGUGAGCAUGGCCUUCGGCACAUCGAGACCUGUCAGUACCUGUCUCGGCGGACCUCGAAAGUCCUUGGUUUGCGUUAGCGAGCUACAAAAUCACUUUAUUUACAUAAAAUAAUAUAUUUUAUGUAAAUGUAGGGACUUUUAUGUAAUUUUGCAUCUUGUGGCUACUGUGGGCAGUACGUACGUAUGGUAAGUGACUUCUGGACUGAUCGUCUAAGGUCCGUUAGCCUUCGCAGAAAUCGGAGGUCGAUUUCGGUGCGUUUUUCGUCAAAAUUCGCCGACAAAACGCGGUUUCGGUUCGGAUUUCUUUUGACGUCAUUUUGUUUGCCCUGAGAGUUGUCGCUGAGCCUUGUCGGCUAGUCACCAUCGUCAUAUCGUGGGUUCGGAGAUGACGGGUUAGCGACGGUGGGUUCCGGUGUCGAAAUUGACACUUCUGGGAAUCCGAAUCCGAAUAAUUAUCCGCCGAUAAUUGUUUGGUUGCGUAAUCUUGUGUUUGCUGCCAAGACAUCCAAAUCGAUGUGUCUGGUGGCAGCGGGUGACUCGUGGCACAAGUCGGUUAGUUUUGGGACACUUAGUGGGUCUCGACGGCGUCCCGUUGUGAUUUUUGGGACUUCCGGCGAGUUACGGUGAUCAGUUUUGGGAAACCGAUUUUGGGGACUUGUGUGGGGUUUCUGAGUUGGGUAUUUUGGAUUGGUGGGUUGGAUACUGACCCGAUGGAUCUUCGUAGGUCUGGUUGACUUGCGCGCACCCAGUUUUCCAACGCGAUAAUGACAGGUGGAUGCUUCGAGCUGGUAGUCGGUGAGAUUAUUUCACCUUCCUCUGUUCUUCUAUUUCAGCAUUGUAGUCUCUACAUGUCAGUUGCUUUGUUAUCGUUCGUUUAUCUAUACCUUAUUGAUUGCAUAUAUAUUGUAUCUCUGUGGACCUUGGGUCCAGGCAACACAUCGACUCCUUUGUCGUGUGUUUCGAUCUGGUUGAUCAUGGUUCGCCGUUGUACGCCCUUAUAGCUGGCUUCGGCCAAGGCAUCGGCUUCCUGCUGGCUUUCGCAUUGAGCAUAUCAGCAAGAUUUAGUCACAACGCUUGGGUAUAUUCAUUGACACCAAGUCGAUUUGGCCACCGACCAGAGGUGUACUUAUCCGGAUGGGUCGUCCAGUGAGCGGAUGAAUCAGGUAAGUGCAAGCAUUGUGACAGGCAACGCUUGAGGUCUGUAGACCAAUAUAGCAGGCACUAAAUUGGGUACAAUUUUGGUUUGGUUGCCUUGAGGCAUACUCGACAUUGUAUUCCUUAUAGUAGCAGUUUUAUUACUUUCUUCUUAUCAUAUCUGUUAUAGUUACUGUAGUUCUCUUUCGUAUCAUAGCACAUGUACUUUGUUUACUUUACCUCAUUUGGUUUUCGGUGAUUACGACUUGCCUUCGUGGCUCUGUCGUACCCACUGGAAAACCUUGAUUGUGGUUUCUCACCCCCCAUUUUUCCAGGUAGUUUGGUCAAGGAGUUAGCUUUUGGGCACAACGGGAGGACAUUCUAGCUAAUCUGCAGUAGCGACUGUCACCCGGGUUAUUUUUAUGUCCGCUUCUAGUAAUUUAAAUAAUUAAAUGGUUCAAUUAGAUGAUCCCUAUGAAUGUUUGAAUGUUCGUGAACUUGUUUGAGUUGGUGAUUUCCAUUAUGCAUGCGAUUGGAGAUUUUUGGAUAUGUGGUUUUGGUUUUAUAGAUGAUUGGUUCGGUUCUUGGAUUUGUGUAUUGAUGCAUCAUGAUUUUCUACCCCUCGAGGUAGUCGGAGUUCAAAAUGAAGUUUCCGAAUGAAAAACAGUUUUAAAAAGAUUUUCGAAUGGUUUUUAUUAAUGAUUGAAUAGAGUUUAACAACAAAGCUUUCGGGUGGGGAGCAUUUUUAAAUAGGACGACUGUUGUACUGUGCAUCGCAUCAUCCAGCGCCUGAGGAGUGUUUAGAGGCAUGCAUCAUUUCUUUGUAUUUGUGGUGGGUCUGUACGUAACGUGGGCCAGGUUAGAAAAAAAAAUUGGCACGUUUUCCGUAACUCUGAUUUCAAAAAUGACAUUAAUUAUAAAAAAGAUAUUUAAAAUCGGCCCCGGGGCGUGACAGUAUCAAAGUAUAUUAUUGACCUGAAUACAGAAAUAAAACUUUUCAUCCAUUAUUAACAAGUACAUGCGUUUCAUGAAACUUUUCAUCUAUUAUUAACAAGUACUCUGUAAUGCUAUAAUCUAUUUAAAUUUUGAAUAUUUUGACCUUCUCUUAGUUUUUAACAAAUUGAAUUCAUUCAAAAAAAAAAAAAUGAAAAAUUUCUGGGGCCUUCCAAUAGCAACUAUUGGAUUUUAGUAUUUGAGAAUAUAAAGUAUUAUAGUAGAUCCAAAAUUUUGAAUUCGUACAAGUUCCUUCUUUAUGAACAAGAGUUUUUUCUCUUCUCGGCUAGCUGUUAGUAAAAUAAUGAUUAUUUGCAAUUUAUUUUUAAAUUUUAUUUCUUUUACAUAGUUUUACAUGAUUUACAAAUUAUCUUAUAUAGAUUAGAUCUUAAUAUUUGAAUUUUUUGACAUAAUUUUUGUAGAUCUCUAAACUGUUAUUAUUUUAAUAGCAAAGACAACUACACUCAAUUCUUAUUUUAAAAGAAAAAUAUUGAAAACGCGGAAGCUAAUAAACAAGAAGCUAUUUGUAGAGAUGAGGCUAUGGGUUCCCAAAGUUGUCGUUUGAAAUCUCCAAGAAUAGAAGUUAAAGAGGUUAAUAACAUGUCCUUUGAGCAUUAUCCUGAAUUACGACCUCAAAUUUGGAAUUAUCCUGUAGAACAACGUGAUGAAGUUCGACGAGCAUAUAUAAUCAAUAGUCCAUAUCAACUGAGACUUUUGGAAUAUCCAAAAAGUGGGCCUCCUUCUCAUUAAUGUCGCUUUCAACCUUUAUGGUUUGAAUCAUUUAAAUCAUGGUUAGAAUAUUCUCCAAUCAAAGAUGCUAUAUUUUUUCUAUCGUGAUUUCUUUUUAAAAACCACAUGGGCAUUCUUCACAAAAUGCCUUCACUGUUGACAGUUUUCAUAAUUGGAAGAAAGUGAAAGAUGGAAAAAGAUGUGUUUUUCUAAAUCAUAUAGGUAGAGAACCAAACUCGCCUCAUAAAGUUGCCGAAAAAGCUUGCGAAGACUUGAUGAAACAAUCUCAACAUAUUUAAAAUGUGCUUCAUAGACAUCAUCACAGCAAAAAGCAGACAAUCGUUUACGCCUUAAAGCAUCAAUAAUUGCUGUUAUAUAUCUUACUUUUCAAGAAUAUGCUAUGAGAGGUCGGGACGAAAGUAAAGAAUCUAUUGAUCGGGGUAAUUUUUUGAAAAUGUUGAAGGUGUUCUCUUUUCUUAAUGAAGAUAUUGCAAAAGUUAUUUUAGAAAAUGCUCCGCAAAAUGCUUCUUAUAUUUCGCCGGAUACACAAAAAGAAAUUUUGCAAGUUCUAGCAGAGAAAUUAAGAAGAAAAAUUCGAGAUGAAAUUGGCGACUCAAAAUUUUUUAUAAUGGUUGAUGAAGAACGCGAUGAGUCUAUUAGGACUCGAAUUUUCUGAUCCUUGAUCCAGUCAAAGAUCCUCCUCGAAGAACGUGUAGGGAUGAAAAACGACUUCGAAAAGUGACCUUCGAAGUUUGCGCCCUUUGACUGGAUCAAGCGAUUCGACUGAUGAGGGAUCGGAUCAGCUGAGUUCGAAAAUCUCUAACUGUGGAAUCGGUUCGACUGGAUGAGCCGAAUGUACGGACUGGCACAGAAACUAGGGUCGGCCGAAGAGCCGAAUGGAUGAAAACACAGUGAUUGGUCGGCUUAAAGAACCGAAAGCCUUUAAAUAUAUUGAAACUGACUGGUAGAAAGAAUACAGGGAUCGAGUGUGCCUAUGAGCAUACAGACUCGGUUGAUCUAGUUUACUUCUACUCCUAGAGAAAAACAGUAAAUGCUGGAAAGUAAAAGGUUACAAGUAGACUACUCCUAAGAAAUGCAAAGAAAUUGCAUAGAAAAUAAGGGUAGUCUUCUGUUCACGGGAAAAAUACCCCUAUUACAGGCUUCAAAGUUACUAUUUAUAAUAUCUUAUCAGCCCACAUUAUUAGUUGGUUAUAGUAGUGGGGGAAGUGGUGUAGCCAUGAUCAUGAAAGUUACGCCCCACUUCUCAAUCGUUCUCGCCUAAACGCUCUUGUCCUUCAGGCGCCUUAUUGCCGACUCCUGGUGUACCACGUGUCCUUAUUUUUUUGGCUUAUACGUGGGUUAGGUCGGUAUUGUUAAUUUUUUGGCAUCAACAAUGCCCCCCCAAUAGUCUUUCGAAUGAACAAUAGUCUUUCGAAUGAGCAUUCGAAUGACUAUUGGUGACAAAUCAACGGCUCAAUGACACAGCCGAGACCCGAGCUUUAGUUUUGUUGGUCUUGGUCGGCUUAAAGAAAACGGCUCUUUAUCAUCCCAGCCACAUAUACUUCGGCUUCAUCAGCCGAUUCUUUACUUUUACUCGAUUGAUGGCUCUUCUUGAACCGAAUGUUCUUUUAUCAAGGAUUUCUUUUUGAAGAAAGUGGCUCCUUACCAGCCGCAUAUACCUCGGCUUCAUCAGCCGAUUCUUCAGUUUCACUCGAUUGGCUUGGUUUUUCUUAAACCAACUGUUCUUAUAUCAAGGAUUUCUCUUUGCCUUUGCUUUGAUUUUUAUAUCGGCUCCAUUGCAGUCGAUCGUUCUCACUUUCCUUCCGGAAUUGCUCAUAUUGGGCAACUCUAACACCUAGAUCAAAUAUGUUAGAAAAAUACUUAUCUUCGAAAUAGUCUUUUACUUAAAAUGCAGACCAUUUAACGCCAUUUUGGUGAACUCUGAUUCCGACAUUCUCAUAAAGCACUGGAUUUUGGCUAUUUUGAAACGGUUCAAAUACUCUUCGACCGUUUCACCUGACUUUUGCCGGUAUAAAGUCAAGUCGGCGACCGAUAAUUGUGGCUCCGACCUAUAGAAUUGCUUAUGAAAUUUUCUUUCCAAUUCGUCCCAAUCUCGGACAAAAUUGGCUUGUAAAUUUGUAUACCAAGUAAACAUCGUUUUAGUUAACGACGUAUUAAAUAAUCGAAAUUUCAAAAAUGAGUUAGCAGCCGCUUCUCUACAUUGGGCCGUGAACCGGGCUACAUGCUCCACUAUAUUCUCGGUCUCAUCGCCCGAGAACUUGUCGAACUUUGGCAUUUUCCAGUUUGCCGGAUAUGGAUUCUCCGCGUCGAUGUUUGCGAGAUAUAGGGAUCUAAAUACAGGCCGCACUGCCGACCUCGCCCCCACACCAAAUGUGUUCCGAAUAACCUCUUCUAUUUGAGCGUAUAACUCAUUAUUUUUUGCUGCCGAAGUAGGAACCAGGGCCGGAACCACAUUCGGCCCUAAAGGCUGUCCGUAAUUUUGCAUUUUAGAGUUGAGUUCCUGCAAACUGUUGGGGCCUUGCCCCCCAGCCCUUACGCCCUCGUUUUGGGGCUGGUAAGCUGGUAAAGGAGGUAAACCCGAUACAAUCUCCAACUGCGGGCCGACGCUUAUAUUCGCCGGCCUAUAAGCAGCCUGGAAAGGUGCCAUUUGCGGUUGCUCCUGUGAGACCGCCGGCGUGACGGGAUUUUGUUGCACCGGCAUAUUUAGGGGCCCCUGUUGCCUCUCGUAAGGUUGCUUGUUUCGGAUAAAUAACUGUCUGAUUUGAACAAUAUUUUCAUUGUAGGCCAUGAUAGCGGCCAAUACCGUGUCUAGUUGAGCAAUACUUUGAUGAAUAUUUUGAUCUACAGUUUGCAGGAUUCGGGUCAUCUGGACGAGUGCCUGAGUUAGACUCGGCUCUUGAUGAGCCGACUGUUCACUAGUCUCUCCUCCAACAGGUAGUACCGUCUGAUUCUCAUUCGUAUUUUCGGCGCUACUAGCUUGGUCAUUUCCUGAAGGCCUGGGAAUGGCUCUAUUCCGGAGGUUCGUAGCAUUAUCAUCAGCCAUAGGACAAAGUAUAGAUUAGGAAUACCUGAGUGAGUCCCACUGGGCGUGCCAAAAUUUGUUAGGAGCCGAAUUCCUCGAUUCUUGACCCGGUCAAAGAUCCUUCUCGAAGAACGUGUAGGGAUGAAAAACGGCUUCAAAAAGUAACCCUCGAAGUUUGCGCUGUUCGACUGGAUCAAGCGAUUCGACUGAUGAGGGAUCAGAUCAGCCGAGUUUGAAAAUCUCUAACUGUGGAAUCGGUUGGGCUGGAUGAGCUGAAUGUACGGACUGGCACAGAAACUAGGGUCGGCCAAAGAGCCGAAUGGAUGAAAACAUAGUGAUUUGUCGGCUUAAAGAGCAGAAAGUCUUUAAAUAUAUUGAAACUGACUAGUGGAAAGAACACAUGGAUCGAGUGUGCUUAUGAGCAUACAAACUCGGUUGAUCUAGUUUAUUUCUACUCCUAGAGAAAAACAUUAAAUGCUGGAAAGUAAAAGGUUACAAAUAGACUACUUCUAAGAAAUGCGAAGAAAUUGCAUAGAAAAUAAGUGUGGUCUUCUGUUCAAGGGAAAAAGACCCUUAUUACAGGCUUCAAACUUACUAUUUAUAAUAUCUUAUCAGCCCACAUUAUUAGUUGGUUAUAGUAGUGGGGAAAGUAGUGUGACUAUGAUCGUGGAAGUUCCGCCCCACUUCUCAUGGAAGUUACGCCCCACUUCUCAAUCGUUCCCGCCUAAACGCUCAUGUCCUUCAGGCGCCUUAUUGCCGACUCCUGGUGUACCACGUGUCCUUAUUUCUUUGGCUCAUACGUGGGUUAGGUCGGCGUGUUAAUUUUUUGGCAUCAACAGAGUCAAAAAAGUAGUUAGCUAUUAUUUUGAGAUUUGUUGAUGUACAAGGUUUUGUUCAGGAAAGAUUUUUUGGUCUUAUUCACAUCUCGGAUACUAAAGCAUUAACCUUGAAAAUUGCAAUAUAUUCUGUUUUUCUCAUUAUAGUCUUGAUGCUCAAAAUAUUCGUGGACCAGGUUAUGACAGAGCGAGUAAUAUGAGAGGUGAAUAGAAUGGAUUACAAGCAUUAAUUUCUAAUGAUUGUCCCAAUGCUUACUAUAUCCAUUGUUUAGCCCAUCGUCUCCAAUAGGCUUUGGUUGCGGCAUCUAAAGAUAUUCUUGAGGUUUAUGAAUUUUACUCAAAAUUAAGUACUGUUGUCAACAUUGUUGGAUUUUCUACCAACUAACUGUCCCUGGAGCAAGUAGCAAAGGGCUUGGCGGUUGGUACCCAAGGUCCUAAGUUCGAAUCCUCGUUGAUUCACAUUUCCAGCUAAGUUUAUUUCUAAAUGAAAUAAACGAAGCGGGUAGCGUGCUACCUAUCUCUCAAAAACAACAAAAAAGCUUCAUAGUUUUGAAAUUGCAGAACUGAUUGAAAACAAAGAGCUUGAGAUAGGAACUGGACUCAAUCAAGUUGGCACGUUGCAAAGGGCUGGUGAUACUCAUUGGAGUUCACACUUCAAAUCUAUUACAAGUUUGCUAAGAAUGUUUAAAGCAACAUGUACAGUUUUAAAGAAUAUUAUUAAUGAAGGAUCCAAUGCAUUUCAACGUAGUGACACACAUUUAGCUCAUAAGUCAAUGAUAUCUUUUGAAUUUGUGUUUAUCUUACAUCUCAUGAAAGAAAUAACGUAGGUGACUUACAUUCUUUGUCAACAUUUGCAACGUAAAUGUAAUACACUGAACUUUUGCAAAUUGCAAAGUUCGAGUGUGAGGAAAGAGUUGUGGAUCUAGCCUACAUGUUUUAAAAGGCUUGGACAAGUUUUUGGACAAGUUAGAGAGUGAUCGGAUUGCCGGAGAAAAGAAAGUGCAUUGCUCCCGUGAAUUGGGCAGCUUUUGCAUUGUGUACCGGUACAAGCAUUAUGCUGUACCGGUACAGCAAGCAGCAGCUGCAGCAGGUGCGUGGCAGCAGGGUUCUUUAGGUCUUUUUGCUUCCUAUUUUUAUCCCUUAUGCCCAGCUCGACCAGGGAUACUCAGUAGAUGUUGCUGGAGCUUAGAAUUUGGUCCUCCACCUUUUCUCUCUCUCUCUCUCUCUCUAGGGUUUUUCUCUCUCUACGGAAAAGCCGCCGAUUCGAGUUGAUUUCGCGCUCCGGCCGACGCUCGCUAUUUUAGUACUCAAUGGAUGCUUUCAGCACGUGGGGAGGAGGAUUUUUCUCUGAGUUUUCUGUGGGGUUAGUACCAAAGAAGCUGAAUCUCAGCUUUCAAAAAGGAAUUAGCUCAAUUUUCUCUCUAGUGGUGCUUUAGUAUUGGAAUUUGAUGUGUUUUGGUGUCAUUGCUUCCAACUAAAUUUGGGGAUGUUUGCAGCAGCUUGAGAAGAGUUAAUUAGCUGUGAAUUAACCACCUUGGACCAGAAAUAAGCUGCUUUAAAGCUAGUUAAAGGUAAAGUAUGAUUUCUAAAGCUAUUUUGGAACUAUACGCGAAUUAAUCAAGUAACUUGACACGGUUUGAGAUUGCUUCUUCGCAGCAGGUUUCCGAAUUAAACUGAGCUUAAUUGGUGACAUUGGGGACUGGUCUAGAAGGUGUUCUAACCCAGAGUAAGCAGGAAUUUCUGCUAGAAAUCCAAUUUUACAAGAAUUCGGCUAUUUUAGCUAGUAUACUAGCAUUCUAAUGCCGUUUCGAUGUUGUUCGCAGCAAGAGUGCGAUCGACUUUUGGAGUGACUUCAGCUGACUUGUGGAAGCUCUUGAAGACUCAACUUGAGGUAUUAAGCUAGCCCGAAGCAGGGAAUUAAGUUAUUACUUUGUACUAUGUGUGAUUGGAGCCGAAAUUGGAUUAUUAAGUAAUCAUUUCGACGCGGUUUUGAUGCUUUGUUUUCAGCAGGUCCAGAGACCGUUUGAGCUGAGUUUGGAGCUUCUGUUGGGCUGUUUUGAGCUUAGUGAUAGGUGGGUUUGACCUAACCAGAGCAAGUGAAGCUCCCCUAUGUUCUAUAUGUGACUAUAGAAUUGGUAUAGUGUGUGUAUUUGGGAUUAUUGUGAUUGGUAAAGUACUUGGAGCAUGUCACUAUAACAUUUGAUGUAAUUGCAAUAGAACCUCUAUGAAGUAGAGAGCAUUCAUGCAUAAAAGUAUUCAUGCAUAAUAGUAUUCUUGUUUCGUUCAGUAGAACAACCAAGAGCUAAGUUUAUAAUGCUUCUAUAAAGUAGAGACCAAUGAUACUCUCUUGACUCUAAAAUAGAGAACUAUGACAUGAUUUGUGACUAUAAUGAUAGUGCCAUGAUAGUUGAUAGUUUCUAAUGCCACAUGUGAAUUCGCAUUAUUCUCACAUGCUUACUAAUCUAGUGGAUACUAGUUAUUGUCAAUAUUCUUUAUAUUGAGAAUUCCGAUCAAUAGAUCGAGGGUAGAACAUAGCAUACUAUGCCAUGAUGUUUGAGAUAUGUUGGACUAUGAGUUUUGCUUGCUUGCCAUUGUGCUCAUUCACACAUGCUUAUGAGGGUAGCUCCCUACAAGCCGGCACUCCGGAAUUGGCCUACGCGACAGUUGCUCGCCCGUGCGGGAUUGGGUGCCGAAGUGGAUUGCCGUGGAGAGUGUAUACUACCACGGGGCCAUUAGGCGCGGCGCAAGCUGGACUACCUGGGGUAGGUCCUGAUGAAUAAAAAGGAAAACUCUAAAUGAGAUUAAGUACUAAAUGACUUAUGACAGUAAUGAAUGUUUAUCUGUUACAGUAAAAAUUUACAUAUUCGUGCUUAUGUUUAUGUUAUAUUCAUUACUGCAGAGAUUAUGAUUACAUGUUGGUUACAUGCUCAUCACUCGUUAGCAUUGCGUUUAUAUAUAUAUCAUGCAAUCAUUGUUUUUACGUUCAUUUAGUACAUCAUGAGCCUAGUGGUGUAAUUCGCCGAGGCUGGCGGCUUACCCACUGGGAACUAUUGUUAAUAGUUCUCACGCCCUUUUUAUUAUUAUUUUUUACAGAGCCAUCUACAGGAGAGGCUAGGGAACGUGGCAAGGGAGUCGCGUCUAGCUAGACAUUGCUAGGGGCAUGCUAGUCGAUCACCUUACUACUCGGGCUACGGCCGAGGGUGAUGUCCCUGUGUAGAGAGAGACCACCAUUGUACAGAUGUUUUGUAUAUCUAGUGAUGUAUAUUUACUAUUUGGACCAGAUGUUGUAGCUGUGAUGUCUUCUCUUUUUGUUGAGAUUUAGGAUUGUUCACUUCUUGUUCUAUCUGUUGAUAGUAGCAUCGACUUAUACAUUGCUCUGAUAUCAGGAUAGGAAUUUCUAUAUUUUUUUUUCCUAUCGACUUGUGUAUCGUAGACGCCUUAUAUACUGCAGGUGUAUGGCGGGUCUGUGCACGUACUGGAUAUGCUUCCGCUGGUAUCCGGGCGUGACAGUAAAUCUCAAGAUAUUCUUAAUGCUAUGUAUUUUGUGGCAUCAACAAAAUCACUUAUUCAAAAGCUUAGAGAUGAAGGAUGGGAUUCUCUUUUUGACAAAAUAAAGUUAUUUGUGCAAAGUAUAACAUAGAAGUUCCAAUUAUGUCUGCUCCUUAUGUAGGAAGGGGAGGUCGUGCUCACCGUCAACGAGACAAUAUUACACUUGAGCAUCACUAUCGAGUUGAUAUGUUUUAUGGUGUAAUAGAUUGUCAAUUGCAAGAAUUGAAUACAAGAUUUAGUGACAAUAUGAUAGAAUUACUUACUCUAAGUUGUGCUUUGGAUCCUAAAGAUGGUUGCAGAUCUUUUAAUAUUGAUGACUUUUGUAAUCUUGCGGAAAGGUAUUACCCUCAAGAUUUUAGCGAGUUUGAAAGAAAAGGGUUGAAAAUAGAACUUCAUCAUUAUGAAUUUGAAAUUUCGCGACAUUUCGACUAGCAAAAAUUGACAACUAUUUCUGAAUUAUGUCAAUGGUUGGUGGCAAUAAAAAAGUUAGAAAUAUAUCCACUUCUCUACCGAUUAGUUAAGCUUGUAUUACUUCUUCCAGUUUCAACUACAACUACUGACCGGGUAUUUUUCGUGAUGAAUAUUAUCAAAAUCGAUCUCCGGAAUAAGAUGGAUGAUGACUUUCUCACUAAUUCUUUGAUCGUGUAUAUUGAAAGAGAAAUUGCCGAGAAGUUUACUAUUGAUUCAAUCAUUGAUGGAUUUCGUGACUUGAAAGAGUGCCGAGUGAAAGUUUUGAGGAGCCCAAGGAUCUAUCUAGAUUGUAUCUAACACCUAGAGCGGGGUGAAUUGGUGUAAUAGCCAAAAACCACAAAUCUCAAUGAGAUAAAAAAUAAUGCAGAAAAUAAAAAUCACACCGAGAUUUACAUGGAAAAACUCCAACUUGGAGAAAAACCCACGGGACCAACACGCGGAAAAAUAAUUCACUAAGAGAAAAGAUUACAAGGUGAUUACCGACUCCACGGACUCAACCUCUCUUAACCUCCUAUGAAUCUCGCGCAAUCCUCCGGGUUGUCCACGCCCACACGUUCGAAUCCACGAACGCCUCGCACUCGUCCGAAUCCACGAACGCCACUCGAAUCCACGAGCCCACGAUCCGAAUCCACGAACCGCCGUCAAUCACGCCAAAUCCACGACGCCAUCGUGAAGAACAUCAUGUGUAUGAUGAUCCUUCGCUUAGAGUAUCGAUGAAAACUAGGGAAGCGAACUCCAAGCGAAGCGGAGAUCAAAUCGACAUAUUGAUAUCAAAAUCCAAAAUCUCGAUUUGACCUAAAAAAAGGCUUUAUGUAGAAAAUUAGUUUUAGAUGAAAUCCGAGCCUUUAGGGUUUCUCAAACAUGUAUUUUCGUGAUGCUUAAUAUGUUAGAGAAUCCCAAUAGCUUAUUUAUAGACUUUAGAAUCAAACGGAGUCGGAUUAGAAAGUUUUCACGAUUUUACACAGUGUACCGGUACACGAAAGGCUGUCACCGAUUACACGAUGACGGAACAAAAAUCUGCGAAGCCAAAGUUGAUGGCUGUACCGGUAUGGGUCAAUUGCUGUACCGGUACACAGUGCAUUUUUCACACUUUGCACUAUUUCGGGUUCCGCAGAGUUCCGAAGCACUUUCUAAUCAGCUAAAUAUCAAUAAUAACGAUUCUAAUGCCUAUAACUAAGUAUGAAUCACCAUAACAUGAAUUAACACAAUACCUUUACGUCGUGAUUCACAUCGUGAGUUACUUUCCAACCUUUUCGAAAUAUUGAAUUCUUCAAUCUUCGACGACACUCACCGAUUCUUCAAGACUCCGACUCACUUCACGAAACUUGCCAAUACACAAGACUUAACACCGAGCACUAUUCUAACUUUUGUAUGAUAAGUAAAAUUUUUUAAAUUUUAUUUUGUAUUUUUGUACUUCAAAUUUUAUUACAUAUAGUUUGCUUGAUUAAUAUGCUUUGCAUAAUAUAUUUUUGGCCCCCCAUAAUUAAAUCUUGGCUUCGUCCCUGCUUCCCACAAAACACAUCCACACACGGCACGAGGCGGGCCAGGUCGGGCAACGAUGGCGGUGGUCUUGGCUACCCGAUUCGAUUCACCUUACUUUUUUGGGAUUUUAUAUUUUAGCUAAUGUCACGCCCCGAGACCCGCCUAUUUGGUCGAAUUCGGGCACGCUGACAGAUCGCCGAACGGACAGAGUCUCUCCUGUACGUCCUAGGCGUCACAAUCCGUACAAUUCGUGAGGUUCCAACCAGCAACAACAUUCAAGCACAGAUUGCAUAAGGAAGGUAUCAAAAAUAUAAAUUCUAAAUUAUUACAAGCAUUCAGCUCACAUGCAUUUUACAUAUUACAUUUGUUCUCACUUAGCUUCCAAAUACAAUCAGCUACAAAUUAUUACAAUUUUGUUUCUUUCUUUCAACCCCGAAGCUAGACCAGCCCGAGGUACUGCUAUCUCUGGUCUCAGUGACAGGGCGCUAUCUAUGGAGCUACGCCCUUUCCUCGCGCCGCCGCGCCGCUCGCGUGUGAACCUAAAAAAUUCGAAAAAUCGUGGGGUGAGAACUAUUGUCAUAGUUCCCAGUGGGUACGACCACCGAAGGAAAAAGCUCAACCCACGAGGUCUAAAGGAGGCAAAACAACAUGUUAGCCCAACAGAUAGAUCUAUCAUCAUAUAAUUUAUACAACUAACAGUUAUUAUGCUUUUUCCUCACAACAUGCAACAUGCAAAUCAUGCAACAACAUAAGUAGAUCUACUAAUUCUACUUUCUAUCUUGCUAUCCACAGCUCAUCCAACUAACCUCUAAGAUUUCCUCUACCUUAGAUCCAUAUCACUUACCAUUUGCUCCUAAGAUUUCAUCUACCUUAGUCAAGCUAUCCACCUAACUCAGUCCCGAGUCAAUCAUCCGCGGAAUACCGCGUACAGCCAGGCUCGAGGUGAAGGACGUCUCACAUGCACCUCAGCCUUAAAUCCACCCAACUGUGAGGAUAUACUGUCGAACCCCGGACCACAAGUCGCUCAACGGACCAACGGGUGAGGAGAAUCACACGUACUCGUGUCCACCUGUCUCAUGGCAUAUCGGGCGAGGAGAACCACACAUACCCGUUAAAUCACUGUCGCGCGAGGAGAACCACACAUACCCGCAGUUAUGAUUCCCUUUGCCAUUCUACUUGCCAACUUACUUGCCGAGCGAGGAGAACCAAUAGACUCGCAAGUAUCCUCAAUCCUAGGGAUUCCUGAAUCCAUUUCCACAUCUCGAGGGUUAGCCUCAUACCAUAUAAUGUCGACCUCUCAAGGUUCGACUUAUGCAUAUCCUAGUGGUCACUCUACCACUAUAACCCUAGCAUCAUGUACCCUCCAAAACUGUCACGCCCGGGUACCAGCGGAAGCAUAUCCGGUACGUGCCCAGACCCGCCAUACACCUGCAGUAUAUAAGGCGUCUACGAAGAACACAAGUCGAUAGGAAGCAAAACAAAGAGAGUCCUAUCCUGAUAUCAGAGCCGUGUACAAGUCGAUAUACUAUUAGUAAAAGAACAAAGAGUAUACAAUCCAAAAUCUCAGCAAAAGGAGGAGAAGUAUCACAACAAAAACAUCGGGAUCAACAGUAAAUAUACAUCACGGAGUAUACAAAAUAGGUACAAUGAUGGUCUCUCUAUACAAAGGACAUCACCCUCGGCCGUAGCCCGAGUAGCAAGGUGAUCGACUAGCACGCUCCUAGCAAAGUCUAGUUAGACGCGACUCCCUUGCCACGAUCCCUAGCCUCUCCUGCAGAUGGCUCUGUAAAAACAACCAUAAAAAGGGCGUGAGAACUAUUAACAAUAGUUCCCAGUGGGUAAGCCGCCAGCCUCGGCGAAUUACACCACUAGGCUCAUAAUGUACUGAAAGUAAGUAAAAGUGAUAAGUGCAUGAUAUAGAAAUAUGCAGUGCUAACCGGUAACAGGCAUGUAUUCAACAUGUAAACAUGAUUUCUGCAGUAAUGAAUCAACUGAAUAAUAGAAGUAUCGCAACUACUAUAAACAUGAACAUAAACAUAAUCACAGAAGUGUAAGUAUUACUGUACACUACAACUGAUACUCAUUCAUUAUUAUCAUUAUCAUUUUCACUUUCAUUUUCAUUCACUAGGACCUACUCAAGGUAGUCCAGCUUGCACCGCGCCUAAUGGCCCCGUGGUAGUAUACACUCCCCACGACAAUCCACUUCGGCACCCAAUCCCGCACGGGCGAGCAACUGUCGCGUAGGCCAACUCCGGAGUGCCGGCUUGUAGGGAGCUACCCUCACAAGCGUGUGCGAAUAAGCACGAUGGCAAGCAAGCAAAGUCCAUUAUCCACAUGUCUCAAUUUUCAUAUUUUCAUUGUAAGGUUCUUACCCUCGAUCCUCUGAUCGGAAUUUCAAUACACAAAUAGUAACAAGAGCUAGUAUCCACUAGAUUGUAAACAUGUAAGGGUAAAGUUAAAUCACAUGGCAUUAUAAUCUUUCCAUUAGUAUGGCACUAUCAACAUAGUCAUGAGCAUGUCAUAGUUUUCUACGUUAGAGUCAAGAAAAUAUCAUUGUUCUCUAACUGUACUGAAUAUGAAUAUAAAUACUUUCAUGUAUAUAUGUUCUCUACUUUAUAGAGAUUUCAUUCUACUUAAGCGUCACACGUCACAAUGAUAUGUUUCCAAUUCUCUAUCAAUCACAUAUGCACUCAAUGCACCUAUGCGGUUAUUCUAUUCUAUAGAUACAUAUAGAACAUAGGGGAGCUCCACUUGCUCUGGUUAGGUCCGACCCACCUAUUAUGAAGCUCCAAAUCAGUCUAAGGAGUCCCAAGGAUCAGCUCCACUCGGUCUCAAUCCUGCUGAACACAAACAUCAACACCGCGUCAAAAUAACGAUCGGAAUAUCCGAUUUCGGCCUAAAUUACACUUAGUACACAGUAACCCCUUAAAUCCCUGUUUUGGGACUAGUGUAAUACCUCAAGAUAAGUCUCCAAGAGCUCUCACAAGUCAACUAACGAUGAUCCAAGGCUCGAUCGCACUCUCGCUGCGAACAAAAUCGAAACGGUAUCAAACUCAUCAUAUAUUAGCAACUUUAGUCGGAAUCCUGCAAUUUCAGCUUCCUAACUGAAAUUCUUGCUUACUUUAGGUCAGAGUACCUUCUAAACCAGCUUCCCAGGUCACCCAGAUAGCUUAAUAUGAUUCGCAAACCUGCUGCGAAAAGAAAAGCUCAAACUGUAUCAAGUUGCGGCAAAAACUCACGUUUAAUUCCAAAUUCGCUUCAUAGUGAACUAGGCUACUCAAUCAAGCUUUAAAAUAGCUUAUCCCUGAUCUAAGGAGGUUCAUUCACAGCUAAUUAACUCAUAUUUACAUGCUAAAAACCUCAGUUUCAAACCGUUGGAGCAAGAACCCAAACUCAGUACUCAAAGCGACUAAUAGAACGUCGAUAAUGGAAGAAUCGAGUUGCAUACCUUCUCAAGCUUCCAACCAGCACCUUACUGGUUCAGAGCUGCGAAAAGCUCUCCAAAAUACUCCCUCACACGUCCACGUAGGCCCUGCGACACAUGCGAACAGUGAAGAAUCAACGUUGCGACGAAAACGAGCGAAAUCGGCGAAUUCGACGUAGAGAGAGAAAAACCCUAGAGAGAGAGUGUGAGGAAGGUGGGAGAACCUUUCUCUGAGCUCCAGCAUACUCCACUGAGCUCCAGAGGUCGUGCUGGAUUCAAAUAGAUAGGAUCAAAAUGUGAAAUGACCAAAUUAGCCUUGCUGCCAGAUUUCUGCCAGUCUGUACCGGUACAAGGUAAUGGCUGUACCGGUACAGCAAGCAGAAAAAGGCUGAUUUCGCCUGUUUGAUGCAAUUUCUCACUUUUAACCCUCCAAUCACUCUCUAACUUGGUCAAAAACUUCUCCAAGUCAUUUAGAACAUGUAGAAUAGUUCCACACUUCAUUCCACACACUCGAACUCUGCAAUUUGCGGAAGUCCAGUGUAUUACAAAAACACCCCAAAAACUAAUGGAAGAACAUGCUUAGAAUACUCUAGAGAUCAUUAGAAUAUCAUGCCCAAAGAAUUUAAUAAAAAUCGCAACUCUUACCAAUUUGCGAACCUCGAGUCUGAAGCACACCGCACCACUGGGCGCAUGAGGGCUCGAUCCGUCGCUCCCAACGCGUUCCCAAGCCUGCUCUCAACCAAUACCCCGAAUUUAGGAGAGAGAUCUAGAGAGGGAAAGAGGAAAACUAGAGAGAGAGAGGAGAGUUUCUUUCUCAACUCAUAUGUGGGUGUGUGUGUAAUGGCUGUGAAAGAGGAAGAAGAAGGGAGAAGGUCCCUCUUAAGUCCACCUUCACAUUUACCAAAAUGCCAUCCACCUUUACUGGGUAGAUUUCCGGUACGGGGUCCGGACCUUGGCCCUAGGGUCCGGACCCCGUAGGUCCAUUGGCCCCAGAAAAUUCGCAUUUUUCGAAUUGCCUCGUUUUCGCUCCUUGAGCCUCCAAGCCACUUCUAAACAUACCAACACCCUCAAAAUAUAUUUUUGAGCAUAUUUAGAUCAUCUUUUCAUUUACACUUUGCCGGAUUUAGGCCAAAGCCCAAUAUAGCUUUUCGAGUUCCGUUUCCGCGUCCAAUACGCACCAAAAACACUCAGAUGCUCCCUAACUUCAACGGAACUACUCCAAUAGCUUGUCCAAGCUAACAUCCACCGAAACUUCAUAACCAUAGAAGUUUGGUAUGUUAUAUUUUCCACCCCUUAAAAAGAGUUUUGUCCUCGAAACUUAAACCACACUUCAACUCGACUUAUCGAUCAAUUGAGGACAUCAACAUACUUUCCCACUCCAGAGCGGCUUCACACUUGUCAUUACUUAAGCGGCUCAUACCGAAGGACGUGGGUUCAAUCACAAACACAUCUACGGAAUGUGAUACAAGAAGUGCAUCUUGGGUCUUGCGAGUCACAGUGGCAGCGUAAGUCGACACUCGACGACUCCACACACUCCGACACCCCUCGCUACCUAGCACAAGAAGGACUUAUCUCGUCCAUACCAUCGGAUACCAUUAUCUUUUGAGAUCAGGACUACCCCUCAUCCUCGUGGUGUGGAUCUAGCAAAAUGGACCAACAAGUCGAAUGGUCCACCACAACUACACAAUACCUGUGGGUAGACCCCCUCGAAUUACACAAACGCUCAGAGUGGCACCUUACCACUCCGGCCAUCCAAGAGUUUACUUCACUACGUACAACUCUUCUUUGCAUUUGUCAUCCUUCCUGGGAAUACACUCCAAUUUGAUCACAGGCAUUGCUUAGAAGGAAUAUCACAGGUGCAUCGCCCAAUCGCGAGUGCUCCAAUCACAAUUGAAUCUUUACUCUACAGCGAGAUGGCACACUCCGGCAUAUCUCAAAUUCCAAUCCUCAAGAGAGCAUUAUCCUCAAAUCUCACAUGGCUAUCCAUUAUCCAGUAAGUUAUGAAAACCCAAGGAUCUUUUAUCUAGAUUGUAUCAAACACUUAGAGGGGGGUGAAUAGGUGUAACGGCCAACAACCACAAAUCUCAAUGCGAUGAAAGUAAAUGCGAAAAAUAAAAAUCACACCGAGAUUUAUGUGGGAAAACUCCAACUUGGAGUAAAAAACUCCCGGAACCAACACGUGAAAAAAUAAUAUUUCACAAAAAGAAAAAAUUAUAAGGUGAUUACCGACUUCACAGACUCGACCUCUCUUAACCUCCUAUGAAUCUUGUGCAAUCCUCCAGGUUGUCCACGCCCUCACGUUCGAAUCCACGAACACCUCGCACACGUCUGAAUCCACGAACGCCACUCGAAUCCACGAGCACACGAUCCGAAUCCAUGAACCGCCUUCGAUCACGCCGAAUCCACGACGCCGUCCAUGAAGAACAUCAUGAUUAUGGUGAUCCUUCGCUCAAAGUAUAGAUGAAAACUAGAGAAGAACCUCUAAGCGAAGUGUAGAUCAAUUCGACAUAUAGAUCUCAACUCUCAAUACCUCGAAUUGACCUAAAAGAUGCUACUUCGUAGAAAACAAGUUUAGGACGAAAUCCAAGCCUUUAGGGUUUCUCAAACAUGUAUUCUCGUCAUGUUCCAUGAGUUAGAGAACCCUAAUAGUUUAUUUAUAGACUUGAGAAUCAAUUAGAGUCGGAUUAGAAAGUUUUCAGAUUUUUACACUGUGUACCGGUUAACACAUUAAGUUCUCACCGGUUAACAAAAGACGACACAGAAAAAUCUAUAUAUUGCAUAACCGGUUAACUGUCCGAUACAUUACCAGUUAACAGUCCGAUGCUGUACCGGUUAAUAGUCCGAUGCUUUACCAUUUAACAGCUGCAGUUUUCAGAAUUUCACAAUCUCGGGUUUCAAAAGUUCCAAAGCACUUUCUAAUCCACUAAUCUUUGAUUUUCAUGAUUCUAAUAUCUAUAACUAAGUAUGAACCACAAUAUCAUGAAUCAAAAACUAACUUGAGCAUCGUGAUUCAUAUCAUGAGAUAUUUCUGAGUUCUCAAAGCCUUGAAUUCUUCGAUUUUCGACAAUAUGCACCGAACUCUUCAAGACUGCGACUCAAUUUACGAAACUUGCCAACACACAAUACUUAACAUAUCCAAGCAUCUCCUAGAGACCACUUUACUUUCUCUUCCAAAUGCCACGUCCAACACCAAAUCGUUCUCGCAAUGAACUCACAGGAACACCUCGUUCAUGAUGAAAGGAAGUAAAUUCUCGAAGUACGACAGUUGGACUUCGGUUAGAAUCGAUUGAUUGUCGAUUUGGUGUGCUUCGAAAAAGCCGAAGGCAUCAAAAUGGCCAAAGGUGCAUUGAAUGGAGUCCGCGAGAGCAAAUGAUGUGAAAAAACUUCAUUUGGCAGAUUUGCUCUCGAGAACCGGUCCUUGGUGGGAGGGACCGGUUCCCGAACAUGGUCUGUGCAGGUUUGCUCUCGGGGACCGAUCCCUGGCAGGGAGAGACCGGUCCCAUUGGCUAGUGGUUGCGGCGACGCGUGAUGCAACCGGUCCCUGGGCCAGAGGGACCAGUUCCCGAAGGCGUAGAUUUCGGGAGGUCCUGAGGGACCGGUCCCUGGUAGGGAGAGACCGGUCCCCGUAGCCCCAAAUUGCCCAAGAUGGGUUGUGUCAUGAAGGUAAAGUUGAAGGGUUUUUAUGCAAUUGUAGCAUAAGUAGAGGCUAUAUGAGAGUAUGCUCUCUCUCUUCUCAUUUUCUCUCCCAAAACACAAACCUAAAGCCUCUCUCUAUCUAAUCUCUCUUCCUCUCUCUCUAGAAGGUGAAGAAGAGAAGGGAUUUAGUAGAGAAGCAAGCAAGGAGAGGGAUCUUCAUUUUCUUCUUCUUCCUCUACACCUUGGAGCUAACUUUAGGAGGUAAGCUUGAAACUCAAUCAUGGUAGAUUUCUAGAGUUUAGAUCUUUAAGCCCUAGAAUGGGUUAGAUGGAACUCUAGCAUGCUAAAGAGAUGCUUUAUGCAUGAGUUUAAGGAUUUAGAGUUUGAUUCUUGCAUGAUUGUAAGUUAGGGCUCCAAAAAUGGGGUUUUGUGAUUUGUUGGGUAUUGAUCUAAAUUGAUCAAGUGUAAACCUAAUUGCUAGGUGUUUAAAUGCGUAGGCGAAGACGGUUCGACGAUUCGUCGAGCGGGUGCAAAGUUACGGGCAAAAAGGGGUCUUCCGAGUUUCGUUUCCGCCUAGGAGGCCAAGACGACGUCGUAAAAUCGGCGAACUUCAUUCCUAGAGUUGUGACAACGCCAGAAGGUGGGUGGUGUCAUCCCGAAGCAACCGGGCUCCUCUUUAUGUCUUAGUGCAUUUUAAAUCUUGCAUCUCUUGCAUAUAUGCAUUGUAGGAUAAAUGUGCAUUUUCAUUUCCUUAUGCUUUCCUAGAUGAUAUCAUAGUGUGAGUUGAAUGCUUGAUAUAGUGGAUAGAUAAGGAUUGGGUCGAGACAUUGAAUCCUAUAGUGCUGAGAUAAGAGAUGGACUCGAUAGUUGAUAAGACAUAACGAGUGGCAUGUAAAUAAUAAUAACAACAGAACGAGUGGCAUAUAACUUAGUAUAAAAAUGACACUUGACAUGUGAACUUAGGGAUAGGUGGAUUCCCUAGUGAUGAGUCAUUGAAUAAGAACUUAGUGUAGUUAAACACUUGCAUAUGGACAUUGGGAUAGGUGGAUUCCCGAGUGACAGUUAGCCCUAAUGGAUAGAGUAUUCUCGAGUUGAGAGGAUUGGAUCAUACUCACUGUCUGUUCAGAGCUUGUGGUGGUCGCGCCACACAAGCGUGCGCUCCGGAGUUUUGUCAUACGAGGGAUAGCCUUAUGGGGUCCCGCAGACGGUCUCGGGUUUGUUGAGCGAGUUGAGCCUCCUUACCUUACGAGAUGCAUGUGAGUCACGAGCGAACCUCAGGGUUGGCCAAGGAUUGGAUAAGUCAAGAAAAUUGAUGAACAAGUAGACAAGUAAAUAACAUUACUUCUUUGACAUAGUGGCAUGUUAGUUGAUUACCUAUCACGUUAAGCAUGCAUACAUUGUAUAUGAUCCGGGCACAGUAGCAUAGCUUUCUUACUAUGUUGUUACUGCUUUUGCAUAUCUAUCUAUCUAUCUGCUUCUGCCCAUUUGGACUUAGUGAGGAGAUCGGCGGAGUCGGCGGCUGAACCCACUGGGAACUAUGGACAAUAGUUCUUACCCUACUUUGCUGCACGGCCGAGUACGAGUGCUCCGGGCAAGGAUCGCGGUAAGGGCUUAGCGCCCUAGCAUUAGUAUCCCUCCAGUUGCAUUAGAGGUACCUACUUAUAUGAGAGUAGACUACUUAUAGGUUGUGAGAUGCAUUUUGGAGAGAUAUGAAUAAACUUGUACCUAUAUUUUUGGAUGAAACAAAGAUGUAAAUUGUAUAAAUGUACAAAUCAUGAUGUAAUAGAUAGAACUCUCUCUCUUUUCGCACUUGUAUGGAUACUUGUGUUACUUGCUCUUGUUGUGAAGCACUAGUGGUGCUUCUUUUGUCGUUGUAUGAGUCAUGUAUGUAUUGAAUUGUUCCUGGGCGAAUUCUUGUACAUGAUCCCGUGCUUGAGCCUUGGGCGGACAGGAGAGGUGCUGUCCGUUCGGCGUCUAUUCGACGUGCCCGAACCGGACCAAAUGGUAGCGGUUUCGGGGCGUGACAUGUGUUUAUGGUAUCAGAGCAAUAAGAGCAAGUAAAGAGAGAAGUCUAGGAGUUACCUAGGAGGCCCUAUGAUGGAAACCUUAAGGCUAUAGGUGCGUGAGCGAGACGUGAACCUAUGACCGUGGCGGGAGUUGAUCGAUUGGGUCAGGAUUGAAGUAUGUUUCUAGUAAUGAGUGGAAACGGAUUCAAGUGGUAUGAGUUCUCGACUCGCAGUGGUUGUGUUGGCGGCCGACAACAUGAGACUAAAAGUCUCGAAUGAGUACACUUUGUGCUUCCGCCUAAUUGCGAUGUCGAGUCGCGUUAUUUUGUAAGUGCGAUGAGGUUUAACAGGUUAAGGUGAUUAACCAAGUUGGUUAUAUUUCAGAAGCUAAUGUCCCCAAGGCGCUACACGCGUAGAUCCGUUCCGGCACUGCCUCCUGAGGUGCCCGAGAAAGUUGGAUCUAGCAAAAUACAAGAGUUGCGGGCGCAAAUGACUGCGCUAGCUGGCGUGGUGCAGCGUCAAGAGAGUCGGUUCGAGCGGCUCCAAGAGCUUAUGGAGCAUCAGGCGGCGGCGACGGCGACGGCGACUGAAGGUCGUGAUCCGCCUGCCCCCUCGGCGCGCGUGCCUGAAGCGGCUGAGGGUGAGGGCAUAUCGGCAGUUCCGGUGGCGGCACGUCCCCAGCCAGCAAGUGUUUAUCCGGCGGCCUCAGGUUCGGCGACACCCUAUGCGGCGGCCGAGGAGGUGGAACGGGAGCGUGCAUUGGCGGCUCUUAUCAAGUUUAGGAAGUUCGACCCGCCUGUUUUCGAGGGGAAAAAGGUGGAGCCGUCGAUGGUGGAGUCGUGAGUUGACUCAAUAGAGACGUUCUUUGAGGAUUUAUCCACCCUAGAGAAGGAUAAAGUAUACCUCGCCCCCCAUUGCCUCGAGAAGGCGGCGAAGGUGUGGUGGAAGCGGGUGAAGCGGGAUCGUCUUCCGACUUCCGCCGAUGUUAUGGAAGGAGUUUAAGAAAACAAUGUUUGCAAACUACUUCCCCGACACUGUGAAACGGAAGCUACAGGAGAAGUUUCGUAAGUUGAGACAGGGGGAUCGUUCAGUACCAGACUAUGAACAGGAAUUCUCCCAUAUCAUAGAUUGUGUUCCGGAUGUUGUUCGAGAUGAUCGGGACCGGGCCGAUUGGUUCUCGCGAGGGCUUCGGCCAGGGAUAUAUAGGGCCGUGCAGCUAUUCAAGCUCAUGACCUUUGCCGAGAUAUUUGACCGAGCGUUGUGCGCAGAGCACGGUGAUGCCCACGUGCGAGAGGAGCGUGAGCUGAUGGCCGAGUCGAAGGACAAAGGGAAGAAACGUCACGGCGGUGGUUCGGGAGGACAAUCUAGUUCCAAGAAGCCCCCGAAGUAUCCGCGAUCGCAGUCCAGAGGUCGUGGAGCAUCGCGGUGUGUCAUUUGUGGUGGAGACCACCCCGCGUCGCGUUGCAGUCAGCGGCAAGGGAAAUGCUUCAAGUGUGGGCAAGCGGGACACUUUAUUCGUGACUGUCCUGGAGGAGCUUUGCCUGCUCCGUCUGUCGCAUCGGCUCCAGCGACUCCGACAUAUUAUGGAGGAGCCCUACUGACAGUAGUAUCGACUGGACGCGCGAUGGCGCCGCGUCAACCUGAGAUGACGCGAUCGGCUCCAUGCGGACGGGUAUUCACCGCUCAAGCUGAGAAACCUGCCGAGGCCGAGGAACGCUACGUCGUGGCAGGUAUGAUUUUAAUUAACGGAGUUCGCUCCAGGGCUAUGUUUGAUACAGGUGCCACGCAUUCAUUCAUCAGUAGAUCAUUUGUACAAAUGCAUGACAUUGGCAUUCAUUCGAGUCAGAGCACCUGGCGAGUAGAGGGCCCCGGGCGUGCGUUCGUUAUUCGUAAGGAAUGCCCGACGUGUCCAGUUCAAGUGGGCGACUGGAUCAUGCCAAUUCGAAUGUUGAUGCUCAAGAGGUUAAAAGACUUCGACGUUAUACUGGGCAUGGACUGGCUUUCGAAAUACUACGUGUCUAUUGACUGCAGGCAUAAGGUGUAACGUUUCGGGAGCCAGGACAGGAGGAGUUCACAUAUCGAGCGUGCAAGAGCUCAUGCUUUGCCACGACGAUAUCUGCGACGAGAGAGAGGAAAUUGGUUAAUAGCGGUUGCGUGGCUUAUUUGGCGACCGCUGUGGAAGUAGACCGAGUAGUCCCGGCACUCGAGGAGUUGUUGGUGGUUUGGGAGUUUCCGGACGUGUUUCCUACGGAGUUACCGGGGAUGCCGCCUAAUCGAAAGAUCGAGUGCUGGGACAUACACUUGAUCCCCGGAACGACGCCGAUCUCAAAGGCCCCGUAUCGAAUGGCGCUGGCUGAACUAUAGGAGUUGAGGGCUCAAUUGCAAGAUCUCCUCGACAAGAAAUUCAUCAGGCCGAGUGUGUCACUGUGGGGAGCCCCGAUAUUAUUUGUGCGGAAAAAAGAUGGAUCGUUUCGACUCUGCGUGGACUAUCGCUAGUUGAACAAGGUCACGAUCAAGAAUAAGUACCCACUGCCCCGAAUCGACGAUUUAUUUGAUCAACUACAGGGGUCGUGUGUGUACUAAAAAAUAGACCUACAGUCUGGUUAUCACCAGCUGAAGAUAAUGCGGGAAGAUGUUCAGAAGACCGCGUUCCGCACGCGGUAUGAGCACUAUGAAUUGACGGUCAUGCCGUUUGGGCUCACGAAUGCCCCGGCAGCGUUCAUGGACUUAAUGAACUGUGUCUUCAAGGAGCACUUGGACCGAUUCGUCGUGGUUUUUAUAGACGAUAUUUUGGUCUAUUCUCGUAGUGACGAGGAGCAUGCCGAGCAUUUGAGAAUAGUGCUUCAAAUCCUUCGGGAGGAGAAGUUAUAUGCGAAGCUAAAGAAGUGCGACUUUUGGCUCCGAGAGGUCGCAUUUCUGGGGCAUGUUAUUUCCGAGGGUGGUGUAUCUAUAGACCCGAGGAAAGUUGAGGCGAUCAAGGAUUGGCCGCGCCCGACUAAUGUCACGGAGGUUCGAAGCUUCGUGGGAUUGGCGAGCUACUAUAGACGAUUCGUGGAGGGCUUCUCAAAAAUAGUUAUUCCACUUACCCGUCUGACGCAAAAGGGCACCAAGUUUAUUUGGAGUGAGGACUGCGACCGGAGUUUCAACGACUUGAAGGAAAAGUUGACUUUGACUCUGGUGCUUGCUUUACUGGUGCCAGGUGUGGACUUUGUGGUUUUCAGUGACGCGUCUUAUUCAGGAUUAGGGUGUGUUCUGAUGCAAGAUGGAAAAGUGAUCGCAUAUGCAUCCCGUCAGCUAAAGAGCUACGAGAAGAACUACCGUGUCCACGACUUGGAGUUAGCCGCGGUGGUAUUUGCUCUCAAGUUGUGGAGGCAUUACUUGUAUGGCGUGCGUUGCGAAGUGUAUACUGACCACAAGACUGUAAAGUAUUUGUUCACGCAAAAGGAGUUGAACAUGCGACAACGGCGGUGGCUAGAGCUGCUUAAGGAUUAUGAUCUCGAUAUUCUCUCCACCCCGGGAAGACGAAUGUAGUCGCUAAUAUACUUAGUAGAAAGUCGGCGGAGAACCUCGCGAUGUGGGUCACGAAUCAGGAGCCCCUAUGGAAGGAAAUGGGAUGGAUCAAUCUCGAGGUUGUAGCUCCGGAGGUUCCGGCUAUGUUGUCAACUCUCGUUGUCCAACCAACCCUGUUGGAGAGGAUUAAGGGGUUGCAACCUGUAGACCCAAGUCUCCAAAAGGUGCGGCGCAACAUAGAGAGCGAACGCAGCGGCGAUUUCGGUGUAGAUGCCGAGGGUGUGCUUCGAUUUCGGAACCGGUGGUGUGUACUGGACAAUGAAGAAAUUCGAAAGCUGAUUCUGAAAGAAGCGCGCAUUGGUCGCCUUAUAGUAUCCACCCGGUCGGCACCAAGAUGUACUAAGAUCUGAAGAAGCAUUAUUGAUGGCCGAGAAUGAAAAUCGAUAUUGGACGCUAUGUGGCGCAGUGUCUGGUGUGCGAGCAGGUCAAGGCAGAGCGCCGAUUUCCAACAGGAAAGCUUCAGAGUUUACCUAUCCCCGCUUGGAAAUGGGAGGAUGUGACCAUGGACUUCGUGGUCGGUUUGCCUCGUUCAUCGAGUGGCCACGAUGCAAUCUGUGUGAUUGUGGAUCGUUUUACGAAGUCGGCACACUUUCUGCCAAUCCAUACGACUUGGGCAGGUGAUAGGCUAGUGCAGGUAUACGUUGAUGAUAUUGUGAGGUUGCACGGGGUGCCAAAGUUGAUCGUAUUGGAUCGAGACCCCCGAUUCACUUCUCAUUUUUGGAAGAGCCUGCAAGAAGUGUUGGGCACAUGGCUCGAUUUCAGCACUGCUUUUCAUCCUCAGACAGAUGGACAGUCAGAGAGGACUAUACAGAUUCUUACGGAUAUGUUGCGGGCGUGUGUCAUUGACUAUAGGGGUAGUUGGAGUAAUCACUUACCGAUGGCCUAGUUUGCCUACAACAACAGUUAUCAAGCUAGUGUAGGGAUGGCACCGUUCGAAGCUCUUUAUGGACGGAAGCACCGAUCUCCUAUCCAUUGGAGUGAGGUAGGCGAGCGUACGGUUCUUAGCCCCGAUGUCUUGCGAGAGGCGGAGGAGAAAGUCCGCCUUGGUCGCCAGAGAUUGCUUACGGCGCAGUCGAGGCAAAGGAGUUAUGCAAACAAGCGCCGUAGAGAUUUGAAAUUCAUAGUGGGCGACCGCGUCUUCUUGAAGGUGUCGCCCAUAAGAAGCGUGAGGCGAUUCGGAGUGCGGGGAAAGUUGAGUCCCCGAUAUAUUGGGCCAUACGAGGUGUUGGAGCGGAUUUGUGCGGUGGCUUAUCGGCUCGCAUUGCCGCCGAAGCUCACCGAUGUUCACAAUGUCUUCCAUGUCUCCAACCUCCGCAAAUAUAUUCACGAUCCCGAGUAUGUGUUGUCAUAUGAACCGUCGAAAUUGCCCGAGGAUAUGAGCUAUGAGGAGUUUCCGGCGUUGAUUAUUGCUCGAGAAGUGCGGAAGUUGCGAAAUCGCGAAAUUUCCUACGUCAAGGUUCGGUGGACCAAUCAUAACGAUCGCGAGGCUACGUGGGAACUUGAGGACGCAAUGAAAGCGCAGCACCCUCAUCUUUUUGAGGCGUGAGUAAGGUAUGAAUUAAGAUCAAAUUUAAUGAAGAAUUGAGUUCGUUUCGAGUACGAAACUCUUUUAAAGGUAGAGAGGAUGUAAGGAAGUAAUUCUCGAAAUACGAGAGUUGGACUUCGGUUAAAAUCGACUGAUUGCCGACUUGGUGUGCUUCGGAAAAGCCGAAGGCAUCAAAAUGGCCAAAGGUGCAUUGGAAUGGAGUCCGCGAGAGCAAAUGAUGUGAAAAAUCUGCACUUGGCAGAUUUGCUCUCGGGGACCGGUCCCUGGUGGGAGGGACCGGUUCCCGAACAUGGUCUGCGCGGAUUUGCUCUAAGGGACCGGUCCCAGGCAGGGAGAGACCGAUCCCAUUGGCUGGUGGUUGCGGCGGCGCGUGAUGCAAUCGGUCCCUAGGCCAGAGGGACCGGUUCCCGAACGCGCAGAUUUGGGGAGGUCCUGAGGGACCGGUCCCUGGUAGGGAGAGAUCAGUCCCCGUAGCCCGAAAUUGCCCAAGAUGGGCUGUGUCAUGAAGGUAAAGUUGAAGGGUUUUUAUGCAAUUGUAGCAUAAGUAGAGGCUAUAUGAGAGUAUGCUCUCUCUCUCUUCUCAUUUUCUCUCCCAAAACACAAACCUAAAGCCUCUCUCUCUCUAAUUUCUCCUCCUCUCUCUCUAGAAGGUGAAGAAGAGAAGGGAUUUAGUGGAGAAACAAGCAAGGAGAGGGAUCUUCAUUUUCUUCUUCUUCCUCUACACCUUGGAGCUAGCUUUAGGAGGUAAGCUUGAAGCUCAAUCAUGGUAGAUUUCUAGGGUUUAGAUCUUUAAGCCCUAGAAUAGGUUAGAUUGAACUCUAGCAUGCUAAAGAGAUGCUUUAUGCAUAAGUUUGAGGAUUUAGAGUUCGAUUCUUGCAUGAUUGCAAGUUAGGGUCCCAAAAAUGGGGUUUUGUGAUUUGUUGGAUAUUGAUCUAAAUUAAUCAAGUGUAAACCUAAUUGCUAGGUGUUUAAACAUGUAGGCGAAGACAGUUCGACGAUUCGUCGAGCGGGUGCAAAGUUACGGAAAAAAAGGGGUCUUCCGAGUUUUGUUUCCGCCUAGGAGGCCGAGACGACAUCGUAAAAUCGGUAAACUUCAUUCCUAGAGUUAUGACAACGCCAGAAGGUGGGUGGUGUCAUCCCAAAGCAACCGGGCUCCUCUUUAUGUCUUAGUGCAUUUUAAAUCUUACAUCUCUUGCAUAUAUGCAUUGUUGGAUUGUCUGCCACCACGAAUGACAUACCUCGCACGGUUGAUCUUAUUUUGAUUUUCCACCGUGGGGUAGUAUUCAUGAUUCAGAUUAAUAUUUGAAUAUGUAUGGGAAUCAGGUUUUGUGGAUUCAUGGCUUCCAAUAAACGCAAGCCUUAGCUUGGACUAAUUUAGAGUUACAUAUAUGUACCUUAAAUUAGUUGGAAGGUGGAAUCCCACUUGUUAUAACAAUUCGUGACUUUGUAUACUUCGGGUUAGUUUAGUUAAACUAAUAUAUGAAACUAUAGAACCAAGUCUUAGUUUAAGUUAGUUGGCAGUAUGACUUAAUACAAUAUUUUAAGUAGAAAAUAAGUUAGUGUCGUAAUGUUUCCAGAGAAUUAGCUUCCACGGGAUUGUGAAACAUCCCCAUUAAUUGUUAUUUGNUUUCAUCCUAGAUGUAUAUGUUAGGAUUAGCUCAAAUAUUUUUGAUUAGACUCUAAUUUUAUAUCUUAAAGUCUAGUAUAAUUAAGCUCUAUGCUUAUAUGUUCGAGCUUAAUUAAGUUCACCAUAAGGCCAAAUAUUAACUAAAUCCUAAUUAUAUGUAUUAGGAUUAGUCAAAAUUUGAUUAAACUCUAAGUGUAUGCAUUAGAGUUUAAUUUGGUUUCACAUGAACUAAAUCCUAAUUAUAUAUGUUAGGAUUAGUCAAAAUAUUUUAAAUUAAACUCUAAACGUAUAUAUUAGAGUCCAAUUUAAUUUCAUUUGGGUUCGCCAUAAGAUGAAUUUAUGUCCAACAUGUAGCGAGAUGCGGACCAAAUCCUAAUUAUAUGUGUUAGGAUUAGCCGAAAUUAAACUCUAAGUGUAUGUAUUAGAGUCUAAUCAAGAGAUGAAUUUGGGUUUACCAUAAGAUAAGAUAUCAACUAAAUCCUAAUUUUAUAAGUUAGGAUUAGUUAAAAUUAAACUCUAAGUGUAUGCAUUAGAGUUUAAUUUAAUUUCAUUUAUAUGAACUCUAAGUAGAUGGAUUAGAGCUCAAUUGAUUUGAUUAGAUGAAACCUUGUAUAUGAUUUGGUCAACUCUAAUCAAAUAUUUUAGAAUUUGAUCGAGUUUGAAUGUGUUGAGAUUUGACUCUAGUUAUAUAUGCUAGAGAAAAGGUUUGAUAUGGGCUCAUUUGGAUUGGAAUUAAUUGGGUUGGGUUCGGCUUGGAUCAAUUUGGAUAAAUAAUUGGAUUGGGUUUGGUUUAAUUGUGUAGGUUGGCUAUUGGGUUUGGAUUCAGGCUUAACAUGGACUGGUUUUAUUUUUGAUUUGGAUUCAGGCUUACAUAUUUUGACUUGGAUUUGGGCUUCAUAUUUUGAUUUGGACUUGGGCUUCAUAUGGGCCGAAUUCAUUUUGGAUUGAGAUUUGGGUUCAAUAUGGCUCAUUUGGAUUUGGAGUUGAAUUCGGGCUCAUUAUGGCUCAUUUGGGCUCAAUUUGAUUUGGGCUUUGAUAUGGAAUACGGGAUUUGGAUUUGGGCUCCAUGUAAGAUUUGAUUGGUUGUGAAUCUGAAUUUGGGCUAGAUUCCAGUCCAUAUAGUUUUUUUAAAAUUUGGAUCUGGGCUAUAUAUAGUUUCAUGGGUUUAAAAUGGCCCAAAGUUGGAUUUAUACAAUUGCAUUCAAACAUAGGUCAAAUUUAGGCCCAUAUAAUGUUGGGGCUUAAAUUACAUAUGGGCUUGGGCUUAAUUUAGGCCUGAUGGCAUAAGUCCAAAUUUUCUUUUAGGCAGAUCAUGAAAUUGGGCCCAGAUUUGCGUUUGGGCUGGACUUAAUGAACUUGUGAGAUGAAUAUAGUUUAGUCCAUAUGAGAUUCGAGAUCAAAAUAUAUAGCUCAAAAUCAAAUUCAUCAAAAAUAUAUUCAGAACGCGUUUUAUUAUUUGCCAAAUUCUCAGCUAUAAAUCACAUACUGUGGAAUUAAAUAUCGAUUCGAUUUAUUUCGACCAAAUCGAAAGGUUCGACUAAUUUUCUUUCAUCUCUUCAUUGGAGAAGAAUUAAGAGAAUACAUUUUUUCUCUUUAUCUUCUUUAAAAAUAUAGUAUAAUAGAGAUGAAUAAUUCCUUUUUAUCUCUUUUACAUUCGUGGGACAACUAACGCGGGAUAAAUCCCUUCCUUGCCUCCCUAACAGUAACAAAGCUCCCUCUCUCUUUCAUAAUUAGCUCUUUUUCUCUUUUGAUAAUAUCUUUCUGCAAAGAAAAGAGCAUCGCUCUCUCUUUCUUUCGAUGAUGCUGUAUUUUAUAAAAAGAAGAGCACCGCUCUUUCUUUCUUUCUCUCUUUUAAUACUAUUUUUAUAAAGAGAAGAGCACCUCUCACUCUCUUUAUGUACAAAUCGGGUCCGACGUUAAAAGUACGUCUUAAGCAUUUUAUCAAAUAGUUGGCCGGCAUGAUUCGUUGGCGUGAACUCCGUCAGACCAAUAUCCUAGGCGGCUUUGUAGGCGACGAGGUUGAUACUGUUGCUGCCGAGUCUGCUGANNNNNNNNNNNNNNNNNNNNNNNNNNNNNNNNNNNNNNNNNNNNNNNNNNNNNNNNNNNNNNNNNNNNNNNNNNNNNNNNNNNNNNNNNNNNNNNNNNNNAAGGAUUUUAAGUUCAAUUCUUGACUUUUGACACUAGCUCUAGUUUCUUUCUACAUCACUUUAUGUUGCAAAACUCAUUGCAAUUCACAUUCUUACAGUUCUUCAUCUUGCUAACUCUAGCAAUCGUAUUCUUUACAUUUCUUUUACUUUUGGCUACCUCUAGCACUCAUGUCUUACUCCCCACAUUACUUUAAUCUUUUAACAUUUGCUCAUUUUCGUCAUUCCUUACAUUACAUUGGUUUCUUUUUCCUCACACUAUCUCUAGUGUCAUUUCACUCUUAACCUCUAUCGAAUGCACUCGAUCUGAUCGUCAUUGUGUCACCUGUUCUUUUCUCACUGGUGUGGGUCUCACUUUUCUCUCAUGCAUACAUUUAUAGGUUUCGACAUUGCACAUUUAGUUCUCAUUCAUCAUAUUAUGCAAGUUUGUACUCCACAACAUGCAUUCGUCACAUUUUCAUCAUUACUUUUACCCUAAGGAUGCAUGUCACAAUAAUAUAUAUAUGCUCAAAUGAAUGACACAUUUUAGCAUAGGAGAGAGAGUUCAAUGCCUUUGAGAAGCACCACCCACCUCGUAUGCUUUCAAAGGUGCUCCGAUGAUUUUCUUUGGAAUUUUAGAUGCUUCGUUCUUUUACCUGCGCAAAACGAACCCCUUAUUUAGGGCCAUUUUUGCCUCAUAACUUUACUUGACUUUUCGUAACGUUAAUCCGAACGCACCAACGCGUCCGGAAAUACCCCCAAUUAGGUUUUUGGAGGGUCAAUUGCCACUUAGAAAACCCUCAUGGGAGCAAAUAGGCCCCAAAUUUGGUUGGCCCCUAGCUCCAAGUGUAUAUCAAAACCUUAGGUUUGAUCUCUUUUGAGAGCCCAAAAGUAGUUUCACUAAUACUCUAAAUUGAGUCCACUAGAUCAUUCUUAGCUUUCCAAAACCGAGAGUAGAUUUCACCAUUAGGAGGUGGGUUUGAAGCUCACCUUGAGCACUCAAACCAUUGUUUUUGAUCCUGAAAGAAGCAAAAAGAAGCUCAAGCUACUUAGAUAUUCCAUUAGAAGACCUAUUCUAGGUUUAUUCAAACCCAUUUUCUAGGGUGUUUACUACAUUUUAGGGUUCAAGCUUACCUUGUAACUUCAUUUCUGCCACUAGAGAAGAAGAAGAUGAAGUUGCUUCACCUCUUGAUCUUCUUUGCUUCAGCCUUCUCUUCCUUCUUUUCCUUUCUUUCUUCUUUCUUCUUCUUUCCUUUGCCUCUUUUAGGAGGAGAGUGGAGAGAAGAGAGUGUUUGAGAGGGUGAGAAAUGAGAGAAAUUUCUUCAUUUACCCGCCGCAGUACAUAGCUCUAUGGGUUUGUAAAAUGUAAUUAAACCCCUCAACUUUUCACUUUAAACACUCGCCCGAACUGGCCAGUUCGGCAGGCGGCGACCGGUCUCUCCUUCAAGGGUGGGGGACCGGUUCCCGGAACAGUGUCCCAGCGCAGCCACAACUCCUGCGCGGCCAGUGCAAACCGGUCUCUCGUUUGUGGGGACCGGUCUCUCAGGUGGACGCGUCUCUACAGGCAGCGGACCGGUUCCGAGGAGCUGUUUUCUCAGGACUUUUAGCCGAUUUUUCGUCUGCUCUCACCCUUCAUACGCAUUGGGGGAGCCGGUCUUCCCACCAGGGACCGGUCCCCGAGACUGAAAAUCUGCCAGUUUUUUGCAGGAAUUUGAUUCUUUUAGCUCUCGAAAAACUCUUCCACAACGCCAGCUUGUUGAUUCAUUUUAACACCUUCGACUUUCUGAAGUUGUACCGUCCUCGCCACUUUUUGCGUCAUUUGACUAAAGUUUCGACAUUAUUUCCGAAUUUGACGGCUAUAGAUUACACGUUAUAGAACCCGUAUUUGAUCAGUGCAGAGGCUAUUGAAGAGCUAGAAUCGAGUCCGAGUUUCGUUUCAGCUGUUCGACUCGUGAAUGCUGAUGAGAAUCUGGCGCUAAGGAAAAAGAAACUUGCUUCUCACAUCAGUACAAAAAGUUCUCUUCUUCAAGCUACUGAAAGUGUUUCCUUAGAGCUUCGGCAAACUAGAGAGAAAAUAAGAGAGCUUGAGGAGAAUAUAUUGCAGUUGAAGAGUACAGAAGCGGAAUUGUCACUUAAACUUGAAGUGGCUGAUGACUCUUUAAAGAACUUAACGCCGACUGAAAAAGAACUGCGAAAGGAUGUCGCUGAUGCAGAAAAGGAAUAUGCUGCAGCCACUGAAGAUUGUAAUGGUUCCAAAGAAUCCGCCGGUCUUCGAGGAUUAAUAGAGCUAUUUGAGGAGCGACGUCAAAUAUUUGAAAUUUGACUUUCUCUUUUCUUCUCCUUGUCAUUAGAUGUUUUUCAUUUGUCACUAGUAUGAAACAGUGUUUGGUAGUUUCAAUAAUUUGAAUGACUUUAAUUAUGCUUGAGUAUUUGAUCUCUUUAUACUGUCUUUAUAUUGUACCGCAUUGUGACAAUGAUUGUUUGGUGAGAAUAGUUUGUUUAUUUUGCCUCGAUCAUCACGUAUAACCAGCUCUAAAUUGAGUUAACGCUCUGUUGUCUGGACAAAGAUUCUUAAUUCGCCACAGUUAAUAUUUCAUAUGCUAGAGGCUCAAAUCAAUGUUUAGAGACAUGGUUAAUUUUAACUAACUUCUCGGUGCUCUUUUUUUUUUUUUUUUUUUUUUUUUGAAUGCUCAGUUUAACUAUAUGGCGGUCAAAUUACAUUAAAUGCUCAGUUUAACGACAUGGCGGUCAAAUUAUAUUAAAUGUUCACCCUUUUUGAAAGCAAUCGAAAUUGCUACACAUAACUGACCCUAAGGCGAGUUAGUGGAAAAAAUAUAUUUUGGGUAAUAGGAGACAUGGUUUGAUUUUUUUUAUUUUACCUCGAGAAGCAAUCGAAAUUGCCGCAUAACUGACCCUAAAGUGAGUUAACAUUCCGUCAUAGGCAAAAUAUAUUUUGGGUGAUCUGGCGCCCAUAUGGGUUUUCACAAGAUACCUUCCCCUAACUUUUACCUGUGAGCGUCGAAAGGUUUUCUCACAGCGGGGAUCCCAAUUUUGCCUGUGGGGUUAUACCACAGCCGGAAAUUUUUUGCAUUUUUACCCUUGAAGUCCAAUAUGGACAAUCAAGUCCGCUGGUGGCUCAAAAAUUAGAUAACAUGUCCUCCACUUUUUAUUUUAUACAUAAUAUUUCUUUAAGAAACGGCCGUUGAUAGGUGGCAUUGGCCUUUCACCUUUGGCGUCAAUUAAUUGGUAGGCACCGCCUUCAUAAGCUUUCUCCACCACAUAUGGGCCUUCCCAAUUUGGAUCAAACUUCUUCCCAGUAUGUUUAUUGAUUAUAAUCGGUCUGCGAAGAACGAGCACCAGCUCCCCAACACUAAAGGUGCGGUAUCGGGUGAGCUUAUUAUAUGCUCUCGCCAUCUGGGCUUGAUAUAGCUCCAAAUUUUGCUGGGCAGUUAACCGAGUUUCAUCCAAUGCAUCUAGCUCAUCAAGCCUUAGUAGAGCAUUUUCUUCAUUUGUUAACUCGUGUUGAACUGCUAUUCGUAAUGAGGGCAAUUCAACUUCUAGUGGUAAUACCGCCUCAACACCGAACACCAAAGAAUAGGGUGUUGCUUGAGUUGGCGUUCUGUAUGUGGUCCGAUAGGCCCAUAGAGCUUCGAUGAUCCGCAUAUGCCAUUCCUUUUGAUUUUUGCCGAUGAUUUUCUUCAAUAGCUUUGUCAAAGUCUUAUUAAAGGCUUCGGCCAAUCCAUUAGCCCUUGCAUUAUAUAUUGAAGAAUAUCUCCAAUCAAUUUUAUGUUGAGUGGCAAAUCUAUUGACUUUGAAACUCCUGAAGGCAGUUCCAUUGUCAGAUAUAAUUCGCCUUGGAACUCCGAAUCGAUAUAGAAUAUUUUCUCUAAAGAAUUUGACGAUAUCAUCUGCUUUUACUUCUCUUAGUGGGAUUGCUUCAACCCAUCUAGAAAAGUAAUCUGUAGCAGCAAGAAUGAAUUUAUGCCCCCUGGAAGAUGGCGGAUUGAUAGGUCCUAUCACAUCUGUUCCCCACAUAUCAAAUGGCCAUGAGGCGAUUGUAGGAUGCAAAGGGUUUGGAUGUCGAUGAAUGAAGUCACCGUGGAUUUGACAUUGAUGGCAUUUUCUAGCAUACAUCAUACAAUCUUGUAUCAUUGUUGGCCAAUAAUAUCCCAAAUGUUUAAUUUUGAGGCGCAUUUUUGGCCCUGAUUGGUGCGCUCCGCAAACACCCGAAUGAACUUCAUGCAUGACUUGUUUAAUCUCAUCUGGAGAUAAACAUUUAAGCCAUAAUUGAUCAUAAGAUCUGCGAUAAAGCUGAUCAUUAACAAAUACAUAUCUCAUUGCCCUUUUCUUAAUUUGUGCCUGUCUCGACUUUUCCUCUGGCAACUUAUUAUAUUUGAGAAAGUCGAUGAAAGGUUCCCUCCAAUCAUCUUCUAUAUCGAUAGUUGCGACUUCAGCUUCCUUUGUAUCUUUUUCUGGAUUUAAGUCAGCCGGGGACAAUAUUUUCCGAUUCCGUAUAGUUAUUUGGACUUCAUCCAUAGUGGGAUCGGCAAGCUCUUUAGCCAAUCUAGCUAGGGCAUCGGCUUUUCCAUUUACAGCCCUGGAUACUUUUUCUAUUUUUACAUAUGGAAUUUUCUCCAUAAGAUAUUUUACCCUCGUCUGAUAUUCGACCAGCUCAGGUUUAUGUACUUUAAACUCCCCUUCAACUUGGUUGAUGAUUAAUUGGGAGUCUCCGAAGAUAUGCAAUUUUUGUAUGUUCAACUGGAUUGCAAUUUCCAAACCAGCAACAAGGGCUUCAUACUCAGCCUCAUUAUUUGUGCGGGGUUCAGAAAGGGCUAAUGAGUAUCUUAAAAUGCCUCCUUCAGGUGUUAUAAAGAUUAACCCUAUCCCGGCCUUAAUUUGAGGAAUAUUUGGGCUGAAAGCUGGUUGAAUUGAGGACGCGCCAUCAAAAUACAUUUUCCAAUAGGGUUGGUUGUCCGUAGCAAACAUGAUGUGCUCAUCGGGCAAAUCGCAGACCAAAGGUGAGUCAUCUGGAAUUGGGUGCGCAGCUAGGAAAUCAGCAAGUGCUUGACCUUUGGUGGCUUUCUGUGGCACAUAAGUGAUGUCAAAUUCCAGCAAUAUAACAGCCCACUUUGCCAACCUUCCAGUCAAAACUAGUCUUGUCAUUAAGAAUUUAAGUGGGUCCACCCUCGAAAUUAAGUGAAUUUUAUGCUCCAACAUAUAAUGCCUUAAUUUCUUAACGGCAAAUAUAAGGGUUAGACAGUGCUUUUCAAUUGGCGAGUAAGAGUUUUCUGCCCCCACCAACAUCCUGCUGAGAUAAUAUAAAGCACUUUCCUUUCCUUCUUCAUUAUUUUGAGCAAGGAGUGCACCCAGCGAUCCUUCAAGCGCAGCAGUAUAUAAAAUUAAUGGCCUACCAUGGAUAGGGGCAGCAAGCACUGGGGGACUUAAUAAAUAUUUCUUAAUAUCGUCAAAUGCUGUUUGACAAUCAUCGUCCCAUAUAAAAGGCGCAUCCUUUUUCACCAAUUUGGAAAACGGUUUAAUUCUGCCAGAUAGAUUUGAUAUAAACCUUCUGAUAUAGGCCAAUCUUCCUUGAAAGGAUCUUAAUUGCUUCAAAUUCUUUGGAGGUGGCAAUUCCAUGAUAGCCUUGAUUUUUGCCGGGUCGAUUUCAAUUCCUCUAUAUCUAACAAUAAACCCGAGGAAUUUGCCCGAAUAAACUCCAAAUGCACAUUUGAGAGGGUUCAUUUUCAGAUUAUAUUUUCUUAAUCUGGUGAAAACUGUUCUCAAGUCUUCAAAAUGAUUUGCUUUAUUCACAGUUUUGACCACCAAGUCAUCAACAUAACACUCAACAACCUUGUGGAGCAAAUCAUCAAAAAUUAUUGUCAUAGCCCUUUGAUAAGUGGCUCCUGCAUUUUUCAGACCAAAGGGCAUAACCUUAUAACAGUAUAUGCCAAUUGGAGUUCUAAAAGCAGUGUGUUUUUCGUCCUCAGGUGCCAUCUUUAUCUGGUUAUAUCCAGAGGAACCGUCCAUGAACGAUUUUCGUCCUCAGGUGCCAUCUUUAUCUGGUUAUAUCCAGAGGAACCGUCCAUGAACGAAAACAUCUCGUAACUUGAAGUAUUAUCGAUCAUUAGUUCGGUGACUAGAAGUGGAAAAUCGUCCUUUGGACAUGCUUUAUUCAGAUCUCGAAAAUCAACGCAUAUGCGAAUUUGACCAUUCUUCUUUUUCACUGGGACUAUGCUCGCGAUCCAGUCAGCAUAUUUUUCUUCUCUGAUGAACCCUGCUUCAAUAAGCUUUUUAGUCUCAGUUAUGAUCUGUUCUUCUAAGUCAACUCUUGUCCUUCUUGGAGCUUGUUUAACUGGAGCCACAUCUGGACUAAUGGCAAGUUUAUGAACAGCCACACUUGGAUCUAAGCUAGGCAUUUCUUUAUACGUCCAAGCAAAGCAGUCUUUAUAUUCCAUCAAUAGUGCUUUCAACACAUCUUGAUCUUCUUCUGGAAGUAAUGCACUAAUAUAAGUGGGUCUUCGAUCCUCUUCAUUACCCAAAUUUAUUUCUAUAAGCUCAUCAACGGUGGCGCUUGCCCCCCGUCUUCAAGCUCUUAUGGAGCAUCUUUUAAUUCAAGAAGCUUUGUUUUUACUGACUCAGUUGAGAUCAUGUCCUUAUCUUGCUUCAUAUCCUUUAUUGUAAUCAUAGUGCAGGUAUGUCGUAUGACAUGUGAAUCAUUGUUGGUUAUCUUGGGCACAUGAGCAGAUUGAUGAUAUCCUAGCCCUCUCGUGUGUACCGUUCGGCCAUUUGGAAGCACGACUCUUUUUUGUGGUGGAUUCCACAUUUUCUGAAAAAAUUUUCGAUUGGCUCGUGACCUUCUUACAGGAAUUCCCGAUCUAUUCAUCAUGUUUUUGAGAUUCUUCGGAAAGUAUUUUGGCACGUUGACAUCUUCAUAUAUUUCCNAUUGGCUCGUGACCUUCUUACAGGAAAUCCCGAUUUAUUUAUCAUGUCUUUGAGAUUUUUUGGAAAGUAUUUUGGCAUGUUGACAUCUUCGUAUAUUUCCUCAUCAGAGUUAUCAAGCUUGAUAAGAUCAGAGGGUGUAUAAUCAUCUGAUUUAUAAAAAAGGAUCCCUUUCUUUAUUCUUUCUUUUCUUUUGACUUUCUCGACUUGAGGAGGUACAAAGAAGGUUUUUAGAUCAUUCACUUUUGCUGGCUCAUUUAUGUGAAGAGAUUUUAUAUGUCCAUAUGGAACUCUAGUAAUAGUUAGGGAAUCCUCAAUCAAUUCAGGAGUUCUUACGAACAUAUUUGACUCGGAUGUCAAGAAAGUUUCUUCAUCUUCUGAUGAGUCUUCUCCCCAGGGCAUGUUCAACUUGAAAGAAAAUGUUUCCAACAUUUUUCUUACUUGUUCUUCAUCAUCAGAAUCUUCUGAAUCACUUCCGAAGUGUGGAAUCACAUUUUCUUUAUUAUCCUCAAUUUUUAUCUUUCUCUUUGACAAUUUUUUAUCGCUCUGAACUUUACCCUCUUCGAGUUCGCGAGACAACUUUAUAUCUUUUUCAGAUUCUGCAAAAUACCUCGCAUCUUCAUAUCGUAUUUCAUGCACUCCAAAUGGGCGUAUAUCACCAUCAAUUCUGAAUUCUUCUCCAUCCUUAAUAUAUUUCAUACAUUGAUGAAGAGUAGAGGGGACAACGUUAUACUCGUGCAACCCAGGCCGUCCCAAUAACACUUUAUACGAAGUAUCUGCAUUUAUCACAUAAAAUUUUGCUUCGGUCCGUAAUGCUCCAAAUUUUAUAGAAAGAAUGAUCGACCCGAGAGCUUUUUGGCUAUGUUGAUUAAAGCCUUGGAUCACGAUUUUCUCCGAGGACAGAUGAUCGACAUUCAGAGCUAAACUUUUCAAAGUUCUUAAAGUCAAAAUAUUGAUUGAGGAUCCAGGAUCGAUUAAAAUGCGAUUAAUCUUAUCUCCAUCACUUGUCCCAGUCACAUAUAACGGCCUAUUGUGAUGAGCAGUUCCCAACAACAUGUCUUUAUCAGUGAAGAUAACAUUGGCGACAUGUCUGGCGUAUAACGCCUCUUUCAUAUUCACCUCAGCAAAAUGAGCAUAAAAGGGCUCAGGAUUUUGUAAAGCAUAAAUGAGUACGUCCCGAAGUUCUUUGGACAUCAUCAGAGCGUCAUAAACACUCAGCAAAGCAGGCACUUUUCUUAAAUGGGAAAGUAUGUUAUAGUCAGCCUUUGAUAAUCUCCCUUGACUUGAUGAAGUCGGUGCCUCUUCAUUUAUCCGAAUUUCUUUAUCUUUAAGAUUUUGAGGAUGUCCUUGUCUUUCUGGUAAUACUUUUCCAGAUUUCAGCGUGAUUUGCAAAGAAUCCUCAGCUUCUUUAUCUUGCUUAGUAUUAGAGUCAGUACCACAAGUACCAGUUUGGCAUGUUUCGACUCUAGUCUUUUCAAGAGUAUCGAACUUGUUGAGGAUCUCUUUCAAUUGUUCCUUCAUGCUUUUUACCGCCAUGGCCACACAAUCUAUGUUUGUUGCUAGAGAGCGUACAUCAAUCUGCACUCUCCUCAAAUCAUUGUCAAUCUCAAGAAGACGAUAUUUCAUUCUCCUUGCACCAUAAUCCCUGCUCGGGGUAUUGUAUGCUAGCCACGCGGUAUCAUCAUCUUCACGUGCACCAGCAGAUUGCCUGACCAUAUUCUCUUGAUUUACAGAGUCGUCAGAUUGCUCUUUAGAGAUUAUUAUUACUCGACAUGACUCUUUGAGCUGUGAUUUGUUUUUUCUAUGGUCUCAAAGUUUCACGCAUACAUCAUAAGCAUGACCUCUCGCUCCACACCAACAACAACGCGGUUUCAUAUCAUCGAAAGCAUCAUAACAUGCUUUUCUGAAUUCUUCCAGAGUAAUGGGUUGUUGUUUCUCAAAUCGUGGCAGAUGUCUCUUCCAUCGUUGACUUUUGGACCCGGCAACCGUCGGUUGAUCGACCUUUAGCUUCGCCUUGUCAACAGUUAGAUUCUGCAUCAUUUUCCAUUGGCGACAAUUUUCUAGGGUGUCCCCCCAUAUAUUGUGAUAGGAACAGAACUCUGUCGACAUAACUUUCUUUUUCCCUUCCUUAAUUAGAGGUUCAUUAUUCUGGCGAGCCUCUGACUGCUGGCUUAGAGUUGGUUUCUUCUUCUUUUUCAGCGAAGAUGACCCUGCAUUUCCUCUCACCGACAUUCUUUUAAUUUCUAGAGCAAUUAUGUGUGCUUCAUAGAAAUUUGCGUCGUAUUCGGCUUUUGUUGACUUUAAUUGCUCCGAAUCAACUUGCGCAGUUAUGACUCGGCAUGUCUCAACCCGACAUCUUUUUGAUGCUUCAGUAGCAUCUGUCUUGAGCAUAUCUAUUAUAGUUCUCAUUUGAAUAUCUAUGCCCUUUAUAUCGCCAGUCAUACUGUUCAUAUUCAUCUUUAUGAAGUUAAUAUCAUUGUGCAGCCUCCUCAUUUCUUCCUCCAUUCUGAUUAAGCGACACUCCAUUCUAUACAACUUCUUCAUUGGAUCAUUAUAAGUUGAAGUGUCGUAUAAUUCCAAAGGAUCAACAUAAGUAUCAUCGUUUGGUGUGGAGGUCUGUUGAUUUGCCCCCAGGGUCGGCGCAGGGCUUUCUGACACAUCAUCUGACACGUCAUCAGAUAUUGUAAUCACACGGCAUGACUCCGGUGUGUAAGGAAUAGUCUUGUGCUUAUUUUUCUCCUGGAUUUUCACAGUUGUGCUUCUGACACUUUGCCUUAUGUUUGCCCUUUGAGAAAACUGACCUUUUGGUUUUCUUAUAUAUUGAAAAGUACGACAGUUUUCUAGGUUAUGUCCUUUCACUUGAUGAAAAGGGCAAUACAUAGGUGUAUUUUUACUGUCAGAAGACUGAGAAUUAACGCCUCCCAUCGGCGCCGUUCUCGAGCAUUCCCCUUUGUUAAAUUUCUUAUUGACUCCACCCUUAUUUUUGGUUUUUGUAAGGGGAGCUUUUCCUUCAUCUUUUUGAGAAGUUUCAGGUGAAAGCUGUUUUGAAGAUCGACUUGUAAGCCUUGAUAAUAUUUCGAUAUCUUGUUCUCUGUUAUUUUGCGACUGAGUCUGUUGAGGGAUGGGAGUAAUCUUCAUUAAUUGUUCUAUUCUGGCUUCGAUCCCAAUCAACAUAGAGAACAUUACAUUCAUUUGUGCUUUCAUAUCUAAUAUUUUAUCAUUCACCCUGUGAUAGUUGCAAUGCGUCAUUUCUUUCAUUUCUUCCAAUUGGUUGUGAACUUCUCUGAGGUUCCUUUCUCGUUCCCUAACGUGGCUAGAAGGAAGGAUAAUUUCUUCAUCGUCACGUUGUGCGGUGAUGACUCUGCAAGUCUCUUCCCAAAAAGGCUCUUCUUUUUCUUUACACUCCUCGACAGGGAUUUCUCUUUCAUCUGAGUCUUUCUUUUUCUUAGCCUCUUCUAUUGCUUUAAAAAUAAAAUCAUGGAUCAAGAGAGGCUCUCUUUCAACUUGUUUAUAUUCUUCCAUUGAGUCGAUGUGUUCCUCAAUAGGCCGCUUCUUAUGUUGUGGUUGAGCCGGCUCAACAAAUUUUUUAUUCUUCUUCGCCCGAGCUAUUCUGCGCCUCGACUUGGAUGGAGUAUUAGAUUUUUUGACUGAAGGCAUGGGCUUAUCCUCAGACUGCAUUUCCGGGUUUAAAGGCCCUCGCCAUUUUAUCCCUGGAACCUCUUUUAAAUAUUUUAACAUUUUCCGAGUUUUCUUAGAUAAGAACAUAUUCCAAAACUCGGGGAAAAAUGCAUUUUCAAUUCCUUCUAUAUUUUUCGCACCCACACCAAUCAUAUUGGUCUUUUCGACUGGCGUUUCUGAUAAUACCGACUGUGAAAAGGUAAUUGCGCCGGUUUUAUAUUAUUUUUCAAUCCAGUCUUUGAAAACCCAGCAAUCUUCAAUUGGAUGGCUAAUUAGCCUAUGAUAUGGGCAGUAUUUUGAAUUAUCAGUUUUCCCCACAUCCUCCGGCUUCCUUGGCUCGGGCAGUUGAAGACCAUUUUUAACAGCAUCGUUAAAUAUUUUCUUAACUUUCUCCCGUUUGAAAGGGUACACUUUAUUUCUUCGCUCUUCCAGAGAAAGUGCUUUUGGAUUAUUGCCCCCAAACAUAGGCUUUACAGGGGUCUGUUCAACUGCAGAGGUAAUUGCCCUUUUACCAUUUUCUAUCAUGUUCGUGCGGGCCGGUCUAGCCUGUGCCGGUCUAGCCUGUGCCAUCUUUGCCUCAACUCUUUUAUUAUCAUCCCUUUUUGUCUUUUGUACAUUUACUAAGACUUGGGGAUCAGUUCUCUCCAACCUAGAGACGUUUGAUAUUAAUUCAUGAAAGGUGGAACAACUAGAUGUGCACAGAAAUGGGGCCAUCCAAUUAUCAAUGUUGCCCAUAACAAGACCAACGGCCUGGGUCUGAUCUAGAGGUUGUUCACACCUUAUACUUAAGUUUCGCCACCUCGUAAUGUAAUCUAGCAUUGUUUCAUCUUUUCUUCGUCUGGUGGCUACCAGAUCAGCGAUAGUAAUCUUAUCGCUAACAGUGGCGAAUUUUGCUUUGAAAGCUUCUUCCAUGUCGGGCCAAGUUUUAAUGGACUCAUCUUCGAGGGAGUAGUACCAUUCAAAAGCUAUACCUGAUAAGCUUUGUGGAAAUUGUCGCAAAAGUAGAGGUCCGUUACUCCCUGUAUUUCCACACAUGGCCUUAAAAUGUGCUAGGUGCUGAUCAGGGUUACCAACACUAUAGAACAUUUUGAACUUAGGGACUUGAUACCCGUCUGGAAAAGGUAUAUUAUCAUAUUCUGAUAGAUAAGGAUGUCCUUUCCCUUUUGGUUUUGGGUUUGCCCCCGCUACUGUCUCUUUAACUUGAGAAGUGAUCAAAUCAUGAAUCUCUUCUUUAGUUAAAGAGGUAGUCUCUUUAGGAACAGUUGUUUUAGCCUGUUCAUCAAUGACUUGGGGUGCGAGUGCUUCUGUCCGAGCUGGAGUCUUGGUUUGAUGCCGUUGAUCCUCCAACUGCUUCUGUACAUUCAUCAUCAAAUCCAUAACCUCCUCCAUUUUCUUAUAGAGACUUAUAAUAUCUCUAUCUUUUUCAUCAACUUUCUUUUUCAAGGAUGCGAUUAUACCAUCCUUUGGAUCCCUCAGGAAGAAUACAACCUCUUCUUCCUCCCGUGGAUCAGAUAGAUCACCAGGUAAAUCAUCUUUAUUCCUGGUGUUUUGCGAAGAGCUUGUUUUUUUAGCUCUCGCCUUCUCUUCUGCUGCUUUUCUUGCAGCAGCUCUGGUAAGCAUUUGUUGAAUUGUUUUUUCUUCGUUAAUAGCCUCACUUGAGGGCACACGCCCUAUAACUCUCACAGUAUGAAUCUCCAAAUUUUUAGAUUUUUCUUCUUUGAUUUGAGUAAGAGUUUUGGGCUUCCAUUCUGUUUUUCUCCCUUCAUGGGAUAGCGUCGACCUUCGCUGCCAUUUUGGCUUCUCAAUCUUCUUCUCUAUGUUUAUCCUUCCCUUUGCAGCCUUAAAGGCUUUAUAUAUCCGCUUGCAGAGAGGGUUCUCGUUAUUGUUUCUCGAACGAGAACAUGCAGGGGAAGGCUUUAAGUGGGCCAUUUCUGACUCUGGGCGCAGAACGGCCGUAGGUGAGUUUUUCCUCACAAACCUCAGGGGUGCAUAUCGGUUAUGGACCAAAACAUCAGGUCCAGCGACAAACCUAGUAAGUUGGGUUUGUCGAGACUUCUGUUCCUUGUUCAUCUCUUGCCGCUUCAAAGUACGGCGAAGAUUUCUUUUGAAUGCCUUUGUCAUAGGAGACACAGCAUUUUUGGGGAACGUCAGCCUAUUGAAGACUGACGCUUUAGGCGCCAUAUCAAGUGGCGAUGUUCCCUCACUUCGAUUUUGGAACACCAGCCUACCUUGUAGCUCCAUUCUCUUUGAAGCACUGAUAAGCGUGAUCCUCUCCCUCACAGGGACACGAGAGGCGUUAAGUGUCAUCCUCUCCUUCAUUGGAACGCGAGGAGGGUUGGGGAUGACGACAUUCGGGCGCCUUCCNGAACACCAGCCUACCUUGUAGCUCCAUUCUCUUUGAAGCACUGAUAAGCGUGAUCCUCUCCCUCACAGGGACACGAGAGGCGUUAAGAGUCAUCCUCUCCUUCAUUGGAACGCGAGGAGGGUUGGGGAUGACGACAUUCGGGCGCCUUCCACGAGAGGGAAGGCGGGGAACCACAAUCUUAACAUUAUUUGGGCUAACGACAGCAUUGAAAGGGGCCAUAGCCGCAGCCCUAACCUCUUCAGGGAUGGUGCCGAACUGGAUCGCAGCACCAGCAGCUCCAAUGGUAAGGACAGAUGCCGGCAGGCAAACCUGUCCUGCAUUGAUCAUCAUUGAACCUGUAGCAGUAGCAGUGUUCUUCGGUGCCAUUUCUCCUGUAAGGGAAUAACGAGUGUCGAUUAGAUAUUUAUCAUUCAAUUCUAUUAGCAUAUCAUUGGUCUCAGAGAUGGAAGGAGAAGCCAUGUCCCACCGGGCGUGCCAUUUUGUCUACCACCACGAAUGACAUACCUCGCACGGUUAAUUUUAUUUUGAUUUUCCACCGUGGGGUAGUAUUCAUGAUUCAGAUUAAUAUUUGAAUAUGUAUGGGAAUCAGGUUUUGUGGAUUCAUGGCUUCCAAUAAACACAAGCGUUUAUUGUUAAUUACCCCUACAAAGUGUUAGGGCACCUUCGAUUAAGAGACCUUUGUAAUGCUGUGAUUGAAUAAAAGAUGAAUUUUAUAACAUAAUUCAGUAUGACGGUUGAUUGAAUUUGAUUCUGAACCAAGAUAUCAAAGUAUAUAAUCAAAUUGAUUUGAUUGGGCUUCAUAUGUUUCAGUGCUUAACAAUAUUGUUCACCCUAAGGUGGAAGGUUGAUUAAAUUCCAUGUAUAUACAUUGGGAUUUAAUCAGAUUUGAUUCAAAUUAAACUCUAAUUAAAUGAAUUAGAGUUUGAUUUAGUUAAUCGAACUUUAAAUAUAUGUUAUAAAGUCCAAUGGGAUUUGAUUUAAGCUUUCAUCCUAGAUGUAUAUGUUAGGAUUAGCUCAAAUAUUUUUGAUUAGACUCUAAUUUUAUAUCUUAAAGUCUAGUAUAAUUAAGCUCUAUGCUUAUAUGUUCGAGCUUAAUUAAGUUCACCAUAAGGCCAAAUAUUAACUAAAUCCUAAUUAUAUGUAUUAGGAUUAGUCAAAAUUUGAUUAAACUCUAAGUGUAUGCAUUAGAGUUUAAUUUGGUUUCACAUGAACUAAAUCCUAAUUAUAUAUGUUAGGAUUAGUCAAAAUAUUUUAAAUUAAACUCUAAACGUAUAUAUUAGAGUCCAAUUUAAUUUCAUUUGGGUUCGCCAUAAGAUGAAUUUAUGUCCAACAUGUAGCGAGAUGCGGACCAAAUCCUAAUUAUAUGUGUUAGGAUUAGCCGAAAUUAAACUCUAAGUGUAUGUAUUAGAGUCUAAUCAAGAGAUGAAUUUGGGUUUACCAUAAGAUAAGAUAUCAACUAAAUCCUAAUUUUAUAAGUUAGGAUUAGUUAAAAUUAAACUCUAAGUGUAUGCAUUAGAGUUUAAUUUAAUUUCAUUUAUAUGAACUCUAAGUAGAUGGAUUAGAGCUCAAUUGAUUUGAUUAGAUGAAACCUUGUAUAUGAUUUGGUCAACUCUAAUCAAAUAUUUUAGAAUUUGAUCGAGUUUGAAUGUGUUGAGAUUUGACUCUAGUUAUAUAUGCUAGAGAAAAGGUUUGAUAUGGGCUCAUUUGGAUUGGAAUUAAUUGGGUUGGGUUCGGCUUGGAUCAAUUUGGAUAAAUAAUUGGAUUGGGUUUGGUUUAAUUGUGUAGGUUGGCUAUUGGGUUUGGAUUCAGGCUUAACAUGGACUGGUUUCAUUUUGAUUUGGAUUUAGGCUUCAUGUUUUGGUUUGGAUUUGGGCCUCAUAUUUUGAUUUGGAUUUGGGCUUCAUAUGGGCCGAAUUCAUUUUGGAUUGAGAUUUGGGUUCAAUAUGGCUCAUUUGGAUUUGGAGUUGAAUUCGGGCUCAUUUGGGCUUGGGCUCAAUUUGAUUUGGGCUUGAUAUGGGAUUUGGAUUUGGGUUCAAUACGAGAUUUGGAUUUGGGCUCAAUGUAAGAUUUGAUUGGUUGUGAAUCUGAAUUUGGGCUAGAUUCCAGUCCAUAUAGUUUUUUUAAAAAUUUGGAUCUGGGCUAUAUAUAUAGUUUCAUGGGUUUAAAAUGGCCCAAAGUUGGAUUUAUACAAUUGCAUUCAAACAUAGGUCAAAUUCAGGCCCAUAUAAUGUUGGGGCUUAAAUUACAUAUGGGCUUGGGCUUAAUUUAGGCCUGAUGGCAUAAGUCCAAAUUUUCUUUUAGGCAGAUCAUGAAAUUGGGCCUAGAUUUGCGUUUGGGCUGGUCUUAAUGAACUUGUGAGAUGAAUAUAGUUUGGUCUAUAUGAGAUUCGAAAUCAAAAUAUUUAAACAUUUAGUUCAAAAUCAAAUUCAUCCGAAAUAUAAUUAAAUAUUGAUUCGAUUUAAUUCGACCAAAUCGAAAGGUUCAAUUGAAGGGUUCGAUUAUUUUUGAACACUGUUAAAAGAACAAUCAAAAGAAUAUUAAUCGAAAAUCCGACUAAUUUUCUUUCAUUUCUUCAUUGAAUGAGAAUUAAGAGAAUACAUUUUUUUCUCUUUAUCUCUUUUAAAAAUAUAAUAUAACAGAGAUGAAUAAUUUCUUUUUAUCUCUUUUACAUUCGUGGGACAACUAAGGCGGGAUAAAUCCCUUCCUUGCCUCCCUAACAGUAACAAAGCUCCCUCUCUCUUUCAUAAUUAGCUCUUUUUCUCUUUUGAUAAUAUCUUUCUGCAAAGAAAAGAGCAUCGCUCUCUCUUUCUUUCGAUGAUGCUGUAUUUUAUAAAGAGAAGAGCACCGCUCUUUCUUUCUUUCUCUCUUUUAAUACUAUUUUUAUAAAGAGAAGAGCACCGCUCACUCUCUUUAUGUACAAAUCGGGUCCGACGUUAAAAGUACGUCUUAAGCAUUUUAUCAAAUAGUUGGCCGGCAUGAUUCGUUGGCGUGAACUCCGUCAGACCAAUAUCCUAGGCGGCUUUGUAGGCGACGAGGUUGAUACUGUUGCUGCCGAGUCUGCUGAGAUUGGUUUGUACAUUUGCGAGGGGCGAGCCGUCGACAUCCGGGAACUCGUCGAACGAGUCCUGGCAGGUGUCAACGAACGUGCCGACGGUCGAAAGCUCACCGUUGACGUCCACGAUCAGCCCGUCGCCGCGCACCAAUCGUCGGCACAUUCUGUAGCGCGUCCGCCGCUUGCGCGUGCUCCGCCUUAAACGCCGCAGCCUGGACCGACGUUGCGGCUCGUUGUGGCCACAGAUCGAACACCUGGUAAGCGGUGAUGAGUUGGUUCAGCGCGAGCUGGCACGCGGUCAUGCCGUUGUCGAUGAGCCUCUGAGGUUCGCGUAGGCGCUCAGCUAAGUUUGGAGGAGACGCGCGGGGCCGGUGUUGACGAACUUGGCGUCGCGGCCCACCGAGUAGGUCGCAGGCGAAGGCGAUCUCGAACCCGGCGGUGACGGCGAAUCCGGCGAUGACGCUGGCGAUGGGCUUGCGGCACGCGGCCAUGGCGAUGGCAGGAGCGGCGUUAGGGUCUUUGACGUCGCCUUUGAAGGUGUUCUCGUCGGCGGUAAUGUCGACACCGGAGCAGCAGGCGCGGUCGCGCUCAGCGAGGACCACGGCGGAUCCAUGGGGUCGCUGCUCCACUUGAGCAUUUCAUCGAGCACCUUGUCGGAGGUCCCCGCGGCAAAGCGCGGGGAGAGGGCGCGGUUCGCGGCGUUGGAGUCGUCGAGGGCCUCGAGCUGCGCCUUGAUGGAGUGGGCAGUUUCAGCGGAUCGCGGCCGUCGCGGACGGCGCUGACGACGACGCAUUCGGUGGCGGCGUAGUAAGCGACCUUCUCGAAGGUCGACACGGGGCGGUCGACGAGGACGAUGGGGUUGUAGCCGGGUCGGCCGAAGCGGGCGUUAAUGUAGCGGGUGAUGGAGCGAGCCUCGUCGGCCACCUCCUCGACGUCGCGGCCAUGACUAUGCGCCGGGUUGGUGAUCUGGACGAGCACGGCGCGGCCACGGAGCUCGGAGCACUCCUCGAGGAGCCGCUCCAUGGCGAGGAAGCGAGCGGCCUCAGCAGCGGCGAAGAAGCGAGCGGCCUUGGCAGCGGCUAAGAAGUGAGCGGCCUCAGCAGCACGGGGGUCGGCGAGGAAGCGAGCGGCCUCGGGAACGCUCAGUCGAGGCGGCAGUCGCCGCCGAAGACCUCGGUAGUAGUGUAGUUGACACGGUUCUCGAGCUCGAGGAGGAGGUCGAGGUUCUGAAGCCCCACGUCGGCGUCGUCGUCGUCAGGGGCUCUCGUGGGCUUUGGCCAUGGUGGAUGCUUAUUUCAGAGAGAGAGUGAGAGAGCUUUGUUUUCUCUUUCUUUUUUUUUCUUUUUUUUUUAGCGAGAGAGAUAGAGAGAGCUUUCUUCUUUUUUUUUUUGAACGGGAGAAAGAGAUAAUAUAUUUUUUUUUCCUUUUUUUUUUUUUGCGAUCGACAGAAUGGGGUGGAUAUUUUUGAUUAGAUUUCGAAGAUUCAAAAAUGUUCUUUCUUUGAUUUUUUUCGAGAGGUAUUUAUGGGGUGGUUGCAACGGAUUUGAGGGAAACGUGCGUAUGAUUGUGGGAUUGAGGUGGUUGUAACAGGAUUUGAGGAAAACGUGCGUAUGGGUGCGGAGGUUAUGGGAUCGUGGAUGGUUGAGGAUUGUGGGAUGAUGGGAUUGUAGGUAUAGGUUGUUACGAUAGUAUCGUGGGAUUGUGGGAGAGAUUUUGGAUGGUUAUGAUGGGAUUGUGGGAAUAUUGUGAAUUGGUCCUUUCCCUUUGCUCAUAUUACACCUUAGUCAAUAUAAUAAAAUAUUAUAUGAUUAAAGCGGAGCAUUUUGUAAAUACGUGAAAGGGAAAGGGCUAAUAUGCUAUUUUUAAUACCCGUUCGUAUCUACGAGAACGUCCCACUAUUCGUAAUUUAUGCUCCCGGUGCAUGAGAUAUUUUCAAAAUUUAAAUUUUAUCCAUGCACCUGGUGCAUGGAUAAUCUCAUAAACCAUCUCUAUUUUUUAUUUCUUUCUCUCCCUUUUUUUUUCUUUUUCCUCUUUUAUUCCUCUCUCUUUUUUUUUUAUGCUUCAACAAGGAUAAAUGUGCAUUUCCAUUUCCUUAUGCUUUCCUAGAUGAUAUCAUAGUGUGAGUUGAAUGCUUGAUACAGUGGAUAGAUAAGGAUUGGGUCGAGACAUUGAAUCCUAUAGUGCUGAGAUAAAAGAUGGACUCGAUUGUUGAUAAGACAUAACGAGUGGCAAGUAAAUA